rnacentral:lncRNA from 1 species
GUUUUAUUUCUCUGAUGAAUCUGGCCUCGAGUAACUUGGCCAGCUCCUCUCCCAUAGCUUGUCGUUUGGGUUCUGAAAAGCGUCGUAGUGUUUGCUUGACCGGCUUGUAUCCCUUCAGUAUGUUAAGGUUGUGUUCAGCCAGCCUACAUGGGAUCCCCGGCAUAUCAGAAGGGUGCCAGGCAAAAAUAUCCCAAUUCUCGCAUAGAAACGCCCGCAGUGCAGCGUCUAUUGUGGGCUCCAGUUGUGCCCCGAUGGAUGUUGUCUUCGAGGAGUCCGUUGGGUGGACCUGGAAAUUGACUAUUUCAUCCCCUGGUUUGAAGGAGGUGGACUUGGAUCGCUUAUCGAGUAUCAUGUCAUCCCUAUCCAUUGUGGAGUGUAAUGCGGUUAAUUCUUCGGCCGCGAGGGCUUCAGACAAUGCUUCGAGGGCCAAGGCGGCUGUUUUAUUUUCGGUGCGGAGUGUUGUGUCUGGAUCACUGGCAAGAGUGAUAAUCCCAUUGGCCCCAGGUAUCUUGAGCUUCAUGUACCCAUAAUGGGGUAUAUAGCAAGGCGUGAUACCCACUAUUGAAAGGGGCCACCUGAAAGGUUAUCUCUUCAGACUGAUAAUUCUCCGGUGUGCCGAAUACCACAUCGAGUGUGAUUUUUCCUGCACAUCGUGCCUCCCGGCUGGGAAUAAUUCCUCUAAAAGGAUGUGCUGCUUUGUUCAAUGCGGCUCUUGUCUAUUUCCAUUUUGUUGAGAGUUUCCUCGUAAAUGAGGUUUAGUCCGCUACCACUGUCCAUGAGCACUUUGGUAAGCCAUAAGCCGUCCACGAUUGGACUGAGGACCAAAGCGGCUGGUGCCCGGAUUGUCUUGAAUUGCGGUCUGUCACUGGCGCUGAAAGUUAUGGACGUGUCAUUCCAGGGGUUUAUUUCUGCCACUUGGCAGACUUUAGCGAGGCCGCUGAGUGCUCUCUUGUGCCUCUUACCUAAGGCGAAAGUCUCGAAGACUGUCAACACUGUAGUGUUGUGCUUUGUGGGAUGUUGCUUUGCGGUGUUUUUUGUGAGGAGAUCCUCGCCGCUCUUGGCCACCUGCCGAAGUAUCCAACAUGCUCUAAGGUUGUGUGUUGGUAUGGUAUCCGAUGUGGUGUGUAUUUUGCAUGGCCUAUCGAGCCAUCCCUCCAAAACGGAUGCGCGUCCUGUAGUGGGCUUCAAUUUCUUCGUGAUUUGAUCGGAUGACCUACGGGGGUACACCCUUUUUGCUCGGAUGAGGGGUUUAGCGAGGGUCAGUGGAUCCCAAAAGGCUGCCUGAGUUUUCCAGGCGCUUUCCAUCGCGCAGUACUUCUGUACUAUGAUCGCCAAGUCAUAGAAGCAUGAUAUAUGAUGGCGAUUUAUGGCGUUAAGGAGUCCCUUGUCCGUGCAAUUCUUGCAGAUAAUGAGAUUGCGUCUUCAUCGCAGCAGGCUUUGGCCUUGUCAUUGACAAUGAGGAAUCUGGCCAAAAGUGAUGUACCGUUUCUUGGGACUCUUGUCUGAUGCGGGAGAGAUCGCUUGAGUCUGGGCGGGUGGGUCGAUUUAAGUCCGAACCCAAAUCUGAUUCGUGACCCGGAGUUUGAGGAGUUUCCGAACUUAAUAGUUCGGACUCCGAGAUGUAAUCCAAUUUUUCUGGCCCACAGUCCGAUUCUAAGUUCGGAGUUCGGGGCGCGUCUUCCUGUGGGCAUGUACUCCGUCUUGAUGAGCUCGGAAAUCCGGACAUAUUUCAUCCUCAAUAUGGGGGAAGAGUUGUUGGAUCGCUCCUCCACCACCGCUAUCUGAUGGGCGAUCAGCGGAGAUUCAAUCUCCCUUUGAUCGGGUUUAAGCCCAAUCUGAUCGUAGUCCAAAGCGACUCCCAGAGCGACGAUGCGACACUACUAGGGAAAAGCCUAGCAGCACCGCGGUUUUUGGGCCUCUCAGUAGCGCGGGGACAGGCGCUACUAAUAAGGCGCUACAGCUAACGUAUAGCAGUAGCGCCUGUUGUCCCACGCUACUGCUAUACAUGAAUAGUUGUAGCGCUGUUUAGAAAAGGGCGCUGCUAAUAUUAUCUGCAGCGAUGUUUACCGGGAAGCGCUACUAGUAAUGCGGCGCUACUGCUAAAUUUCCCCCCCUCGCUACUACUAGUUUUAUUAGUUUUUUCUGGCAUAUUUGUUUUUGUAUUUGUUUUGUAUUUGAAUAGGCUUUAUACAAUAAUCUUUAGCAUAUCAUACACAUACAAAUGUAAUCAUAGCAUAUACAUACAAUUAGUCUCAUCAAAUCAUGUCAUCAUCAUAAUCAUCAUCCAACACAAAGUGGUCUCUCGUCAUCAUCUCGAAAAUAGCGAUACAAGUCCUCGAUUACUUGCAAAUACAUCGUCAUCCAUCUAAACAAUGGUAUACGCAAGAAGGGCUAUCACUUUGAGUACAUGAGUUCGUAUCCCUCUCUCGCAUUAGCGUGAACCUAAACUAACUACUGCAUGUUGCUCGGAAACUAGAAACCGGUACACCUGGGCCUGACACUCCGGCCACACGUCGUAUAUAUACUCCUGGCGUAGCACUUCUUCGCCAUCGAUGAUCUAUGCACCUGCAUCGUCACAUGAGUCGAUGAUAUGCAACAUAUAUAGUUGAGCAACAGAAAGAGACAGACUUGGCAAAAAUAGAAACAACAUAUCAUAAGCAUAAAUAACAAAGUUCAUCGUACCCAAAAUGCCCUAACUAGAUGAUCUUCGCUAGUCGAGGAGGAGGACGGUUUAAUUACAUCACAAAUAAAGUUUCACCGCGCAUAACUCAAAGUUUUGUCAUACAGAAAGUAUGGACUAAACAGACACAUUGUCAUAUAUCGACAAUCACUCCAACAUGUCGUGCCAUCCAUCGAGGUCAGGGAGAUAGUGCUCGAGCUUAGUGAAAGGCUUCAUGUCGAGACGCUCACAGGCUAUCCAUGUUCGGACGUCUUCCCGUGACAUUUGUCCUUCUUCAUAGAACAUCCCUGUUUUUUGGACGACCUCCUUCAUGAUGAUUUGGGCAAGUUCGCGCUAGAUGUGAUAGAACUCAGCUUGAAUUCGAUGAUCCUUGAUAUCUCCUACAUUAUUUGCCCAUUGCAGAAUAUGGGCAUCGCCGGAUCUAGGUGACAUGUGAAGGUUCUGGUGAUCUCGUCUGUACUCCAACAUGUGGUGUAGGACAUAGAAUCCAUCAUUAAGAGAAUUGUUUGGUUGCUGGAUGCAGCAGAAGUCGGUCUUAUGGCCGAAGGCGACCCUGCCGCCCCUUCUCUUCUUGUCCCUGACCUCUCCACCCCUUGCUUGGUAGUAAAACAUAGCACUGUCUAGAACAUCCUUGAUGUGGGUGUAAUCCUUUUUGUGAAUGUUCUUUGACGAGUCCAAGUAAAGAGCGUGGGAGAAUCGGGGGUAUAGGAUUAUGAGGACAGCGCGUCCACCGCUGCGCAAAAUAAGUACACCUCAAAUUACUUAGCCUCAAUCGUGCAAAUGAAUGAUUGAAAUCGAAGGAAGGAUAGCAGCGCGGAUGACUUACACGGGUUGAUAAGGCACGAGAAUCGCCCCCUUGUCCUUAUUGGCGAGCAUGAAAUUGACGAUGUAUUCCCUCGCGUAUACACGGUGCUUUGCGCAGACUCCCAAGAAGCCCUCGUGCAUGUAGUAUGGGUCAGCGACACAGAUAUGAGAUAUCUGCUCAAACCCGAUGAUGUAGUUCAUGUGCAAGGCAUAAAGGCGGACAAACAUAAAAUCCAGCUUCUUCACGUGAAACAUGUCGAAUAUGUAAUCAAAUCAGAGGAAGAACUUAUCCGCGGGGAAGCUGUCGACGUACGACAUUUGCCGCGGAACGUUAACCACGUAGAGUGGGUAUCCUGGAUCUGUCGAGGCGAUGAGGCCUUUCUCUACCCGCAGCACAUCGUCAUGAAGUCUCCUUAGAUCGCCGAAUCUGGCCUGUAGAGACGUUGCAGGUAGGAUUGGUUGACCGGGGAUAUGCCAUUUAUCCGCGUAGGGGAUAUCUAUACGGUCCUGUAGCCGAGGCUGCUGAGGCGGCUGGAUCAUAGAAUCAGCUUUUUUGCCUUUCCUCGCUCUCUUCCUAGAAUUCUUUACUACCGGAAGGUCGUCCAUAAUACGUUGAGACGACAAUUCUGGCACCGACUCAUGACACUCAAACCCUGAGGAGGCGCCAGUAUAGACAUACUGUUCAGCGCCACCGUCGUCCUCAUCCUCAUCCAUGAUGACGUCAUCAGCGACUAAUGGAGCCUCCUCCUUACCCCGUCCGCUAUCACCCAACCCAACACCCGGCGCUAAUUGGGUAGGUGGGGUGUUGAUGUUCAUACCUUGCUGAGGCUGUGUGCUCGUGGGUGUGCUCCCGACCGCCUCAAGACGAAGCAGACUCUUUGGCCACAACAGGACCCACCCAUUGCAACAAUCACCAAGCCGCCGCGGUGUCUCCUCGUCAUCCACCAGUAGUAUUGGAGGAGGCAAAUUCUCGUGGCCCGGUUCGACACUAGCCAUGGAAACCUUGAAGACGUUCGGGGGGAUCGGCCGGCUGUGGAACAAUGGUUCCUUCGGCUCCAUUAUCGUCGCCUUCCCCACGUCCACCUUCUGGUCGCCGAUGGUGUACAAUAUGGUGCACGGGGUUUCGUCGGCCUGCAAAGAAAAGUCUGCGACGUGAGACAUCCGAAAGGCAAUGAAAACGGGAGAUUAUACAUUUAUAUUGAAGGCGGCCGGUGUGACAGAUACCGUGAGGGCGUCGAGCUCAGCCAAACACGAAGCACCACCUGUUGUUGCCGUAGCUCCAUCUCUGCCGGCGACACACGCCUGGCAUCCCUCCGCGCCCCGCACGUCCCGCGCGCACCAGACGCGCCCGACCGCACUAGUGUGUCCCGCACGUCCCGCGCGCCCGACCUGGCGCACUCCACUGGCUACAUGGUUUGGCAACCCCAUGCUUUACAUCAGCGAUCAGGAGGGGAUUUAUACCCGAGCUGGCUGCACACGACGCAGCCCACCCGCCCCAUUACAUGGGCACGAUCUGCAUGCCCGCCCGCUUCAUGCUAACGACGUGGUCAACUCGCGCAUGCACGGCCAGCUUCAACAGAUUGCCAUGACUAUCUCCGCUACUCACUAACUACUAACAGCAACGCACGCCACUCACGCACGCGCUCGGGCACGCACACACGCAUGGCCAUGGACCCGCCGCGCCCUAGCUCGCGCCCGACGUGGCCUGCGAUGGCUUAUGUCCAACACUCACCCCCCUAAGCCACGAACUCAGAGGAGACCGACGUCCUCGACGCCACCGUCCGCCCGCAGCGCGUGCUCCACCGCGCCGUCGACAUCGUCGUCGUUGUAGUCGCCACCGCCCUGACGUCGCUGCCACGCCUGCCACCGUGCGGCCGUGCCCUUCGCCGCGCACACCCCACGUCCUCGCGCUCCCGGCCCGCGCUCCCACCGCGCACGUACGCAAUCUGCGCACCAGGUCCAGCGCCUCGACGUGGUCCGCACCCGCGGUCCCGACGUGCCAGCCAUGUCUGGCGCGCGCCCAUACACGCGCUCGACGUGGUGAGCCCGUUGCCGCGGCUUGUUCUGCCACGCUCCGCACGCCACCAGCCCGCGCCAUGAUCGCGCUCCGACGCGACCAACGCAGCCGAUCCGGCGUGUCCCGGAGCUUGGCCUUCCCUCCACCGAGCCGCGCCGCGCCACCGCACAGGUCCGCCGCAACCGCCGCGUUCUCCGCACGCCCGGCAUCACCGUGCUCCUCCGCCGCACGGGACGAGCGCCAUCGCCGGCGAACUCCUCCGAACCCGAUCCUCUGGUACCAAUUGUUGUUGCCGUAGCUCCAUCUCUGCCGGCGACACACGCCUGGCGUCCCUCCGCGCCCCGCAUGUCCCGCGCGCACCCGACGCGCCCGACCGCACUAGUGUGUCCCGCACGUCCCGCGCGCCCGACCUGGCGCACUCCACUGGCUACAUGGUUUGGCAACCCCGUGCUUUACAUCAGCGAUCAGGAGGGGAUUUAUACCCGAGCUGGCUGCACACGACGCACCCCACCCGCCCCAUUACAUGGGCAUGAUCUGCAUGCCCGCCCGCUUCGUGCUAACGACGCGAUCAACUCGCGCAUGCACGGCCAGCUUCAACAGAUUGCCAUGACUAUCUCCGCUACUCGCUAACUACUAACAGCAACGCACGCCACUCACGCACGUGCUCGGGCACGCACACACGCACGGCCAUGGACCCGGCGCGCCCUACCUCGCGCCCGACGCGGCCUGCACGUCCGGUGCGGGAGCCGGUGCCCAACACCGCCGAGCACGUCCGGUGCGGGAGCCGGUGCGGGAGCAGGUGCGGGAGCAGGUGCGGGAGCCGGUGCAGGAGCAGGUGCUCCCAAGAAGUCAGCAAGGGGAAAGUCCUCUGCAUUUUUUCUGGAUUUUGCCUUGUCCAAGUGAAAACGCCCGUCAACAAGGAAGUAGACAAAUCUGCAACCACCUGUUUUGCAGCAGCUAACGCUGUUGCGACUGUCUGAGAUGAUUUCUUCUCAACCGCAAUCUCAACCUUCUUGUCGAUGUUUUCUUCAGUGAACCUCCGUCUUUCCUUUCUCUCCUCUGUGGUCUCACGGUAGUACUUCUUCCACGUGGCGCCGUCUCCGAUACCGUGCACGCGUCCAUACGACGGUCGAGUAUCCACCGGUUUUCGUUUCAAUAUGUUCAACGCCCGGUUGAAUGGAGUGUCCCACUUGGGCCUCGCCAAUGCCUCAGACGGCGAGUCGCUUUCAGCCGCAAUCCGGUUCUGCUCUCUCUGCAAAAGGCACAAGGAUCAUUUACAAAUAUGACUAACGUGUGUAGUCGAAUUGAUCAGAAACUAAAAUUACCAGCAGUCUCAUGAACUCUGUAAUGACCGGUGUUGUCUCGUAAACCUUCUUCACUGGGUCCCAACGGUGCCCGGCCCUCAGGACGUCACACUCCUGCAGGACGGUGAAAUCCGCCAAGGGGUCUGGGAUGCCCAGACUCGUGGCUUCUGCGUCCAUUUGGACCUCUUUCUGCCGUAACCACGGCUUCCGAGGUGGUGGCUCCCAAUGUUCCUCUCUUGAAGCCCCUUCAUGUACUUAGACUUUUUUUUGGCAGCUUCGGCCUCGCAAGCCUCCUUGAAUAUUUGAAACUGGUCUUCCGUGAUUGUCGGAUUAUCCUUUAUAAUCUCGGAGUAGGGUUCCUUCUUGUCGAUGAUCCUUUCUUUCACUCGAGUUUUCCAGGCGGCCAACGCGUCGCUAAACUUGGUCAUGGCGUGUUUGUUUAUCUUCUUCAUUGUCGGGUCCUCAUCUGGAUCUUCAUAAUCCUUCUCAUUCCGGCCUGGGAACAAGAAUAUCUGGUGAAACUUCUUUAGGAGGGAGCUCCUCAUAUUUUCUAUCUUCUGUAGUUUCUCAUCGUUGAUGGUGGCGGUUGUUCGUACGAUGCAGCCUAUUUGAUUGUCGUAGCAUCGAGGCGCUUCCUCGAGCGCCUUUGGCUCAAAAAUGCCGUCGUCCACCUCCGUGACCACCAGUCUAGUAGUCCUGAGUUUGUUAGGAAGUCGUUGCCUCUUUGCUUUCGGUUCUACACCGGCUCCGCUCCCCGAGGCAGCACCGGUCUCAGUCUCAGCGCCGGUCUCGAUGCCGGUCUGAGUCUCAGCGCCGGUCUCAGUCUCAGCACCGGUCUGCGUGUCGGCCUCAGUCCCCGAUGCCACCAGUGGGCCCAGCAACAACAUCGGUUGAUCGUCGGUAAGGCUAAAAAAUUCGUCUGCCACCCGGUAGACGUCGACGCAAUCACCAGAACCAUGUCCUUCAUCGUUGCUAGCCAUGUUUCCUAUGAUUAAAUCUAGUCAAUUAAUUCUAGACCUAAUAAAAUGAAUAAUGACAUAAAAAAGUCCUAAUGUUUUGCAGGAAUGUUGACUCCUUCCUGGUGCAGCAAAUCCCGGGCACUCGAUAUGUCCUAGUUUGUAGCACAAGUCAUGCCGAAAUUCACGGAAAAUUUCGGCAUGACCUUUGCUAAAAAGUGGACAAAUCGAGAACCUAAAAUCUGCCGGAACAGAAAUGAAUCAACAUUCCGGCAAAACAUAGGCCACUCAGCAUCAUUCCCUGGAAACAGUGUUCAAAUAUCCCUCUUCGACACCGCAACACAUGUCCAAAUAUACAUGAGCAACCACAUGUCCAAAUUUCACAAGCUAAUUCAAAAACAAAGUGUAGAAGAAAAUUCAUUUAACUACUAAUAGAACAAAAUUCAGUUAACUUUAGUGCUCUAUAAUGAUGGAAGGAAAAAAAUUCAGUUAACUACUAAAUUCAUUCAUUUAGGUUAUUCAUUUAACAUCACCUAAUUAACCUACUAUACCACUACUACUAGCAGCACUACUAACCUAAUUAACCUAGCAAAACUCUAGUGCCCUAACUGAAAAACAUCUAAUUAACAUCUACUAGUACCACUAUUGCCCUAACCUAAUUAACAUCUACUAGUAUCACUAUAUACUAUACCAGCAGCAUCUACCCUAAUUAAACCCGGCCUACUGCCCUAACUAACUUUUGUUGUAAACCAAAUUUUUUGCUCUAAACUAAUUUUUGCUCUAACAUCUACUACUUAACAUCCUUUGCUCUAAACUAAAUUUUUUGCUAUAAACAAACUUUUGCUCUACUAAUUUUUUCUCUAAAAUGCAGAGAGAGAGGAGUCGGGGGGGGACUUACAGAGAGUGGAGAGACGGUGGCGGGGAGGUGCUCGGUGACGGAGGCAGGGCGGAGAGGGCGGGCUCGGGCAUGGGCAAUGGCGGUCCUUGGCGGGCUCGGGCGGCGGUGAGGUGGAGGGCACCAACGGUGAUGUUGAGGGCGGCCUCGGGCGGCGGCGGUGAGGCUGAGGGCGGCCUCGGGCGGCGGCGGUGAGGAUGAAGGCGGCCUCGGGGGGAGACGGUGAGGUUGCGGGGCGUCCACACCGGCAGGAGACGGCGGCGAAGUGGGGCGACGGCGAAUUGGGGAGACGGCGGCGAGGGCGAGGGAUUUGGGGAAGAAGUGUGGUGGCCGGGGGACAAGGGGGAAACCACUGUUUAAGUGAAACGUAAUGGUAGCGCGUUUCCGAAAUGCGCUAUAGCUAAGUUAGCUACAGCGCGUUUCCUGAAACCCGCUACUGCUAUUCCUUUCUCCUUUUUUCCCUUUUUUCUUUUAUUUUUCUUUACAUUUUAUUUUUUUCCUUUCUCUAUUUUCUAUUUCUUUCAUUUUCAUUUACUUUUCUACUUGUUUUUCACUUUAUUUUAUUUCCGUUAGCAGCAGCGCCUUACACGUAAGCGCGCUACAACUAAGGAGAGUAGCAGUAGCGCUGGGCCAGUAUACGCGCUGCUGCUAGGUUGGGAUAGCCAUGUGCGCCCGGUUCAAACAUAGCAGCAGCGCAUUUCGCUUGUACGCGCUACUGCUAAAGUCAUAGCAGUAGCGCGGUUUAUUUACGCACGCUGCUACUAAGUAGCAGUAGUGUUUGAUUUUGUACAGCGCUACUGGUAACAUUCUUUGUAUAAGGUUUUCCCUAGUAGUGCGAUCCAGGAGCCCGUUUAAAGUCGAUAAAUCUGUUGGAUCCAUCUGCUCGGCGUAUUCCGAGCUGACGCUGAGGUGAUUUUCGAUGACUUGAGAAGUCAGGAUUGGCCCGACAGCCGAACGGACGGUCAAGAUGAAGCCGCCCAGCCAGAGAGUUUGGCCUGAGGCCAGAGCUCCCCCAGAGGUGAUGUUUUCCUUGAUAACAAGGCGAGCCAUCGACCCUAUCUUCGACGUCACAGUGGAACUCUCAAUGAAAGCACCAAUGUCGGUGUCAAAACCGGCGGAUCUCGGGUAGGGGGUCCCGAACUAUGCGUCUAAGGCUAAUGGUAACAAGAGGCGGGGGGCACAAUGUUUACCCAGGUUCGGACCCUCUCGAUGGAGUUAAUACCCUACUUCCUGCUUGAAUUAUCUUCAUGAUAUGAGUAUUACAAGAGUUGAUCUACCACGUGAUCGUAGAGGCUAAACCCUAGAAGCUAGCCUAUGGUUAUGAUUGUUGUUGUCCUAUGGACUAAACCCUCCGGUUUAUAUAGACACCGGAGGGGGCUAGGGUUACACAGAGUCGGUUACAGAGAAAGGAAUCUUCACAUCCGAAUCACCAAGUUUGCCUUCCACGCAAAAGAGAGUCCCAUCCAGACACGGGACGAGGUCUUCUAUAUUGUAUCUUCAUAGCCCAACAGUCCGUCACACGCAUAUAGUCCGGCUGUCCGAGGACCCCUUAAUCUAGGACUCCCUCAAGAGGGAAGAAGGGCCACGAGGUGGCGCGCGGCUCCUCCCUGCCCAAACCGAAUUGGACAAGGGAUGGGCCCCCCCCCCACCCUUUCCUUCUCCCUCUCCCUCCUUUCCUUCUUUCCCACUUAGAAAGGGAAAGGGAAUAUCCUACUAGGACUUGGGAGUCCUAGUAGGACUCCCUACACUUGGCGCACCCCUAGGAGGGCCAGCCUCUCUCUCUCCCUCGCUACAAAAAAAAGACACAUCCGUGACAUUUUGGGCCGAACAAAUUUUUUUUCUGUCAUACAUAUGACACUUCUAUGACGAUAAUUGUGACAAAACCCGGUAUCAUCAUAGAUGUGGUGGGCUCCUACUUCUAUGACAAAAAAUCAUGACAGAAAAUGGGCUUUUCGUCCUGGGCGGGCCGGAGACGCAGUUGCAUGACAUUCUUUGGGCCGUCCAUGACGGAAAAAACCGUGGUAGAAGCGAGGGCGAGGAAAAUUUUAUGGAGUUGCCGUUUACGGUGGGAGGUCGGGGGUCGAGCGAUGCGCGUUUCUCUCGUACACGAACGUGCGUGUGUGCGAGGCAUUGUCUCUAACUGAACCCGAGCGAGGCGUUGGGCUCUAACUGAACCCGAGGGAUUGCACUGUAGGCUACGCGUUACUGAACCCGAGCGAUGGAUCGAUGGCUGUUAACUGAACCCGAUGGAGCGAUUCCUUCGCUACUGCUGCUAACUGAAGCCGGUCGAUUGGAUGAACAGUGAGUGUUGCGGGGGGGUGGAUGAACAGUGAGCGGUGGCGUUGCCUCUGGAUGAAGAGGACACCGUGGUGUGGAGGGCUGGAUGAACAGUAGACGAUGGAGGGGUGGACGUGGAGGGGUGGUUGAACAGGACCCCGUGGUGUGGAGGGCUGGAUGAACAGUAGACGGUGGAGGGCUGGAUGAACAGUAGACGGUGGAGGGGUGGUUGAACAGUAGCCGGUGGAGUAGCGCGCGGUGGAGGCUGGAUGAACAGGAGCCCGUGGAGGCUGGAGGAGGUCGACGGUGCCCCGUGGAGGCUGGAGGAGGUCGACGGUGGAGAUGAACAGUAUCCCGUGGAGUCCCAUUUUGCGGUACGUCACACCCCUCCCGAUGAAGAGGACCCCCGUUUCGGCCGUAGCGCUCCAACACAAGUCUGUUUCGUCCGUUUUGCGGUACGCCACACCCCUCCCGAUGAAUAGGACCCCCGUUUCAACCGUAGCGCUCCAACACAAGUCUGUUUCGUUUGUUUUGCAGUACGUUGCACCCCUCCCGAUCAACAGGACCCCCGUUUCGACUGUAGGAGGUCUGUUUCCUCCGUUUUGCGGUACGCCACACCCCUCCCGAUCAACAGGACUCCGUUCCGAACGCAGGAGGUCCGUUUCCUCCGUUGUGCGGUACGCCAGGCCUCGUUUCCAUCGCCUGUUCCAUCCAAGGCGGUUGGCUCUCACGCGUUCCGUUGCCUCCCGAUGAACACGACGCAUUCCAUUGCCUCCCCAUGAACACGACGCAUUCUGUUGCCUCCCUAUGAACACGACGACGACUCUGUUUCUCCAUUCCGAUCGAGCCAUGUACGUAUGCGCGAGUAGGCAUUCGAGACCCUGCCCGUAUGUACGUACUUGGGCGUAUUUUCUUUCUUGCACCCUCGCCGUUGUACGUAUGUGUACAUGCUACGUGCGCGCCUCUACUACGACACGUGCGCCCCUCUACUAUGACACGUGUGCACCUCUACAUCGACCAGUAUGUACGUACACGUUCGCGACCAGAAUGACAACGCUACGUACGCUUGGAACAGGUGGGUCCGGACUGUCAGGCACUUCCUUGCCUACGAAGAUGUAGCUGGUGGGUCCCAGCAGUCAGGGGGGCGAAUUGUUUUGUUUUUUUUUUUGCUCGGACACACUUCCGUGCGUGCGAAGAUGUAGCUGGUGGGUCCCAGCAGUCAGGGGGCGAAUCGUUUUUUUGCCCGGACGCACUUCCUUGCGUGCGAAGAUGUAGCUGGUGGGUCCCAGCAGUCAGGGGAAACGUUUUUUUGCGAAAUACGGUGGGUCGUCCGGUGGGUCCCUACUGUCAAGUGGAGGAAUAAUUAUUUUGCACGUAAUAAGGAGGCACUUCCUUGCGGCCGCCGUGGACCCAGCUGUCAGCCUCUACACGCACAGUACUCUUCCGAUGGAAGUCGGUCAUUGACCACAUUGACCACGCCGCGCCGAGAGCACCACGGCGGUGGACGACGGCGAGGCCUAGGAAGGGGACGACGUGGAGCCGGGGAAGACGCAGCAGUGGAUGCCCACGCGAAGAGGAGUACGAGGGUGAGGUUGCCGUCGCUGCAGAAUAAUAGGGGGUGUGGGUGAGUAGAGGGAUGGCCUGGCCAGCGGUGGGAGUAGUAGGGGGCGGUGAGGCCUCCACGGCAUCAUAGCCGGCCACGGGAGGCAGGAGCACGCGGCUCGACCGGCACUGCUUUGGGCGGCUGGAGCACGAAGCCAGAGGUUGAAGAAGCACUACGGCCGUUGGAUGGACAUCGUACGGUCACUGGAGCUAGAGUCGUUCAUAUUGACUAAGUUGACAAAGCCCUCCGUCCCCGUAAACUUAGUAGGCCCACAAGUCAGCCUCCCACCAAGGUGAGUUCCAGCUAGCAGGGGGAGUAUUCAUUUUUUUUGUGCGUAAUAAGGAGGCAUUUCCGGUGGGUCCGAGCUGACAGCGGGGGGAACGUUUUUUUCGCGAAAUACAGAGACCCUUCCGGUGGGUCCCAGCUAUCAGGUGGAGGAAUCAUUAUUUUGUGUGUAAUAAGGAGGCCUUUUCCUGUGUGGGCCCCUACUGUCAGCCUCUUCCGAUGGCUGUUGUUUGUUGACCAUGUUGACCUCGCCGCGCCGAGAGCACAAACGCGGUGGACGAGGGCGGGGCCCAGGAAGAGAAUCACCAGGAGCCGGCAAAGCCACGGCAGUGGAUGCUCAUGCUGAGGGGAGAACGAGCGCUGACUGGUCGGCUGCGGGGUGAGGGUGACGUCGCCGGAAAAUAAUAGGAUGUGUGGGUGGUUAGAGGGAUGGCCUAGCGGUAGCACAGCCAGCCAUGGGAGGAGGUAGCAGGCAGUCCCGCCGGCGCUGGUUUGGGCGGCUGGAGCAGGAAGAUAAGAGAUUGAAGAAGCACGGCGGCAGUUGGAUGGACAUCCAACAGUCACUGCUGUGUGUUGACUAAGUUGACAAAGCCUUGCGUACUCGUCAAAAAAAAUUUAGGACAGCGUCAUCAUCAACCUAGUAGGCCCAGAAGUCAGCGUCCAAAUCUGUGGAAAACAGCAUACAGCCCAUUAGCCAUUAUUUUCAAUAAUUUACAGCCCAUUUGCUAAUUCUGAAGGAUAUUUGAAGCACAUAUUCUUCUUAUUAGCAUUACAGACCAUAUAUUCUGGGCACUACUAAAAAAUUCAAUGAAAUUUUGCAUAUUUCGGUGGGGUCCGAACUCUUUUAAUCACGAGAUUUCGAGUCACUUUAAAAAUAGUUUUCAAAAAAUUAUAUCAAAAUAAAAUUCAAAAAACAAUUCUCCACAAAAAAAUGAAUGAAAUUUAGAAUCUUAACUAGCAAGAUGCCCGUUCGUUGCACGGAACAUGAAGAUGCAUUUGUAUGAGUAGUUUAUCUUGUGGGUGAAAAGAUGAUAUUUUAAUGUAAUUGGCAGUUGGCUUCGGUUUUUAUAAGACUAGAGAGUAGAGAAAUCCUUAAAAUAUGAUAUUUUAAUGCAAUUGCCGGUUGGCUUUGGUUUAAAAAUUUACACCCCAUUUCUUGCAACUUAUAGCCUGUUUUCUGGGGAAGCCCAUUUCUUAUCCCUCCUCGUCUUGAAAGAUUUGCAGCCCAGCAGGGCUGAGAAAAGCAAGUAGGCCUCGGUUUUCGUAUUCUCCAAAAAAAAGAACUGGGCUAGCCAAUUUCAGAAAGAAAAAAAUAUCAACUGGGCUCGUCAUGUGCUUAAUAAAAGCGUAAGCGUGGGCUAGACGAGCCACAGCCCCCGCACAGCGCGCAGUUGAGCUUCGUCUCUGAAACUGAAAAACAACUGGGCGAGCUGUUGGGUCCCUGGUGUUAUCCGCUCGUUGUGUAAUUUUCUCGUUUAUUGACUACAUUGACAAUGGCGUGGAACCUAGUUGUCAAACAAUUAGGAGGAAGUAUUGUUUUGGCUUGUCAUAACGAGGCACCUGCUUGCGAAAUGCAAUGACCCUGGUGGGUCCCUACUGUCAGCCUCUCCACGUACAGUCAUCUCCUGAUUCCUCUUGGUUGUUGAUCAUGUUGACAACACCAGACGGCGGCGAGUACAGUGAGCUAACCAAGGCAGAGAAUGAUGGCAAGGCCUCGGACGGGAACGAACAGCAGCCAUGGAAGAUGCGGCAGUGUAGUGGCAGGUGGAGGGGAGUAUGAGGGCAACAACAUGCAAGUCAAGCAUACAAAUGGUACAAAAAGCCCAAGGAUUAAUUGUUCAUCAAAUUUUUAGACAAAACCCAGAUUGAACAUGACAGUAACAUCUAACCCAACCACUCUUUUUUGCAGUCACAAACAAAUGGAUCGGUCUGAUCCAUAAAAUCAACAUCCUAUGCAAAAAAAAUAUUUUAGGAUGUCUACAACUUGUUGUAAAUAGAAGCCGAGAACGUUUAGAAGCCCAUUUGUCCACCUGAAACUUCUUUUUUUGCUGUUCAACAUGUUUGUCCGUGAGAAAUCUCUUGCUGUAAAAAUUAAGCCUCAUGGACAAUAGCAACCUCGCAUUCAACAGGAAGAAUGUGACAAAGCUUCUGUUUGCCUGGUUGGAUGCAUAUCAUCCCAUCGUUAUUGUCCUCAAAAGAAUGUCAUGAGAACUGAGAAAAUCCUUGUGCUUAUUACGCCAACGAUUGGUUAUAUGUUUUUCUCCAUGUGGUUCUGCCUAAGUAGACAUGAAGAUUGAAAACAGUUAAGGUUUGAAAAAAGAGUAUGUCGAAAGAACGACAGAUGAACAGUUAAUUCUAGUACAAUAUAUAUGGACUUUCAAUGUGCAUGAAAUCAUCACCUCUAUGUAUAAAUUCUCCAGAGAUUGAAAGCAUCGCAGCAAGCCAAUAAUUAUGUCCAGAUCAAAACUAUACAUUCUGAUAUAUAUGAUCUUGACAGAAUCCAGCAGCAUUGAUAGGCUAUCAAUGGACGAACUCUUCAUUGAGCAUAUAACAUAAUAUUAGUACCCAAAGUGUACUCCAAGAUGAUAUAAAACUUAUGCGCACAAAUGAAAAAUGCAACAUAUGAUUACAAAUGUGUAGAUCAUAAUAUACGGUACCUGAAAAGGUGAGGAGCCAAACACCAACUCCUUGUGAUUAUUAAACGGGUCACGAAUUACACCCAAGAUCUCCAGUUUGGGCGCAGAGACGACAGUUAUUUCUGAAGGUGUAUAAAAAUUAUCAAGGAGCAACCUUUCAAGUGAAGGGGCAUCUUCGAUGAUGAGUUGUUGUCCUUCAAAACAAAUUCCAAUGAUUUUAAGGUGAGGCGACUUUAUUUGGAGACAACUGAUACCGAUUUCUAUUCCCAAAACAAGUAGCAAGCGCUCCAGGGCGGGGCAACUAGAGUGGAUGAUGCUGUGCAGUGAGGCCUCCGACAGAUAAACCACCACAAGCGAAAGUUUUUUUAGCAGUGGGAGUCGAAGCAUUUGUACCAGAUCGUCUGGAAGAUGGCACCGGGCGAAGGUGGCGGUGUGGAGAUAGGAAGAAAACUGCGAGAUGGACAAUGGUGGUGUGGGCACGAAUUCUUGGUAUGUUCGUGGUAUGAAACUUUCGUGGUAAUGGUAGAACUCAAACUGCUGGAGUUUUCCGAAUUCAGGAGAUGUCAGCCAAGCGUCCACCUUGUCGGGUAUGGACAGCAGGUAGCUUGUCGGGAUGCAGAGGCAUUGAACGGGGCCCUGCUGGUGAGAGGAGACGAUGGCUCUGAUGAGAUCAAAUUCAGGAAGGACAGAUAUCUGACGACAGUCAAGAUUGAGGGGCGCAGUGCGCCAUAGAGGGCGCCGCCAAGUUGAGAGGACUUGUGUGCGGCAGCAAUCCUUGGUGGGGAGAAGCGAGAUGAUCUCCUCAAGGAUGACGUCCGGGAGAUCGCUGAUGCGGUCCACCGGAGAUUCUACCGGUUCCUCGGAUCCGGGUGGGGGGCUCGCCGCUUCUCCCCGCGCUACUGGAUGCGGGAUCUACAACCGGCGUCACCGCUGGCGGGAGCCUCAUCUUCUUGGCGCUGGGGCCAGCCGACUCCAUUUUCCUUGUGGGCAUCGCGCCGAGCUCACGGGUUUGAGCAGAGUAGCCAGAGGCUAUCCUAGUGGCAGUGCGAGUGGGGAAGAAGGAGGGCUGGGGAUUUCUGUAUGAGUGGAAGAAGAGGAGCAGGCAUUUUCUGUACGAGUGAGGAAGAAGUUGAGCGGGGUUUUGUGGACGAGUGAGGAAGAUUGGGGAGCAGGGGAAAUUGGGUGGGAGACGGAAGCAGGAGAGCGAGCUAUUCAUGUUUAUAUGGCCCGCUGCACUAACUACUCGCUUUUUCCCAAGAACCGCUCUCUUCUUUUGCGUUGCUGCAUGACUGGCCAUGCAUGCAGGAUGCAUGUGCCCGCCGGCCACUACAUGUGCCUGGUUUGUUGCAAGGCCUAUUUAAUAGGGUGGUUAUGGAGUAAACUAAGGAGAUUUAUUUUCUCUGUGUGCAUCCACCAAAUUAGAGGAUGUGGUACUGGAUGCAGACACUCACAUUAAACUAACAUUCAGAAGAACAAAAGUUCAGCAUGUCUAUGCAUCUCAAUGAUUCACCAUACUAUAACCAAUAUACAAAACUGUGAGAAGGUGUGGAAAUAAAGAAAAUCGGUCGAUGCUUCUCUGAGAAAAUGGCCUCCCUGCGCAUGCAUUAAUUUCCUGGGCAUGCUUGUUUCUUCUCAAUGUUGCGAGCACUUUGAGCAUGUUGGCAACUCCACAGCUAGCUAGCUGCCUCAUCUUGCAAUUGAUGCUGACACAUUUGCAGCAAACACAUGAGACAAUAGAGAUGACUCAACAUGGGUCCAUAUUGUGCAGUUCCCCUGAUAUCAUAUUCAUUGUCCUGAAUCUGAAAAGAUAGGAAAACAGUAGCUAUACUUAAACGGUGUUGCAAAACAGUAGCACAUAUCAAUAGCUCGGCAUGACAAAACACGAUCAUCUGGACGAAGGGGAUACUGACCUGCCUGAGGAAGAUUACAUAUAAUUUCAUAAGUCCUUGGUUGAUUUCCACCUUCGGCUGCACUGCUUGUUUGCUCCUCCACACAUGACAGGAUCGUUCCGCACUGCAUUCAGCAUGUCAACGUACGAAUAAGCUAAUUUCAUCUUGUGGUGGUCAUUGUACCUAGUUGCGAAUGUAGGAAUACCUGGAGCACCAUGAGGUUAGCUGACAGCAGGUAGAUGCAGCCAUAUAAAUUUGCUGCAGUGCUACCAAAAUUGAGGUUUGUAUCCCUUCCCGUUAUGAGAAUUCUUCUUGUAGUUGGUAGAAUGUGACGGCUUGUUCUUUGCAUCAAACUUGCCUUUCCCCUGAGAUUUGUUCUUGUUGUUUUGGGGCUGGUUGGGCUGGAAGUUCUUCUCAUGUACCAUGUGGGCACUAGAAGCUCCCUCGGUGACCCGAGCACGUGUGUCUUUUGCUCUCGCCUUCUCCUCAAAAUCAAGAGUGCUAAUGAGAUCCAAAACAGAAAACUCAUGUCUCUUGUUUUUCAGAGAAGUAGCAAAAUCGUUCCACGAAGGUCGAAGCUUGGCAAUGAUGGUCCCAGCAACAAAUUUGUCCGGCAACACACAACUAAAGUACUCAAGUUCCUUAGAGAGUGACUGUAUCUCAUGAGUCUGCUGAACAACAGAGCGCUCAUCAGUCAUCUUGUAGUCACAGAAUUGCUCCAUGACGUACAACUCGUUGCCAGCGCCCGAGGGCCCAAACGUGGCCUCGAGCGCAGCCCACAUGUCUUUGCCGCUGUCAAACAACAUAUACGAAUCCACAAUGGAAUGGUCAAGAACACUCAGUAGGGAGGCUUUGAAGAGGGUAUCCAUGUUCUGAAAAGCUUCCUGUUGUGUAGGAUUAAGAUCGCCCUCAGGCUUACCCUUGGUGGCGUCAUAGCAGUACAUGAUCUGAAACCAAUAUACUGCUCUUGUGCGCCACCUUUUAUAUUGCACCCCCUUAAAAGUAGGCAGCUUCAAAAGUGCAGCAAAACCACUCGGAGUAAAUUGCCUGUGAUCAGGUUUUUGGAUUGGAUUGUUGAAUAUAUGAGCAAUUUAGUAUGAGAUUUAAUCCGAAUCAGCAGUACAUAGAUCAUGACGACAAUUGCAAACAUCAAAGUAAUGAUGCGGACUAAACUAGGAGGACAGAAUCACAUACUGUACAGUGGGAGCAGAACCCAUGUGGUUGAUGUUGUCACUCAUGUUGUUGAUGAAGAGGUUACCGAGGUCGGGGAAGAAGGCUGUCGUUGAGGAAGUCGUCGCUGGCAGUAGUCACAGGAGUGUGCUCCCCAAAAACCUGAUCGCCCCUCUCCCGUACAGGAUCAUGAAAGGCGGGGUUCGGAGGACUACUGUCCCUUCUCGCGGUGCAUGCCGGAAGGAGGGUUGGAGAAGAAUUGCGUGGCGGCGCUAAGAUCUGGAACGGUGUGAAACCAUAUGAUAAAGAGGCGGCUAGGGUAGAGCAUGUCAGGUCGGAGUAUAAUAGUAGGCCUUUGGCCCCCAAACCCCACGUCCUAGUCAAUAAUAGCUCAAAAAAGUCAAUAAUAGCCCCACCAAGGUUUGUCUCAAAAAACGAAGUAAUUAAGGCAUCCGUUAGUUCCUUUAGUAUAAAUGCAAUAUCAUUAAUAAUGGCUCCACCUUUUGUCUCACAAAGUAGAGUAUGUUGGAGUACAACCGGCUACACGUUUACAAUCCACUUCUCUUCUCUCUCCUUCAACUAAUCACAAAUACUAUAUUUAAAUCCUUAUAGCCUGCUUAUGUCAUCUAAUUAUAGUACUUGCUCUAAAAGUUACUAUCCACUGUGUAGUCUGAAAUGCCGGGCGUGCAGCGGGCGGUGCCCUCGGUCGGCGCGCCGCUUCAACGGCGGAAGUAGUGAGAGGUCGCGUCGCCCUGACUUGCCAUCAAUGUGGAGCGGCGGGCUCAGCUGGCACCGGGCAGGAAGCGUGCGCGAGAGGGGGGAGGGGUUUUUGUUGGGCCAAGAAGGUGAGAAUCAAACUUGGGAUCGGUCUGGACGGCGAAAUAUCAUGUGCUCCCAUACUCUGCAUAUGACGCUAGUCUAUGUUACUACUCCCUCCUUUCCGGUUUAUAGAGAUGUUUAGAGUAACAUAGUAAUAUGUUACAGUACAAAUUACUCCCCACUAUGACCAGCCUUGGCCUCUCCCAGUGCUCCACCAUGUAUAGAUGCUAAGCCUGCCACGUAGGCAUAAAAUAUGAUGUGGCACCAAUAAACUAAGCACCUAUGCAUUGAACACUUGAGUUACUAAGCCAUUUAAUGCACUUAGCACCUCAUCUAAAGAGCAUUAAUAGUAUAGCCAGCUGCUGGCUAUAAGCCUAUAGCCCAUCUUAUAGUCAACAUGUACAAAGUGCCUAGGAGCAUGUGCUAGAGCUGGCUCUUCACGAAGAGCCCGCUUACCUUCUCUCUCCUCUUCUCUUUCCUCCAACUAAGGCUGGUCGUAAUGGUAGUAUCAUGCAUGCCAACUAGGCAAUUUUGACGAGGUGUCAUAGCAUUAAAUGAAGAAAGAAAGAGUGGAGUGUCAUAUCAUGAUACCGUAUCAUAAUAAAUGCUAUGCUACUUUGUGUCAUGCAUGACAAUAAAUAAAGUACUAUAUGAUACUACUAUAUGAUACUAUGCAUUACGGAGCUAGUAUCAUACACUAGUAUCAUAUGCAUGAUACUAGUAUAUGAUACUCCCCAUUACAACCAGCCUAAGCAGAAAUAUACUACUGUUUAUUCCUUAUAGCCCACUGACUCAGCUCUAUUGUACAUGCUCUAAGCACAUCUAAGCACUUGCUAGCACCCCCUUGACCGUGGACCUUGACGGUGUACGUCACCUUAUGUCUCAUAAUUUUCCUCGUCAUCAUCUGAGUCCUAGAAGAUCUCACCCACAUCAUCAUUAUCAUACAGCCGCCUUGAUAGACAACGUGCGCAGAAGGAGUAGAGGCGACUGGGGACGCACCACCACCACGUCGUGGGCCCUCCGUAUGUGCUAGUGUGCGUGCAGCGUGCGUGUUUUUCCAUCGGUGCUAGCUCUAAGGCCGAGGAUGCGGUCGUCUUCGUCUCCGACUAGUAGUUGAGCAACGACGGCAAAGAGGUGCUGCAAGAGAUGCGUAUGCGCUGUUGUGUGCGAGCUUCACUGUAGCACGACAAACCAGACGUCGCCGUGGAUGGCGCAUGCCUCCAUGCAGCCGAGUGUGUGCGCAUGCAUGUGUUAUUCACGUGCAUUUUGCGGCCGAGCGUGUGUGCAUGCACGUCUUGUGUACGUGCGUUGUGUGCUCCAUGUUGUGCACGUAUGUGCAUGAGUUGGAUCAGAUGGAGUUAGUGCAUUGGCUUGUGUACAUAUUUUAGAGUGUAGAUUCACUCAUUUUGUUUCGUAUGUAGUCCCCUUAUUGAAAUAUAUAAAAAGACUUAUAUUUGGGAACGGAGGGAGUAUAAAACAUCUUCAACUUAGCAUCCUGAUGUACCGUUUCUAGUGGUUAGCGAAAAGUUCAUGUUCUUUUAGUUGUUUAUAGGUGGGCAGGCGGCAAAAAACAGGGGAAAACGUGCAAGGUUCCUUGCAGACGCUCCACCGCGAGGUUCCUUGCUCCUCCUCGGUCGUCGGGAAUCUAUGCUCUUCAACUCUUUUCUUUUACGUGAGCUUUGUUCAUCCUUUUCCCAACACGCGAGACAUCUAGCAUCAAGGUGCACGUGUCAUGCAAGAAAAUGGAGAUAAUCAGAUAAGCAGUGCGUAAGUGAGUCGUGCGGGGAGGAAAGCGGGGGGGGAACCCUUUUCUGUAAGUGAGUCGUGCACUUCGAUGGCACCUACGCAAUAUUUUUCUCCUCGAUGGCACGUGAAUGGCACGUGAAUAGUGCACGUACUCAAUGACGGAGCACGGGAUGGUAGCAAUGACAUGGUCAGCCCUUUUUUUGGAGAGAGUACGUACUACUAGUAAAUAACUUUGAUGUGUCCCGUCAACUCGCAGCACGAGGAGAAACUUUUGCUUACAAGCGGUGGACGUGCAACAGUUCAUUUGGUGUCAGAUUGCCAGAAACACUACUGUAGAACCAUCGACUUCCGGAAGAGGCGAAGAGCCAAGCGCAAGGUCACCUACUAACCUUAGGAUAGGCGUAGUGGGAGUAACAUAAGUAGAGGUACCUCCUUUUUUUAUUCUAGAAACAACCACACGCGAAUAUCAAGGUGAUGGUUACGUAGAACAAAUUUCCUGCAGUCCGUGCUCAGCCCUCCUCUAUCUCUUUUCUCAGCCAGCCAGCGGACGCACGGAGCCCAUCGUCUGUUUGCUCACAUGCGGCCCCACAUGUCAGUGAAAACGCAAGAGGACCCACUGAACCUGCACAUCUUUCACCUCGACGUGCUGGUGAUGAAAAACAAAUCCAAGAAAGAUCUUCGGUGGCCGCUUUUGGAGUUACUCAAGAGUAGUAAGAUUCUAUUUACAGUUUAACCCAAGAUGCACAUCUCGUGGCUUCAACUACCACUCUAUUUUCUUUCAUGACACGACCUGGAUGCUGCAUGUCCCACGUGUCAGCAAAAGGAGGAAGAACCCGACCAAAUCUUCGGUUGUGCUCUCGGAUUAGACUAGUUGUGCUAACUUAAAAAAAUUAUUGUGUACUCCCUCCGUUCCAAAAUACUUGACUUCCAUUUGUCCAAAAAUGUAUGUACCUAUAUACUAAAACAUGUCUAGAUACAUAUAUAUUUUGACAAAUAGAAGGCAUGUAUUGUGCAACGAAGGGAGUAGAAUGGAUGCAAGUUUUUGUAUUGGGAAGAAGAGUACAUCCAUAUAUUGAUAGAGCGCAAUUUAGUAGAUGUUCUAUCACUUUUAGCUAGCACAGAGGCUAUAGAUGAGAUUAGUGCACUUGUUGAUACUCCUACUUGGUAUGUGUGUUGCUGCUUAGAGGCAGAGAAAAACGGACCGGAGGGAGUACUAGAAUAGAGGCUAGACAUGAGACUAGAUGUGAGGAAGCAACGUCUACUUCUUUACACUCAAAGAAGAAAGAAGCACGCAAGAUCGAGCCUCCGCAGAUCAACAAUGAAUGCAUCGAGAAGGCACUAAUCCAACUUACAAGAGUAGUAAAAUGUAUUCUUGUGGUUCUUGUUUUCUUUGGUCUUGCUUUUUCUACUCAAAAUUAUCGUUGGAGUUCGUGCAAAACGGAGGUCCGUUUGGGGUCGUGCGUUGUAGUUGGCCUUACAAGUGAGACCGCAGUUAAGGAAACCGACUAUCGGCAAACCCCCAUCUCGCCCGCCACGCGAUGGCUGAGUUAGAGAAACGAUGAGGUUGAAGAGAUUGCUCUAGCACGGACUCCAAGAAAUAUGGUGUAAGAUGGAAGUCGUGCUGGUGGCGUGUGCCGUACUCCUAGACGUGAAUGCUUGUUCUUGCACAUGCCACCCUACUACUCCUACUACUUACUAUAUAGUACUACUAGUAUCGAGGAUUCGAGGUGUUGGUUACGUAGUACAAUAUGGUUAUAAUAAAAACACCCGCACAACGCGCGAAGCAUGUGAAGCUAGUACAAAUAGUGUACUAGUAUUGUUGAUUGGCCUCAUCCGAUAACCUGUUGCAAUGCAUGUACAAUUAUGUAUUCAAAAAAUAUAUUUUUGCCUCGUCGCACCACUCACUCACAGAAGCGACUCGAAAGCCAUUCAUAAAUUUAGUAAGUUUAUCACAGGCAUAUCAUUUUAUUACAUACAACAGGUCAUCAAACCACAUCGACAACGAGGAUACAUUAUAAAUACUAAAGUUUUCACCACACAACAAAUAACAAGCAAUGAAAUGAACUUCAACUCAACCAUUCCUCGGCGUUGGAAAUGCUUGCUUUGAACCACAAGUGAUUCUCUGGGACGGGCCAUCCAUUCUCGAUCUGGAGACCAACGCAGGACUGAUCAUCCAGGCUGAAGUGGCCUACUAUAUCAGUACCAAGGUAGGAACCACCCAAAUGUCCGAGGUAUAGACACAGUUGCUUCUCAUAAAUGGUAGUAACAUUGUGUCAACAGCAGUUGGAUCGCCUUUCACCAUCAUUGGAUAGUUUUGUCCAAGGAGGAGCGAGUUUUCUCCAAGACUAUUAAUUCUGUACCAGGGUGAAGGAGUCGGCGCUAGCACACUAGUAUCCAUCCCGAAUACCAUGCAACGGGUGUUGGAAUAGGUCUGGAGAGUGCGACCAUGGGAGACUACACCUGCUUCCUUAGCAGUAACAUCAUCAAUGGGCUGUAUACACACGAGAAGAGGUGAUCCAUCAGAAUUAGUUGCUAGGCACCAAAUAGUAUAUGGGCGCUUCUCGUCCUCAUGCGCGUGAUCAUCACCAUCGUCAUCUCCCCCUUGGUUAUAAAAAUCUUAAAGUAUAGGUGGUGGAAUGUUCGCAUGACCUUGGAAGCACAAGAAGGUUAAUUAAUAAAGGGAAACUUCCUAACCCGCAUGCAUGUGGAUGAAACAAUUAUAAUUACGUUGGAAGACAAACGUACCGAAACAACGAUUCCAUGCAAAAAUAGUGCCACGGGUGGUGGCAGCAAACACAAGGCCCUCGUAUUCAAUUGCAUCACAGUACUCAUCCGUGUACAGAAACUGAUUUUUGAGCAAUAUCCAUCGAGUCAGACCAGCAAGGAAGGCAACAAGCUUGUCGAAGAUAGCAACAACUUCAUAGUUGUUGUAAUUCCAAGAGAGGUUGGGAACUUAAGAAAUUGCUAUCUUCCGUAGAAGACAGUCACCAUGAUUGUAUUUGAACGUGCGUACAAUACCGGUGUGCUCAACCUCUGGGCAGUCUGCUGAGAUUUUUGGAAGUGGAACCCGGUCACGAGUGUACACAUUCACAAGUUCCCACUUGCAGUUGGACUCAAUGUAAACAACCCAAUCUCCAUUUGCGCCUGCCCAAGCCUUGCCCUCAAGCGAUGGCUUCUUAACAUCAUAGGUAUCAUUAUCAAGCGGCAUCAACUUGCACAGGGCGAGGCCUCCGUCGUGACGGCGCCAGUCAUCAGGGUCACGGCGAAGAAGAUAGGGGAGAUCAAACCGCUCCUUGCCUCUUGGGUUCCUUGUAAUGAUGUUAUUAGUUGAGUCAAGAAUGGGCUUGAACGAACCUGCCAUGCUAGCCGAGGUGAUGACGUCGCACCGAUCAAUGAGUUCCUCCACCACGUCAUCUUUCAGAUCGGGGCAAGAAUAACGGGCUCGUUUCCGUCCUGUUCCCUCCAUGGAGAAGACGAUCGAACAAUGGCAGAAGAAAGGGUGAAGGGCUAAAGGAAAAUGGAGGAGGGAGAGGAAGAGCGUGCGACAGCAGUUCCAAAUUGAGAGGGAAAGGCGAAGAGUCAGUGGACGGUUGCCAGUUUGCCACGAUUCACGAAGGGGCGCCCCGGCCUACACGUCGGUUCAGAAAUACUCCUACUACUCGCCGUCGUCUCACUGAUAUGUUGGAACGGGACCACAUGUCAAUGAAACAUGUUGUGUAAUUUCUCGUGCAAAAUGCGAUCUGGCCGCGUUGGCCCGAGGUGCCGCAUUAGUUUUUUUGUUGAAAGUUUGCCGCAUUAGUUAUCGACCUUUAUUUUUUUUAACAUGCAAUCUGAAUGGAUAGCUCCUGUGGUCAUCACACAUGAGCGGAUAUAGUGAUGGUUGAUUUGCCCGAGCAACUUAUUACUGUGGGAAUAUGGGAGUACCAGCGGAUUCAAGGAACAGAGAAAUGAUGGUUGCUUCGUCCGAGCAACUUACUGUGGCGAAGGUGGGGAUCUGUGAUUUGACUGCUCACUAGUCAUUACUACUGCGGCGCAACGACCGGGGUGAAUCUUUCCCUGAAGUUGUGUUGUGCACUCAAUAUUGUUGCAUGGCAGGUGGAGCCGGAAUAAGGAUGUCCAACAUAUCGGCAAAACGAAGUUGAAUUGUUUCUAGCAUUGCUAUCAAUCCUUCAGGAUUUGUUUAUAUGUACGCAUAAUUUUGAUGAAAUUGUACUAUGAUGCUAUGAAGGUUUCAACUCUGGUUACCAUAGGAAAAAAAAAGGUUGCUGUCGUGGUUCUAAGCCUGACAGUAGAGUGGGGGGUAGGUAUGGAGAGGCAAGGUCCUAGCUAUGGAGAGGUUGUAAACACAAGGGAUGUACGAGUUCAGGCCCUUCUCGGAAGAAGUAACAGCCCUACGUCUCGGAGCCCGGAGGCGGUCGAGUGGAUUAUGAGUAUAUGAGUUACAAGGUGCCGAACCCUUCUUCCUGUGGAGGGGGGUGGCUUAUAUAGAGUGCGCCAGGACCCCAGCCAGCCCACGUAGGAGAGGGUUUAAGGUGAGUUAAGUCUGGGGCGUUACUGGUAACGCCCCCCAUAAAGUGUCUUUACUUAUCAUAAAGCCUAUUUAAUCACAGGCCGUUGCAGUGCAGAGUGCCUCUUGACCUCCUGGUGGUCGAGUGAGUCUUCGUGGUCGAGUCCUUCAGGCCAGUCGAGUGAGUCCUUCGUUGGUCGACUGGAAGGCGACCUCUUCUAAGGAUGUCCUGGGUAAGUUACUUGGAUCAGGUCCAUGACCCUACCCUAGGUACAUAACCCCAUCAUUAGCCCCCGAAUGGAUUGAGGCUUCGAGUGAAGAAGGAGUUGAUGUCGUUUCCGAUUAACCUUUGCGCUCUGGUCGUGCGCUGUUCUGGACCAAAGAAUCUCUUCGUCGACAGUGAGCAACUUGUCUUCAAUCGACUCGAUCCAUUCUCUUCUUUCGUCGAGUGAUCUUUCGGGCUUCGACGAUCUCCGAGCGAUGGAUCGCAGGAAACCCCGUGUCUGACAGACUGAUCUGCUAUUCGCGGAUUCCGCGGGAUGCGAAAUUUGGGGACGCGCGCGAAGUGGAGCGGACCGCGGCGUUCGGACGGGACGGGACAUAGACGCCUCGAUCUCCGCGUCGCUUUCUCCGCCACGUAUCCCGUCUGCAUAACUGUUCAUGAUAUGAUUAGAUCGACCGGGCCCACAUGUCAUCCACUCGGAAGGGACCUUAUAAAUACGCCCGGCGAGGAUUUCUGUGCUGCGCCUCAGCAUUCUCUCUCUCUCUCUCUGCUCCCUUCGUCCCCGCCUAGCGCGCUCGCUCUCGCCCCCGCACAACUUCCCUUCACGCAUCUCGCCGGCAACCAUGGCCAAGGAGAAGACGGCGGCGCUGGAACGUGCGAAGAAGGCGUCGGCGUCGGAGAAGGCAAAGGGGAGAUCUACCAGCCGCGGAGGGUCCUCGUCCAGAUCCCGCCUGCCGAAGGGCUGGGUCCAAGGAGACUGGAUCCAGUCGACCAUCACAGAGAAAGACCUCCUCGACAUGGCCAACGAGGACUUGAUCCCUCAUGGACCUGCGAGGCUUCCAGGGAAGGAAUGGCAGCCCCAGCCAGAAGAGGGUGAGUGUGUGCUCUUGGCCACCCAUGUUGAUCGUGGAUUUUCCUUGCCGCCGAGUAUUUUCUUCCGUGGCUUCUUGAAUUUCUUUGGAGCGCAGCUCCACUACUUUACCCCAAACUCCAUUGCCUAUCUUGCCGCGUUCGUGUCCAUGUGCGAGAGUUUCCUGGGCUGCCGACCGCACUGGGGUUUGUUCAAGCAUAUAUUCACGUGUCGCUCUCAGACCGUGAAGAAGGCGAGCCCAGGUGAUGAAAGGACCCGAGUCGUCCAAAUGUGUGGGGGUCUGGACAUCCAGGUGAGGAAUAAGAGCACCUUCCCGCCCAUGACCUUUCCCGAGUCAGUCAGAGGCUGGCAGUCGACCUGGUUCUACUGCCAGGACCAGUCGACGCCGGGGCAGUCGAGUGGACUCCCACAGUUUACCAUGGACCGAGUGAACAAGCCUUCCUCUCUGAAGUUGAUUCCGGAGGAGAAAGCUGAUGUGAAGAUGUUGAUGGAGCGCGUGGUGCAGCUGGUUCAGGAGGGAGUGACGGGCAUGGAUCUCCUGGAGGUCUUCCUUAGGCGCCGCAUCCAGCCCCUGCAGUUCCGGAGCCACUGCAUGUGGUUGUACUGUGGGACUGAAGACGAGACUCGAGUCCAUCCGGAAGCAGUCGACGAUGUCACUCUGGAAAGAUGGAUGGUAGCCGUCACCGGAAACAAGGACAAUCCACGCGGAGCCCGAAGGAUUCCUCCACUCGACCACAAUAGCGAUCCAAACAAAGUACGCUUGCUCUGCUUUCCACUGUGUUCUUGUCACACUUAUUUCUGUUUAUCCUGUUGACUGGUCGAUUGAUCUUUGUCUUGAUAUCUGCUAGGCCCUCACCGAGCUGUACUCGAUGCCCAAUGGGGCUCAAGCCCCGACUGAGGAGGGCGAGGCGAGUGGGGGCAAGAGCCAGGAAGAGGAGGAAUGGGACUCGGACGUUGCAGAGGAUGAUGAUGAUGAUGACGAAGAUGGCAGCGAUGAAGAUGACGUUGAAGACGAGGAAGAAGAGGAGGAGGAGGUCGUACCACCGCGCUCGGAAAGGCGGUCGAAGCUUGUCCAUGACCCUUCGACUGAACGUGGUAAGGGGGUUGCGACCGCUGCUCAGUCGACCAAACGCCCUCGGACUACCUCUCCAGUGCCGACUGAAAAGGCGCCGAAGCAGCCCAGGGCGGCCUCGUCGAAGCCGAUCAAGCUCCUGCCGAAGAUGAAGGUGUCCAUCCCCACCAUAUCAGGGUAACCGUGCUGCUUAAGUCUUCUUAUUUUGUGUGAACUUUGGAUCUGGUCGACGCUGAAGUUGGUCGACUAAUCCUUUGGAGUUGCAGUGCUGCUACUUCUGAAACCUCAGCCCGGGCUGAUGACCACGAGAUGGAGGACGCAGCAACUUCGAAACCAGGUACUGUAUUCUUAACACCGUUCUUAGUCGACUGACUUGCGAUCUCUGAUCCUAAUUCUUAUCCGUAGCUCCACCCAAUGUUGUUAUCAAUCUCCCUGAUGAUGAUGAGGAUGAAGAACCACUGAAGCGCAGGAGGAGUAGAAAAGCGUCCGCCAGUAAGGUGCCCCAGGAUGUGACGGCGCCUGAAAUUCCGACUGCGGAAGAAGAGAACACCACUCGACACACGGUGUCCUUCGCAGAUCCAUUGACGAGUGCUCAGCAGCCCUCCCUCUUCACGACGCACCACGUCCCAGAGGAUCAAGCUGGCGCGGCGAAGGAAGCGAUACGCCAGGCGGGAAUUAUGAUGGAGCAGUUGAAGACCAUCCGGGAUGCGAGCCAGGCAGCUUAUGACGCUAGUUCUGCCCUCCAAAGCAAUGUUCAGGUCAGUCGACCGCUGCUCGUUCUGUUGGAUAUGCUACCAAAAACUUUUCCUUUCCGGAAUUUAUAGUAGUCACCCACUGGGUGUGUCGAUUAAACUCCGUGUUAGCGGGGGCACGCUGAGUGCACCCGCUGGGUGUAGUCCCCAAGGCUAAGGUCGACUGCUGGCAGUCGGCCUUAGGCUUUAUGAUGUCAAUGUUGCUGUCAGUCGACUAUGUCGACUGGAUUUCACAAACCGGUGGGGGCACGCUGAGUGCACCCACUGGGUGUAGUCCCCGAGACUGUGGUCGACUGCUUGCAGUUGAUCACAGUCUUAAAGAAUACAUCUCGCUUUUUUUUUGAGGUCGACUGGUCGACUUUGUCUUCAACAGGAUUAGUGGGGGCACGCUGAGUGCACCCACUGGGUGUAGUCCCCGAGACUACGGUCGAAUGCUUGUAUUCGGCUGUAGUCUUAGAAACGUGUGUUUUUUCCUUUUUCACUCGGAAGUGAAUUAUAUUUGACAUUUAGUCGAUUGGUUCUUCGCAGAACUCUUGUGAUCUUGUGGCUCGCUACUCUGAGCUGGAAAACAAGCACACUCAACUUGAGCUGAGCCUGAAGCUGGUUCAGGAGAAGUUGACAAAGGCAAAGGAGGAGACCGAAGGUAUGUUUGGUGAGACCCUUACGACUGCUUUUCCCCUUGUUUGUUUCAAAAUCUGAUCUUGCUGUAACUUGUAGGUAAGGUAAGGGAGGCCCAACAGAAGAAAGAUCUUGAGCUAGCUGAGAAGAUCAAGCUUGCUGACGAGAAGUUAGCUUCAGUCACCAAGCUUGAACAAGACAAUACCAAUCUGAAAGCUGCUCUUGGGAUCGCCAACAAGGAGGUCAGUCGACUGAGAACUGAUAAAGCUGCCCUGACCNNNNNNNNNNNNNNNNNNNNNNNNNNNNNNNNNNNNNNNNNNNNNNNNNNNNNNNNNNNNNNNNNNNNNNNNNNNNNNNNNNNNNNNNNNNNNNNNNNNNNNNNNNNNNNNNNNNNNNNNNNNNNNNNNNNNNNNNNNNNNNNNNNNNNNNNNNNNNNNNNNNNNNNNNNNNNNNNNNNNNNNNNNNNNNNNNNNNNNNNNNNNNNNNNNNNNNNNNNNNNNNNNNNNNNNNNNNNNNNNNNNNNNNNNNNNNNNNNNNNNNNNNNNNNNNNNNNNNNNNNNNNNNNNNNNNNNNNNNNNNNNNNNNNNNNNNNNNNNNNNNNNNNNNNNNNNNNNNNNNNNNNNNNNNNNNNNNNNNNNNNNNNNNNNNNNNNNNNNNNNNNNNNNNNNNNNNNNNNNNNNNNNNNNNNNNNNNNNNNNNNNNNNNNNNNNNNNNNNNNNNNNNNNNNNNNNNNNNNNNNNNNNNNNNNNNNNNNNNNNNNNNNNNNNNNNNNNNNNNNNNNNNNNNNNNNNNNNNNNNNNNNNNNNNNNNNNNNNNNNNNNNNNNNNNNNNNNNNNNNNNNNNNNNNNNNNNNNNNNNNNNNNNNNNNNNNNNNNNNNNNNNNNNNNNNNNNNNNNNNNNNNNNNNNNNNNNNNNNNNNNNNNNNNNNNNNNNNNNNNNNNNNNNNNNNNNNNNNNNNNNNNNNNNNNNNNNNNNNNNNNNNNNNNNNNNNNNNNNNNNNNNNNNNNNNNNNNNNNNNNNNNNNNNNNNNNNNNNNNNNNNNNNNNNNNNNNNNNNNNNNNNNNNNNNNNNNNNNNNNNNNNNNNNNNNACCAAGUCAGCAAAUUGACUGGGAAGAAAACUGAUCUGGAGGCCUUCCUGAGUGGUCUUGCCAAGAAGCUGUUUCUUAUGCUUGAAGGUAAACCUCUAUGCUUGGCAAACAUUUCCAAUUGUGGUUUUUCCAUUCGACCAUCUCCUUGACUUAGUGAUCAUGCUUGCAGAAUUUUGCCAAAACUUUGAAGAAGAAACUAGCCGGCUGGAGCCAAACCUCGACCCCGUCAAUUCUCCGGUGAACGACGAAGUUGCCAUCGAUGUUUUCCGACUGGAGUCUCGUGUUGCAGCUGUCGUGGACUAUCUUGCAAGGCUGAAGGCCGCCACAUCUCGCAUCGACUCGACGCUCUAGCCUGAGGAGACACUUCAGAAUGACCUUGAGUCGCUGAUGGCUCGUUUGAACACGAUCCCUGGUCGAGUGCAGGAAUGGAAGAAGUCCUCGGCUCGGUGUGGUGCAGAUGUUGCUCUGUGUCUUGCUCGAGUUCACUGUAAAGAUGCACGAGAAGAGAAGCUGGCGGCCCUUCGGGUGGCCAACACCAAGAAACACGACUUCAGGUCCUUCAUGGAAACUUUCCUUGCAGCUGCCACUCGGAUCGCCGACGGAAUUGACCUUGAUGAAUUCGUUGCACCUUCCAGCCCUCCACAGGAGGAGUAAAAAACUUCUUCUGGCUCGACGCUUUUAAAUUUGCCUCGGUAUGCCGAGUGGAAUUGUAACCGGUAAACCUUAACAGGCUCAACGCCUGAGCACUUUCGGUUCCUUUAGAUAUCGAUUCAAACUUGAAUUUGGCGCUUGAAUAUGAUUGCCUUUGGCUCGAAAUGUCUUUUGUAGGUUCAAAGCAAGGCGCCUUUACUGCAAUCGACUUAUUCUUUAGUCCACUUAGGCGAGCACUGGGCUGCGGCUAAGCCUCCGAGUGGAAGCCCGGCUUACCACUCGGUAGGAUUUCUAUAACUUAGGCGAGCACAGGGCUGCAGCUAAGCCUCCGAGUGAGAGGGUUGCUCGUCACUCGAUAGGAUUUUUAUAACUUAGGCGAGCACAGGGCUGCAGCUAAGCCUCCGAGUGAGAGGGUUGCUCGUCACUCGGUAGGAUUUUUAUAACUUAGGCGAGCACAGGGCUGCAGCUAAGCCUCCGAGUGAGAGGGUUGCUCACUCGGUAGGAUUUUUAUAACUUAGGCGAGUGCUCGGACUGCAGCUAAGCCUCCGAGUGAGAGGGUCGCUCUUCACUCGGUAGGAUUUUGAUAACUUAGGCGAGUGCUUGGACUGCAGCUAAGCCUCCGAGUGGAAGUCUGGCUUACCACUCGGUAGGAUUUUGAUAACUUAGGCGAAACGGAUUCGCAGCUAAACCUCCGAGUGGAAGUCUGGCUUACCACUCGGUAGGAUUUUGAUAACUUAGGCGAAACGAAUUCGCAGCUAAGCCUCUGAGUGGGAGUCUGGCUCACCACUCGGUAGGAUUUUUACAACUUAGGCGAGUGCUUGGACUGCAGCUAAGCCCCCGAGUGAGAGNNNNNNNNNNGGCUAAGCCUCCGAGUGAGAGGGUUGCUCUUCACUCGGUAGGAUUUUGAUAACUUAGGCGAGUGCUUGGACUGCAGCUAAGCCCCCGAGUGAGAGGGUCGCUCUUCACUCGGUAGGAUUUUGAUAACUUAGGCGAGUGCUUGGACUGCAGCUAAGCCCCCGAGUGAGAGGGUCGCUCUUCACUUGGUAGGAUUUUGAUAACUUAGGCGAGUCCUUGGACUGCAGCUAAGCCUUCGAGUGGAAGUCUGGCUUACCACUCGGUAGGAUUUUGAUAACUUAGGCGAAACGGAUNNNNNNNNNNCUAAGCCCCCGAGUGAGAGGGUCGCUCUUCACUCGGUAGGAUUUUGAUAACUUAGGCGAGUGCUUGGACUGCAGCUAAGCCUCCGAGUGAGAGGGUCGCUCUUCACUCGAUAGGAUUUUGAUAACUUAGGCGAGUGCUUGGACUGCAGCUAAGCCCUCGAGUGGAAGUCUGGCUUACCACUCGGUAGGAUUUUGAUAACUUAGGCGAGUGCUUGGACUGCAGCUAAGCCUCCGAGUGAGAGGGUCGCUCUUCACUCGGUAGGAUUUUGAUAACUUAGGCGAGUGCUUGGACUGCAGCUAAGCCCCCGAGUGGAAGUCUGGCUUACCACUCGGUAGGAUUUUGAUAACUUAGGCGAAACGGAUUCGCAGCUAAACCUCCGAGUGGAAGUCUGGCUUACCACUCGGUAGGAUUUUGAUAACUUAGGCGAAACGGAUUCGCAGCUAAGCCUCUGAGUGGGAAUUUUAUUGGACAAAAAUAAAAAGUGACAGAAAUUAUGGAGGAACUAUGACACUAUUAUUUUGAGGUCCAUGAACUACAGAAGUAUUUUAUUGCAACUCAUCCGAGUGAUAAAACUUAAGCGUAAAAUGGGCGGAGUAGCUCCGCGUUCCAAGCUCGGGGCUCGUCGAUAUUAUGCUCGACGUUGUAAAGACGGUACGCCCCGUUGUGGAGAACCUUGGUGACGAUGAAGGGGCCUUCCCAAGAAGGAGCAAGCUUGUGUGGUUUGUGCUGAUCCACUCGGAGAACUAAAUCCCCUUCCUGGAAGGCUCGACCUCUCACAUUUCUGGCGUGGAAACGACGCAAAUCUUGUUGGUAGAUGGUCGAGCGGAUCAGAGCCAUCUCCCUUUCUUCCUCUAAAAGGUCGACUGCGUCCUGCCGCGCUUGUUCAGCCUCUGCUUCGUUGUAGAUUUCAACUCGAGGAGCAUUGUGGAGAAGAUCACUCGGCAAGACUGCUUCAGCUCUGUAGACCAAGAAGAAUGGAGUUCUUCCGGUCGACCGAUUAGGUGUGGUCCGCAGUCCCCAAAGCACUGAGGGAAGUUCGUCAACCCAAGCUCCAGCCGCAUGUUUGAGAUCACGCAUCAGUCGGGGCUUCAAUCCCUUAAGAAUCAGUCCAUUAGCUCGCUCUGCUUGUCCAUUCGACUGCGGAUGGGCGACUGAAGCGUAGUCGACCCGUGUGCCUUGGGAGUUGCAGAAAUCUCUGAAUUCUUCCGAGUCAAAGUUCGACCCAUUAUCUGUAAUGAUGCUGUGCGGGACUCCAUAUCUGAAUAUUAGUUCCCUGAUGAAGCUAACAGCAGUACCGGUGUCAAGGUUCUUGAUUGGUUUGGCCUCGAUCCACUUGGUGAACUUGUCGACUGCCACCAGUACAUGCGUGAAACCACUUCGUCCUGUUCUCAAAGGACCGACCAUGUCCAGUCCCCAUACUGCAAAAGGCCAGACAAGUGGGAUGGUCUUCAGAGCAGACACAGGCUUGUGCGACAUAUUCGAGUAGAACUGACAUCCCUCGCACUUAUCCACUAUCUCUUUUGCCAUCUCAUUCGCCUUUGGCCAGUAAAAUCCGGCUCGGUAUGCUUUGGCCACGAUGGUCCGAGAGGACGCAUGAUGACCACAGGUCCCCGAGUGGAUAUCAUUGAGGAUGAGUCGACCUUCUUCUGGUGUUAUGCACUUCUGACCAACUCCAGUCACGCUUUCUCUAUACAAUUGUCCUUUGAUUACGGUAAAGGCCUUAGACCGACGGACGAUCUGUCGAGCCUCUUCCUCAUCCUCCGGAAGCUCUUUUCUCAGGAUAUAUGCGACAUACGGAACUGUCCAGUCGGGAAUGACCACCAAAACCUCCAUGAUCAAGUCGACCACCGCUGGGACUUCAACUUCAGUCGGAUCUGUGGCACUCUUGGGCUGUGGAGUUUCUUCGGUGAAAGGAUCUUCUUUGACUGACGGAGUGUGUAUAUGCUCCAAGAACACACCACUCAGAAUGGCUUCUCUCUUGGAACCUAUCUUUGCUAGAUCAUCGGCUGCUUGAUUUUUCAGUCGGGGUAUAUGAUGGAGCUCCAACCCCUCGAACUUCUUUUCCAGCUUCCUCACUGCACUGCAGUAUCUAGUCAUGGCUGGGCUUCUCGCGUCCCACUCUUUCAUCACCUGGUUGACCACUAAAUCCGAGUCGCCAUAGACCAUCAGGCGACGGACGCCGAGUGAAAUGGCCAUGCGCAACCCAUAUAAGAGGGCCUCAUAUUCAGCCUCAUUGUUGGAGGAAUCAAAGUGAAUCUGGAGCACAUAUCUGAGCUUAUCUCCUCUGGGGGAAACCAGGACAACCCCAGCACCGGAACCAUUCAACAUCUUAGAGCCAUCAAAGAACAUGGUCCAAUGCUCCGAAUGAACUUCAGUCGGCUGCUGCUGUUCAAUCCAUUCGGCGAGGAAAUCUGCUAUUGCCUAGGACUUAAUGGCUUUCUUUGCCUCAAACUUGAUAUCAAGGGGAAGAAGUUCAAUAGCCCAUUUGGCCACUCGACCAGUUGCAUCUCUAUUGUGCAAAAUCUCUGAUAGUGGAGCGUCGCUGACGACUGUGAUGGAAUGAUCAGAAAAAUAAUGAGCAACCUUCUUUGUGGUCAUGUAUAUUCCAUACACAAGCUUCUGAUAAUGAGGAUAUCUCUGCUUGGAUGGAGUCAAGACUUCAGACAAAUAAUACACUGGGCGCUGAACUUUGAGAGCUUUUCCUUCUUCUUCCCACUCGACCGUAAGCACAGUACUGACGACUUGUCCUGUGGCUGCGAUAUAGAGCAACAGAGGCUCUUUGCUGAUUGGAGCAGCAAGCACCGGCUGGGUGGAGAGCAGAGCUUUUAGCUCGGCAAACGCUGCAUCAGCUUCUGGAGUCCACUCGAACUUGUCUGUCUUCUUCAUCAGUCGGUAAAGAGGCAAUGCCUUUUCACCGAGUCGUGAGAUGAAUCGACUUAAUGCGGCCAAGCAUCCAGUAAGCUUCUGGACAUCGUGCACUCGCACAGGGCGUUUCAUUCAGAGAAUAGUGCUAAUCUUCUCUGGGUUAGCGUCGAUUCCCCGUUCGGAAACGAGAAAACCGAGUAACUUGCCACCAGGAACUCCAAAUGUGCACUUUGAUGGAUUGAGCUUGAUAUCAUAUCUUCUGAGGUUGGCAAAUGUUUCGGCGAGAUCAGCGAGCAGGUCGGAACCUUUUCAUGACUUGACAACAAUAUCAUCCAUAUAAGCUUCCACAUUCCGACUGAUUUGAGUGAGUAGACACUUUUGAAUCAUUCGCAUAAAUGUGGCUCCGGCAUUCUUGAGGCCGAAUGGCAUGGUGAUAUAGCAGAAGCACCCGAAUGGAGUGAUGAAAGCUGUUUUUACCUCGUCGGGUCCGUACAGACGGAUCUGGUGGUACCCGGAGUAGGCAUCUAAAAAAGAUAGCCUCUCGCAUCCCGCGGUCGAGUCAACAAUUUGAUCUAUGCGAGGGAGAGGAAAAUGAUCUUUCGGGCAGGCCCGGUUGAUGUGCUUGAAAUCAAUGCACAUUCGGAGCGACUUGUCCUUCUUAGGAACCAUGACGACAUUAGCGAGCCACUCGGAGUGGUAUAUCUCUCGGAUAAAUCCUGCCGCCAACAGUCGAGCCACUUCUUCACCAAUGGCUUUUCUCUUCUGGACGGCGGACCGCCGAAGAUGCUCUUUGACUGGUUUUGCAGAUGAGUCGACUCUUAGGCGAUGCUCAGCCAGUCCCCUGGGAACACCUGGCAUGUCAGCGGGCUUCCAUGCAAAAAUGUCCCAGUUCUCACGGAGGAACUAGAUGAGCGCUUCUUCCUAUUUUGGGUCGAGUGUUGUGGAGAUGCGGGUCGGAGCUGCAUCGGGGUCGGUCGGGUGAAUGUGAACAGGCUUCGUCUCACCGGACGACUGGAAUGCAGACUCUGUGGCGGGUUUCUUUGAUCGCAGCAAGUCACUCGGAUCUGCGUUUUGCUUGUAUUCUUCGAACUCGACCGCUGUCACCUGGGAAUCGGCAAUCUUGGAGCCCUUCUGAAAGCACUCUUCUGCCUUUUUCCGAUCACCGGUGACAGUGAUCACUCCUUUGGGGCCGGGCAUCUUCAAUUUGAGGUACACGUAACAUGGUCGAGCCAUGAACCGUGCGUAAGCUGGUCUCCCCAAAAUGGCAUGAUAUGCACUCUGAAAAUCCACGACCUCAAACGUCAACUUUUCUUUGCGAAAAUGCUUCGAAUCACCAAACACCACGUCCAAAGCUAUUUGGCCGAGUGACUCGGCCUUCUUCCCUGGUAUAACUCCAUGAAAGCUCAUGUUACUAGUGCUCAGUCGGGACAUCGGAAUGCCCAUUCCUUUCAGUGUGUCUGCAUACAACAAAUUCAGCCCGCUUCCACCAUCCAUCAGCACCUUUGUCAGUCGAGUGCCUUCGACAACUGGAUCGACCACCAAAGCUUGCCUCCCAGGGGUGGCAAUAUGAGUUGGGUGAUCAGAUUGGUCGAAUGUGAUGGGUGUUUGAGACCAUUUCAGAUAAUUUGCUUUUGCUGGGGCAACCAUGUUCACCUCUCGGUUAAUGACUUUCAGUCGACUCCUGCUUUCCACAUCUGCAAAGAUCAUCAGAGUGGAGUUGAUAUGUGGAUAUCCUUCCUCACUGUCCUCCUUGUCUUCGGCCUUGUCUGACUCCUUCUCCUUGUCCUUAGACUGUUUUCCCUGAAACUGCUGGAUCAGGAGUCGACAUUGGCGAGUGGUGUGCUUCGGGUAGAUGAUAUUCCCCUCUUCGUCUUUCUUCGUAUGGAUGUGACAUGGCAUAUCCAUUACGUCGUUCCCUUCUUUAUCCUUUACCUUCUUGGGGUUCCAGGAUCCUUUUGGUUUCCCCUUAAACUUUCCUUGAGUCACGGCCAGAGCCUCUCCAGGAGCUGCCGGUUCAGCCUUCCGCUUUUGUUUCCGACUGGUGUUUCCUUUUUCCGACUGACUCGGCUUGUGCUUGCCGCUUCGGAGUCGGUCUUCUUCUUCGCCGUUGGCGUACUUGGUAGCAAUCUCCAUCAUCCGACUCAAGGUCAUGUCACCGGUUCGACCAAACUUCAAACUCAGUUCUCUGUUCUUGACGCCAUCUUUGAAGGCGCAGACUGCCUGAUGAUCAGACACAUUCUCCACAGUGUGGUGCAAAGUGAUCCACCUCUGAAUAUACUCUCUGAGAGUCUCAUUAGCUUUCUGCACGCAGACUUGCAACUCUAUCAACCCAGCUGGUCGCUUGUAAGUUCCUUCAAACGUUCUGACGAACACUCGGGACAGAUCUUCCCAAGUGUAAAUGCUGCUAGGAGGUAAUUGAGUCAACCAAGCCCUGGCAGAACCUUCCAGCAUGAGGGGCAAAUGCUUCAUGGCCACCUCGUCGUUCCCACCACCAAUCUGAACUGCCACUCGGUAGUCUUCAAGCCAAGUUUCAGGCUUAGACUCACCAGUGAACUUGCUGACUCCUGUUGCCAACCUGAAAUUGGGAGGGAUAACUGCGGCUCUGAUAGCUCUGCUAAAACAUUCAGGACCAGAAACAUGCACUCGACUGCUUGUGGGCGCAUCUCUGUCGAGUCCACCCCGAUGAGCUCUGUUCCGGUCGACCAAACCUUGCACGAUAAUGGAUCACGCGUCGAAACCUGGUUCUCUGGGGUCGACUGGAACCCUUCGCCCUAUACUGUACUGACGCCUGUCAUCUGGUUGUCGAGGAGCGUAAGACCCACCCCUCGGAGGGGAAUUGGGCACUCGACGCCUAUCAUCUCGGUCGAGUCUGUCGCCAUAUUGAUCUCGCCGAUUCUCGCGCCCUUCACGCCGCGGAGGCGAUCUGGGGCUGUGAGCCGACUGAACCGUAUUCACAGUGACGGAUCGACUGUGAAUUCUGUUGCGCGACUGAGACACGGCUGAAUUCUGAUCUCCUGCUNNNNNNNNNNNNNNNNNNNNNNNNNNNNNNNNNNNNNNNNNNNNNNNNNNNNNNNNNNNNNNNNNNNNNNNNNNNNNNNNNNNNNNNNNNNNNNNNNNNNNNNNNNNNNNNNNNNNNNNNNNNNNNNNNNNNNNNNNNNNNNNNNNNNNNNNNNNNNNNNNNNNNNNNNNNNNNNNNNNNNNNNNNNNNNNNNNNNNNNNNNNNNNNNNNNNNNNNNNNNNNNNNNNNNNNNNNNNNNNNNNNNNNNNNNNNNNNNNNNNNNNNNNNNNNNNNNNNNNNNNNNNNNNNNNNNNNNNNNNNNNNNNNNNNNNNNNNNNNNNNNNNNNNNNNNNNNNNNNNNNNNNNNNNNNNNNNNNNNNNNNNNNNNNNNNNNNNNNNNNNNNNNNNNNNNNNNNNNNNNNNNNNNNNNNNNNNNNNNNNNNNNNNNNNNNNNNNNNNNNNNNNNNNNNNNNNNNNNNNNNNNNNNNNNNNNNNNNNNNNNNNNNNNNNNNNNNNNNNNNNNNNNNNNNNNNNNNNNNNNNNNNNNNNNNNNNNNNNNNNNNNNNNNNNNNNNNNNNNNNNNNNNNNNNNNNNNNNNNNNNNNNNNNNNNNNNNNNNNNNNNNNNNNNNNNNNNNNNNNNNNNNNNNNNNNNNNNNNNNNNNNNNNNNNNNNNNNNNNNNNNNNNNNNNNNNNNNNNNNNNNNNNNNNNNNNNNNNNNNNNNNNNNNNNNNNNNNNNNNNNNNNNNNNNNNNNNNNNNNNNNNNNNNNNNNNNNNNNNNNNNNNNNNNNNNNUGGAGCCACGCGGAGUCGUCGGCGAUGAAGGUGAGAGUGCCGAGACGGAUCUCUUGACCCCCGACCAAAACUCCAGCAGACACCAUGAUGAAAGUACUCGGAAGAAUCGCAACUUCUCCACAAAAUCGCUAAAACACCUGCCCCACGGUGGGCGCCAACUGUCGUGGUUCUAAGCCUGACAGUAGAGUGGGGGGUAGGUAUGGAGAGGCAAGGUCCUAGCUAUGGAGAGGUUGUAAACACAAGGGAUGUACGAGUUCAGGCCCUUCUCGGAAGAAGUAACAGCCCUACGUCUCGGAGCCCGGAGGCGGUCGAGUGGAUUAUGAGUAUAUGAGUUACAAGGUGCCGAACCCUUCUGCCUGUGGAGGGGGGUGGCUUAUAUAGAGUGCGCCAGGACCCCAGCCAGCCCACGUAGGAGAGGGUUUAAGGUGAGUUAAGUCUGGGGCGUUACUGGUAACGCCCCCCAUAAAGUGUCUUUACUUAUCAUAAAGCCUAUUUAAUCACAGGCCGUUGCAGUGCAGAGUGCCUCUUGACCUCCUGGUGGUCGAGUGAGUCUUCGUGGUCGAGUCCUUCAGGCCAGUCGAGUGAGUCCUUCGUUGGUCGACUGGAAGGCGACCUCUUCUAAGGAUGUCCUGGGUAAGUUACUUGGAUCAGGUCCAUGACCCUACCCUAGGUACAUAACCCCAUCAGUUGCAACUUACGAUUCAUGUGUCUUGCCUCGAGAUUAUCUCGUUACAACAUUCCAUCAAAUACAAAUGAAACUACCAUGGCUAAUGCAUCUGAAUGGUUCACAGAUCAGCGCCAAUAUUCACAUCACAACUGAAGACAAAUUUGUGAGAAGAUGUAAAAAUAAAGAAAAAAAUAUAAUUGAUCGAUGUUGUUCGUAGGCAUGGCUCCAUUUCCUUGGCACAAUGUUCAUUGCUUGGCAGCUAGUUUCACCCAGCUCUGUAGCCAAAAAAGAGGUGUAUGAAGGACACCACAAUCUGAUCAUUUUGUGCAGCUCCACUAAAAUCGGGCGGACUAUCCCUGUUUGCAAAGAUGUCCAGUCAGUGUGAUUACAAUAAUAGUGGAACUAGAUGAUGAAACAUAACACACAUAAAUAGAAGCCGAUCACCUCUACGAUCUCUCUUUAGGACUAACUUCUUGUUGGAGAAGAUUAGGCACGGAGUUGGAUGAGGAGGAUAGCAAAACCAAUCUCCCUUUCCGCAGUCCCACAGAAAUGUAAAAACGUUGCUCGUGUGACAUUUUGGCGGAACUGCACAAAACACUCUUCGGAAAAGUGAUUUGUGCAGUUCACCAAAAGGUCGCAAUAGCAACGAGGUGAAAAUUGAUAGCCCUGUUUGCAAAAGGAGGUCGAAAGGAAACAAUUACUGCCCAAUAACACGAGUUGAAGACACAUACACCGACAAAAAAGAAGCAUGUUCCAUGUAAAAAGGGAAAGAUAGCACAUGGUGGUUUAUCAAAAAUGGUUUGAGGAUGAGAUUGCAAGAUGGGAAGUACGCCGGCCGAGAUACGAUUUAAGCAAACAACUAAAGAAGAUCCACAUGCAGCAACGUGGGAAGAUGGGUAGUGGAGCAAGGCCGUAGGAAGCUGUACCUGAGGGUCGUCAGGAUGUUACUAGGAGGGCGCCAGCGGCCGGGAUCUGCCCAUACUACGGCAGCGAGCAAGUGGCGAAGGCCCUACCGCACCGAAGCUUGGUCAGAGAGAACGGCGGGUACCACAGAUCGGGACGAGCUGCCUCAACGCCGUCGAACGGAGAGACGAUGCACAUCCUCCCUUUCCGCCAGUGGACGAGAUGCGGCCGGAUCACUGACCAACGCUGAGAGAGAGAGGCCACGGCGGCCUUGUGUGAGAUUGUGUGACGAGACUCACGAGAGACAAACCCAUUUUUCCAUUUUCCCCACGGCAAUCAUUUUAUAUUCUAGGCAUGGUACCCGACCCUCCUUCGAGUAAACAACCGCUACACGCGUCAAAUUAUCACGUGGGCUGCCUUUUCAUACAGAAACGAACUCCAUCGUGUUCCCGCGCGGGUGUGGCCGGGAACGAGACGUGAGUACGUGCGUCCUGCGUGCACUUCUUCUUUAGGUGCAGGUACAUACGUGGGUGGGUGUGAGAGAGAUGGUUUGUGCGAAACAGAGGCAAUGUGUUGAUGAUACCACAAUCAGAAAAACGUAACAUAUGCAAUGUGUGUGAAACGGAGUCAUGGACGUGAGAUAUCGAUAGAAUUGAAAACAGAGAUGAAGUGUGUGGCUGCGCGAUUGAUAAAGAGUGCCAUCGAAUUUGUAUUUGCCCACGUCAAAGAUACAGGGCAGAUGGCCUACUGGAAUUUGAGAGGACAGAGGUGCAGUUCUUCUCUGUGGCAUGGAUACCUACCUACAACGUUCGACUAUCGGUGUGUGUGGGGGGGGUAGAGACCGGUCGACUAGUAUAUGUGUGGGGAAGGAGAGAGACCUAGCUAUGUAUUGAGGGAAAUCGAUCGACAUCCAUGGAUAUGUGUAGCAGAGGAAUAAGGUUGGGAAAAAGACAAAGGUAGAGCGUCGGAGGGUUGAUGGUGGAGUGGCGUCUCACAAAUGGUGGGAGAGGCCUGCUAGACAAACGGAGGGUAUGAGUGCAAUAUCAGUAAGAGAGGGCGGGGGAUGUCUGUCUGUCUAUGCACGUGCGUGUGAGAGAUGGGUCGGGAGGUAUUCAAGGAUGAUGAGGGGAGAAAUGCGUAACUACAGAGGAAGAUCAACCGUCGUGUGUCCGAGAAAAGGAGAGAAAUAACUAGCGAGGUAAGUGUAUCGGUGCUUGGUGAAAACGAAUUAUAGUUGACCUGGCUAUAUGUAGGGAGAUUAGUUCAUAUACACGCCUGCAUGUGUUAGAAGAAAAUAAGGUCCGGAGAGGCAGACAGGGGGAUAGGGUGUGGCUAGGAGGUGGUGCGAGAGGCCUACCAUGUCGAGGGGGGAGGAGUGUGCGAGCAUGUGAUUAAUGAAAAGAGGGGCGGGAGUGUGCACCUGCGUGGAAUCGUAUUGGACAUAUGGGGGCAUGGACGGUGAGAAGAGAAGAGGGAAAGUAUAUAUGUGUUUGUUGUAGGCACACUUGGCUAGAGAGGUAUAUCGACUGGUGUGUGCCAGAAAGAAGGAGCCGGGGGCCUACACACACCGCUGGUGGACGACAUAAAGAGAAAUAAUGAACGCGCGCGAUGGAGGGGACGCUAAGGGUGUGUGAGGGGGGCGGGCGUGUGCAUGCAUGAUAGAAAGUUAGCGCUAGCUAGCUACAACUAGAAGAGGAUCGUGAAGGUGUAAAAGACGAACAAAGAUCAUAAUUCAUUAUAAAAAGGUGGAUACGGAUACUUGAAGAAGAUAUCAUAAUGUAGAACAUUGAUUAUAAUUUGGGCUAAUGUGUGGCUUUUGUAACUCAGGUCUAAAUACUUAUCAUAAUGUACGGGGCGGGGCACUAUACUUUGUGUGAUAAACACGGUGUACGUAUGGAACAUGGUUUAGAUUAUGAAUAUAUAGUUAGUACAUCAAAUGUACUAUUAUUUGGAUUCAACAUCAAGUGUAUUCAAAAAAUAGAAAUCGAUUUCAUGUAGUACACAUAGUUCAUAUCUAUCUCUAUAGUAAUCAUGUGGUGUGUUAUUAAGGUAAUACAUGAAUGAUGGUUGAAGUUGGCAACAAUCAUGAUUGUAGAUUCUUAUUGAAAUAGAGAAACGAAUUCAAAUUUAGCUCGAAUUGCAGCGGUAGUAUAGACAUUUGGAAUGCACUAAAAUAUUGGUAUGAGUAGGUUACAUGCAUUAUACAGCAAGCGAAAAAAUUUAAUCAGACAUAACAUGGAUUCAUACUCCCUCCUUCCAUCUAUAUAGGGCGUAAUGAGAUUUUUAAGACCGCCUUUGACUAUUGACAAGAUUAAUAGUACAUGACAUGCACAAUGUGAAAAUUAUAUCAUUGAAAGAACCUUUCACAGACGAAGUUAACGGUGUGCUUUGUGUAAGUUGCAUGUCAUAUAUCAUUGCUCUAAUAUUUGGUCAAAGUUAGCAUCGAAAAACGCAUUAGGCCCUAUAUAGAUGGAAGGAGGGAGUAGCUUUGAAUAGCAUUUGUAUAGUAAAACGGGGCAAGACUCUCUCUUUUUGUAUUGUGAAUAGUUUUAUUUUUUUCGUUUUCUUUUUGGUUGAGGGAAGUGCGAAUUGAUUUGGUACGUACAAGUACAAUAUUACUACACAUUAGGCUUGUCCCUAAAAUUCAACCCGCGUCUUGUUAUAUCCCGAAAAUUCAGAUAUCGUGCUCCCAAAACUGGCGCCUUCACAACCCGCGCCUUGCUCUCCCGAAAUUACAACGCGCACGAAAACUCCCUCCAACUGCCAAAUUCCAACACGCGAAAUCCCCCUUCUAACCCUGAGCCGGAAGGGCCGCUAGUUCAAAUCGGUGGGGGGUACUUUUGUAACACACCCUACAUUUUGGACAAGCGCGUCCCUAAGUCAUGCUUCACCCCCUCCCAUCGCCCCCUUUUCGCCAUUCGAAAUCCCAGGCCGCCGUAACCUCUCUGCUCCAGCCGCGAAACCCCACCCUCCUCCGUCCGCCACAUCACUGUUGCCCAGCCGGAGCCUCUUCCCCGACGACGUCAUCCACCGCAAUAGCUCGACGUCCCUCGUCCACCUCACCGGAUGAGGAUCCAUCGUCCAUCUCGUCGUCCAGCCGGUUCAGCCGCCCCGUCCUCCACCUCCAAGGAGCUGAUCCGAUGAUCGCCUCGUCUAUCGCGGCUGCUCCAUCCCCACAGCGCGGCCUUAACCUGCUCCACCGGAACCGCAGCAUCCUUACUGACUCCUCGGACAAAGCCGAGGCCUACUCGGCGCCACCAAAGAGGUUGUACACUCAUCGCAUCGCACCUUCUCCUUAACUCGACCUCCCAGCACCGACGGUGCUCCAUCCCGCACCCCCAUGGAGCGGCUACCUUGAAGUCAGCACCGCGGGCGACAUCUCCACGGCGGCUCUCCCCCAGUGUGAGGCCCCUUCGGCGGCGGCGGCCAUACCAGCCGGAUCUGCUGCUGCUGCUCCGGCUCUCGUUCGCUCGCUCGCGCAGCUGCUGCUGCUUCGGCUCUCGCUCGAUCGCUCGCUCGCCCAGCUGUUGUUGCUGCUCUCCCCCUUGCUCGUUCUGCUGCUCUACUCCGAUUAAGCCACACUUCAGUCUACUGAAUCGACUUUUGGGUUAGUCAAUUUUCAGGGGUUGGGGGGGGGCUCACCGUAGUUAAGGAAGAACCACCCGCAGCGGGGACGGGGGCUCGCCAGAGAGGUACCCCACUAUCUAUCUUAGGGUUCAGGGUGGGGGCGGGGGGCCUAGAGGGCUGGCCGGGGCGGCGGUGGCGAGUUGUUUCGGGGCGGCGAGGUGGCGCUGCGGCCGGCGGUUCGGCCGGUGGUGGCUGGCGGCUCAGGGGGUGCAGGUUGAAGAUGAACUACAGGCCCUCCCUAAACUACAUGUCAAGUGCCUCUCUGCUACCAUUGCGUUCAGUUUCGACAGUAGCAUUCAGAUUCCACAGUAAAUUUCAGUCUCGACAGUUAAGUUCAGAGUCAACAGUUUUUACCUCAUCUGUUGUAGUCAGGUGGUUUAUGUGAUGUUAAUUUUACCUCCAUUUUACAUCAUCUAUUGGAGAUGCUAUUAGAAUCCCACUUGAGAUUGACGAUGUCUGUCUUGUGCUACUUCAGCCUUGACGUCUUAUGGCUCACCGGAGCUGCUCCAACGACAGAACGAUCCAUCACAACAGAGCAGCGCCCUGGACAACGUCUACAGAUUCCUCAGAUCUUCCUUCACACCUCUGACAGCCACUUCUGCCUCAACUGCUUCAGUGACCAACCCAAUGAUGCUGAGGUCGACACGGCUACGGCAAAGAGGUUGUACACUUGUUGCAUCACUUAUUACUAUACAUUCACGUCGAUCCAUUAGGGCUAUUUUGGUUCAACAGAAAAACAUAGCAAUAGGGAAUUUUCCAAUGGCACUCUACUAUUCAAUUAUUCAUGCAUAUUGUUGAAAGGAAUGAAGCAAAACAUCCACCUGGAUCUACUUUUCAAAAUCCUAUGCAUGAAAACAAGACCAAGUGCAUUAGUGCCAGAAUAACAUUCUAACUGUACACACUUUCAUACGGUUUCUCUUUAUUUUGGCCAUGUUUCUUUGCAUUCCUCUGCUCUUCCAAUUCCUGUAAACCAAACACCCAAGUUGACAGAAAUCCUGUGUUUACAAAUGCUCUGUUUACCAUGUGCAUUUUCCUAUCCUAUUCCGGUGUUUUUCCUAUCCCUGCAUUUUAAGAAUCAUGCAAGCCAAAUGAUCCCUUACAGAAUUACUUCAGUUACAGGUACGAGUCGAAGGGAACUUUGUGUGGUUUGUCCUGCUCCUGCCGUGACGUCGUCCACCUCACCUGAGCUGCUCCAUCAAAGAAACAUCCACCAAACCAGACAUCAUGACUCCUGACCGUCUUUCGCCGCCUUAGAUCUCCUUCCCUGCCGUCGGCACCCACCCCAACGGCAUCACCAUCAUCGACUCAGCAGAUGAACCUGAGGAGUACACGGGUCCACAAGAGAGGUCGCACUCUUUUGCUUCUGCUUAUGUUAUGCAUUGCUUAAACUUACCUGCUACUUUAUCGUCCUGUCCAGCUCUUGGACUCCCAACUCAGGUCCAAAUUAGUGUUCAAACUUGAGUUCUAAAUUAGUUGUGGGGCACAUAUCGAGGCAGCAAUGAAUAGUAUGUCUAUCUAAUAUCUGGUUCACCUAGGGUAUGCCUAUGUUGUUUAUCUUGGGUGGGAAACAAAUAGUAAAGCAAUCAUCAUCUGUCUUUUUAUUAAUUUAAAGCAAUCAUUAGCCUGCUAUCAUUAUUUUUGGAUCCAUCCACUGGUUGUUACCAUCACUCUAAGUUUCUGCAUGCUCUCCUUACAUAAUCUCACCAUAUUUUUUCGUAUGCAUGUCAGAUAUUGUACACAGUCAUGCUGAACAUGUAGAGAAAAAUAAAAGAGUUUUUGCGCGGCAAUACAAUGUCAUGCAGACAUCGCUUCAUGGUGGGUUCAAUGGCAAACCCCUCCCCACCCCUCUCCAGAUUGUAAUCCAGAGGAAGAUAUCUGUUAUGAGGCGGAUUCAGACGCCGCUGACCACUCCUAUUUACCCCCCAAGGUGUUUGCUCUACCUUGGCAUGAUGAUGUUAGUCAUAUCAUGCAUAUAUUGCCUUGCAGUGCCUACUUUUGACAUCAUAUAUGUCAUCUGCUUAGUUUAGACAUGUUCUGUAAUGCCACCUGUUUAGUUUCUAUAUUAUAUAUGGGAAUUAUGCAGUCUCAUGUCUUUUAGCCAGCCAUAAUAUAUGUGAAAUGUGCAAUGCCAUCCUGUUUAACCAGGCAUCAUAUAUUUCAAUGAUAUCUUGCCCAUCCUUUUCUUCAUUACAUUUCCAUUUGUCGACAAUGUUUGUAGAUUAAACUACUCUUCCUAUGAAUCAGCCAUUUGGGUGGGAGAUGGAAAAAUCUGGAGUGAAAACAAGGCCUUCAGAGCAGACAGUGCUACCUGUCGAAGCAGAUCUCUUGUUGGGUCCCGAUAGCUCCUCAGAGAUGGAUUCAGAGACAGAUGACCAGUCCUAUUCCCCUACUGAGGUGUAUGCUCUAACUUGGCACGGUUAUACUGCUCAUGUCAUGCAUACGGUGUCUUGCAUUGCAUAGUUUAGACAUCAUAUACACAAUACUCAACACCAUGUUCUUAGUUCAGACAUCAUAUCGAAUGCCCUCUGUUUAGCAUAUAAAUCACAUAUGUGAAUUAAAUGAUGUGAUCCUGAUUACUUAGAUAACAUGUAGGUGAAUUAUGUCAUGCGAUCCUGUUUAGUUAUUCAUCAUAUCUUCGAAUUAUGUUAUGCUAUGCUAUCCAGUUUAGAUAGACAUCAUAUAUGUGAAAUUAUGUCAUGCUAUCCGUUUUAGUUAAACAAUAUACAUGUCAACUAUUUCACGCCCUCUUUUUUCCACACUAUCUAUUGCAUCUGUCUCUCAUACAAUGUCUGUACAUUCAACUAUGUUUCAUGUUUAUCAGCCAUUUGAAUUGGAGCGGCUGAUGCCAGUAUCUAGCGGAAUAAAAACACGGUCUUCAAAUAAAACAGUGCUACCUCUUGGUGGAGAUAGCACCCCGGUUGUACAUGCACAAGAACCAGCCCUACCACACAUAACCCAAACUCUCGCAGAUUGUACCCCUACUGCGAUGGACAGAGAACCAGCUUCACCCAAUCUAACCCCAACCCCAGCCGAUAGUAACCCAGUUCCUGUUGACACGGCACUAUCUCCACCACAGAGCUCCCAAACAAGAGCAGUUAGUAAGGCAGCUCCAGUGCCCAAAGGGCCAGUACUAUCACGGCGAACCCCAACUCCACCGAUUAGUACGCCUAUUCCUGCGGAGGAAGCACAACCAGCCAGUCAUAGUUUAGCAUCUAUCGCAUUUGAUGUUGUUAAAUCGUAUGUGCGUAUCUUCCCAUCCUGGAAAUAUUAUACUGAAGAUGAAGGGAAAUGCCAGUUGCAGGUGUUUGUCCAGGAGUUAUGUGUAAGUAAUGUUAUUCAUGGCAAUUACUUUGCUUCGUCCCAUACAUCCUACAUCCAUGAUGGUUAUAAUACAGUAAAUUUUCCCAUUUUUCUCUAUAGAGAAGGACCGAUUUGGAAAUUCAGGAUGAGAUAACCUGUGCUAAUACCUCUGCUAUCUUCAAGAAUGCUUGGUGGCAAUAUCGGAAUUACCUGAAGAAAACGUACUUCACCGGCAAAGAAACUCAUCAAAUUCUCUUACGUUCUCUUGAGACACAUUUACUGGACGAUGACUGGGAACGCCUUGUUCUGUACUGGUCCUGAACCAAGAAUGCGGUAAGGUCUAUGAGCUCAUUUUCUAUUUUUAAGUAUUAUAUUCUUGCGUCUUACUAUACUCUGUUCAUGUAGAACAAGUGCCUAAACCUGAAGAACAACUGUUCUAAUUUAAGAUUCCAUUGCUAUCAUAGUUCAAAAAAGCGCUAGGCGUUAAUUGUGCGUUUUGCCACCGCCUUGCACUUUAGUGACCAAAACGCAUGCUUAUGCGCAGUUAUGCACAGAUUAAGCAUAGUUAUGCGCAAUGCGUUUUGCCAACGCCUAGAGCCUAGGCGCGCUUAAGCGCUCGCUUAGGCGCGCCUUUUUAACUAUGAUUGCUUUGCUCUUGUAUCACUGUAUUUACUGAUACAAACUUAUUUUUAAAUUGAAGGAUCCAAUCGAAACUCCAAUGGCACAACAGGUAUGUUCACGCAUGUUUCUUUAACACGUUUGCUCUUAUCAAUAGCUCUUUUGAUUUCAAUUUCAAUUGUAUAUACAGUUGACUUUCAUAUCAUGCACAUUACUAGCAUCACAACAGAGCCAAUAGUGUUGUUGUACAUGUAGACCGUGGUACCCAUCUAAAAUCUUGUUGUGCCGUGUAGUUUCCCACGCUUUGUAUUCUUUCACUGCUGCUUUGUCUUGAACUGAUAUGAUUUGAACCGUGUCUUUAUUUUUAUUUGGCAAGACAAUGCAGUGACCAUAGGACAUAGAUAUAUGUUUGUUUGAUACUUUUAUUAUGUACUAGUACUUGGUAAUAGAAGACUUGGUAGUUUAAUCGUGUCCACCUUACUAAUGAACUGGUUCACCAAAAUGAGUUUCAUAUACUAGUACAUGCUAAACUUGUUAUGUGUCUGCUUGUUUCUUCUUUUAGAAUGCUGACAGAAUAUUGGGGAAGAGUGACUUAUUAAGCAAUGGUAAUGAAAGUAAUGUAAAUAAGGUUCAGGAUAGUGACACAUCCUUGUUGGUCUCCAACAAAGCUGAUAAAACAGCUAAGGAAGACUAUCUUGAAGACAGCAAGACAACCCCAAAGUCCUGUCUUGGUUUAGUGUUCGAGUUACUGGCCACUACCGCUUGCACAAGCUAUUCAAACUCACUGUCUGAAUCAGUUCGGUUUCUUGAGUCUCAACUACAAGAUGAAAGACAUCGAUCAGCUGUGCUGCGACAAGAAGCGGAAGGACUGCGAAAGUCCCUGGAGCAUUCAUAUGCAUACUUUCUGCUGCAACAGCAAGCGUUGGAGGAUUUUAGCGCCAAACAGGACAAAGCUAAUCAGCUUGCUAAGCUUAUUGCCAGCAUGGUGGAUACCCAGGAUAACGUUUCUUGAGCUCUUCUGAAGUUGUUUCAGUUAUGCUCUUGUUUUGCUGUCGCGUUUAUUUGCACUGGUGGCCAAUUUUGACGGCCAGUGUAUGUAAUAUGUUGCUUUGUUCCCUAUAUUUGCACAGGUGGCAAACUUUGAUGCCCAGUGGAUGUAAUAUGUGUAAUAGCGGUAAUAGGCUAGCCUUAAUUGCUUGCUUAUUUAUUUUCUUAUUGUCUUGUUUAGUUGUUUGCUUGUAUUCACUGCAGUUCUUUUUCUGUGUUUUUCUAGUGGCCACAAUAGCCUAUUUUUGGUAACUAGGCCAAAAUAAUCAUGGCAACACACAGACUGUUGUAACCAUGGGCCUCCUGCAGGUCGUAUGAUCCAUGAGCCUUCGUUCGGCCGUAGGACCAUUGGCCUUCUAUACGGGUCGUACGAUCCAUCGGCCUUCUAUACGGGUCGUAGGGAUCAAUGGGCCUUCUACGGGCCGUAGGGUCCAUGGGCCUUCUACGGGCCAUACGAUCCAUGGGCCUUCUAUGGGCCGUACUAUCCAUGGGCCUCAUACGGGCCGUAGGAUCCAUGGGCCUUCUACGGGGCGUAUCAUCAUUUCGCCAAUCAUGGGCCGUACUAUUUGUGGACCAUAACGGGCCAUUAAUAGGCCGUAUUUGAUAACUCUAUGAAAACAGUCCAACGGGUUUUUUUUUGACAUGAAUGGCCCAACGUAUUAACGGUCCGCAAACGGGACGACUGUAACGACGGGCUGAAUUUGGCCCACAAGCAGAAAAUGACAGUAUCGGGCCGUAUGUAACCGAAUGCUGCAAGUGAGCCCAAGAAUCAAUGGGCCCUGAGAAGGCUGAAAGAUAACUUCGGCUGGAAACGGCCCAAUGGAAUAACGGGCCGUUAAUGGGCAUAAAGUGAUACACUGUUCAUUACGGGCCAGUUUCACCAUGGGUCGUUAAUGGGCCAAGAGUUACAAAGGUCCUCAUAUGGGCCGAAAGAAGUCAUGGGCCACACAUGGGCUGGAAGUUAAAACGGGAUGAAUCAUAUUGGACGACCCAGAUGACGCUACUGGGCCUAAUUCGGAUAGGGCGUAACGGGCCCUGGGUUAGCGGGUUGUAAAUGGGCUAUAUGUGAACAGGCUGUUAACAGGCUUUCCGUGGGCCGGCCCGCCACCUUUUGACCAAGUCAAACGGGCCGGCCUUUUCACAGGAAUGGGCCUCUGUUGGGCCGUCCCACGUGUCGCCGUAUCAUAGGCGCCUUCGGUCCAAUGAGCGGAUGACAUCUGUCCCAACGGUGAGCCGACACGUGUUUCCUCUAGCCAAUGAUGAUUUUACACGUGGAAAAUCCCCAUUGGUCGGGGCUGUUAACGGGUUAUCGGAUCCAAAACCCGACCCGAUAGCUUAACAGCGUUUCGUUAUGGUGGAUGCCACAUGUCGGUCACCCUUGACGAAAGCACUUCUGUGAUGCGCGAUUUAUCAUCAUGGAAGUGGACACUUUCGUGAUGAUAAUUUUGGUAAUGUCAUGGAACACUUCUACGACAGCACAGGUAUGACUAUCUUGAUUCUGUCAUAAAUUAGUCAUGGAUGUACAUGCAUGACAACAAACGCGACCUACUGUGACAAACACGUAUCAUCACGGAAGUGUAUUUUUUUGUAGUGCCUCCUUUAUAUACGUGGGCAGGGGCCACCCCAAAGACACACAAGUUUCUCUUAACCGUGUGUGGUGCCCCCCUCCACAGUUACACACCUCAAUCAUACCAUCGUAGUGCUUAGGCAAAGCCCUGCACCGGUAGCAUCAUCAUCACCUUCACCACACCGUCGUGCUGACGGAACUCACCCUCGUCCUCAACUGGAUCAAGAGCACGAGGGACGUCAUCGAGUUGAACGUGUGCUGAACGCGGAGGUGCCGUACGUUCGGUACUUAAUCGGUUGGAUGGCGAAGAAGUUCGACUACAUCAACCGCGUUAUUGAAACGCUUCCGCUUUCAGUCUACGAGGGUACGUGGACACACUCUCCCCUCUCGUUUCUAUGCAUCACCUAGAUAGAUCUUGCGUGAUCGUAGGUUUUUUUUUUGAAAUUACCGCGUUCCCCAACACAAAAGAAAUCGGAUAAUACCCAAAGUAAUGUUAAGAUGAGCUUUUUAGUCUUCUCUCACUCUUUUUGAUACCACACUCCAUCAAAUGUGCCACACACUGCCUUUGAUUUUUGAAAGCCUCAUAAUGUGCUCUAGCUUUAUUGUGAGCACUAACAUAUUUACCGACAUGUGUAUCCGGAACACUAGGUCAAUCCUUCCAAUUUCUAAAUCCUACCCUUGUGAAUGCCUCAAUGCCAUUUUUUCGCUCUUGGGUCUUAAAAAGAAAGCAAUAGAAACGAAUGGCUGCUUCUUUAUCAACACUAUAUUCCAGCCAGUCACCAUGCUUCUUGAACCAAUUUGCAUGAAAGCUUCUUUUUUCAAGAAUUUCCUGGGGGUAUUUUUUUAUAUUUAUGAUCAGUUGGUUGGCAUGGACCCACAUUUAUAUAAAUCCAUCUAGCAGCAUCUCUAAUGUCUGGAACUAAACUUUCAAUACGUCUCCUAAGACCAAGAUCAGGUUCAGUAACACAUAAUUGAGCACAUGCAUCAGUAGAGAUACCAUGAUUGUUACUACCGCGAGUUGACAUUGUAGGCGGGUUGCUUGAAGUCGACGGCGGUGGUCCCAUUUCUAUGGUUGUUUUUUGUGUGGUGUUGAUCCAGUCCCCUCAGCCUCUUGACUCCCUCCAUGGCAAAUGAUCGGUGUAGACACCUCCAUUGCGGACACCAGUGAAAAAUAAAACUCUAUCUCCAUAUUAUUUUUGUACAACAUAAAAUGAAAUUAUCAACUACUAUCUCCGUCUUGUUUAUUGCCCCCUUCUUAUUUUCUAUCAAAUUUUGACCAUAGAUUUGACUAACAAAAUAUUAAUGCAUGUCAUCCAAAAUUAAAUUGUUUAAUUAUUGAAAAUACUGGUCAAAAUAUGACGCUAAAUAUGAGGAGGACUGAUAAACCAGGGCAGUACAUCAAUUUGAGUUCAACAAUACCCUAGAUAUAUGACUACACACACACACACACACACACACACACACACACACACUAUUUAUGAUACUACCACUACAAAUGUUAUACAGAUGGAAUAUAUAUUUUUCGUGUAGCCAUCUGGCUUCACAGAGUAUUUUGUUCGCGGGAAAAGGAGUGGAAAAAACGUGUUAGGUAGACGCGAGGAAAUUCGAAAUCCAGGCAACACGACCACAGCAUUUGAACUUGCAACACCAGGUUACGCGGGCAUCGUAAAAUUGAAAUGGCCGCACGAGAGCCCCCUGCCAGUCAGCUGCCCGGUGAACCCGAGCGUCUGCUUCUCCUCGUCGAACAUUAGCAGGUUCUGCUGCAUCUGAAACCCUCCGAGCACCACGGCCGGCGCGGCAACGCCGCCAUACCAGGACUUGUCCCCCGCCUUCAUCUCGACGAAAGCGAAGCACGCCGUGGCGCGGUUCACCUGCGCCAUGGAGUUGAUGCCGAACACCGUCCAGUUCCUGCCGCCUUCCAGCAUCAGCUCGACCGUUGGCACAAAGUAGCCGAACCGCGUCGGCGAAAGCCUGGACGAGUUGUAGCACAGCUCGAACGGCGCCGCAGCCGGUGAGGGGACCCUCGCACCGGUAGUAAUCGCACCCUGGCGUUCCAUGGCCUGGUCGAACGCGUUGAUGAGCGGGCGGUACACGUCGUGGCGGAGCUCCGCGUACGGGAUCGUCGUGGAGAAGCCAAUGGUGAGAGGUGCGUACGAGUCCAGCGGCACCCGCGCUCCGUCCACGGCGAUGCCCCUGCUGGCCGAGAUGUAGUAGCCGGGGGAUUCCCCGUGCUUGCGGAGCGGGGUCCUGCUGCCAAGCAACUCCGUGAUGGACCGCCCAUUCGCCGCGAAGAGCGGGCCACCGCCGAAGAUGGCGACGCCGUUUCCUUGGCCGCUUGGGAGGCAGAGCGCGAACGAGUUAGCGACGCCCUGCGUGCGCGAGACCUGAGCGGGGAAGGCGAGGCCGGAGCGCGCGAGCCCCGCGACGCCGACGGCCCCCACCGGCAGCCCCGCUAACAAGGAGUCCAGCGCGCAGGACGUCACGGCGGUGAACGACACCGGGCCCAACGGGUUCCUUCCGUCGGUGGCGUUGGCGGAGAGCGUGACGCGCGUCAUGUCCCCUGACGCGGUGUCGCCGGAGACGGGGUUGUGCGGGUGCGCGGUGCACUUGCAGCGGUAGGGGUUGUGGGCGUCCGGCAUGCCGUAGCCGGUAUGCUGGCAGUUGGGCGGAUGGAAGCGGUGCGCGCGCAUGCAGUCCAUGUUGUUGCACUCGAGCGUGUCGUGGGAGGCGCCGCCGUCGCAGGUGGACCAGACGAUGGGGCCGGAGAGGUCGAGGACCAGCGGCAGCGGGCGGCUGGACUUGACGGGGAUGGUGUAGAGGGAGGUGCGGCAUCCCUUGUGACGGCCGUCACGAGCGGCCUGCCGCCGCCGUCGCCCGCCACCGUGCAUGCAAGCACACAGAGCGAGAUGGCGACGAGGACGAGGUCCUUUGGUUGCCACAUUUUGGAAUUUGGACUGGCCUGUGCUGUGCUGUGGUCGAUCCAGCAGGUGCCAUUGCUAGCUCCUUAUAUACCGCGCGCGGAGCACUGUGGCUAGAUCGACAGUGUGUGUACGUGAGAGACGAUGAUGUUUGCUGGUUUUCUAACCAAGUUUUUGGCAGGAAGUGGAAGAGUAGAGAGUAGACCCGAUGAGCGUGCCGGGAUUCUCGUUGAUGGCCAUGAGCGAGAGCGACGAGUCCACGAUGAUAUGCACUAGUAUACUGAUCCGGGUGGCGUACAUAGUAGACCUAGCUGUCUGAUAAUUAUGGUCAAAGGGUCGAUCAAUUCAUAGAGGAAACUCUACUUGGAUCCAGAUCUCUCCGCCUCCGCGCAACCAAGAGAAGCUCUCGCACGUGGUUUCAUGUGGAAUUUGCGUUUCAUGCUCUCACGGAGACUGCACUCUGCGGUGUUCUCGCUGCGUGCCGUGAAGGCUGGCCGCCGAGCCACCUCUUCCGUGCGUGUGUGUAGCUGGCUGCCGAGCUCCGGCAUGCAUGCGUCACUUGGCCGCUGAGCAGGGCCGGUCUUAAUUUUGGGGCCCGGGCAAAACUAAAAUUAGGGGCCCUUCAAUAUAAUGAUGACAUGAUAGCCAAUAUGCUAGUUCUCAAAAAAAAAGCCAAUAUGCUAAUAUAUUACGAAAAACAUUUCAAGUGCAUCAAUAUUGCAUCAAACAAUAUAUGCAUAUUACCUUAAAAUCAUAACAUUCUGAGAUGCAUCAUUACUAAUUAAUCUUCAUCCAGUAAUUUCUUCUCGGUGGAUAAAAUUGCACGAUGUAUACUAUAUAGAUUAGGUGAACAUGCCAAAAUUUAAAGAAACAACUGGUAAUUCGAAACUAAUAAAAAGCUACAAAAGUACCCAAUCAAUAACCAUACGGCAUGAGUGAUGGGUUACCUAAAAAAGUUCUUACCGAAUAUAAAGUCAAACUCGCAAGAUGCAAAUGCAUCACUCAACAGUGUCCGUUCAGUCCAUCAUCGUUGUCCUGUCACAAUAAAAAAGAUGCAAUAUCGAUGUCAUCUAUGAAUUUCUGUAUAUCAUCAAGGCACUUAUAGGCUAUUAGGCUAACCUUCUCUCCCAUUCCUAACGUGGCCGCGCGGACAGCAGAAGACUGCCGACUGCCACCGGGCGUCCCUGUGGCCUCAUAGAUCCUGUUCGCCUAGCCUGUUCCUGGCGGCCGCGUGCUGUGGUUGCAUCCGCUGCAAGGAGGUGAACUGAUGGCGAUGCGAUCAGGCAAGGCGACGGCGCUGUAAGGCGAUGAAGCGAUUAGGCAAAAUAGCAAUUAAACUGUCUUGCGCCGGGUGCCAGAUCCGUGCAAGUCGUCAGCGCGAGCGUCGUGCGUGAUCGGCAGCCAGUGAUGCGUCGCUCUAGAUUUCAGGAGUCCUCGUUGUGUGCUUAUAGCGAUCUAGCAGUUGCUACUUGGGCCAGGCCACGCAAGGCAGAACAUGCAACAUCUUCUUUUUUACUGCAAGCUUGAUUUAGAGAAGNNNNNNNNNNNNNNNNNNNNNNNNNNNNNNNNNNNNNNNNNNNNNNNNNNNNNNNNNNNNNNNNNNNNNNNNNNNNNNNNNNNNNNNNNNNNNNNNNNNNNNNNNNNNNNNNNNNNNNNNNNNNNNNNNNNNNNNNNNNNNNNNNNNNNNNNNNNNNNNNNNNNNNNNNNNNNNNNNNNNNNNNNNNNNNNNNNNNNNNNNNNNNNNNNNNNNNNNNNNNNNNNNNNNNNCCGUGGUUGGCGUGCAUUGCACGGUCCAUCAAGAUGUAUUUUUUUUCACAAAACACCUGUUGUGAUUGACCCAUGCGGGAGUAAUCUCAUGUAUAAAAAUUAAAAAAUAAUGAUAUCUCGAGAAAGAGGAGAGAUAAGGUGGGAAGAAGUGGGGCGUGGUGGUGAUUUAUGGUCGGACUGAGCGGAGACAUAGGGAUGGACGACGUCGGCAGCAGCCACCAUGCCAAAUUAUUUCAGAGGCUUCUUUUUUUUAAUUGCUCAACAAUGAGAUUGUGGGAGAUAAGAAUGAAUGAGGGAAAGCCUUAUUUGCAAAUAUGAAAAAAGGUGGGAGUAUCUUUUUACAAAAUUGUCUCGGUUUUCUUUUUCCUGUAACUCUCUCUACGCUGCUUGCCGGCGUCACAAUAGCUACUGGGACGUCCGCGUCGUUCCCAUCAUUCCCGAUUGGGACGGUUGCUGCUGGCCCGAUGUUCUCUCAGCUGCUAGGCCAUGCUUUCUUCAACACCAACACCGUCAUGCCGGCAAUCCUCUUCACUUGGUCUGCCUUGUCCGCCAUAUCAACCACGGAGGGCUCAGCUCCCAGAUCGGGCAGCCCCUGCCUAGCUAAUCCAACGGACCUGCUGCAUCGGCCAUCGCAACCACGGGGGGAGGGCCUAUGCCAACUCCCAGAUUGGACAAUCCAUGCCUGCCUCGGCUCUACCCGACCUCACGGUCCAUCCUUCGGUUGAGGCACCUCUGUCGCCUCCAUUUCACUUCGGCCAUCUUCACACCGUCAAGCUCUCGGCUGACAACUACCUCUACUGGCGUGCACAACUCCAACCUCUCCUUCGCAACCGUUAUGAUGCGGAGCAUCCGUCGGUCAUCCCCAUGGACCUUCCGUCGCCUCACCAAGCACCAAGAGGACCCAUGACAAGAGCACGAGCUCGAGCUCUCGAGACCGAGGUGACUUCUCUCCUUAGUAAAAUAUCAUAUGACCCUCUCGAGACAUGGCUACUACCUCAAUCCGGAAUGUUGUGCAUGAUUAGGUAUCAGGAGGACCCUCCCGAGGAUGCCCAUGAAGAUGGACAAGACCCCAAGUCCAAGGAAGAAGUGAACCAAUGGAAGAAGGCAAAAGAAGCUUCCAAGCACCGGACAUCCGGCCAAGGUCCCGGACAUCCGGUCCCUGGAGAUCCACACGGCUAGCCCCUGCAGAAGAAGGCUACGGCGACCGGACAUCCGGCCUCCAGCCCGGACAUCCGGCCACCCACCGGAAAUCCGGCCUCCCGCCCGGAUAUCCGGCCCAAGCAUCCCGAAUGCAUCGAAGAUGGCCCCAACAGCCCAGACAUCCGGCCUACGCACCGGAUAUCCGGUCCCUCCGGAAGCACCGGACAUCCGGCACCACCAGCCCGGACAUCCGGUCCCUCGUGAACCACCAGACAUCCGGCCCGACGCCCGGACAUCCGGCGCCCCUGCCUGCGCGCAGCCUCUUUGGGCAGAGACCUGUGUAUCCCUUCGCUUCUUGACUAUAUAUACUCCCUCCUCCCGUACGUUUUAGGGUUAGCAUUGAUUUAGCUCAGAUUAGAGAUAGAGCUUCGCUCAUCCAUCGGAUCUCCUCUUCGUGAGAGACCGCGGCCUCCUCGGAGAAGAUCCAAUCGGAUUCAAGACCCCCUCGUGGGAAGAUCCCCUCGCAGAUUCAAGACCUCCUCACGGAGAACAUCGGUUACCUUUGUAUCCUUACCUUUGUUGACUUUGGAUCUCCUGUAUCUCUUUGUGUUCAGUGAUCUAGCACUCGUGUGAUUGAUUCUAUGUCGGUUUAGUGUUUCUCUCUCGUUUUCUCCGUGUUUCCCCUUCGUGCUUCCGUGUAUUCUUCGUGAAUCCAUGUAGGAUCCCCUCCAAACGUGAAAGAUCGUCCACAUAGGGUUCCGCCCUACAUCAUCUUGGUAUCAUGAGCCACGUUGAUGACGUUUUUGGAGCCCCUACCCCUCCUUUUCUAGCUUGAUUUUGUUGUUUUCGUCCUAAAUCCGAAAAUUCCCCACCAAAAAUAGCCCCAAAAUAUUUUGUGAUUUGUUGGUGAGUUGAGAUUUUGUUGGAUUUGGUCCAUGGAUUUGUGUUGCUGCGUGUGGAUCUAGCUUUCCCCACCCUCCCCACCCUUUUUCCAUCCACCAAUCCGUCCAAAUUUUGCCCCGGAAUUGCGAAUUUUCCCGUGGAGUUCAUCGUGUUCGUCCCCGAUCCAGGAGCCCGGACAUCCGCCGUGUCCACCGGAGAUCCGGUGUACCGGACAUCCGGCGUCUGGCCCGGACAUCCGACCCCUGGCAGCAGCAGUUCCACCCCGCGCCACCAUCCACCAUAUCCUCGCCCAAUUUUGCCCCGGAGCCCACGUCUACUUCCGCAUAACCAUACCACCUUCAACAAACACCACCACCGCUAACCGCUACCUCCUAUGUCGAUUUUGACACGUUUUGGUCUUUGAGAGUUUGGGUUGUAGUUUUCCGUGUCCUAUUGUGUUUCGGCUAUAUAGGUACGGUUCGACUCCAUCAUCACCACCGCUCAUCUCCAUCGACUACUCAUCAUCGCCAAGGACGGUAACUUCGAUGACAUCUUUGUCAUACCUUGCAAUUGCAUUGAUAACCCACAUUGCCUCAUUUUGCGUAGCUUACCCACCGAGACUAGCCGUUGAGUAUUGCAGGCAACGUGACUUGUGCACAUUAGUGAUCAUACUCCAUAGCAUACAUACCAUACAAUAGUGGUGCAUAUCUUGAGAUCAACUUGUGUGUCACAAAGUUGUCAUAGCAUACACAAUUGUUAUCUUGGUUCGUGAGAUUUUGCAUAAGAAAAGAUCUCAAAAGUGAAAUAGCCACCCAAGCUUUUAAGCAAAGAGGAAAGAUAAGCAAAGAGCUUAUAAGCAAGAACCAUAGCAUCAUACAACAUUAAGAAUGUCAUAUCCGAUCAUCUUGGAUCAUAGCACCGAAAUAUCAUACAUAUAGCAUACUUGGGAUAGAGAUCGUUGCAUUUUUGCCUUCUAGGUUGUGCACAAGUUUGCGUAUCCGCCUAUUGUGCAAUCGUGCUAGCCUCUCUCUAGUAUUGUGCAACAAGAGCAUUUUCGUGGUUUCCACAUUUUGGCUCACUUUUGGAUUGCACAAUCCCAUUUAUCUAUUUGCGUGUGUGUUUCCAUGUACCCAUACUUUCUUGGUCUACUUGUUGCAUUUGCAAAUUUGUGAAUCUUUUCCAACAUUAUUGAAGCUCACUUACUAUUGCAUCAAAUUUUGUGCCACCAUCCUAACCAAGCUCCACCAUAAGCUUUUACGUGUGUAGGUGUGAGAACCGACAAGAAUUGGUACCAACAGUGCUAUUUCAUUGUCCGCAUUUGAGUGAACUUGAUUCAUCUUCAACUUCGGUCAAGGUACAUUUGGUACACGUUCUUUUCCUUCUACCACUUACAUUUUGCUUGGAAUGAUGGAUAGGCCAAGUUCUUCUACCACACCACCUCUGAUCGAGAACGACGACGACAUGACAUCAUUUGUCACCAAGAGCCACCUAUUUGGAGCUCAAAAGGCAUUGCACCAAGAACAACAAGCAAUGAGGGACUACUUCGACAACAAAUUCGACGCUCAAAAGCAAGAGAAUGAUGCAAGAAUGGAUGAUAUCCGCGCCUUCAUGAGGAACCGGCGUCCUUCCACUUCUUCAUCCUCGAGACGGAGCCGCUCGAGUCGACACUCCGACGACACCUUCUCCGACUCAAGUACACCGUCAUCGAACACUCUUUGACGAGCAGCGCGCCAAGACCGUCAUGCGUCUCGCAACCCACUACAUGACAAGCAUUCACAAGAGCAAUUCGAUGAGCAUCUACCUCGUCCUCAAUCAAACCAAGUCGCUUUUGCUCAAGCCCAAGAACGACAACGACUACGGCGCCAAGAAUAAGAACGAGCGCCUCUACACCAAGAGGAACAAGACGCCGAGGCUCAACGUCUUCAACAACAACAACAUGAAGCGCAAGCUCUUGAGGCGCAACGUGCCCUUCAAGAAUCAAGUCGAGCCAUCGCCAAUCGCAAUCGCGAGAGGCGCAAUCAAGAAGAAGCUCUUCGCGAAGAAAUCCAAGAGAGGAACUACCAACCGCGUGUGCAACGUCAAGCUCCACAAGCUCGUCAAGCUCCACCUCAACCUCAAGUUCAACAAGAGCAAGUUGAUAAUGGACUUCCUCCGCGCCAAGAGCAACAUGAGGAUGAUUACCCUCCACGUCAAGGGCGUCAUCAUCACCAUCGCCAACAACACAAUGAAGAGCAACGCUAUGGCAAGCUCAAGUUCACAAUGCCCAAGUUCAAUGGAAGCAAUGAUCCCGAAGAGUACCUCUCAUGGGCAUUGAAGGUCGACAAAAUCUUUCAUUUGCACAACUAUGAGGAAGAGAAGAAGAUCGCUAUGGCAUCACUUGAGUUCCAAGACUAUGUGCUCAUAUGGUGGGAACAAGUCCUUGAACGCCGUCAAGCAAGAGGUGAACCACCAAUCACCACUUGGGCUCAAAUGAAGGAUGUCAUGCGAGCACGUUUUGUGCCAACCUACUACAACCGCGAUCUCUUCAAGAAGCCACAACUCCUCAAGCAAGGAACAAAGAGUGUUGAAGAAUACUACAAAGAAAUGGAGAUAGCCAUGAUUUGAGCCAAUGUGAAGGAAGAUGAUGAGCAAACAAUGGCACGUUUCUUGAAUGGACUCAACCAUCCCAUCAAGAAGAUUGCCGACUUCCAACCAUACUCCAACCUCAUUGAGCUCGUACAUCAAGCUACCAAGGCCGAACGUCAAGUGCAAGAUGACUUCAAGUACGCCAAGUACUCAUCCAAGCCCUACGGUUUAUCCAACAACCAAGCUUCAACGACUCCUCCAACAUCUACAUCAACCAAGCCUUAUCCAAGCAACGACGACAAGUCAAGUUACAAGAAAACUUCGGCAAGUUCAAGUCGUCCUCCUCCUACUACAAGCAACUUCAAGCCGCGUGCUUCAUCAUCUACUCCGACCGAUGAGACCGUCAAAACAAGCUCCUACAAGUGUUUCACUUGCGGCGGCCGAGGCCACAAGUCCUUCCAAUGCAUGAACAAGCGCACCAUGAUCCUCAACGACGAUGGUACAUACGACUCCAUGAGUGAAGAGGAGAUGGAAGCCCUUGAGCAAGUGGCCAUGCACCGACGUGUGAACGAGGAUGAAGAUGAUCAAGUCUUUUGUGAUGAGGAUUCAAGCCCCGCUCUCGUUGUCUCCAAAGUCUUGACUCUUCAACAUCAACAAGAAGAGGACCAACGAUGCCACAUCUUCCACACAAAGGCCGGCAUCAAUGGAAGGUUCGUCAAGGUCAUCAUCGAUGGAGGUAGUUUCCACAACUUGGCAAGUGAAGAACUAUGCUCCAAGCUUCAAUUGGUCAAGAGGAAGCACCCGCACCCCUACAAGGUUCAAUGGCUAAGUGAAUCCGGCACUAUACGAGUUGAGCAUACGGUCCAAGUCUCCUUCAAAAUUGGUGCUUAUGAGGACACUUUGGAGUGUGAUGAAUGACCGUUUGCCACCUCCUUCUUGGUCGACCAUGGCAAUUCGACCGUGGUGCCAUCCACAAUGGGCGUACCAAUCACUAUAGCUUCAAGAUGAAAGGGAAGGAAUAUGUGCUACGACCUAUGUCUCCUAGUCAAGUGAUAGCCGACAAGCAAACCACCAAUCAUGGAGAGAAGAGUGUGAAAGUGAUCCACCCAAAAGUGAGUGAGAGCCAAAAUCCAAAUUUGAGAGCCUCUUCGCCUAGAGAGAAAAACCUCAUCCUAUUUGCCACCAAAAGUGAGAUGAGAGAAGUGUGUGAGAACCCAUCGAGUGUGAUGCACUUUGUCCUUGUGUGCAAGGAUGGAGAAUCAAAAACUAACACUUCUCACGAGCUACCUUUAGUGUUUCAAUCUCUUUUGCAGGAAUUCCAAGAUGUUUUCCCCGAUGAGCUACCUCCGGGUCUACCUCCAUUACGAGGCAUUGAGCAUCGAAUCGACCUCAUCCCCGGAGCGCCACUUCCAAACAAAGCUCCAUACCGUGUCAACCCCGAAGAAACCAAGGAGAUUCAACGGCAAGUACAACAACUCAUCGACAACGGUCAUGUACGUGAAAGCUUAAGCCCUUGUGCCGUUCCCGUUAUACUUGUGCCUAAGCCCGAUGGAAGUUUCCGCUUGUGUUCUGAUUGUAGACCUAUAAAUGCUAUUACCGUUCGCUACAGGCAUCCCAUUCCUCGCUUAGAUGAUAUGCUUGAUGAGCUUAGCGGAGCCAACUUUUUCUCAAAAAUUGAUCUUAAAAGUGGCUAUUAUCAAAUCCGCAUACAAGAGGGUGAUGAAUGGAAAACUGCUUUCAAAACAAAAUUUGGCUUAUAUGAGUGGUUAGUUAUGCCUAUGAGUCUAUCGGAAGCUCCCGGUACUUUCGUGCGUCUUAUGCAUCAUGUGCUUCGAGCUUACAUUGGAGUCUUUGUUGUGGUUUACUUUGAUGAUAUUCUUGUGUUUAGCAAAACCAUGAAAGAGCAUAUUAAUCAUGUUAAAUCUGUUUUGCAAACCCUUCGCAAGGAAAGCCUUUAUGCAAACUUGAAAAAAUGCACGUUUGGCGUUGACAAAGUGGUUUUCUUGGGUUUUGUUGUAUCUUCCAAAGGUGUCCAUGUUGAUGAAACUAAUAUUGAGGCAAUUAAAACUUGGCCCCAACCCACCAAUUUGCAACAAGUGCGCAGUUUUCUUGGUCUUGCAGGAUUUUAUCGCCGCUUUUGAAAAGUUUAGCAAAAUUGCCGCUCCUUUGCAUGCCUUGAGUAAGAAGAAUGCUCCUUUUGUUUGGGGAUCUUUGCAAUCCACCUCUUUUGAUGAGCUCAAGUCAUUGCUUACUCAUGCUCCGAUUCUUGCUUUGCCCAACUUUGAGAAAACUUUUGAGGUUCAUUGUGAUGCUAGUGGUACCGGAAUUGGCGGAGUUUUGAUGCAAGAAAAACGAGCCAUUGCUUAUUUUAGUGAAAAACUCUCCGGUGCUCAACUUAACUAUCCCAUCUAUGACAAGGAAUUAUAUGCUUUAGUGUGUGUGCUACAUGUUUGGGAACAUUAUCUUAGACCUCAUGAGUUUGUCAUACACACCGAUCAUGAAACGCUUAAGUACUUAAAAGGUCAAACUAAAUUGAACAAGCGUCAUGCCAAAUGGAGUGAAUUUAUUGAAUCUUUUCGUUAUGUGAUCAAGUACAUUAAGGGUAAGGAAAAUGUAGUUGCGGAUGCACUUUCACCCAUAUGCACACUUGUCACUCAACUUGAGUUGAAUGUAAUUGGUUUUGAGCAUAUAAAAGACUUGUAUGAGCAUGAUCCUUCUUUUGCUAACCCUUAUGCUAAGUGUUUGACGCACACGUCUUGGGAACGAUACUACAUAAAGGAUGAUUAUCUUAUGAGAGCUAACAAACUUUGCAUUCCUGAGUCUUCUCUUCGUUUGCUACUUUUGCAAGAGGCUCAUGGAGGCGGACUCAUGGGACACUUUGGACGUGACAAGACAUUCGCCACGCUCUCCAAGAACUACUUUUGGCCCAAGAUGUUCUGUGACGUCUCAUGCUUCACCAACCGUUGCUCUACAUGUCGCAAAGCUAAGUCUAAAGCUCAAUCCCAUGGUCUUUACAUGCCACUUCCUAUUCCUUAUCAAUCUUGGGAAGACAUUAGCAUGGAUUUUGUACUUGGUUUGCCUAGAACUCAAAAUGGCAAGGAUUUUGUCUUUGUUGUUGUGGACCGAUUUUCUAAGAUGGCACAUUUCAUUCCUUGCAACAAGAUAGAUGAUGCUUCACAUAUUGCCAAUCUCUUUUGUAGGGAAAUCUUGCGACUUCAUGGAGUGCCAAAGACGAUUGUCUCGGACCGCGAUGUCAAGUUCUUGAGUUACUUUUGGAAGACCCUAUGCGCCAAGCUUGGCAUCAAGCUAUUGUUCUCUACGGCAUACCAUCCUCAAACCGACGGCCAAACGGAGGUGACGAACCGUACACUCUCCACUCUACUUCGCGUGUUGAUCAAGAAGAACAUCAAGGAGUGGGAGGCGUGUCUACCCAUCGCCGAGUACGCCUACAACCAUGCAAGACAUUCGACGACCGGCAAGUCCCCCUUCGAGGUCGUCUACGGCUUCAACCCGUUGUCCCCAUUGGACAUUCUACCUCUUCCUCUACAAAAGCGCACCAACCUCGACGCAAAUGCCCGUGCAAGCUACAUCAAGAAGAUGCAUGAAGAUACAAGGCACACCAUCGAGCGCCAAGUACAACGACUAGCGACCAAGCUCAACGUCAACAAGCAUCCCAUGAUAUUCAACAUUGGAGACCUCGUGUGGCUACACCUUCGCAAGGACCGUUUCCCCAACGAACGCAAGUCCAAGCUUCUCCCUCGAGCCGACGGACCCUUCAAGGUGCUAGCACGCUACAACAACAAUGCUUACAAGAUCGAUCUCCCACGCGACAAGUACAAUGUGAGCGACAUCUUCAACGUCUCUGAUCUCUCCCCGUACCAUGGUGAUGAGGAUUUUGAUCCGAGGUCGGAUCUUUCACAAGGGGGGGGGGGAGAUGAUGCGGAGCAUCCUUCGGUCAUCUCCAUGGACCUUCCGUCGCCUCACCAAGCACCAAGAGGACCCAUGACAAGAGCACGAGCUCGAGCUCUCAAGACCGAGGUGACUUCUCUCCUUAGUAAAAUAUCAUAUGACCCUCUCGAGACAUGGCUACUACCUCAAUCCGGAAUGUUGUGCAUGAUUAGGUAUCAGGAGGACCCUCCCGAGAAUGCACAUGAAGAUGGACAAGACCCCAAGUCCAAGGAAGAAGUGAACCAAUGGAAGAAGGCAAAAGAAGCUUCCAGGCACCGGACAUCCGGCCAAGGUCCCAGACAUCCGGUCCCUGGAGAUCCACACGGCCAGCCCCUGUAGAAGAAGGCUACAGUGACCGUACAUCCGGCCUCCAGCUCGGACAUCCGGCCACCCACCGGAAAUCCGACCUCCCGCCCGGAUAUCCGGCCCAGGCAUCCCGAAUGCACCGAAGAUGGCCCCAACAGCCCGGACAUCCGGCCUACGCACCGGACAUCCGGUCCCUCCAGAAGCACCGGACAUCCGGCACCACCAGCCCAGACAUCCGGUCCCUCAUGAACUACCGGACAUCCGGCCGACGCCCGGACAUACGGCGCCCCUGCCUGCGCGCAGCCUCUUUGGGCAGAGACCCGUGUAUCCCUUCGCCCCUUGACUAUAUAUACUCCCUCCUCCCAUACGUUUUAGGGUUAGCGUUGAUUUAGCUCAGAUUAGAGAUAGAGCUUCGCUCAUCCAUCGGAUCUCCUCUUCGUGAGAGACCGCGUCCUCCUCUGAGAAGAUCCAAUUGGAUUCAAGACCCCCUCGUGGGAAGAUCCCCUCGCAGAUUCAAGACCUCCUCACGGAGAACAUCGGUUACCUUUGUAUCCUUACCUUUGUUGACUUUGGAUCUCGUGUAUCUCUUUGUGUUCGGUGAUCUAGCACUCGUGUGAUUGAUUCUAUGACGGUUUAGUGUUUCUCUCUCGUUUUCCCUGUGUUUCCCCUUCGUGCUUCCGUGUGUUCUUCGUGAAUCCGCGUAGGAUCCCCUCCAAACGUGAAAGAUCGUCCACAUAGGGUUCCGCCCUACAUCACAUUAUCUCAAGGGUUUUAUUGAUGGGACAUUGUUGUGCCCCAUGCAAUUCGUAUCACAGAAUACGAUUGUCGAUACUCAUGUCACAAUGCUCAACUCGGCGUACCGAGCCUGGAUCGCCCAAGACCAAGAGGUCCUCUCCGCCAUCCGGUCCUCUCUCACUGACGUUAUGUCCAGCAUGGUUCUCUUUGCCACCACGUCUCAGGAUGCGUGGUCCAUUCUUGAUGGGAGUUUUGCAUCUCAGUCCACGGCGCGUUCUAUGGUCUGAAGCAGGCACCCCGUGCUUGGCAUGCUAGCCUUGCAACUAGUCCCCAUGCUCAUGGUUUUGUUCCAUCGACGGCUAAUACACCACUGUUCCUUUUCCAACGCUCCGAUGUCCCCAUCUAUCUUCUGAUUUAUGUUGAUGACAUCAUUCUUGUCAGUUCCUCAGCGACUGCUGCUGAUCUCGUCUUCUCUCAGCUCUUCGUUCUAAUUUUGCUAUUAAGGACCUUGGAAAGCUUCAUUGUUUCCUAGGAUUGGAGGUUGCUCACACUUCUGAUGGACUCUAUCUCACUCGGAAGAAGUAUUUCUUGGACCUCUUACGUCAUGUUGGUAUGCUCAAGUGCAACCCCUCCUCCACACCCAUGUCUGCUACUGACAAGCUUUCUGCUGUUCAUGGUGAUCUUCUAUCUCCUUAUGAUGCUACUGAGUAUCGUAGUCUUCUUGGUGGCCUGCAGUAUCUCCCUAUCACCAGACCAGACAUUGUCUUUGCACGGACGCGUUCACGGAUGUUUGAGGGAUGUAGAUGCUCUAAUACUUGUGGCGCAGGGGCUUGUUCUUUUAGUGGGAUGCCACAUAAAACAGUUUUUGGAAGGUUAUGUAGACUUGUUUCCAGCAACUAUUUUGUUUUAUGUGUUUCUUUUAUCAACUUUUUCUGGUUUCUCAUGUUUUUUCUUUUUUUUCCUUUCAUUAUUUUUUCUUUUUUUCUUUGUGUUUGGUCUUCUAUAUGGAUUUUUCACUAAUUUCUAUGUCUGUUUUCAAAGCUUUUUUUAGGUUUCGAUUUUCUGUGUUUCUUUAUCUCUUUUACAAGUGUCUAAUAUUUGUCAUGCACAUCUUACAGUUUUCAUAUAAAUUGGAAAUAUUUGUAUCUACUUUAAAUAUAUUUUGUAUAAAUUGGAAAUAUUUGUUCUACUUUUGUUCGGAUGAUGGGUUGCUAACCUGGCUUAGCCUGCAGAUCCAUAUCUAUCCAUAGAGACCUCAUGUUCCAGAAAUUCGACGCCCACUUGCCUCAAGCAGUGCACGCGAUACGAACCAAGCGCCAAUGGCCCGCCCAACUUUGAAGAGCUCUACUAGAGCGAUUUUGUUAUAUUUUUUAAACUAGUUGUUUGAUGUUUUGCUCUUAUGUUUUUUCCUUACAAUUGUUUUUCAGAAAUUUGUUAGCUGUGUGUUAAAAAUAAAUUGUGUGUAUUAAAAAAUGUGCAACAUGUAUUAUUAAAAGUUCACCAUACGUUAAAAAAAGUUCACCUUGUAAAAUAAAAAUUUCACAGUAUGUUUAAAAAUGUGCACUGUACAUUCCAAAAAUCACUAUAUAUAUAAAAUGUUUAGUGCAUAUUAAAAAAUUUAGGUACAUUUAAAAAAGUAUUUUUAUAUAUUAGAAUAAUGUUCAUCUUACGUAAAUAAAGAAUUCAAAAGAAAAAGGAAAAGAAUAUAAUACAAACCAGUUCGAAUAGAAAAUAAAAAAGCAGAAAAAGAAAGUAUGAAACAGAAGAAAAAAAGCGUGGCAAACUAAACAUGCGGUCAUUUUUUAAUAAAUUUUUCAUGCACAUCUUACAUUUGCCAUAGAAAUUGGAAAUAUUUGUAUCUACUUGAAAGACUAUUUAUAAAUUGGAAAUAUUUGUAUCUACUUUUGUUCGGAUAAUGGACACAUAACCUGGCAUGGCCUGCAGACCUCAUGUUCAAGAAAUUCAACGCCCACUGGCAUCAAGCAGUGCAUGCGAUUCCUGAACCGAGCGCCAAUGGGCCGGCCCAAUUUUAAAGAGCUCUACUUCAGCGAUUUUCUUACGUUUGUUAUGGUUACUAAAAAAAAUGAUAUGUUUGUUAUGUGUUUUAAACUACUCCCUCCGUUCCAAAAUAGAUGACUGGAAUGGAGGGAGUAGCUGUUUGAUGUUUUGCUCUUAUUUUUUUUUGUUAACAAUUGUUUUUCCGAAAUUUUUUGGCUGUGUAUUUUUAAAAGUUUUGUGUGUUGCAUAUAUUAUUAAAAGCUCUCCAUACACUAAAAAAGUCACCUUGUGAACAAAAAGUAAACCGUACAUUAAAAAAGAUCUCACCAUACAUUAAAAAAGUUCACUAUUGUGAGCACUAUUGUGAGCGUGCACACAUUUUAACUUAAUCUACACGCAUGCCGCUCCUAAUCAGGCGCGGGUCGCGGAGAAGGCAGCAUGUUGAUUGAGGGUAACCGCAUGUGGAGGAUUGGUCAGUAUUCAUUGGCAGUAAUUCUCUUACGAUGUGUUGAUCAGUAUUCAUUGCCAGUAAAAUAUUAAGUAUAGAUGAUAAUAGACCUAGAUAUUUUACCGGCACUGAGAUAUCGUAGGUUUCAUCCAGUAAUAGAUUAAGUAUAGAUAGUAAUCGACCUAUUCUUUUACCAGCAUUGAGUUACCGAUGGUUUUAUCAGUAAAUUUAGUAAAACCUUCGCCAGACAUGUAGUAAUAUAUAACUAUAGUAACAUAUUAAGCAUGGAUGGUAAAUGGACCUAAGUUCAUUCAGUAAUUGAUUGAGUGUAGAUAGUAAUUGACCUAUUCUUUUUACCGCAUUGAGUUACCAUUGUUUUAUCACUAAAUGUAGUAAAACCUUUGCCAGACAUGUAGUAUUGUAUUACUAUAGUAACAUAUUAAGCAUGGUUACUACCGAAACUGAAAAUGAUGAUGUAUUAAUAGCAGUAUGUACAAAGAAGAGUGCAACUAUGGUAACAUGUAGUACUAAUUAUUAGAUUAUCAUAGCAGCAGUAAAGGGAUUAGCACCUAGUGACCGGUCAAUGCACAAUCGUGGGGUCGUGGGAACAAAAUAAAAUUGAAGUAUAUUAUUUUAAGGAAAAUUGUACGUGAUUGUAAUCCCUUUACUGCUGCUAUGAUACUGAUAGUAAUAACUACGUCCCACAUACACUUUUACUAUGCUCAUUUAGGCGAGCGGCGAGGGGUUGGUCGUAAGACGUUAUGGUAGACUUUUACCCACGAUUCCACGCGCCCUUUCAUGUGGUUAGCGCGUCUGCGUGCUUAGCGCGCCGGUUGGCGCGAAGCGGCCGGAGCGUAGGAUAUGCCACAGUGCCCACAAGGCACACUUUAGCAAGCCUACUUUACAAAUGUUUAUCCUAUAAGAAAAUAAUCUUCAUCGUAUAUAAAGAAAAAAAAGGAAAAACAAACCCAAAGAGAAAAUUUUAAACCAGUUAGAAUAAGAAAAAAAAGCAGAAAAAGAAACUACAAAAAUGAAAGAAAAAAGUGACCAACCAAACAUGCGACCAAUUUUAAUUGUUUUUGUUGCAAUGAGUUAGUCUACUUUUAUAUAUACACAAACACACUCGAAAUAGUUGCACUAUUUUUUACUGCCUUUGGUAUACGAGUAACACAAAAGAACACCUGUGAGAACAGCAUUGCUACACAUACGACAUUCCUUGCACGAUUUAUGGACGACAGAGCCAGCUGAGCCUUUAAUCACAUUUGAUGCGUGGAUUUGCACCGUUGGAUCAUCGGUCGUGCAAGCAUCGUCCAAGGACUGUCGUUCGUCAAGUAGUUUCGCCUGUGAGAAUGCUGUGUACACAUAAUAUAAGGCUGUAAAGUUUCCCCAGUCGGUGGCCCACCGAAUUUUACUCGCAGCAGGAGAGAAGUGCUACUAGUCAAUUUCUAGUGGCCCUGCUUUUGCUCGGCCGCCGCACAUUGGAAGCGGCGAGAAAACCUCAAAAAAGAAACGAAAAAGUAAGCGAGAAAGAACAAUCUUGUCGGUAGUAGACGCGAGUAGUCCAUUUUUGCGGCAGAGCGGUAGCAGUACCAUCCAAGCUGUAGGGUCGGCAUGGUUUGUCUACGGUGUAGGGUCGCCGGUGAAUCCGGUGUGCAGAGAUCGCACUUGCUCCAGAAGACCAGAACCCACGGUAUAUAAUGAGACGCACAUGUGUCGAUCUAGACAUCCACUUCCACACCCACAAACAAUUCCACGCUCCAUCUGUGCAAGAAAGAUGCCACCAGUGCUCCUCCUCGUCCUGGCCGCCUCGCUCGUGGCGCUGCCGUCGUGCCAAAGCCUUCCGGUGCUCGCUCCGGUCACCAAGGACCCCGCCACCUCCCUCUACACAAUCCCCUUCCACGACGGCGCCAGCCUCGUCCUCGACGUCGCCGGCCCUCUCGUCUGGUCCACGUGCGAUGGCGGCCAGCCGCCCGCGGAGAUCCCGUGCAGCAGCCCCACCUGCCUCCUCGCCAACGCCUACCCCGCCCCGGGCUGCCCCGCUCCCAGCUGCGGCAGCGAUAAGCACGACAAACCGUGCACGGCGUACCCGUACAACCCGGUCAGCGGCGCGUGCGCCGCAGGGAGCCUCUCCCACACGAGAUUCGUGGCCAACACCACCGACGGGAGCAAGCCGGUGAGCAAGGUGAACGUCGGGGUCCUGGCGGCGUGCGCGCCGAGCAAGCUCCUGGCGUCGCUGCCCCGGGGCUCCACGGGCGUGGCCGGGCUCGCGAACUCCGGCUUGGCGCUGCCGGCGCAGGUGGCAUCCGCGCAGAAGGUCGCCAACAGGUUCCUCCUCUGCCUCCCCACCGGCGGCCCUGGCGUGGCCAUAUUUGGCGGCGGCCCGGUCCCGUGGCCGCAAUUCACGCAGUCGAUGCCUUACACGCCGCUCGUCACCAAGGGCGGCAGCCCCGCGCACUACAUCUCGGCCAGGUCCAUUGUAGUGGGGGACACCCGCGUCCCCGUACCGGAGGGCGCGCUCGCCACCGGCGGCGUGAUGCUCAGCACGAGGCUACCCUACGUCUUGCUCCGCCCCGACGUGUACCGCCCGUUGAUGGACGCGUUCACCAAGGCCCUGGCGGCGCAGCAUGCCAACGGAGCGCCCGUGGCGCGCGCAGUGGAGGCUGUGGCGCCGUUCGGGGUGUGCUACGACACGAAGACGCUGGGCAACAACCUCGGCGGGUACGCGGUGCCCAACGUCCAGCUGGGGCUCGAUGGCGGCAGUGACUGGACGAUGACCGGGAAGAACUCGAUGGUGGACGUCAAGCAAGGGACGGCGUGCGUUGCGUUCGUGGAGAUGAAGGGAGUGGCGGCCGGCGACGGCAGGGCGCCGGCGGUGAUCCUCGGAGGGGCCCAGAUGGAGGACUUCGUGCUCGACUUCGACAUGGAGAAGAAGCGGCUCGGGUUUAGCAGGCUGCCGCACUUUACGGGUUGCGGCGGCCUGUAAUAAUAAAUCUGUUUAACGACAGGUGGAUUCGUCCACUACUGCGUGUAAUAAAUAAGGGAAGAAACACUUUCCAUCAGUGGUUUCAUAAGAAGCGGCCAUCAGACCCAUCGUCGUCCGUUGAUUCUGGUUAAAUCUCACGGUCAAGAUACCUCUUAUCCCGUCGCCCUUAAAAAAAAUCAUUCGCCUUCAUAACCCCCUCCAAAAUCUCCCGCACGAAUAUCCCUCCGAGGCUCCGACCCUCCCCCUUCAUAUCCAAAAAUGCUACACUUACGGGUGGCAUUGCACGGUUAUGGUUAUUCGCCGCAUAACCACAAACAUUUGAUCCAAAAAUGCUACACUUACGGGUGGUAUAUGUUGUGGAUCGAGCCAAUCUUUGGCAUGCACCACCACCCUCUCCGCCACUACCACUCAAACGACGUCCUCGGGAAAGAAAUCAACCUCGACAUCCUCUCGACCACCAUCACCACCAUCACCACCCCCUCGGCCACCAUCACCACCACCCCCUCGGCCACCAUCACCACCACCCCCUCGGUCGCCAGCAACAUUCUGAAGAGAGGCCAAGAUUUCUCUGAAGAGAGGACAAGAUUUCUUCACGAGUGAGCCCGUUUGCCUCCGGUAGGUGCGGUGGGAGGGCGGCGUGCCGUUGCCGGAGACACGGUGGCCACCCCGGACACAAUUGGCGCAGUUGGAGGCGGAGCUUGGACCCAGUGGUUCUUUGUCAUCCCCAAGCUUUUUGCCGCCGCAGGAUGGAGUAUAUUUAGGGAAAUCNNNNNNNNNNNNNNNNNNNNNNNNNNNNNNNNNNNNNNNNNNNNNNNNNNNNNNNNNNNNNNNNNNNNNNNNNNNNNNNNNNNNNNNNNNNNNNNNNNNNNNNNNNNNNNNNNNNNNNNNNNNNNNNNNNNNNNNNNNNNNNNNNNNNNNNNNNNNNNNNNNNNNNNNNNNNNNNNNNNNNNNNNNNNNNNNNNNNNNNNNNNNNNNNNNNNNNNNNNNNNNNNNNNNNNNNNNNNNNNNNNNNNNNNNNNNNNNNNNNNNNNNNNNNNNNNNNNNNNNNNNNNNNNNNNNNNNNNNNNNNNNNNNNNNNNNNNNNNNNNNNNNNNNNNNNNNNNNNNNNNNNNNNNNNNNNNNNNNNNNNNNNNNNNNNNNNNNNNNNNNNNNNNNNNNNNNNNNNNNNNUUAUACUCCGUUAGCGUUUUUAGGGGAUCGGCUAGGUCCGCUGUAAAGGAGUAAACCAAAAAACUUACUCCCUUAUGGCCGUUUUGGGGAUCGGUUAUAAAUGCCCUUAGGAGGAGCGAUCCUCUCAUCUACUCCAUGCUUGGUGCUUCGGCAGGUUGCUCAAACGCCUGUUAGGUUGCAACCGUCGGCCAGAGAACCAGCAGCGGCCUCCGGUAUUUCCCCUCUCUUCGAAUCUUCAGGUUAUUUCCAAUCUGACGAUUUGUUAUGUCCCCCCAUCAUCUAUGCUUGCUUCAGUUUAUUUCCAAUCUGACGAUUUGUAAUUUCAACAUUGCAAUAACGUUUCUAAACAUUGUGUGCCGACUACUCAUUGUGUGCCUAUAUGUUGAUCUUCUCAUGUAUUAGGCCAUUUGAUCAUCUAAUAAUUUCCUUGUUAGUCUAGAAUUCUUUUAUUGUUGUGGUAUUUAGAUCAUCAGAGCUUGCGUACGUGUGUUGGCAGCAAUCAUACUAAUUACCUAGUUUCAAAAUUCAAUGGUUCCAAUGAAGAUGAGAAUUGGUGAGAUAUUAACCUUUAUAUGCUUCCUAUAUAUGAAGCUACAAAUAUUUCUGAAGUGUAGAUAGUUUUUGCUACCAAUGCAUCUUGCGUCUUAUUUUACAAUUUAGUUAUUGUUUUCGUUAUCACCAUUGGACACAUGGCAUGCUCCCAUAUGAUUAUGCAUAUGUUUCUUCGUUUUAGGUAGUUUGAUUCCGUAGUUCUAGCCUUCUAGGUUCCAAAUUUUGGUCUUAAUUUGUAUGCACGGUUCUAUUGUAUUGUUUGCAUUCUAUUUAUCAGUACUGCAGCAUACACAUAGUGCCAUUGUUGUUUCCUACCUUCGAUACUUAUGCAUUAUGCCUACAUGCAUGUGGGCAAUACUUGGCGGCCUCCGCGUAUAGGGCGCAGUUCCUAGGGACGGUCCUUCCUCCCAUGGACAAAAUGGUUUGGAAGGUUUGGGCACCCCCAAAGUCAAAAUUUUUGCUUGGUUGGCCCUUCAAGACAGAGUUUGGACGGCGGAUAGAUUGGCAAAGCGUGGGUGGCCAAAUUGCGAUCUCUGCCCUCUUUGCAGCAUGGUGCAAGAGUGUGGAGCUCACCUCUUCUACAAGUGCAACUACACCCGACGUCUUUGGUCUUUGGUCAUUGAGAAAUUCCUCAUGCACGGGCUUGACACUUCCGCUGGGCCCCUGUUCGACUCGGUGGACGAGUGGUGAGCUAGCACCUGCGCCGAUGGUACGCUGAACCACCAAGCCAAGGCCUCCCUCACUAUGCUCGUCUCAUGGACAAUUUGGAACGAGUGUAACGCAAGAGUGUUUAAGCAUAAGAGUGCUCCACCGCCAAUCUUGCUCUCCUCCAUCUCUACGGAGGCCAACCUUUGGGUCAUUGCCGGCGCAAAGAAGGUAGGGUCUUUUAUUUCACGCGAGUAAUCCGCAUGCCAUGCUUGUUGGGUGUCUUGUUACAAACUAUUUUCUAUCUUAAUUAAUGGAUGAGGCAAAGCUUUUGCCUCCGUUUCAAAAAAAAUGCUUCAAGCAGCCUUCUUAUGGCUUCGGGGCCUAUCUAUGCCGACGAGACAUGUAUAUAUGGAGGAAACUAGUGCAUGCACCAAGAAACAAGGCAACACCUGGAUCUACCUCGCAAUGAAGACGACCGCUCGCUAGAUAAAGGGAAGCGAGUCCAGAAUCUUGAGGGAGUAUACAAUAUUAACUUAGGAAGCACUGGACUAUUUGUGACUUGAAAAGGCAAAUUUGUUGUAUGAACCUGAAAGUACUAUUAGGGAACAUAAAUAUAUUUAUUUUAGGAAGCACUGUACAAUGGAUAAGAAACAUGUUAUAUGAACGGACGAAGCAUGGAGAAAUCUUAUGCUUCGUUGGAAGCAAAUUAUUUUUGCGGUGGAAACACUUUUCUUGUGCAUGGAAGCAAACAUUUCUUGUGUUGGAAACAUAAGAAAAACUGCAUGUGUUGUGAUACUGAUCCCAAAUUUUUGCAUCUACAUCUACAUCUUUGAUCAAGGAUGCUAAUGUGAUACUGACCCUUCACAGUUCACAAAUCACAUGUGUUGUGAUUUCAAGUGUUUUUUGGGUACAGAGAUUUGAUGCUUCAUAUAUAUCCAAUACGUGCUUCAUCACCAGGGAGCAGGAGGAUCACCAGGGAGAAGCAUUUAAAAAAAAAAAUUGCAUGAAGUGACUUCCACCAACGUGAAGUGUUUCAUUGACACUGAAAAAUGUUUCCAUUACAGAACAUAAAAUAGGUGUCCAUUGGUUGAAACAAUGUUUGCAUAGACGACAACCGAUGCUUGUGUGGCAUGUGGUCGACAUAGAUUGUUUUCCUCUCAUGAGAAAAGGCAUCCCAAUUGUCCACUAGAAUUUAGGGAUCUAUUUCCUAAACGAAAGGAUGUGUUUGGUUCUCACAAAUAAUGCUUCCAUCACAUGGGUGCCUGAAUCAGGUAAUCGAACGUGGUUUAAGGAAGCAUGCAACUAGCCUAGGAAGCAACGUUCAGGGAGGCAUGCAUCACAUGGAUGGCCUGCUACUAGGAAGCAACGUUCAGGGAGGAAGUAUCGGAUGGAGAGAAAGUAACCCGAGCGCGGUAGAGCACAUGGGUUGCGGAAGCAGUUAAGAAGCACUCAAUUAGCGGCUAUCGCUAAUCUCAUGCAGGACUAAACUAGUACUAAAUCGGACGACUUCCUGCUUCUGAUCCGACGGCCUACGACUAGUUGACUAGUGAGAUAGAAUGUGAACUACCAGUAGUUUGAUGCCCCCAAUAAAUAAGUUCUUUUAGACAUUGCCGAAAAAGGUUUUCCCCGAUUUGUAUUCCAAGCACCAACACCGAUUACAUAGCAUACGCUGGGGCGAGCAGCACAACAAGCCAAAGAAAAAGAAGAAGAAACAAUGCCAACAUCGGCAGCUCGACAAAGCGCGGAUGACCCACUACUGUUGUGCCCUUCGAAAUCUACCCACCACAAUCCCAGGCUCCGAUCCUCCGCGUACCAAGCAGCACCUCCAGGAAGGAAUGCGACGCUGAUGACACUGCUGCCCGGACGUGUCCUAGGGUUUCCCCCGGCACGCGGAGGGUAGAGGGGAAUGAAGACCACCGACACCCUCCAGGGAGGAAUGGUGGCACCCGUAGGCGUCACCGUAUCGUAACCGGAAGACCCGGCAAGGAUUUCUCCCAAUUCCACACCCCACUGCCCAAUCGGAUCGGAGCUAACCAGCCAGCUCGCCGCCCACCAACAUGCGCCACCGCGGUCGCAACACCACCCACGCCGCCUCACUGCGAUCACUACCACGAGGCCAAAAGAACGAGGAGAGGAGGCGUUGGUUGACGGGAGCAGCAGCACCAUAGCCGCGCGGGAGGGAACCACCUCCUCCGCCGUCAUGCAGGAGGCUCGUGCCUCCGGCACCGUCGUGGACGCCGUCUGGACGUAGCAGCAGGGCAUACCAGGCCACCCCUGGCCCGGCCAUGCCCGAAUCGGGCCCGCUAAGCCCCGUCGGCCACGCUGCAGCAGGGCGGCACCAGCACCGCCAGCCCCCAACGCCCAUCGCCGCUCCCCUGCCUCCUGGAAACCACUCCGCCAACCCGCCCCGCCGUCGGCCCGCCCAGACCCAGAUGGGGCACGAAGGGCCUAGAUCUGGGCCGAGCGGGCGCCGCCAGGCCACGCUGCCGCGCCUCCCCGCCGCCAACGGCGACGCCGCAGUCCAGCGGAUCUCCCGCGCCGUGCCAGGGAGCCCUGCCGCCACGCCGGACCGCCGCCGCCUAGGGAGCACCCCCCGGCGCCCUCCGCCCGAGAGUAACCGAGAGGGGAAUGGCCGAGAGCCGCCGCCACCAGCGUCGCUCGGGCCAGGCCUGGCGGCGAACGCCGGCGACGGCGGCAGGGAGGGGGGAGUGAGGGAGAGCUGGCGGAGGAGGAACUGGGGCGCGGCUGGUCGCCCGCGGGGGUGACGCGGUCGCGUAAUGGGUAUUCUUUACGAACCUCUUUUAGACAUUCAAUAAAAUGCAAAAUUCAUUUGGACAUUGAAGACCAUACUUCAUAUGUUGACCUUUGUUUUUUUUGUUCACUUAAAAUACACCAUUAAAUGAUCCAUGUCAGCAUUUGGCAUUUUUAGAUCUGUUCGCUACAUUUAAGUCAUGAUUUUAAAUUGUACUAAAUGCAUGAAAAAAUAGAAAACAAUUGAGUUAAAAAUUCAUAUCUGUGUUCUCAUGUCCAUAUUUAGUCCUUAUCAAAGAAUGAAAAUGAAUUCCAAACAUGAGGGUGCCCGGAGACGACCCCGGACAUUAAGUUUUUUUUUAGUUAUGAAAAAUGCAAACGAAGUCAGAAAAGAAUGAAACUUUCAUGAUGCCAAUGUAUCACACCUAGAGGCUAAGGUAAAUGUUUGAGAAAGUUCUCAAAAGUUGUGUCACACAUUACUUACAAAGCAGACAAUCUUCAAGGAAAGAUCAUGGUUUUGAGAUGGAACAUGUCAUCUUUGAAGGCAGAGCGGCUGCUGCUUUAUCCGCUGGCCUUGAAUUUUCUGCAUGGCAGUGCACGGCUUAGCUCUCGGUGUAUGUAUCAAUUCUUGAGUUCGUUGUUGACACGUUUUGUACCUCUACGUGCCGGUUGCAUCAUUUCACUUUCGGGAGCGUUCCCUCUAUGUAGAGAGGAGAUAUAGAGGAGAGACGAAUACACACACAUGUGAAGUUCAUUUGUACUGAGCUGUUUCUCCGGCGACCCCAUCUCAAUGACUGCGUGCAAAACCGUCCGAGAGUGCAUGUCGUGCUCCUUGAGAGCCUGAUUUUGCCCGUGUUUGUGUGAGUCAAACUGUUGAAAAAAUAGGGUAGAACCCGUGGUCUAACAAGAGUUGCCUUUCCGUACUGUUGUCGUGAAGAGAAGUUUGACAGGAGAAAGAAAUUCAAAAACCGGCGAAGUUCAUUUGUACUGAGUUGUUUCUCCAGCGACCCCAUCGAGUGAAUUGCAGAAAACCACCACAUUGACGCAUAGGUUUGCAGAAAGCACUCUUUUACGAAUUUAGGCCAGAAACCACUAAUUUUUUGUCUAAUCUUUUGCAAAAAACAUUGAUUGGACUAUUUGGACAUUUUAACCGCAAUUAUGACAUGUGGGGCCCGCAUUUGAUGAUGUGGCAAACUGGGCUUUUUCUAAAGAACCCUUCCUAAAAAAAAAGGAUAUCUCCCUUCCCUUCCCGAUCCAAUCGGGAUUCAGGCCCCCGCCGUUGUUCCCACAAGCCACCGCCGCCGGGGCCUAGGCCAAGAUGCUCGCCGCCUCCUUCCUACGAUGUGGCGGCUCUAUCCUCGCGCCUGCCAUGGCCACAACCUAGUCCAGGUCGACCCCGCAAAAAAAACCUACUCCAGGUCGAGGCCGGCGGCCACGGCCGAGCCGCACGGGUCGGCCGGCGCCCUGCUCCUGGAAGCAUGGGUGGGGGCUAGCGGCGGCUUUGGCCUCGGAAUCACCACUCAGAAUGCUCGUGGCCUCCUCCUUCAGGCAUGGCGGCAGUGUAACAGCUAGUGCACGGAUCGGCUGCGACCUCCCUGCAGCGACGGCGGCAUCGGAGCAAGCAAUAGCGGCGAGGAGCAGCACAAGCGCAAGUAGCGGCGCGGCCGCACGCAACACGAGCACGAGCAGCGGCGGCGGCGGGCAGCACCGGAGCCAAGAAGAGCAAGCAGCGGCACACAUCACCGAAGCAAGCAACGACACGCCGGCGAGCCGAACGGGCGCAAGCAGCAGCAACAGCGCACAACACGGGCACAGCCAGGCAGUAACCCUCGUCAUUGAGCUAUGCCGCCACCGGGCACCGGCGUGGGCGACAGCGCACGAGCGCGAGAUGGCCGGCGGCAGAGUUCGGCUGAGCUGGUGUGGCAAGGGCCCAAUUGCAUUUUUCUGUUCAAAUUGAAGGGUGCCUUUGUAAAAAUACUAGGGACCCCACAUGUCAUAAUCGCGGUUAAAAUGUCUAAAUAGACCGAUCAGCGUUUUUUUUCAAAAGAUUAGACAGAAAAUCAGUGUUUUCUGACUCAAAUUCGUAAAAGAGUGUUUUCUGCAAACCGUCUGCAGAACCUGAUUUUUGCCUGUGUUUGCGUGAGUCUAACUGCUGGAAAAAAAAAGGGCACGACCCGUGGUCUAAUAAGAGUUGUCUUUCCGUACUGUUGUCCUGAAGAGAAGUUUGACAGCAGAAAGAAAAAAAAAGAAAGAAAAAACGACCAAAGUGGGAGUCGAACCCACGACCUUCUGAUCCGAAGUCAGACGCGCUAAUCCACUGCGCUAUGCGGUCACUGUGCUGCUAAAGCAUUAACACGGUACUGGACUUCUAUUCAGCGAGAUAGCUGGUUUAUCAUGUUCAGAAUAAGGACGUACACACAAAGAUGGUCGCGCAAGGCCGGAACCAAUGAUCUCCAGGAGCUAGUAAUAAUUGUAAACCGUGCAACAGAUAAAUGCAAUAAAAUAUUAACAGAUUUCAGGGGGCGCAGAACAAUACCAUUCUGGUUAGAACCAGAAACACAGACAAUCACCAUUCACUGUGGUAGAUGCAAUAGAAAACUGAAUUAUAAGAAUGCUUCAUUGACAAGUCUGGAACUACGAUGCAACAUGCAAGUAAUUAAAUUUGAAAAGUUGUACCCCAAGGUGUUCUACAAGGCAGCAAAGAGAAAAGUCAGCGUCUUCUCAUUGUCAGCUACAACAAAGGGGUGCAAACAGGAAACACACUAAAAGUUGACUAUUAAGAAGACCACUUAUCAAGCGGUCAAAUCAAUUCUCCAGUAAAGCAAGUGGUGAUAUGAGGCAUAAAGAUUGCUAAAUAUCAAGUACAGAGAAGACCAUAAGGCGGAUGGGCAAAUAUUUCAGGAGCAAAGUAAAACGACUUGGUAACUGUAGCAUCAACACAGCCAGUAGCCCCUUCAGCCUGAAAGGUUAUCGAAACAAGAAUCCCAUUGUUAGAUUGUGGAGCAAAAUGAAGCAUUCUCAGGACGUUUGCAUUCUGAGCCGUCGGAUUGGCCGUCCAAACAAAUCCUGGCCGUUGGAUUCUUGAUGGACCGAUCGUCGCUGUUGGCUCAAAACUGAUGUUACAACCAAUUAAUAGUGUUGCUUCUUUCUUACUUCUGGUUUAUUUUCUUAUCUCGCUGAUUGGUGUGCCGUGCCCUGGGUGGUCCACCACUGUCAGUGACUCUGGAGCCCUGUGCGACCGGUGUAGGUACGAAUGGGAGAGGGGUCAUGCCACCGCCUGUAAAAUUGGGUGGCCGCCAGGGGCAAUUUCGUCACUCCAUGUUAUUGCCCUCGCGUGGCGCUUCGUGUGUGGCUGGUCCAUGCGUAAAGGCGAUAGAGUGAUUGGAUCGAACGAACCCUAGCCGACAACAUCGUUCCUCUGCCUUCCCUCUCUCUGGGCCGAGCAACCACCUCUCUGCUCCUCCGCACGGGAUCCUACUACCGAUGCUCGAGUCUUGGCGAGCAGCCGACGACCGUGGAUAAGAAGAUCCAGCGUGAGCCGCUGCCGAUGCAUCUUCUCCUCCUCCAGCGCAUCAUCCCCCGAUUUCCCGUGCUUCGCCUCCGCCCCGCUCCCUUUCCUGGCGGCGCUCCCUACCGCCUCCGUCACGACGUCUUCUCCUCCCCAUCGUCAAUGGAAGGAGAAAGGAGAAAGUGAUGGAACAGGCCUGGGGCAGCAACCUCACGAAAUGAUAUCGGCAGCAAAAAUAAGAUCAGAGCGUCAAAUAUAGAAGACACGAAGGAGGAAGGCCGCGGCUGCUUGACAAGCGAGGACAAGUCAAUCUGAUCUUCAUGCUAUGUCUAUCUCCGUUUGCUUAGAUCAUAUCAAUCCGGUCUCCACACUAUGUCUACCUCCGGUAAUUUCUUUCAUCUUUAAUGUAAAUAGGUAGUGGUUGAGAUCCAACAGCUGCAGUUUUUUAAGAUAUUAAAUCAAGGGCCGGAUGUUUCUGAUUAACAUGAGAAUUUCUAGCUUAUUUCCCUAUUUUUGAACCGUAAUUUUCUUUUAGUAUAUAUUCCCUCUGUUCCUAAAUAGUUGUCUUUCUAGAGAUUUCAACAACUGACUACAUACGGAGCAAAAUGAGUGAAUAUACGCUCUAAAACAUGUCUAUAUACAUCCGUAUGUUAUAGUCCAUUUGAGAUGGCUAGAAAGACAAUUAUUUAGGAACGGAGGGAGUAAUAGAUAUACGCUCCAAACACUUGACUAUGUUUUAGUGGAGUAGACAUGCGGAACAACACAAAGAACACGUGGGAGCCAGCCACCAGGGAUGGAGCUGGCUCCUCUAACUUGCCUCUUGCUAAGUUAGAAGCCUAACAACGGGUCGCUUUCUUUCUUCCAGGAGAAGAAAGAAAUGCGAUCUCGCCUCCUGCCGCCAGGGCAUCUUCCUCCGUCGCCGUCCUCCGACGGCUUCCCUCCGCUGAUGACCUUGGUCAUCGGUGGUGAGGGGGAUCGCCGGAUCCACGCGUGUGGAUUGUUUUAGGCAUUAUUUUUUUAGAAUUUUGGGUUGUUCAUUGUCAUGACUUCGGCAGUGGCAAUGGCGGCGCGGACUAAUAAAUCUUUAGAUCCUUCCCCAACGAGGCGAUCCGCUUUUGGGGUGGAUUUGGAACCAGACUGUUCAAGCAAGGAUGGUGCUGCGGCGGGGGAUCCUCAUGGUGGACCUGUGUCCUCGGGCUUCGCCGUUGCGUCGGCGUUUACUCCAGUGCCGGCAUGGAGCUUGGGAGGUAGUCCAGGAGCGGAUGCAGAUUGUAGUCUGCAUCGACGGCGUCGGGAAGAUGGUGGAUAUGGGUUCGUGGUUCGUGGCAGGCAGGUAUGGUUUCCUCCUCCAACAUCUUAGUUGGGCGGGGGUGUCAGAUCUGGAGUUCGACGGCGUGUCCAGAGUGUUGCCCCGGUCUGAUUCGUUCAAUGACAAUUGACGAGGAUACAGACCUGUGGUAGGGUCAUAGGCCUGAUCUAUACGUCAUACCCAAGGUCACUACCCUGGAAGAUAAAAAUACCAAGAGACAACAGGAGAGCCCUGGUCGAAUGUGUCGAGUGCAAUCCACUCGACGACCACAUCACUCGACGGUCCUCCUCCCUACCGUCACUCGACCAUAUGAAGAGUCACUCGACCUAGCGAAAGACCGGGAGUCAGAAGAUCGCGCAACGGCCAGACAUGCACUCCUUAGCCUUUAUAAGCAUUAAGAUGUUUAAGGCUGGCGUUACCAGUAACGCCCCUUACUUUAUGUACAUUAAGCCCCUUGUAAUGGAGGCGGGCAAGGGUCCUGGCGCACUCUAUAUAAGCCACCCUCCUCCUCUUGCACAAGGGUUCGCACCCCCUAUAAUACAACACACAUAAUCCAAUCGACCGCCUUCGGGUACCGAUACGUAGGGCUAUUACUUCCUCCGAGAAGGGCCUGAACUCGUAAACCUCUUGUGUACAUCUUCGCCAUAGCUAAGAUCUUGCCUCUCCAUACCUACCCUCCUUUCUACUGUCAGCCUUAGGACCACGACAGUUGGCGCCCACCUUGGGGCAGGUGUCUUAGCGACUUGUUGGUGAAGUUGCAAGUUUUACCGAUCAUCAUCAUCAUGGUUUCCGGCGGCGGAUUGGCUGAGGGCCACAAGAUCCGUCUCGGCGCGCUCGUUUUCGUCGCCGAUGACUCCGCGUGGCUUCAAGAAGCUCCCCUGGACACUGAGGCGCUCCCUGUCCGAGGGGCCACGCACUUCCGUGCGUGCGUUCGCGGCGUCCUUCUCCGGCAGCCGUCGACUCAGUAUCAGUCGGCUUCGAUGGUGUUUUCCCUCUCUGCUAUUCGCCGCCGCAAGCGGUCUGGUCGAUCGCGGCUUCAGCGGUGGGUGAAACACGCGGUGGCUCGCCAUUCGACCACCCAUCAAGUCGCGACAAUCGAGCCCAACGAAACUCUCCACGGCCUGUUCGAUUUGUCGACUGGCUCCACGGAGACCGCAUCCGAAUGCGAUAGCAGCGAUCCUGCGGUCGAAGUCUUGAUGGUCGAUGGGCCUCACAGCCCGCCCAGUUUCCGCCACGAGGGCGGCGGGGACGGAGGCGGCGAUCCGUUGCGCGUCCAUGAGGAAUACCGACCCGAGCCCCUCUCUUCACAGCAGAGGGAAGAACUUCGUCACCGCAACAUGGAUGCACUCCACACGCCCAUUGUUGGAGAGACCCCCGAGGCUCGGGCCUUGGAGGAGGUACGCUUGGCUAAUUUGGCUGAGCGCACUCGACUGGAUAACCUCCAGCGGGCUCUCGACGAGCGCGCUUAGGAGAGGAUCCAUGAGUCCAGUCGACGACAGCUUUUUCCGCCUCCACCUAAGGUAUACCGCAGUCCGAUUCAGAAUCUCAAAGCCGCGGCCCGAACAGCAGAGUUGAUCCAACCUUCCCAGUCAGAAGCUGGCAGAGGGUUGAUGCAGAUCCGGGCCCUGCUCAGGGUAGCAGGAGAGCAGAAUACAUCAGUAUCUCAGUCGCGGGAUAGGAUUCACAGCAGAUCCGUUGCAGCGGACACGAUUCAGUCGUCUCACAGCCGAAGAUCGCCUCCACAGCAUGAAGGCCGUGGGCAGUACGAUCAUCCACUCGACCAUGACAAUCGUUGUCGAGGACCCACGCCUCCUCCGAGGAGUGCGUCGUAUGUGCCUCGGCGGAAGAACGACAUGCGCCGUCACAGUGGCGAGCGCAGAGCUUCAGUUGAUCCAAGAGAGCCGGGCUUCGACGUGAGGUCUAUCCUCGUUCAAGGCCUGGUCGACCAGAACAAAGCACACAGAGAAGACCCUGGCAGAGAUCGUCCAAGUGGCAGCAGAGUGCAUGUUUCCGGUCACGAGUGUUUUAGCAGAGCCAUCAGGGCAGCGGUGAUUCCUCCCAACUUCAGGUUGGCGUCCGGGGUUAGUAAGUUCACAGGCGAAUCCAAGCCUGAAACUUGGCUUCAAGAUUACCGAGUGGUUGUGCAGAUUGGAUGCGGUAACGAUGAGAUAGCGAUGAAGCAUCUCCCUGUUAUGUUGGAAGGGUCGGCCCGAGCAUGGUUGACCCAGUUGACUCCGGGCCGUAUUCACAGUUGGGAGGAGCUAUCUCGGGUGUUCGUAAGAACUUUUGAGGGCACAUGCAAGCGACCAGCAGGGUUGCCCGAGUUGCAGCAUUGUGUGCAGAAGCCGAAUGAGACUUUGAGGGAAUUCAUUCAGAGAUGGACUACUUUGCAUCACACCGUUGAAAAUGUUUCAGAGCAUCAGGCAGUGUGCGCUUUCAAGGAAGGCGUCAAAUACAGAGAGUUGGUCUUGAAAUUCGGUCGGACUGUGGAUAUGACUCUGACUCGGAUAAUGGAGAUAGCCACCCGGUACGCUAACGGAGAAGAGGAGGAUCGACUCUGUAGCGGGAAGAGCAAACCAGUCGGCCAAGAGGCCGGUGGGGGUAACUCCAGUCGGAAACAGAAGUGUAAGGCCGAACCAGCAGCACCCGGGGAGAUUGCGGCAGUGAGUCUAGGAAAGUUUAAGGGAAAACCUAAGGGCCCUGGCCCCCUAAAAAGGUCAAAGAUCAAGCAGGAAAUGAUGUGUUGGAUUUGCCAUGCCACAUCCACACGAAGAAGGAUGAAGAAGGUAAUCUGAUUUACCCGAAGCAUACCACUCGACAAUGUCAACUCCUAAUCCAGCAGUUUUGAGUUCAUAUUCACCCGACGGAUCCCAAUGCUGCACCGACUCAUAUAUCAACAACGCUCGACAGCAAAUAGGAAGAAGCACUCGUUCAGUUCCUCUGUGAGAACAGGGAUAUCUUUGCAUGUAAACCUUCUGACAUGCCAGGUGUGCCCAGGGGACUGGCCGAGCACCAUUUGCGUGUCGACCCCAAAGUAAAGCCCGUCAAAGAGCACCUUCGGCGGUCCGCCGUACAGAAGAGGAAAGCAAUUGGCGAAGAAGUGGCUCGACUGUUGGAAGUAGAGUUCAUCCUUGAAAUCUACCACUCCCAGUGGUUAGCCAAUGUAGUCAUGGUUCCUAAGAAGGAUGAUUCACUUCGUAUGUUUAUUUAUUUCAAGCAUAUCAAUUGGGCUUGCCCGAAAGAUCACUUCCCUCUCCCUCGCAUCGAUCAGAUUGUUGACUCGACUACGAGGUGCGAGCGCUUGUCUUUCUUGGAUGCAUAUUCCGGAUAUCAUCAGAUCCGAUUGUAUGGUGGCGAUGAAAUAAAAACAGCCUUCAUCACCACAUUCGGGUGCUUUUGCUAUGUCACCAUGCCUUUCGGUUUGAAAAAUGCCGGAGCCACAUUCAUGAGAAUGAUUCAGAAGUGCCUGCUCACUCAAAUCAGUCGGAAUGUGGAAGCAUACAUGGAUGACAUUGUGGUCAAGUCUCGCAAAGGUUCCGACCUAUUGACCGACCUUGCAGAAACCUUUGCCAACCUGAGGAGAUACGAUAUCAAGCUUAAUCCGUAAAAAUGCACAUUCGGAGUUCCAGGAGGAAAGUUACUCUGUUUUCUCGUUUCCGAACGAGGGAUCGAUGCUAAUCCAAAAAAAGUUGAUACCAUCAUCCGAAUGAAACGCCCCAUGCGAGUGCAUGAUGUUCAGAAGCUGACUGAUUGUUUGGCCACCCUGAGUCGAUUCAUUUAUCGUCUCGGUGAAAAGGCCUUGCCCCUUUACCGACUGAUGAAGAAAUCUGAUAAGUUCGAGUGGACUGAAGAAGCUGAUGCAGUGUUUACAGAGCUCAAAACCCUGCUUUCCACCCAGCCGGUGCUCGCUGCGCCAAUCAGCAAAGAGCCUUUACUGCUUUAUAUUACAACCACUGGACAAGGUGUCAGCACAGUACUCAAGGUCGAGCGAGAGGAAGAAGGAAAAGCUUACAAGGUUCAACGCCCAGUCUAUUAUCUCUCUGAAGUUUUGACUCCAUCCAAGCAACGAUACCCACAUUAUCAAAAGCUUGUCUAUGGAAUAUACAUGACCAUGAAGAAGGUUGCGCAUUAUUUCUCUAACCACUCCAUUACAGUCAUCAGCGACACGCCACUAUCUGAAAUUUUGAAUAACGGAGACGCAACCGGUCGAGUGGCAAAAUGGGCGAUUGAACUCCUUCCAUUAGAUAUCAAGUUUGAGGCAAAGAAGGCUUUCAAGUCCCAAGCAAUUGCAGAUUUCCUUGCCGAGUGGAUUGAGCAACAAUUGCCGACUCAAGUUCACUCGGAGCAUUGGAGUAUGUUCUUUGAUGGCUCCAAGAUGCUGAAUGGUUCAGGCGCUGGAGUAGUAUUGGUAUCCCCCCGCGGAGACAAGCUUAGUUAUGUUCUCCAGAUUCAUUUUGAUUCCUCCAAUAAAGAAGCCAAAUAUGAAGCACUUUUAUACGGGUUGCGUAUGGCAAUUUCACUCGGCGUCGGUCGCCUUAUGGUCUACGACGACUCAGAUUUGGUGGUUAAUCAGGUGAUGAAGAAAUGGGAUGUUAGGAGCCCAGCCAUGACUGGUUACUGCAAUGCAGUGAGAAAGCUGGAAAAGAAGUUUGAAGGUUUGGAGCUUCACCACAUACCCUAACUGAAAAAUCAAGCCGCAGAUGAGUUGGCAAAGAUAGGAUCGAAGAGAGAGGCCAUUCCCCGAAAUGUGUUUUUGGAACAUAUUCAUUCACCUUCAGUUCAGGAAGAUCCUUUCACCGAAGAAUCACCACAACCCAAGAGUGCCACGGAUCCGACUGAAGUCGAAAUCCCAGUCGUGGUCGACUUAGUCAUGGAGGUUUUGGUCAUCACUCCCAACUGGACAGUACCAUAUGUUGCAUGCAUUCUUAGGAAGGAACUCCCAGAGGAUGAAGAAGAGGCUCGAUAGAUCGUUCGACGGUCUAAAGCCUUCACUGUGAUAAAAUGACAGUUGUUCAGAGAGAGUGUAACUGGGGUCUGCCAGAAGUGCAUCAUGCCAGAAGAAGGCCGAAUGAUCCUCAAUGAUAUUCACUCGGGGACCUGUGGUCACCAUGCGUCCUCUCGGACCAUCGUGGCCAAAGCAUACCGAGCCGGGUUUUACUAGCCGCGCGCCAAUGAGAUGGCAAAGGAAAUAGUGGACAAGUGUGAAGGUUGUCAGUUUUAUUCCAACAUGUCCCACAAACCUGCAUCAGCUCUGAAGACUAUUCCACUCGUCUAGCAUUUUGCUGUUUGGGGAUUGGACAUGGUUGGACCUCUGAGGACCGGCAGGAGCGGAUUUACCCACGUGCUGGUAGCAGUCGACAAGUUUACCAAGUGAAUCGAAGCCAAGCCCAUUAAAAACCUUGAAGCAAGUACUGCUGUGAGCUUCAUCAGAGAGUUGAUAUUCAGAUAUGGCGUACCGCACAACAUCAUCACUGAUAACAGAUCAAACUUCAACUCUGAUGAGUUCAAAGCUUUUUGUGCUUCCCAAGGCACGAGGGUCGAUUACGCUUCGGUCGCCCAUCCCCAGUUGAAUGGGCAGGCUGAGCGAGCGAAUGGAUUGAUUCUCAAAGGACUGAAGCCCCGGUUAAUGCGUGACCUCAAGCACGCGGCAGGAGCUUGGGUCGACAAGCUCCCAUCAGUGCUUUGGAGGCUGAGGACCACCCCCAAUCGGUCGACUGGACGGACUCCAUUCUUUUUAGUCUACGGAGCCGAAGCCGUUUUGCCGAGUGAUUUGCUCCACAACGCUCCCCGAGUCAAACUCUUCUCAGAAGAAGAAGCAAAGCAAGCUCGACAAGAUGCAGUCGACCUCCUGGAGGAAGAUAGAGAGAUGGCCUUGAUCCGAUCGACCAUUUAUUAGCAAGACUUGCGUCGAUUCCAUGCCAUGAACGUAAGGGGUCGUGAAUUCCAGGAAGGGGACUUGGUCCUCCGAGUGGAUCAGCAGAAGCCACACAAGCUCGCCCCGCUUGGGAAGGCCCUUUCGUGUUUACCAAGGUGCUCCACAACGGGGCAUACCGUCUCUUCAACGUCGAGCACAACAAAGAUGAACCACGCGUCUGGAAUGCGGAACUGCUCCGCCCUUUUUACUCUUAAGUAUUUAGACUGAUGUAAUAAGACGUACCUCUUAGUUUGAUUAUCAAAAGACAUAAUUUUACAGUCUUCCGAAUGAUUGUUGUUUAUUUCUUUUGUAUGUGUUGCCUUAGCUGCGAAUCUGUUUCUCCUAAGAUGAAGUUAUAAAAAUCCUACCGAGUGGUGAGUCUGCCUCCCACUCGGGGACUUAGCUGCAGCCCAGUGCUCGCCUAAAUUUGAAAAAUCCUACCGAGUGGGAGAGUGGUGAGUCUGCCUCCCACUCGGGGGCUUAGCUGUGGCCCAGUGCUAGUCUAAGUUUGAAAAAUCCUACCGAGUGGUGAGUCUGCCUCCCACUCGGGGGCUUAGCUGCAGCCCAGUGCUCGCCUAAGUUAGAAAAAAUCCUACCGAGUGCUGAGUCUGUCUCUCACUCGGAGGAUUAGCUGCAGUCCAGUACUCGCCUAAGUAAUAAAAAUUCCUCCCAAACGGCAACCCCCCGGGGGUUGCACCGUCAAGAAGAAGGAUGAGAUUGUGGUGAGCAGCACUCACCUAAGUUUGAAAAAUCCUACCGAGCGAUGAGCGACCCUCCCACUCGGGGGCUUAGCUGCAGCCCAGCGCUGGCCUAAGUUCGAAAAAUCCUACCGAGUGGUGAGCGACCCUCCCACUCGGGGGCUUAGCUGCAGGCCAGUGCUCGCCUAAGUUUGAAAAAUCCUACCGAGUGGUGAGCGACCCUCCCACUCGGAGGCUUAGCUGCAGCCCAGUGCUCGCCUAAGUUUGAAAAAUCCUACCGAGUGGUGAGCGACCCUCCCACUCGGGGGCUUAGCUGCAGCCCAGCGCUCGCCUAAGUUUGUAAAAUCCUACCGAGUGGCGAGCAACCCUCCCGCUCGGAGGCUUAGCUGCAGCCGAGUGCUCGCCUAAGUUUGAAAAAUCCUACCGAGUGGUGAGCGACCCUCCCACUCGGGGGCUUAGCUGCAGCCCAACGCUCGCCUAAGUUUGUAAAAUCAUAUCGAGUGGCGAGCGACCCUCCCGCUCGGAGGCUUAGCUGCAGUCGAGUGCUUGCCUAAGUUUGAAAAAUCCUAUCGAGUGGUGAGCGACCCUCCCACUCGGGGGCUUAGCUGCAGCCCAGCGCUCGCCUAAGUUUGUAAAAUCCUACCGAGUGGCGAGCGACCCUCCCGCUCAGAGGCUUAGCUGCAGCCCAGUGCUCACCUAAGUUUGAAAAAUCAUAUCGAGUAGUGAGUGAGGCCGCUGGUUGCCCACACCCCCCCACCCGGGGGCUGCACCGUCAAGAAGAAGGACGAGAUUGUGUGCACCCAACGAUUGGCCCCUUGCUGAUGACAGGAACGUCAAGACCAUUGCUGAGUACCUCGCUGAUGAGCUGAUCAGUGCUACCAAGGGAUCGUCAACAGGUCGACUGCUGACCCAUCUUCAACACCUGCAUCAAGUGAUGACAAAACCGAUCCAAGUGAAGAGCAGACUUCACUGGAAGAUAAACCCAACAUAUUCAAAGAUAAAUCCAGAGUUCCCUAACCGCAGAUUAAAAGUACUCGGGCACCAGACCUGGAGGAGUUUAAUGGUUACAAAAGCACUCGGCAUCCCGAGGCAAAUAAAGGUGAGGCAUAAUGUUUUUUCAAUCACUCGGCGGGAGAAGGACUGGCCGGAUCACAGAAGCUGUCAAGAUCGAUGCUGUCGGCAAUGCGAGUGGCUGCCUCGAGGAAGGUGUCCAUGAAGACUUGGAAAGAGUGCUUCUUAGUAUUCGCAACCUUGAGGGCCGCCAGCUUCUCUUCUUUAGCCUCCUUGCAGUGCACGCGAACCAAGGACAAGGUGACGUCAGCGCCACACCGGGUAGAAGACUUCUUCCACUCUUGCACUCGGUCAGGGAUUUGGUUGAGUCGAGUCAUCAGCGACUCGAGACUUUGAGGAAGUUCUGCCUGAGGCCAGAGUUCGGCGUCCACUCGGGCCAUCGCGGCCUUCAGCCGAGCCAGAUAGUCGACAACACCGUCCAAGCGUGAUUCCAGUCGAAGCAAGUUCAUCGCAACUUCAUCUUUCAUGGGACAGUUGAUAGGGUCGAGACCUGACAGAGUUCUGUUCCAUCACAACAAACAAUGAGUCGACAGUAUUGCAAAUCUCAGUCGACGAUAGCUAUCUAACUGAACAGUCAUACCUUCAAGCUUCAAGACAAGCUUCGCCGCAAGUUGUUCCAAAUGAGACUCUAGCUUGCCCGUCUUGGUCCUGAGACCAUCAACUUUAGCGGUCAAGUUCUCCUUGUCCUUCCUCAGUUUCUCGACUUCACGAUUGGCGUCCGAGACGGCCGUCUUUAAUUUCGCAUUCUCAUCCUCCAACUUGCCGAUUGAAGCUAGCUUCUGGUCCGCAAGUGUCGUCUUCUGGUCUGCAAGUGUCCUCUUUUUGAGCAGCAGCCAGGUCCUGGUCCUUCUUCUCCAACGCCUCCUUCAUUCUCUCUAAAGAAACAACACUCUUCAGACGAGCCUGAAGUUGGCGAUUUUCACUACGCACAUCUGCUUAUGUGAAGUCACUAGGUUCAAAGAGACUGAAUGAAAAGCAGCGAAAAGUCUACUAAGCAGACGAAACGGUCGAAUGGUUACCUCCCAUGAUAGCCGUCUCUUCUUGAGCAGUCUUGAGAUUCUUCUUAGCAAGUUCAAGGUCAAGUUCAACGCUGAUAUGCUUCUUCCUUAACUCGGAAAGACGAGCUCCAAGAUCACAAGACCUCUAUAGUCAGCAAAAGUGCCAUGUCAGUCGACAAGAAAUAAAAGACAAUCGACGGAGAGAAGCUAUUCUAAGACUAAUGUCGAAUCAAAUAUCCAACAAGUAGUCUCGGGGACUACACCCAGUGGGUGCACUUAGCAUGCCCCCACUGGUUCAGAACAAUACUCAGCAGGGUCUGCCCAGCGUGAGUUCAAAAAAAAUAGAUACAUUCUAAGACCUCAGUCGACUACCAGCAGUCGACCGUGGUCUCGGGGACUACACCCAGUGGGUGCACUUAGCGUGCCCCCACUGGUUCAGAUCAAUACUCAGCAGGGUCUGCCCAGCGUGAGUUCAGAAAGUCUACUAAGAUUCUACUCAAGUCGAGUGCAAUGGAAAUUUUUCAAAGCUCUAAGCAAAGAAACACCCCAGUGGGUGAUCAGAUACAAGAUAACAUUCGAAAGUUCAGUCGGAGUCUUGCUGACCUGAACAUUGGCCUGAAGGGCAGUACUGGCGUUGUAAGCCACUUGGCUGGGCUCGUGCACCACCUUCACUUGCUUCAUGACAAGGUUCACCUGGUGCAGAGCUUCCCUAGCAGCACUCGGCGAGUCAUCCGGAGUCUGAUACGCAGCAAAAAGUGAUGGCUGCAGAGCAGCCGAGGUAUUCGCUGGGUCGGAGGCGUGGAGCUGCAUUGGGGCAGCAUGAGUCGGUGUGGUCGAGCCCACCGGACGAUCAGUCGUCAGCGGGCUGGCGAAUGUGACGCUGGUCCGAACAUGCUCUCCAGAGCGUUCGACCACCACCUCGAGCGCCGUCGUCGAUGAGGAAUCUGAACCUCAAGCCUCCUCUUGCCAGCACUCCCACUCCUCCUCUUCCUCUCCUGUAGAGGCACUUCUUCUUCGUCAUCAGGGAGCACAACAACUUCUUGCAGAACUACAGAAAAGGAGAAAAUGUCAGAAACUCUAUCCAUUGACAGUCUACACGAUUCAACGAAGCUUGGCCGAUCAGACUUACCAACUCGUGAGGUGGCUUCUUUGUCUCCUGGCGCCUUGUCAAUGUCCAUGUCAGUGGCAGCAGAGGUGGGGCUGGAAAGACACAUGAGUUAGUGGGUCAGAACAAGAAAGUCUUCAGUCGACUUACAAAAAUAAAAGCAGGAUACUCACCCCGAAGCGACAGGGACGUCCAUCUUGAUUCGUGGCAGUGUCUUCUGGGCCUUGGGAGGAGAAACUUUAGGCUGCUUGGCCACCUUCUCCGUCGGCUCCGGAGUCGACGUCCGAGUGCGUUUCUGGGUAGUGGCACUCGGGGCCACACUUUUCCCACGCCCGCCAGACGGAUCAUGUUGCUGUUUGGAUCGACGUUCAGAGCGCGGCAGCGAGUCGACCUCUUCCUCCUCGUCUUCCUCCUCGCUCUCCUCCUCCUCCUCUUCUCCCAGGGACUCCCACUCACCACUCUCCUCCGCACUAUCCUCCCCCUCCUGGUCCUGCGCCAAAGCCUGUUCGCCGUUGGGCAUUGAAUGCAUCUCAGUGAAUACCUGCAAAGCAAAUCGAUCGAAGCAAGAGUCAGACAACAUCAAGUACAGUCAGAACACGAGCGGAAAAUAGUCGGAAUAGAGAAUGUACCUUGUCGGGUGGGUUGUCAUCACCGAAAGGGACGACUCGCCUGGAUCCUCUAGGGUUGUCUUGGUUGCCCGUGAUACCCUUCAACCACAAGGCUACGGUUUCGAGCAACACUUCUUCUGGAUGGACCCUAGCGGUGUCGUCCGGUCCGGAAUACAACCACAUUGGGUGAUCGCGGGCCUGGAGAGGCUGGAUGCGCCGACUGUGGAACACUUCCAGCAAGUCCAAGCCAGUAACGCCAUCAUUGAUGAGCUGGACCACUCAGUCUACCAACAUCCUCGUUUCCAUGGUCUCAGCAGCAGUAACUUUCAGUGGAGCGGGAGUCUGGACACGGUCGAAUGAAAAAGGAGGAAGACCGGUCGACUGACUUGGAGCCGCAACGUCCUGGAAAUAGAACUAGGACGACUGCCAACCCCUAACAGAUUCAGGAAGAGUCACAGUAGGAAAAGCGCUCUUAUUCCUCUUUUGGAUACCUAGACCCCCGCACAUCUGGAUAACAUGGGUUUUCGAGUCACUCGACUUCGCCUUUUUUACCGACUAGGAGCGAAUGGUGAAGAUGUGUUUGAAGAGACCCCAGUGCGGUCGACACCCUAAGAAGUUCUCGCACAUCGACACAAAUGCGGCUAGGUACGUGAUGGUGUUGGGGGAAAAGUGGUGGACCUGUGCACCGAAGAAGUUCAAAAACCCACGAAAGAAAGGGUGCGGGGGGAGCGAGAAACCCCGGUCGACGUGAGUGGCAAGCAGGACACACUCACUCGGUCGAGGUUGCUGUUCCGUCUCCCCCUUCGGCAACCUCGCCGCUCCCUUGGCAAUCAGCCUGGACUCCUCCAGUUCGGCCAGAUCCUCCUGCCGUACCGAAGACCGGAUCCAAUCGCCCUAUAUCCAGCCCGGCGGUAGCCCCGCGCGCGAUGACGAUCCAUGGCCCUGCUUCUUGCCCUUCGCCGCCCCCGUCGCCUUCUUAGCGUGAUCUAGCGCCGCCGUCUUGUCCUUCACCAUGGCGAGAGAGCAGCAGUGUCGGGAGCGGAGGCGCUGGACGCGGCAGAGAAACGGAGAAGAAAGAAGAAGAAGCAGGCGUGCACAGUGCAAGCGCCCCCGGUCCCGUCGCCUUAUAAAGGGUCACUUCUGAGUGACUGGCGCGUGGGGCCGAGCAAUCUCAUCAAAUCCUGCUACAAUUGCGCGCAGCGUACGUGGCGAAAAAGGCGGCGCGGUGAUCGAGGCAUCGCUACUUAUCCGAACCGCCAGUUUCUGCGCUCUCCAGCACGCACGCUUCCCCGAAAUUUCGUAUCCCGUGAAAUCCGGGAUUCACCGCAGACAAUCGUGCCCAAGAUCGCGCGCUCCAACACAACACUCAACGCAUGGGGUCACUAGUUCAAUCGACAGCUCUCUGAAUGGAUCAAGACGACCGAGUCGACACUGAAGUAGCAACGCGGGCGUUCAGUCUUGCAGGAAACACUCGCGAAGGCACAAAGCUCAGAAUAGGUCCAACUUUAUCCUACUUUCCACUCGCACCUUAAUCCAUUCGGGGCCUACUGACAAGGAUACAGAUCUAGGGUAGGAUCAUAGGCCUAACCUAUACGUCCUACCCAAGGUCACUACCCUGGAAGAUAAAAAGACCAAGAGACAACAGGCACUACUAGGGAAAAGCCUAGCAGCAUCGCGGGUUUUGGGUGUAUCAGUAGCGCGGGUGCCCGCGCUAUUGAUAUGGCGCCACAACUAACUUGUAGCAGUAGCGCGUGUUGACACACGCUACUGCUAUACAUGGUUAGCUGUAGCGUGCGUUGCAAACAGCGCUACUGCUAAUUAGCUGUAGCGGGUCUUAUACCCCGCGCUACUGCUAUUACUUUCAAAAACAAAAAAAAUCUCGAUCCCGUGCGUGCUGUCAAUUGCAGCAAUGGUAAGAUCUAGCGAUGAUUGGCGUCGCCGGAGGCAUGAACGGACAAUGAAAGACCAGAUCCAGCAGUGGCUGUUGGAGAGGGCCUGUUUCUAUGGCAGAGCCAGGCCGCGGCGUGGGGCUUCUCUUCCCGACCAUGCCAGAUAACUCCGGGUCAUCCAUGGCGACGACCUGCACAGGCAUGGACAUGGGAGGGUGAGUCAAACCAGAGGGAGAGAGAGAAAAGGAAAACCGAGGGAGAGAGGAAGGUGAUGUAGGGAGCAGCGGAGCUAGUCACCGGUGGCGAGGUGCUCCGGUGUGGUGGCGCGGGGCGGCGGCCUCCUAGACGUCGGUGGAAGACCGGCGAGCUCCUAGACGCCGGUGGUGCGAGGCGGCGGCCUCUUUCGGCGCCAUGGAGGAGGAUGGGUGCAUGGGCAAGAGGUCCAUGUGAGAGCGUAUGGAAAGUGACAAGAGGGAUUUGGGGGAGGAGAUGGGGAUUCGGCCGAGGAUAUGGCGACUUCACCUACCUCGUACUUAGUAGUAGCGAGGGGUAUAAAACCGCGCUACUACUAUCAACUUAGUAGUAGCGCGGGUUUAUACCCCUUGCUACUACUAUGGCAUGUGUCGGUGGGCACGGUAGAGACCGCUUAGUAGUAGCGAGGGUUAAAAACCCGUGCUACUGCUAAUUAGCAGUAGCGCUUCUUUUUGUGCCGCGCUGCUGCUAAGAUUUUGUGUAUAAGGUUUUCCCUAGUAGUGAGGAGAGCCCUGGUCGAAUGCGUCGAGUGCAAUCCACUCGACGACCACAUCACUCGACGGUUCUCCUCCCUACCGUCACUCGACCAUAUGAAGAGUCACUCGACCUAGCGAAAGACCGGGAGUCGGAAGAUCACGCAACGGCCAGACACUCACUCCUUAGCCUUUAUAAGCAUUAAGAGUGUUUAAGGCUGGCGUUACCAGUAACGCCCCUUACUUUAUGUACAUUAAGCCCCUUAUAAUGGAGGCGGGCAGGGGUCCUGGCACUCUAUAUAAGCCAUCCUUCUCCUCUUGCACAAGGGUCGCACCCCCUGUAAUACAACACACAUAAUCCAAUCGACCGCCUCCGGUCACCGAGACGUAGGGCUAUUACUUCCUUUGAGAAGGGCCUGAACUCGUAAACCUCGUGUGUACAUCUUCGGCAUAGCUAAGAUCUUGCCUCUCCAUACCUAUCCCCCUUUCUACUGUCAGCCCUAGGACCACGACAGCAAUGGCUUCGCCUUUAUUGGCGAGCCACCUUGGAGGUCCGCAAAGCUGCAUAUCAGCGACGGAGCCGCGUCGAGCUCGGGUGUGGAGGUGAUCCGUCAUUUUCUUCUUUGGUGGCUGCUAUGGUGGUGCCAGAGGCAAGUGACGGGCGUUGGUGUCAAACUCAGACGAUUCUUCCGUCUUGUUUGUAAUUUUACUUCUUGGCUAGUGUUUCUGUGUGCAAAGGCUAGCGUUCUGCUGUCUUUUUAGUUUUGUCAGGUCGGUACUCGGUAUGUACGUGGUUUGCAUUAUAAUCCUUAUGAUAUAAAUGAGACAUAUAUUAUCAUGAAAAAACGCAGAGAACACGUGUGAGGAUGACGUGUACACUUCGUAAACGACGUAAAGUUUCCUAGUCGGCGGCCUUCUCGCGCUGGUCGCUGCACGAGAGAAGUGCUAGUCAAUUUCUGCAGGCCCUGCUUUUGCUCGGCUGCCGCACAUCGGAAGCGACGAUAGAGCGAGAGUGUGGCGGUUACAAGAGAACGAACAAUCUGGUGGGUAGUGGGCUCCAAACGCACGUGCAUGCGAGUAUACUUUUCUUGAGCUGGUCGACGCGUAGGGUCAAGCAUGGUUUGUCUACGCACAUUGCAUGCAUAUCUUGCGGUGUGCAGAGAUCGUACUUGCUCGCUCGGUAGAACCCAACCCACUAUAUAAAUGAGACGCACACGCGUCGAUCCAGACAUCCAGUUCCACUCUGACAAACAAGAGUAUUCCACUGCCCAUCUGUGCAAGCAAAGAUGGCACGACUGCUCCUCCUCGUCCUGGCCACCUCACUCGUUGCGCUGGCGUCGUGCCAACGUCUUCCGGUGCUCGCACCGGUCACCAAGGACCCCGCCACCUCCCUCUACACAAUCCCCUUCCACCAGGGCGCCAGCCUCGUCCUUGACAUCGCCGGCCCGCUCGUUUGGUCCACGUGCCAGCGCGGCGAUCUGCCGACAGACAUCCCGUGCAGUAGCCCCACCUGCCUCCUUGCCAACGCCUACCCGGCCCCGGGCUGCCCCGCGUCCAGCUGCGGCAGCGACAGGCACCACAAGCCGUGCAAGGCGUACCCAUACAACCCGGUCACCGGCGCCUGCGCCGCCGGGAGCCUCGCCCGCACGACGCUCGUAGCCAGCACCACCAACGGGAAUUACCCGGUGAGCGAGGUGAACGUCCGGGUCCUGGCGGCGUGCGCGCCGAGGAAGCUCCUGGCGUCGCUGCCCCGGGGCUCCACUGGCGUGGCCGGGCUCGGGGGCUCCGGCCUGGCGCUGCCGGCUCAGGUGGCGUCCACCCAGAAGGUCGACAACAAGUUCCUCCUCUGCCUCCCCAGCGGCGGCCCUGGCGUGGCCAUCUUCGGCGGCGGCCCGCUCCCGUGGCCGCAAUUGACGCGAUCGAUGCCGUACACGCCGCUCGUCACCAAGGGCGGCAGCCCCGCGCACUACAUCUCCGUCAAGGCCAUCCAAGUGGAGGACACCCGCGUCUCCGUCUCAGAGCGCGCGCUCGUGAUGCUCAGCACGAGGCUGCCCUACGCCAUGCUCCGCCGGGACGUGUACCGCCCAUUGGUGGACGCGUUCACCAAGGCCCUAGCGGCGCAGCCUGCCAACGGAGCGCCCGUGGCGCGCGCCGUGAAGCCUGUGGCGCCGUUCGAGCUGUGCUACGACACGAAGUCGCUGGGCAACAACCCCGGCGGGUACUGGGUGCCGAACGUCGGGCUGGCGCUCGACGGCGGGAGUGACUGGUGGAUGACUGGGAAAAACUUCAUGGUGGACGUCAAGCCGGGGACGGCGUGCGUUGGGUUCGUGGAGAUGAAGGGGGUGGAUGCCGGCGCCGGCAGGGCGCCGGCGGUGAUACUCGGAGGAGCCCAGUUGGAGGAACUCGUGCUCGACUUCGACAUGGAGAAGAAGCGGCUCGGGUUUCUCAGGCUGCCACACUAUAUGGAUUGCAGCAGAUUCAAUUUCACUCGAAGCGCUUAGAACUGUCACUGCCUGUAAUAACAAGUUUGUUUAUGAGGCCUCUUUGUUUAUCUACGGUAUAUCAUUCGACCACUCCCUGUAAUAAUAAUAAGCCUUUUUUUAUCGACGGUGUAUUAUUCGACUACUGCAUGUAAUAAUAAGCCUGUUCUUCUAAAAAGACAUGGUGCCGAAUGUCGGGCUGUUUGCGGACUGUUUUUUACGAGAUGAAGCUGGUUUCUUGGUCGCGGCUUCAUGCAGUGAUACCUCUUUGUGGAGAUGGGCUCUUACUCGUAAAUGAAGUUGGGUGCAAUAAAAUUUGCGUCGAGUCCGACUGCAUGGAGUUCAUCGAAGUCAUGCAAAGGGUGGUAAUUCGCUAGGCCCGGCCAACCGCAAUUUAUGAAGAAUGUUCUUUUCUUGCUAGAAAUUUUACUUGUAUUAUGUAUUGGCUAGAAACUCGGAGUUCUCUCAUACAAUUGUUCAGAAAUCGAAAGCUCCAGGGUUUCUAGUAGAUGAAUUAACAGAUGAUGUAUCAGUUUUUGCGCAUGAAAUAUAAACCACCAUGAUGGCUUUUCCUCAAAAAAUAAACCACCGAGCGAAAAAUUGUACUCGGCAAAUAGAAACUUUGUCGAGUGGUACAGUCAUCAAACAAAGAACACUAGACAAAAGAAGGUUCUUUGCCGAGUGUCAGUCUCUACCGAGUGUUUUUUACAAGACACCCGGCAAACAAUUAAAAAACAAUAAAAUGCAUAGUUCAUUUGGAAUUUUAGAUGAUAAACAUAAAAGAAAGAGUCAGGGUACAAGCCGAUCAAGUCUGGGGAAAGAGAAGGACAUAGUGGUGUUGAUGAGGGGAAGGAGAAGGACAUAGUGAUGUUGAUGGAGAUGGCACCGAUGGAGUGGCGACGGUGGAGAUGGCACUGCACCGAAGGGUGGCAUGGCACGGUGGCGAAGCCUCCUCUUCCUUCUCCUUGAUCUUGGCCCUUCUUCUAUGGUGGUGGUCUUGGAGCAAUUCGGGAGAUAGAUAUGGUGAUAUGAACGUUCGUAAGAUGAUGAUAGUCGGCAACUAGGGUUGGAGGUGUAUAUAUAGGAGGCCUUUUUGGGUCUAGAUGAGCCAAAUCCAGUCCCAAUACCUCCCUUGGUGGCCAAGGAAAUAUCGUGGGAACAAAUGAAGACCAAAUAGAAUCGCGUGUCCGAACAUGGUCGUACGAGAAACCAUCUUGUAACUCAGGACCUUCAGUAGCAGUUUAGUAUUUUGGCCGUUAUUUCUUUAUACUAACUCUGAUUCUGAUGUUCCUGGGCUUGUUGGAUUCAUAUGAAUGACCCCAAUGCCCUUGUGGUAUUGGAGAUUCAAUUUGAGAACUUUGAACAUGUCAUAUUUGACACACAAAAUGACUAAGCUGGUGACUAGCAGUCCUCCGCAUUGAUCCAACCUUGACCUUUUCAUAGUGCUUGUUCCAUGGUGGCUCAAAACACCUAUAGAAAAAACAGAAACAAAGGAAACUAAUAAAAUAUAACAAUAAACUACAAACAAUGCAAUGCUCGCAACGGAAAGAGAAUAAACGGGAAAUAAUGCGUAAUGCACAACGACAGACAACGACAGUGGGGAAAUUCCUACUCGUUUUUUUUGAGGGGUAAGGCAUUUAUUGAAAUAAAACAAACCAAGUCCACAAAACCUGAAAGUAUCAUCUGCACUAACUGCAGGAAUUAAGCAAAAAACUCACGUCUCCUCUGCACUAGCUGCAAGAAUUAACCAACACCCGGAAUUUUAUCUGCAACACACUGCAGAAUACAUUCAGGUGGCAUAUCAAGCCACUCUUUAUUCAUUUCAAUGCCAAUACCCUCUUUUGCUAGUCUGUGCGCCGCACCAUUUGCUGAUCUUCGCAUCCAGCUCACCUUGUAGUCCUGUCUUGUCUGAAGUAGCUCCUUGAUCUCUUCAACAAGAGGCCCAACCGCAGCUAGAUUCUUGCUCCUGCCAUUGAGCAUUGCCACAACCUCCUUACUGUCAAGCUCUAGAUGAACUCUCUGAAAACCUUGCUGUAUAGCAAGUUGCACCGCCCGCCAGCUGGCCAUUACUUCCAGGAGCUCUGGGCCGGAUAUGCUGGGAAGAAACACACAAGCCCCUCCCCGAUACGCACCUUCAUGGUCUCGUAGGACCACUCCUCCAGCCCCCUUUGAUCUGAGUUUUGUUGUAGCACCGUCCGCAUUCGCCUUUAUCCAACCCAAGUCAGGCGGUUUCCACUUCUCUACCUGCGUCGGCUUGUUUUGUCUGGCAGUUUUCGGAUGUGCCUCUCUCCAUUGAUUCAUGUGUGAGACCACUCUCUCAGCAAUGGUUCGUGCGUCCGCAAUACGCUUACCGUCCCUCGCCUCGUUCCUUGCCAGCCACAUCCCAUAUAGCGCCUGGAUCAUUGUCUCGCAUUCUUCGUCAUUAGCAUCAGCGACCCAGUCCUUCAUCCAAGAAGAAAUGCUUGUAAAGGUUCCAUCCAUCUCUGGCGGAAUGACUACAGGUGCCAUCAACUCCUCUCUCAGCGCCCUCCAGAACAGCUUUGAGUGCGGGCAGGCCCAAAACCGGUGGUAUACUGACUCCUCUCUCCCACAAGCCACGCAAAACACACCACCUUUUAUCCUACGCUUAUAUAGUUCAUCUCCAACAGCCAAACCAUUUCGCAUCAACCGCCACGUAUGGAUCUUCGCCUUAUUUGGUGCAUCGGUGUUCCAUAGUGACAACCAAGUUUUGUGCAUCCUGAGCGAAGACGAGGAUCCCGGCUGUCCAGUCCUCGCCCCCUUCAUGCUCAUCCUUAAGUGGUAUGCUGAUUUGACUGUGAAUUGUCCAUUCUUCAUGAAAUUCCAUGCCAGAUAAUCACUUCUACCCGGGCCGCCCACCACUAUCUGCUUUAUAUCACAUGCAUCAUCAGCUGUGAACAUUUCAUCAACCUUUGCUUCAUCCCAUCGAGUACCAUCAGUAGUAAGUAAGUCAGCCACCUUGGUGAUUCCCUGUACGUAAACUUGACCCACUGGUUUAAGACUCCCUUGCCGCGGAAUCCAAUUAUCAUGGUGUACAUUGAUGGAUGAUCCAUCACCUAUCCUCCAGACAAGUCCUUCCCGCAGCAAAUCCCGUCCAUGCAAAAUGCUUCGAAAGGUGUAUGAUCCCCCACUUGGGCACGUAGCUGUCAUAAUUGAUCCCUCAGAGAAAUACCGUGCUUUAAGAACUCGGGCGCAGAGAGAGGUAGGGUUCUGCAAGAUUCUCCACGCCUGUUUAGCCAACAAUGCUUGGUUGAACACCUCCGGAUCCCGGAAACCCAUGCCCCCCUCCCUCUUUGCCCUGCACAUCUUAUCCCAAGAAAUCCAAUGUACUUUCCUUUCACCAUUUGCUGCACCCCACCAGAACUUUGAAGAGAUUGAUUUCAGGUUCCCGCACAUUUUCUUUGUGAGUUGAAAACAACUCAUAGUGAAAGUAGAAGUAGCUUGAAGUACAGAUUUAACUCGGACUUCUCUUGCUGCCUUUGACAAACCUUGUCCCUUCCAUCCAGAGACCUUGCCUGUUGCGCAUUCCUUUACGUAUUUAAACGUGCCCUCUUUUGAUCUCCCAACCAGUGUUGGUAAACCGAGGUAACGUUCACUUAAGGCUUCAGAGGUAAUGCCAAUAGCUUGCUUGAGUCCUUCCUUGUCCUCCUGCCUGCAACCCUUACCAAAAAAUAUAGAUGAUUUUUGUAGGUUUACCUUCUGUCCUGAUGCCACCUCAUAAUCAGCUAGGAUACUUGUCAAAGUGUGCAUGGAAUCUUGGGAGCCCUCCAAGAAAACAAUACUGUCAUCCGCAAACAGCAGGUGUGUGACAUGGGGGCCAGUGCUCCCAAACGACACCCCUUUGAUCUUGUUCUCCAUCUGAGCGUUCUUCAGCAGCGCCGAAAAGCCCUCUACGCAAAACAAUAAGAGGUAUGGAGAUAGCGGGUCUCCUUGCCGGAGCCCCCUUGAUGGCAUAAAACUGCGAGAUACACCUGAAGGAAAUAUGCCCUAGAGGCAAUAAUAAAGUUAUUAUUUAUUUCCUCAUAUCAUGAUAAAUGUUUAUUAUUCAUGCUAGAAUUGUAUUAACCGGAAACAUGAUACAUGUGUGAAUACAUAGACAAACAUAUAGUCACUAGUAUGCCUCUACUUGACUAGCUCAUUAAUCAAAGAUGGUUAUGUUUCCUAACCAUAGACAUGUGUUGUCAUUUGAUUAAUGGGAUCACAUCAUUAGAAGAAUGAUGUGAUUGACAUGACCCAUUCCGUUAGCCUAGCACUUGAUCGUUUAGUAUAUUGCUAUUGCUUUCUUCAUGACUUAUAAAUGUUCCUGUAACUAUGAGAAAUAUGCAACUCCCGUUUACCGGAGGAACACUUUGGGUACUAUCAAACGUCACAUCGUAACUGGGUGAUUAUAAAGGAGUAAUACAGGUGUCUCCGAAGGUACAUGUUGAGUUGGCGUAUUUCGCGAUUAGGUUUUGUCACUCCGAUUGUCGGAGAGGUAUCUCUGGGCCCUCUCGGUAAUGCACAUCUUUAUAAGCCUUGCAAGCAAUGUGACCAAAUGAGUUGGUUACGGAAUGAUGCAUUACGGAACGAGUAAAGAGACUUGCCGGUAACAAGAUUGAACUAGGUAUUGGAUACCGACGAUCAAAUCUCGGGCAAGUAACAUACCGAUGACAAAGGGAACAACGUAUGUUGUUAUGCGGUUUGACCGAUAAAGAUCUUCGUAGAAUAUGUAGGAACCAAUAUGGGCAUCCAGGUUCCGCUAUUGGUUAUUGACCGAGAAUAGUUCUUGGUCAUGUCUACAUAGUUCUCGAACCCGUAGGGUCCGCACGCUUAACGUUACGAUGACAGUUUUAUUAUGAGUUUAUAAGUUUUGAUGUACCGAAGUUUGUUCGGAGUCCCGGAUAUGAUCACGGACAUGACGAGGAGACUCGAAAUGGUCGAGACAUAAAGAUUGAUAUAUUGGACGACUAUAUUCGGACACUAGAAGUGUUCCGGGUGAUUUCGGAGAAAACCGGAGUGCCGGAGGGUUACCGGAACCCCCCCGGAGAGUUAAUGGGCCACAUGGGCCUUGGUGGGAAGAGAGAGGGGCGGCCAGGAAGGGCUGCACGCCCCCUCUCCCUCUGGUCCGAAUUGGGCUAGGAGGGGGGGGGGCGGCGCCCCCCUCUUUCCUUCCCCCCUCUCCCCCUUCCUUUCCCCUCCUAGUAGGAGUAGGAAAGGAGGAGUCCUACUCCUACUAGGAGGAGGACUCCUCCUCCUGGCGCGCCCACAAGGGCCGGCCGGCCUCCCCCCUCCCUCCUUUAUAUACGAGGGCGGGGGGGGGGGCACCCCAUAAACACACAAGUUGAUCUACGAAUCGUUCCUUAGCCGUGUGCGGUGCCCCCCUCCACCAUAUUCCACCUCGGUCAUAUCGUCGCGGAGUUUAGGCGAAGCCCUGCGCCGGUAGAACAUCAUCAUCGUCACCACGCCGUCGUGCUGACGGAACUCAUCCCCGAAGCUUUGUUGGAUCGGAGCCCGGGGAUCGUCAUCGAGCUGAACGUGUGCUGAACUCGGAGGUGCCGUACGUUCGGUGCUUGGAUCGGUCGGAUCGUGAAGACGUACAACUACAUCAACCGCGUUGUGCUAACGCUUCCGCUUACGGUCUACAAGGGUACGUGGACAACACUAUCCCCUCUCGUUGCUAUGCCAUCACCAUGAUCUUGCGUGUGCAUAGGAAAAUUUUGAAAUUACUACAUUCCUCAACAGUGGCAUCCGAGCCUAGGUUUUAUGCGUUGAUGUUAUAUGCACGAGUAGAACACAAGUGAGUUGUGGGCAAUACAAGUCAUACUACUUACCAGCAAUGUCAUACUUUGGUUCGGCGGUAUUGUGAGAUGAAGCGGCCCAGACCGACAUUACGCGUACGCUUACACGAGACUGGUUUCACCGUUACGAGCACUCGUGCUUAAAGGUGGCUGGCGGGUGUCUGUCUCUCUCACUUUAGCUGAAUCGAGUGUGGCUACGCCCGGUCCUUGCGAAGGUUAAAACAACACCAACUUGACGAACUAUCGUUGUGGUUUUUAUGCGUAGGUAAGAACGGUUCUUGCUAAAGCCCGUAGCAGCCACGUAAAAUUUGCAACAACAAAGUAGAGGACGUCUAACUUGUUUUUGCAGGGAAUGUUGUGAUGUGAUAUGGUCAAGACGUGAUGCUAUAUUAUAUUGUAUGAGAUGAUCAUGUUUUGUAACCGAAGUUAUCGGCAACUGGCAGGAGCCAUAUGGUUGUCGCUUUAUUGUAUGAAAUGCAAACGCCCUGUAAUUGCUUUACUUUAUCUCUAAGCGGUAACGAUAGUCGUAGAAGCAAUAGAUGGCGUAACGACAACGAUGCUACGAUGGAGAUCAAGGUGUCGCGCCGGUGACGAUGGUGAUCACGACGGCGCUUCAAAGAUGGAGAUCACAAGCACAAGAUGAUGAUGGCCAUAUCAUAUCACUUAUAUUGAUUGCAUGUGAUGUUUAUCCUUUAUGCAUCUUAUCUUGCUUUGAUUGACGGUAGCAUUUUAAGAUGAUCUCUCACUAAUAAUCAAGAAGUGUUCUCCCUGAGUAUGCACCGUUGCGAAAGUUCUUCGUGCUGAGACACCACGUGAUGAUCGGGUGUGAUAGGCUCUACGUUCAAAUACAACGGGUGCAAAACAGUUGCACACGCGGAAUACUCAGGUCAUACUUGACGAGUCUAGCAUAUACAGAUAUGGCCUCGGAACACGGAGACCGAAAGGUCGAGCCUGAAUCAUAUAGUAGAUAUGAUCAACAUAUUGAUGUUCACCAUUGAAACUACUCCAUCUCACGUGAUGAUCGGACAUGGUUUAGUUGAUUUGGAUCACAUGAUCACUUAGAUGACUAGAGAGAUGUCUGUCUAAGUGGGAGUUCUUUAGUAAUAUGAUUAAUUGAACUUAAAUUUAUCAUGAACUUAGUACCUGAUAGUAUUUUGCUUGUCUAUGUUUGUUUGUAAAUAGAUGGCUCGUGCUGUUGUUCCGUUGAAUUUUAAUGCGUUCCUUGAGAAAGCAAAGUUGAAAGAUGAUGGUAGCAAUUACACGGACUGGGUCCGUAACUUGAGGAUUAUCCUCAUUGCUGCACAGAAAAGUUACGUCCUGGAAGCACCGCUGGGUGCCAGGCCUGCUACUGAUGCAACUGACGAUGUUAAGAACGUCUGGCAGAGCAAAGCUGAUGACUAAUCGAUAGUUCAGUGUGCCAUGCUUUACGGCUUAGAACUGGGUCUUCAACGACGUUUUGAACGUCAUGGAGCAUAUGAGAUGUUCCAGGAGUUGAAGUUAAUAUUUCAAGCAAAUGCCCGGAUUGAGAGAUAUGAAGUCUCCAAUAAGUUCUAUAGCUGCAAGAUGGAAGAGAAUAGUUCUGUCAGUGAAAAUAUACUCAAAAUGUCUGGGUAUAAUAAUCACUUGAUUCAACUUGGAGUUAAUCUUCCUGAUGAUAGUGUCAUUGACAGAAUUCUUCAAUCACUGCCACCAAGCUACAAGAGCUUCGUGAUGAACUAUAAUAUGCAAGGGAUGAACAAGACUAUUCCUGAGCUCUUCGCGAUGCUAAAAGCCGCGGAGGUGGAAAUCAAGAAGGAGCAUCAAUUGUUGAUGGUUAACAAGACCACCAGUUUCAAGAAAAAGGGCAAAGCGAAGAAGAAGGGGAACUUCAAAAAGAACAGGAAGCAAGUUGCUGCUCAAGAGAAGAAACCCAAGUCUGGACCUAAGCCUGAAACUGAGUGCUUCUACUGCAAGCAGACUGGACACUGGAAGCGGAACUGCCCCAAGUAUUUGACGGAUAAGAAGGAUGGCAAAGUGAACAAAGGUAUAUGUGAUAUACAUGUUAUUGAUGUGUACCUUACUAAUGCUCGCAGUAGCACCUGGGUAUUUGAUACUGGUUCUGUUGCUAAUAUUUGCAACUCGAAACAGGGACUACGGAUUAAGCGAAGAUUGGCUAAGGACGAGGUGACGAUGCAUGUGGGAAAUGGUUCCAAAGUCGAUGUGAUCGCGGUCGGCACGCUACCUCUACAUCUACCAUCGGGAUUAGUUUUAGACCUAAAUAAGUGUUAUUUGGUGCCAGCAUUAAGCAUGAACAUUAUAUCUGGAUCUUGUUUGAUACGAGACGGUUAUUCAUUUAAAUCAGAGAAUAAUGGUUGUUCUAUUUAUAUGAGUAAUAUCUUUUAUGGUCAUGCACCCUUGAAGAGUGGUCUAUUUUUAUUGAAUCUCGAUAGUAGUGAUACACAUAUUCAUAGUGUUGAAACCAAAAGAUGCAGAGUUAAUAAUGAUAGUGCAACUUAUUUGUGGCACUGCCGUUUAGGUCAUAUCGGUGUAAAGCGCAUGAAGAAACUCCAUACUGAUGGGAUUUUGGAAUCACUUGAUUAUGAAUCACUUGGUACUUGCGAACCGUGCCUCAUGGGCAAGAUGACUAAAAUGCCGUUCUCCGGAACGAUGGAGCGAGCAACUGAUAUGUUGGAAAUCAUACAUACUGAUGUUUGUGGUCCAAUGAAUGUUGAGGCUCGCGGCGGAUAUCAUUAUUUUCUCACCUUCACAGAUGAUUUGAGCAGAUAUGGGUAUAUCUACUUGAUGAAACACAAGUCUGAAACAUUUGAAAAGUUCAAAGAAUUUCAGAGUGAAGUAGAAAAUCAUCGUAACAGGAAAAUAAAAUUUCUACGAUCUGAUCGUGGAGGAGAAUAUUUGAGUUACGAGUUUGGUCAACACUUGAAACAACACGGAAUAGUUUCGCAACUCACGCCACCCGGAACACCACAACGAAAUGGUGUGUCCGAACGUCGUAAUCGUACUUUACUAGAUAUGGUGCGAUCUAUGAUGUCUCUUACGAAUUUACCGCUAUCGUUUUGGGGUUAUGCUUUAGAGACGACCGCAUUCACGUUAAAUAGGGCACCAUCAAAAUCCGUUAAGACGACGCCUUAUGAACUUUGGUUUGGCAAGAAACCAAAGUUGUCGUUUCUUAAAGUUUGGGGCUGCGAUGCUUAUGUGAAGAAACUUCAACCAGAUAAGCUCGAACCCAAAUCGGAGAAAUGUGUCUUCAUAGGAUACCCAAAAGAGACUAUUGGGUACACCUUCUAUCACAGAUUUGAGGGCAAGAUUUUCGUUGCUAAAAUCGGAUCCUUUCUAGAGAAGGAGUUUCUCUCGAAAGAAGUGAGUGGGAGGAAAGUAGAACUUGAUGAGAUAACUGUAUCUACUCCCUUAUUGGAAAGUAGUUCAUCACAAGAACCGGUUCCUUUGACAACUACACCAAUUAGUGAGGAAGCUAAUGAUAUUGAUCAUGAAACUUCAGAUCAAGUUUCUACUGAACCUCGUAGGUCUACCAGAGUAAGAUCCGCACCAGAGUGGUACGGUAAUCCAAUUCUGAAAGUCAUGUUACUUGACCAUGAUGAACCUACGAACUAUGAGGAAGCGAUGAUGAGCCUAGAUUCCGCAAAAUGGCUAGAGGCCAUGAAAUCUGAGAUGGGAUCCAUGUAUGAAAACAAAGUAUGGACUUUGGUUGACUUGCCCGAUGAUCGGCAAGCAAUUGAGAAUAAAUGGAUCUUUAAGAAGAAGACUGACGCUGAUGGUAAUGUAACUGUCUAUAAAGCUCGACUUGUUGCGAAAGGUUUUCGACAAGUUCAAGGAGUUGACUACGAUGAGACUUUCUCACCCGUAGCGAUGCUUAUGUCUGUCCGAAUCAUGUUAGCUAUUGCUGCAUUUCAUAAUUAUGAAAUUUGGCAAAUGGAUGUCAAAACUGCAUUCUUGAAUGGAUUUCUGGAAGAAGAGUUGUAUAUGAUACAGCCAGAAGGUUUUGUAGAUCCAAAAGGUGCUAACAAAGUGUGCAAGCUCCAGCGUUCCAUUUAUGGACUGGUGCAAGCAUCUCGGAGUUGGAAUAAAUGCUUUGAUAGUGGAUCAAAGCAUAUGGUUUUAUACAGACUUUUGGAGAAGCCUGUAUUUACAAGAAAGUGAGUGGGAGCUCUGUAGCAUUUCUGAUAUUAUAUGUAGAUGACAUAUUAUUAAUUGGAAAUGAUAUAGAAUUUCUGGAUAGCAUAAAGGGAUACUUGAAUAAAAGUUUUUCAAUGAAAGACCUCGGUGAAGCUGCUUAUAUAUUGGGCAUCAAGAUCUAUAGAGAUAGAUCAAGACGCUUAAUAGGACUUUCACAAAGCACAUACCUUGAUAAAAUUUUGAAAAAGUUCAAAAUGGAUCAGGCAAAGAAGGGGUUCUUGCCUGUACUACAAGGUGUGAAGUUGAGUCAAACUCAAUGCCCGACCACAGCAGAAGAUAGAGAGAAAAUGAAAGAUGUUCCCUAUGCUUCAGCCAUAGGCUCUAUCAUGUAUGCAAUGCUGUGUACCAGACCUGACGUAUGCUUAGAAAUAAGCUUGGCAGGAAGGUACCAAAGUAAUCCAGGAGUGGAUCACUGGACAGCGGUCAAGAACAUCCUGAAAUACCUGAAAAGGACUAAGGAUAUGUUUCUCGUAUAUGGAGGUGACAAAGAGCUAGUCGUAAAUGGUUACGUCGAUGCAAGCUUUGAAACUGAUCCGGACGAUUCUAAAUCGCAAACCGGAUACGUGUUUUUAUUAAACGGUGGAGCUGUAAGUUGGUGCAGUUCUAAACAAAGUGUCGUGGCGGGAUCUACAUGUGAAGCGGAGUACAUAGCUGCUUCGGAAGCAGCAAAUGAAGGAGUCUGGAUGAAGGAGUUCAUUUCCGAUCUAGGUGUCAUACCUAGUGCAUCGGGACCAAUGAAAAUCUUCUGUGACAAUACUGGUGCAAUUGCCUUGGCAAAGGAAUCCAUAUUUCACAAGAGGACCAAGCACAUCAAGAGACGCUUCAAUUCCAUUCAGGACCAAGUCCAAGUGGGAGACAUAGAGAUUUGCAAGAUACAUACGGAUCUGAAUGUUGCGGACCCGUUGACUAAGCCACUCUCACGAGCAAAACAUGAUCAGCACCAAGACUCCAUGGGUGUUAGAAUCAUUACUAUGCCAUCUAGAUUAUUGACUAUAGUGCAAGUGGGAGACUGAAGGAAAUAUGCCCUAGAGGCAAUAAUAAAGUUAUUAUUUAUUUCCUCAUAUCAUGAUAAAUGUUUAUUAUUCAUGCUAGAAUUGUAUUAACUGGAAACAUGAUACAAGUGUGAAUACAUAGACAAACAUAUAGUCACUAGUAUGCCUCUACUUGACUAGCUCAUUAAUCAAAGAUGGUUAUGUUUCCUAACCAUAGACAUGUGUUGUCAUUUGAUUAAUGGGAUCACAUCAUUAGAAGAAUGAUGUGAUUGACAUGACCCAUUCCGUUAGCCUAGCACUUGAUCGUUUAGUAUAUUGCUAUUGCUUUCUUCAUGACUUAUACAUGUUCCUGUAACUAUGAGAAAUAUGCAACUCCCGUUUACCGGAGGAACACUUUGGGUACUACCAAACGUCACAACGUAACUGGGUGAUUAUAAAGGAGUACUACAGGUGUCUCCGAAGGUACAUGUUGAGUUGGCGUAUUUCGAGAUUAGGUUUUGUCACUCCGAUUGUCGGAGAGGUAUCUCUGGGCCCUCUCGGUAAUGCACAUCUUUAUAAGCCUUGCAAGCAAUGUGACCAAAUGAGUUGGUUACGGAAUGAUGCAUUACGGAACGAGUAAAGAGACUUGCCGGUAACGAGAUUGAACUAGGUAUUGGAUACCGACGAUCAAAUCUCGGGCAAGUAACAUACCGAUGACAAAGGGAACAACGUAUGUUGUUAUGCAGUUUGACCGAUAAAGAUCUUCGUAGAAUAUGUAGGAACCAAUAUGGGCAUCCAGGUUCCGCUAUUGGUUAUUGACCGAGAAUAGUUCUAGGUCAUGUCUACAUAGUUCUCGAACCCGUAGGGUCCGCACGCUUAACGUUACGUUGACAGUUUUAUUAUGAGUUUAUAAGUUUUGAUGUACCGAAGUUUGUUCGGAGUCCCGGAUGUGAUCACGGACAUGACGAGGAGUCUCGAAAUGGCCGAGACAUAAAGAUUGAUAUAUUGGACGACUAUAUUCGGACACUGGAAGUGUUCCGGGUGAUUUCGGAGAAAACCGGAGUGCCGGAGGGUUACCGGAACCCCCCCCGGAGAGUUAAUGGGCCACAUGGGCCUUGGUGGGAAGAGAGAGGGGCGGCCAGGAAGGGCUGCGCGCCCCCUCUCCCUCUGGUCCGAAUUGGACUAGGAGGGGGGGCGGCGCCCCCCUCUUUCCUUCCCCCCUCUCCCCCUUCCUUUCCCCUCCUAGUAGGAGUAGGAAAGGAGGAGUCCUACUCCUACUAGGAGGAGGACUCCUCCUCCUGGCGCGCCCAUAAGGGCCGGCCGGCCUCCCCCUCCCUCCUUUAUAUACGGGGGCGGGGGGGGGGGCACCCCAUAGACACACAAGUUGAUCUACGGAUCGUGCCUUAGCUGUGUGCGGUGCCCCCCUCCACCAUAUUCCACCUCGGUCAUAUCGUCGCGGAGUUUAGGCGAAGCCCUGCUCCGGUAGAACAUCAUCAUCGUCACCACGCCGUCGUGCUGACGGAACUCAUCCCCGAAGCUUUGCUGGAUCGGAGCCCGGGGAUCGUCAUCGAGCUGAACGUGUGCUGAACUCGGAGGUGCCGUACGUUCGGUGCUUGGAUCGGUCGGAUCAUGAAGACGUACGACUACAUCAACCGCGUUGUGCUAACGCUUCCGCUUACGGUCUACAAGGGUACGUGGACAACACUCACCCUCUCGUUGCUAUGCCAUCACCAUGAUUUUGCAUGUGCAUAGGAAAAUUUUGAAAUUACUACGUUCCCCAACAACACCCCCGUUCAACCUUACCGAAAACCGUGUAGAGGUGACACAUCUCAUAAUCAUUGCAAUCCAACGAUCCGCGAACCCUAGCUUCUUCAACAUCUGCUCAAGGAAAACCCACUCCACCCUAUCGUACGCCUUCAUCAUAUCUAGCUUGACAGCACAUAGGGGGUUCUUUCGCUUGCGAGUCCUAAUAGCAUGCACACAUUCAUAUGCAACGAGUACAUUAUCCAUGAUCAGCCUCCCUAGAACAAACGCACUCUGUUCCUCAGAUAUGAGCACCGGUAGAAUCCCCUUCAGUCUAUUCGCAAGAACCUUGGACGCAAUUUUAUAUAGGACAUUACAAAGACUAAUGGGAGAAAUUGCGAUAACAGCUCCGGUGAGCUGACUUUCGGGAUCAUGACAAUUGCCGUGUCAAUAAACGAGGCUGGCGCCGCUACCCCCGCAAGAAAAUCCCUGACCGCAGUGCACACAUCAUCACGUAAAAUUGCCCAGUGGCGUUGAUAAAACAAAGCAGGAAGACCAUCUGGGCCGGGCGCUUUUGUCGGACCCAUUUGAAAUAGAGCUGUCUCUAUUUCAAUAUCAGAGAUUGCAGCCGUAAGCUUGUCAUUCAUGUCUUCAGUGAUCAUAUGCUCAAAGUGCUGUAGCAGCCGGUCAGCAUUAGUUGACCCCUCCGAAGUAAACAAGCUCUGGUAAAAUGAAGCCGCCAUCUCCCUCAUAUCUUCAUCAACAGUACACUUCAUGCCGUCAUCUCUCCUUAACGCUCUAACUGUAUUUUUCCGCUUUCUGUGUGAUGCUCUAUUUUGAAAAUAUUGAGUAUUCUGGUCGCCUUCUUUGAGCCAACCAAUCCUGGAUCGCUGCUUGUACAUUAUCUCUUCCCUCUCAUAAAUAACUCGCAGCUGCUCCUCAAUCUCCCAUACUUCGGCCAUUGAACCAGUGUCCAACGCCCUCUCCUUCGCAUCUCUCAACUGGUCUUUCAGCCUCGAGAUUUGUCUUCUGACUGAACCAAACACACGCCGUCCCCAUCUUUGCAUAUCCCCAGACACCUCCUUGAGCUUCUCGCAUACCGCCACAAUAUCCGUUCCGAGCUUGCCUGUGUCUGCCCACGCAGUUUGCACCAUAUCAUCAUAGCUGUCAUGCUUGAGCCACAUCUCUUCAAAGCGAAACGGCCGAUCUCCCCUGUGGAUCCCGCCUGGAGCUGUCUCCAUGGCUCGGAUUAUAAGGGUUGCAUGGUCUGACUCCUCUGUUAUUACAUGCUCAACAUUUGUCUCCAGGAAGAGUCCAAGGAAGCCGCUAUUGCAUGUUGCUCGGUCCAGCCGAACCUGAAUGUUUUCCUCAUCGUCGUGUUUGUUAUCCCAAGUGUAUGGGUACCCAAAAAAGCCCAAGUCAGCUAGCCCGCAGUCGGACAAACUAUCUUGGAACAUUUCCAUCUGUAAGAAACUCCUAGGGUUCCCCCCACGUUGCUCAGAUUGCACUAAUAUCUCGCUGAAAUCACCCGCACAUAGCCAAGGGAGAUCAUCCUGUGCGCGAAGAUAGCGAAGAGCAUCCCAGGAUUUUUUCCGUAAUUCAGUUUUUGGCUCGCCGUAGAAACUAGUGAAUCUACAAGUCUUGCCAUCCACUAUUAUUUCCGCAUCAAUAAAAUACUGGCACCAUGGCCGAAUAGUAACUGUAAUAUUCUCCCUCCACCACAGUGCAAGUCCACCACUUAAACCCUGACAAUCAACAGAAACCCCACUCCGAAACCCUAGUCUCCACUUGAGCCUCUCCAUUGCACUAUCCUUCUUUUUUGUUUCACAUAAAAACACCACCGCUGGGUUGUAGGACCGUAUCAGGUCUCUAAGUUCGCCUACCGUCGAGUCCAACCCCAAUUCUCGACAGUUCCAGGCUAAAAGAUUCAUUGUGCCCGGCGGCCCUGACUUGCAGGGUCCGCCACUCGAUCAUCAGUCUCAGAGAUACGAUCAAACACACUAGUUGUCUUCAGUCUAGUAUCGCGAAUGAAGGUCUCAUUGCUCACUUGCCUAUCCGGAUCACCCUUUGCUACCCAAUGCUGCCUGGGCCUCCUCUUUUUGUCAAUGUUCUCACUCUGACUUGGGCUCCUUGGUGAUCUAGGCACGUACUCCUGCCUUGGGAUCCGAACAUAUCUGCCUGUCUUCCUCUCUUUCUGUCUAUAGCGACUUGCGCUCCCCUGCCCAUCAUAUUCCCUUGCUGCCUGCUGCUUGUACUGGUUCCUGAGUUCAGCCUGCCUAUACAGCUGCCUUUGCUUGAGAUCAUUGCGCAUGUUCUUUUCCCUCCGUUUCUCCAAGUCUUCACGUAAGUCCCUUUCCCUUUGCUCAGCCGGCCCGUGCCUAGCUUUGCUGGGACUAUUUACCUCCACUCCAUCAUGUUUGGCCUCCCCGCCAGUGCGGGAGUCAGCCGAGCCAUGAAACUCCAUAUUGAGGUUCCUUUUUGUUGGUAGAUCUCGGACGUAUGCACCUCCUCCCCUUUCCAUGCCACUUCUUCCUCGCAUAUCCCCAUCCCUGGACUUUGCACUGUUAAAACUAUUUGCACUCUGUGACGGCCUAUAGGACCCCUCUUUGAAAGAAGAAGAUCUUCCCGGCGAGGCCCGCAGCCAUUCUCCCCAUUGUAGAUCAGAACUCACAGGUGGCACGCAACCCUCCAUCCCAUGCACCAGCCUUCCAUAGUCAAAACAAAAAUGUGGGAUUUUUUCAUACUCAAAAUCAAACCAUGUGCUCUCCAGGUCCUCCUCUGAUUCCUUUAGGUUAAAACCCCGAACUAGUGGCUCAAAGAUCGAUAAUUUGGUUCUAACACGCAGCUGUGUCCCUCUCGCAAAGCCAUCCUUCUCCACAUCAACCCUGACCACUUUGCCGACCCAAUUCCCCAGAGCCUCGCCAAAUUCUUUAGAUCUUUUGUCUAAUGGUAAAUCAUUAACACGGACCCAACAUUCCACCGUAUCAAACACCAUCUCCGAAGGCCGAACUUGACCCUCGUAAUCCUUCAGCACCAGGACAUUAAAAUCAAAUUGCCAGGGGCCAUUGUUUAGCGCAUGUUUCCAAUCCCCUUCGCUACCAAAGUGCACCACAAACAUAUUCCUGUCUAUCUCCUUGAACUUUGCCUCUCUAUGCAGCCCCCAUGCCUUGUACAUUGCUUUCUCUAGGGCUUUGAAAUUCACAGUACGUGGGGUAAAAGCUUUCCCCACAACAGACCACUUUGUCGCUCUUGGAUUCUCCUGGGCAGACUCGCUGAAUAUGAAACCUGCAGCCUCCUUCUCCGUCAACACCAGAUCACCCAUCCUUGCUACUAGGCCUGCAGCCUCCUCCGACCCCUGUCCAACCGCCGGUGACAUGGACGUGUUCCUGUUCUGCGAGCCCUGCGUCGUCCUCACGGAAGAUGCUGCCGCCUCUCUGUUUCUCGCCACCGCCUUCGGGGUUGUCAUUACCUUCGGCGUUGCCGCCGAUCUAGGAGCCGCCAUGCCUCCACUUUUUGCCUUCUCCGCCAUGGUUCCCCCACAGAGGAGAGAGACACCGCCGAUCCGCCCGUGCAGGGACCCUUUACAGGCCACCGGAGACCACACCACCACCGUGCGGCAACCCUAACCCUAACGUCUGAUGCGAUCGCCUGGCAAUCGCCUCAGUCGCCCUCCUGUUACCGCUUCGAGGUGGACCCUCCUCCUUAUGAGAUUAGACUUGCUGAUGUGUAUCCGUGUGUGAAGACGGCGACGUCCAGAAAUUCCUACUCGUUGGUCCCUACUUUGAAGGUGUGUUGGCACGGUUGCGUGUUGUAUCAUCAUUACCUUGUAGUGGUCGAUUGGGUGGCUGUAGCAUGUCAUCUUGGCUAGAGACUUUGCUCCAGGUGAUCAUGGUGCACCACUUCUCCCUCACCUCGCUUCCUUGUCGUCAACCACGACCAAAUCCAGUGCGACGACUAUUUAUUUAGGUCAUUUUUGUUGCGUCUUUGCCCUCCAUCAUUUUUUUCGUUUCCCUUUGUUCACCUUGGUCAUCCUCACCAUAUCUUGUGGUGGCUUGACGGGUUCAGGACUCAGGAGUAUCUUGACAGCUUGUUUCCAGCCAUUGGGUGGUAUGGUCCCGUGUCUCUUGAAUCCAUUGUUUUGUUCGUUGGCCGGUCACCAGCCGCUCUUCCCGAUCAUUCCUCGACUAGAUCAAGCAGUUUUCCAUCGGACCAGGUGCUUGCUCUCUGCUGUUGUCAUAUCUUCCCGAUGAAAGAUGGUCUCUUGGGUCGUCCUGGACAACGCACGGUGCUUGUUCCGUCCUCAGAAGUCAUCCUUCAUGUCAUGAGGGUUGAUACCAUCGCCUUGUAUCUUCCCUUCUCUGUAAGGCUAGGUGGUGGAUUGAUCGGUUGUGUGGGCUUGCUUGCUGUGUUGUGCUUUUGCGGUAAUGUCUCCUAGUUUCGGUGCUUCACUCAGUAAACGUCUUGGAUCACACUAUGUGGGUGGUUGAUGAUGGUGUCCUUUUGGUGCUCAUGGUCUUCUUAUGGUUGGUCGUGUUCUACUUGGUGUUGCUUGUCCGACUUACAUAUGCCAAAGUUCGACAGUCGAAUCUCCACGCCGAUGAUGUUACCUUUGCGUGUUUCGGUCUUGGGUUGCUAGAGUUUCUUUGUAGGUUGCGGGGCUAGAGUUUCUUCGUAGGUUGUUCGGUUUGUGUGAAGAUGUGAUGAUCAUGUUGUUUGGCUCCCACCAUCAUUGGAAAUGUAAUGGUUUUGGUGUUUGGGUCGGCCAUCUUCGGUGAUGUAUUGGUCAUGGUGUUUGGCUCCCACCAUCAUUGGAAAUAUAAUGGUUGUGGUGUUUGGGUCGGCCAUCUUCGGUGAUGUAUUGGUCAUGGUGUUUGGGUCAGAGCAUCUUUGCCAAUAAAUGGAUCAUACAGUCAUUGAUGUUGUACUCAGUGGCGAGGCCACCUUAGAGUAGACCUGGCCAUCCGCCGGGCCGGGCCGGGCUGCCCAUGGCCAGGACUACCUUAGAGGCAGUGUAGUCAACUGACUACACAGGUUUUUGGUAAUACAAGCAAGAAUUAUGCAAAAUAUAUUUACAAAAUAUUACAAAUACGUGUAUUUUACUACACAAUUUUGUAUUGACUACACAGAGUUUAAAUCUUGGCUCCGCCACUGGUUGUACUAUCUGUCUUCUUAAUUAAUGGUAUGCAGCUCUCCUGUAUGUUUGCAAAAAAUGACGAGUAGAAAGAUAAGAGAGUGACAAUAUCACAGUCCUCUGAUUUUUUUUUUGGGUUAAUCGAUUUGGUUUAAGCCGUUGGAUGAAAAAUGGACGGCCGGAUCUCUUUCUUUAAUAUCUAGCCAAGAUCUCCUGUGCAUCUUCUUCGACAAACCGCCUGCCGUCGCUGCCCGCGGCCGGAGGUGCUCCAGCGCCUACCUCGCUGACCCCCCCUCCCCCCCGCCCGAUCGCCUGGCCCAUCCAUGGCCAUCCCUCUAACCCUGGCGAGGAACAUAAUUUUCCGUCGAGCCUGCACUCUCCCCACACCCCUAAGAUAGAUCGUCGGCGAGCCUGUCACGCUAAGACAGAUCGUCGACAAGUCUGCCACCCUAAGAUAGAUCUCCGGCGGCUGCUCCUUCCUUCCUUCCUUUGCCUCCGGCCAACUUGCUUCUUCUUCAAAAAAUCAACUGACCCAAAUUGCAAAUUCGGGCGACUUACAUACAGCUAUUGUGUAGAGAUAAAGGGUCCAUUUAGGUCGAAAGUAAAAAACAUGCGUGUUUAUUGCAAGUACACAGUACAGGUACAGUGAAAGUUCCAACCGGUCCAAGUGAAAUUGAAGUGACUAUAGUGUGUGUGUAGAAUGUCAGCCUGACAAACCCACAUACUUUUACAACUGCUGAAAAGGUGGACAACGAGCCGGCUGGCAAACCCACUAGUGUUUAGUUUCUGAAGAAAUAGGAGCUUCGACAGCCGGACAAUUGGACGCUCAGCAGCAUGCUGAACCCGAGCACCUGUUUCUCCAGAUCGAACACCAGCAGGUUGUUCUCCAGCUGUUUCCCGCCGAUCACCACCGCCGGCUCGCCGUCAACCGGCAUGCCGCCGGGCCCCAUCGGCAGGAUCCCCACGCACAUCGCCCCGUCCACAGGCACCAUGUAGUUAUCGUUGAACAGUGUCCAGUUGCGCGUGGCGCCGUCGCCCAGCUCAAGCUUAAUGUAAGGCAUGUCGAGGCCAGCUCGCUUCAGCAUCGGGAACGCGCCGUGGUAGCACAGCUCGAACGGCUUCGUCGCCGGCACCCUUUCCAUGAAGCUCACCUUCCCUCUGCACGCCAUUUCGGACGCCCAUCAUGGAGCUUAGUUUAGCAGGAACUCUGUAAUGGUGCGGUGGUUUGCGUUGAAAGCAUUUAAUAUGUGCUGUACCUUAUUAUGGCGUGGUCGAAGGCCUUGGCGAAAGCGCGGAACACAUCGGGCCGCAUGACCGUGUACGGCGUGGCCGUGCUCAGCACGACGCCGCCGCGGCCCGUGCGGACGUCAAUGUCGAGCGCGCCGGGGGGCAGGGCCGCCGCCGCGUUCGCCCCGUGCCACGACGCGGAGAUGCCCUUGACGGGGAUGUAGUAUCCGCCGGCGUUCGCCGGGUUUGUCAGGAGCGGGGUGUACGGGAUGGAGGUCGUGUAGUCGAUGAAGCCUCGCUCCGGCGUGGGCAGGUACACCGGCGUGUCACCGAAGGUCGCGAAGGCGGGGAGGCACAGGGAGAACUUGCGUCCGAAGCCGCGCUGAGCCGCGAGCUGGGACGGCAGCGAGAGCGAGCGCCGGGAGAGCCCCGCGACGCCGGCGGCGCCUGCGGGGAGCGAACUCAGUAGGCGGCCCGGCGCGCACGCGCCGACGACGGCGAACGACUCCUCCGGGCGCAGCUCCAUGGUGCCGUUGGUGGUGUUGACCUUCAUGGUGAGGCUCGUGAGAUCGCCGGUGGAGCACUCGCCGGUGACCGGGUUGAGCGGGCGGGCAGCGCAAGCGCACCACGACGACCCCGGCUUGCGGUUCUCCCAGAACCGGCCGCCGUCCACGUACCGGCAGCGACGCGAGGACUGCUGUUUGGCCACGGCGCACGUGUCGGAUUCGCACGGCACCGUGCUGUGCGCCGACGAGGGCGGGCACGUCAACCAGACGAGCGAGCCGGCGAGGUCGAGGAGGAGCGGCGACUUGUCGGCCUUGACGGAGAUGGUAUAGAGGGAGGUCUCGGGGUCCUUGGCGAGCUGCGAGAUCAGUGGUGGCUGCCGGUCACUGGUCGCCGCCGUGCAGGACAGCAGCAGGACGAGUGCCGAGAUGAUGACACGAUGGAACACAUGGUCCCUAUAGGGGUUGUGGUGGGAAAGCUUGGCUUGGUCAGCCAUUUCUAAUUGCUAGCUAGGGAAGAUGGUUUGGAUUGAUGCCGAAAGAAAUGAGUUGGCGACUGUAUUUAUACCAAUAUUGGAAUCAUGGUUCAUGGAACGUGAAUUAGCAGUGGUUUCAUCAUCGAUCUUUCCAGUUGUUUUCAGAUACCGAGGAGUUGACAAUAUAAAGUCAAGACAUCUAAACCUUGGCUAGCUCUUCGCAUCAAUGUGCCGACAUGCUUCGGUUUCUAUUUGGUCCAAUCACUACCAGAAAAUAGCUUCAUGCCCAGUGCUCGGCUGUUUGCCGAAACAGCCACCUAAACCGAGUGUCAACAAAAAAUACACUUGGUAAAGCCGACCUAAACACGAUGUGCAAAAAAAAGAAAAGAAAGGUACGCGGCAAAGAUUACCUAUGUCGGGCGUUUUCUUAUAGUCAGUUAGCCACUCGGCAAACAAGGUUGAGACUGGCUACUGGUCAAUCGUCUGAAAAUGAAUUUUAGGUCACUCGAUUGACCCCAAACUCUGUUUCAGUCGAGCCUAAUUAGGCAGCCCAGUUAUGGCAGCUCAAUGAACUCGUGAAGCUUGUGGUUCGGAUCGGUAGCAGCAGCAGCACCAGAAGCCCAACGCUGCCAAGCCAGUCUAUUAUUUUUUUUACAUUGAUUACGGGCUGCUCUAGCAUAUUGUUGGCCAAGCCUUUGUACAAGAGCAAUGAAUAGCACUCUCACACAUAUUGGCUUUGCUAAAAAAAAUCUCACACACAUUGGCAUACAACGGUUAGUGAGUAUACACAUAUGUAUAUUUCUUUUAUAUACAUGCAUACAAUACAUAUAUAAACAUAUACAUACAUAUAUAUAAUUUGCAUUAUUAUUAUGAAAAUAUGAGCAUAUAAUAGUGAGAUUUGCAAAAAAAAAGAGUUUUCUAAAAAGUAAUGGAUUACUGACAUCAGUGUUAUCCUUACAGAAGAAAAUAAAAUAAAAAACUAAACAAAAUCAAAAAAUGAAUAAAAACAAAAAAAUCUAUGGAAGAAUGAAUUCGUGGCAUUGGUAUUACCCUUUCAAAUGAAAGAAAAUUAAAAAAAAUCAUAGUAAUGAAGUUUUCUAAUGAGAAAUGAAACCCUUUUAGAAAAAAAACUAAAACAAAAUCAAAAUCAUGAAGUAUUCUAAGAAAAAAUGAAACCCUUUAAGAAGAAAGAAAUUGAAAAAGAAAAAAUUCCAAAACUUGCACACAAUUUGCACUGAAAUUGCACUUUUGUAAUGGAAAUAAUUAGCAUAUAAUAGUGCAUUUUUUGCAUACUACUACAAUUUACACAUAGUGUUACAGAAAUAAUGUAUUUCCCUUGAGAAGAAAGAAAAUUAAAAACAACUUGCGCACAACUUUGCACCGAAACUGCACUUUAUCGUAAUACACAAAAUAAUUAUAUAAUCAUGAAAUUUUGGCACAUAUUAUAUAGUAUUUGCUUGUAUAUAAUUACACUCAGCCAAAAUCUAGAAAAAACAAAAAAUAACCAAUAAAGGAAAGAACAAAAGGUAAAAGAAAAAUGCAUAGAAACAGAAAACAUGAAAAAAAACAAAGCAAAGCUCAGCAUUUUAUAAUGAGAUUUCUGAAAAGGUGUUUUCUAAAAAGUAAUGGGUUAGUGACAUCAGUAUUACCCUUAUAAAAGAAAAGAAAAGAAAACUAAAACAAAAUAAAAAAAUAAAACAAAAUUUUAGAAAAAAAGCAAUGUUUGUUGUGGAAGAAUAAAUUUGUGGCAGUGGUAUUACCCUUUCAGAAAAAGUAAGUAAAUCAAAUCGAAAUAAUGAGGUUUUCUAAAAAGAAUGAAACCCUUUAAGAAGAAAGAAAAUAAAAAGAAACAAAUUCUCAAAACUUACACACAAUUUGCACUGAAAUUGUAAAUUCUGGAAUAUGCAAAGAAUAAGCACAUAACAAUGCAUUUUUUGCAUUCUACUAUAAUCUACACAUACUGUAACCCAAAUAAUGUAUUUUCCUUUAAUAAGAAAGAAAAAUAAUAAAAAAUCUUGCGCUCAACUUUGCACUGAAAUUGCACUUUAUCGUAAUAUGCAAAAAUACUCAUACACUCAUGAAAUUUUGGCACAUAUUAUGUAGUAUUAGUUUGUAUAUAAUUACACUCAGCCAAAAACCCACGAAAAAAUAACCAAUCCAGGAAAGAGAAAAGGGAAAAUAAAAACGGAUAGAAAGAGAAAACAAAAAAAAAAUCCAAAAUACCCACAAAAGAAAGAAUUAAAUUUUGUAUACAAGAAUGAAUUAGUGGCAUUGGUAUUACCACUUAAGAACAAAAAAAAAUGAGAAAAUAAUCUAAAGCAAACAAUGACAAAUUUUGCACAAAAUAUAUAUAAAAAUUGGGUAUUUUAAAAAUAUGCAAGAAUAAGCAUAUAAAAGUGGAACUUAUGCAAAAAAAAACUAAGAACAAAUGAAUAGUGGAAUUGGUAUUAACCAUAAAGUAGAAUGAAAAUGAAUUAAAGACUAAAGCAAUAAGAAAAUAAUGAUUUUUCCUAAAAAUAAUGAAUUAGUGGCAUUGCUAUUUCUUUUAAGAAAAGAGAAAAUAAAUAAUAAAAACUUGUUCACAACUUUGCACCGAAAUUGCACUUUAUGGUAAUAUGCAAAAAUAAUCAUAUAAUCAUGAAAUUUUUGCACAUAUUACAAAGUAUUUAUAUGUACGUAACCACACUCAGCCAAAAACCCAAAAAAUAACCAAUAAAAGAAAGAAAAAGGAAAAAAGAAAAACACACCCCAGAAGAGUAAAAACGAGCCCAAGAAGCUAUUCGACUGACCCAAAAAAGAGGCCAAUCGAUUGCACAUAGCCCAACCCACCAACAAAAUGACACAAAAAAACAAAACACACAUCUUAAAGAAGAAUCGAACGGCCACAAAAUCGACUGGCCCAAACAGAAUUUUUAGCUGACUGACAUAUAGCUAAAGUGAACAAGGUUACAUGUGUUUGCAAUCGCGGUUGAUGGAAGUGUCACGAGUUAAAUGUGUUUGCAAUCGCGGUUGAUGGUAGUGUCAGGCGAUCGUCAUUGCCGAGUGUCCGACAUAUAGCACUCGGCAAAGCAUUUCUAUUUUUCUCCCUCUUUGCUUUACUUUCUUCCCUUUUUUCUUAGUUUUUUGUUGAUUUCUUAUUUUAUCUUUUAACUAUUUCUUUGUUUCUUGGCUUUUUUUUUCUUUUCUUUCUUCUUGUGUUAGGUUUCGAGGCGAAAUGACAUUGCUUCAUCAAGUAGUCUUGAAACUUUUUCUACACUUGAGAUACAUCAUUAAGUGUGAUAUGUCAAAGUUUAGUAUUUUUUGGAUCCAUUAGCUAUAUAAGUGUAUUUCUAGACAUUUAAUGGAAAUAAUUUAUAUUUGAACUACAGGUACAUGAAAUCAUUGUCAGAAAUUGGUUGAUAAUUCUUAUUGGUGGUAGUUAUUUAUGUUUAAGCCUAAUGUAAUGAAUUGAAAGGAGUUCCAAACAUUAUGGGGGACGAAACUCAACCACCAAUGGAACUUAGUUGUUAUUUUAUUCUCAAAAUGUCAAACAAAACCCAAAAAUCAUGAAAAUCGGCAUGGGGUCAUGAUAUGGCCCUAAAGGUUUUGGUAAAAACAUGAGAAUAUUCCAAAUAAAUUGCAACAUAGACUACUUACAAACCGGACCAUCUGCGAGAAAAAACAAGGUUUCACAAGGGAACAUGUCAAGUUUGCAUCCGAAGCGACAUUGCUUCAUCCGCUGAACUUGAAACUCUUUCAACUCUCAACACACCAAUACAUUUAACAUGUAAAAUUUUGGUAUUUGUGUCGGGUAUGUUUGCUAUAUUCAAGUUAUUAAGUGCAUUUCUAGGGAUUUAAUGUACAUAACUAAAAUUUGAACUACAUGUACAUGAAAUAAUUGCCAGCAAUGGCUUGCACUUUCUUAUCUGUGGUACUUAGUCUAUGUUCAUGCCUUAUGUAAUGAAAGAAAAUGAGCGCCAAGCACCAAGGGCCAAGACGCGACCACCGACAUGGAUCUUAGUGGAUAUUUACUUAAAAGAACAAGACUUCAUUCGCAUUGUUUUGGUAAGAGUACAUACAUAUUGUAGCUCCUGGCAUUUAGGAGAAUUCAUUUGUUGGUGUAGACCUUUGAUUCCUUCUUCCUAGGAGAAUGCUUUACAAAAGGGUCUUGCGAGGGAAGAUCAAAUAUUAAAUGUCCCUCGUAAAUAUUUAUUAUUGAUUUUAUAGUGCGUAAAAAGGGUCAACCCAAUAUAAUUGUAGCUAUUGGAUCUUCAUGCAUUUCCACGAUUACUAAAUCAAUAAGAGCAAAUCAUCCAUUAAUUUGAAGAGCUACAGGUUGUUUGACACUAGCCAAUCCAACAUCUUUUUCUCAAAUGUCCACUAGCCAAUUCAUUGUGGUGUACAAUAGAUGCAUCCUUUAAUAUCAGUCCACCUAAUAGCAUUUUCAAUUUAUUUAGGACUUGGUUAAAUGGGGUAGAGCCUAAGACAACACGGCCUAUUCGAGUUGGAAUGUGUGUUGGAACUGUCAAAAAUAUAUUUUAACAACAAACAAAACAUCACCAAUUUUUUGCAGGUCAUCUUCCGAGCGACUAUUUGGAUCCGUAUGUGGUCAUUACUCAGCCGUGCUGAAGUCAGGAAGCAUAUGACUUAUGGGUGCAAUCGUUGGGAGAUGGUAGCAUGGGAUACCUACAACUGGUUAGCUCUUUAUAUCCAUGUGCUCACAUGUGGUUUUUUGGCUUCUAUUCGGUCCAAUCACUACGAUAAAACAACUUUAUGAUAAGUAGACAGUUAAACUUACUAACACCCACUACUAUUACUCGACUCCAAGACCAUUGUCUAGCAUUCAUCUCAAAGUAUUAAGUUCAAGACAAACAGAGUAAUGCUUUAAGCAAGAUGACAUAAAGUAUACAAGAUGAGAUCAAACAAUAUGUUCAAACCCCAUCGUUUUAUUCUUAGUAGCAACAAUAAAAGAUGUGUCUUGCAACCCUUCCUAUCAUAGAGUAAGGACUGAUACAUCUCCAAUGUACCUAUAAUUUUUAUUGUUCCAUGCUAUUAUAUUAUCAAUCUUGGAUGUUUAUAUGCAUUACUAUGCUAAUUUAUAUCAUUUUUGGGACUAACCUAUUAACCUAGUGCCUUGUGCCGGUUGCUUUUUUUACCCUUGUUUUUGUCUUUUACAGAAAAUCAAUACCAAACGAAAUGAAACUUUUUGAUGAUGUGCCCUAGGGGGGCGCCCUAUGAGCUUGUGGGACCCCUGGGACUUCUCCAACCCUAAUCUCAGCUCUAUAAAUACCCAAAUAUUCCUCGUACACCAUAGGGCACACCAAAAAUACUUUUAUGCCACCGCAAAUUUCUGUCCUCGUGAGAUCCCAUCUGGAGACCUAUUCCGAUACUCUGCCGAAGGGGGAUUCGAUCACGGAGGGCCUCUACAUCAACCUUGCUGCCCUUCUGGUGACGUGUCAGUAGUUUAACACAGACCUACGGGUCCAUAGCGAGUAGCUAGAUGGUUUCUUCUCUCUCUUUGAUCUUCAAUACAAUGUUCUCCUCGAUGUUCUUGGAGAUCUAUUCGAUGUAAUCUUCUUUUGCGGUGCGUUUGUUGAGAUCUGUUGAAUUGUGAGUUUAUGAUCAGAUUAUCUAUGAAUAUUAUUUGAGUCUUCUCUGAACUCUUUUAUGCAUGAUUACGAUAUCUUUGUAUUUCUGUCCGAUCUAUUGAUUUAGUUUGUCCAACUAGAUUAAUUUUUCUUGCAAUGGGAGAGGUGCUUUGUUUUUGGUUCAAUCUUGUGGUGUCCUCACCCAGUGACAGAAGGGGUAGGAAGGAACGUAUUUAUAUUGUUGUCAUUAAGGAUAAAAAUAUGGGUUCUUUCAUAUUGAUUGGAUCUAUCCCUCUGCAUCAUGUCAUCUUGCUUAUGGCGUUACUCUGUUCUUGUCACCUUAAUACACUAGAUGCAUGCUGGAUAGUGGUCGAUGUGGGGAGUAAUAGUAGUAGAUGCAGGCAGGAGUCGGUCUACUUGUCACGAACGUGAUGCCUAUAUUCAUGAUCAUUGCCUUAGAUAUCGUCAUGAUUAUUCGCUUUUCUAUCAAUUGUUCAACAAUAAUUUGUUCACCCACCGUAUGUGUUAUUCAAGAGAGAAGCCUCUAGUGAAAACUAUGGCCUCCAAGUCUAUCUUUUAUCUUAUUAUUUCCAGACCUAUAAAAUUAAAAACCCAAAAAUACCUUGCGACAAUUUAUUUACCUUUACUUUAGUUUGCACUUUUAUUUAUCUUUUAUACCUCUCUCCAUCAGAUCUCACCCUUGCAAGUGACCGUGAAGGGAUUGACAGCCGCUUUAUCGCUUUGGAUGCAAGUAUUUGUUUGUUUGUGUAGGUCAUAUUAUUGGAGACUUGUGUGUUCCUCCUGCUAGAUUGAUACCUUGGUUCUUAAGUGAGGGAAAUAGUUAUGUCUACUUUGCUGCAUCACCCUUUCCUCUUCAAGGGAAAAACCAACGCAAGCUCAAGAAGUAGCAGGAAGAAUUUCUGGCGCCGUUGCCAGGGAGGUUCUACAUCAAGCCAACCAAGUACCUAUCAUAAACUAUCACCUCUUGCAUUUACUUUAUUCGCCAGUUGCCUCUCGUAUUCCUCUCCCCCACUUCUAAAACGUUUUCAGAAAAACACAAAAACUAUUUGCCUUUUUGUUUGCCUUUAUAUUUUACUUUGUUGGUUUGCUUGUUUUUUUGGUAUAUUUGUCACAUCCCUAGCUUCUGGUACUGCUUAGUGCUAGCAUCUGGUGUUGCAUCAUGUUUAAAUUUCUCAGAAACUUGAAAUGGGGAUGACAGAACCUCCAGUACCCCCCUUAAACCAACUAAGGUUUACUAAAAACAUUUUCAAUGAACCCAAAAUGCCCUUCUAAAAUGUUCAUCAUCUUUGCCUUGGUCUAGAACCUCUGACAACAAUGGUGCACAAAUUUCUAGGUCAUCCAAAGGUCACUGGAUUAAAUCAUAUGUUAUUUGAAUUUGGGCAUUUAAAUGCUAGUAAAUAUUUUAAAUGCCCAAAUAAUCCUAAACUGAAAUGUUCCAUGUUGGAUAUAUUCUAUACAGUGGGCAUGUGCAGUUUGGUGAUUUUUGAAUGGGUCUAGGUAUUUUUAGAAAAGCCACAAAGAUUACAGAAAAAUAGAAAACUGAAACAAAAGAAGAGAGAGAGAGAAAGAAACUUACCUGGGCUUACCUCAUCUGUGCAGCCACCUGGCGGCCCAAGUGCCGGCCCAGCACACCUAGCCCCCUCCCCUAUCGUCUUCCUCCUUGCCAGGAGGAUGGGUGCGUGGCCGACGCACGCCGGCGCACGCCCGACCACCUCCUGCUUGCCGCUUCGCCCUGGCUUCUUCGGGUGGCGCCACGCACCCCCUGGAACCCCCUCGCUCCUCUCCCUCACUCUCUGCUCUCUCCCUUGCCCUCUAGUUCCUUCCCCGAGCGCGACCGAACGCAGCCGUUGCCGCCGACGAUCUCCACCAUGGCCACAACCAUCUCCGAGCCUCUCCGACGCGCCCCCGAGCUCCGCCGUGACGUCCCCGUGCUCUCCGCCGAGCCACAUGACGCUGGACGCCCUGGAGCACUGUCGUCGACGCCAUCUUCAUCCUCUGCACCGACGGCCGCCGUCGACCAAUUCAUCAUCACCAGGCCGUCCCCGAGCCCGCUGAGAUCACCAAAGACCCCGCCGUGAGCUCCUCUACCGAACCCCUCUCUCCCCGCGGUUGUUCUCCUCCUCUAGCCCUGCUGGCCAUCGGAGCCGAAAGCUCACCACCAUGGUGGUUCCUCGCCGCCGUGGCCAGGGCCGUCGUAACCCGCGCCUGAGCACGUCAUCAUGCUCGGUGAACCCCCAGGAGCGCGUAGCACCUGCCAGUUUAUCCCCAAGCGCCCGUAGCGUCGACCCCGUCCACACCCGAACUCUGGCCGCCGCGGAAGUGCUCCCCGCCGCCAACUCCGGCCAUCCCAGCCGAUGCCGCCACCACCACUAGAUGCGCGAGAGCUCUAGCAAGUCGUAGCAGCAAACCACGCUCAUAACGGAGCCCCAUAGCAAAAUCCCAACUCCCUCCACCGCGGAUUUGGUCGCCGGCGGUUAAACGCUGGCAGCUGACGUGGCACCAUUAUCCUAGGUGCUAAUCAUGCUUAGUUAGUGCCACGUGUCAAUGACAUAUGGGUCCCCGAGCUUAAUUAGGUUAGUCUAAAUAUCCUGUUUAGAUUAUUGCUAAUCUUGCGGACCCCACGUGUCAGCUUUGACUCUGGCCCAGUCAGCAUUGACCGAUCCCACCUGUAAUCCACCCAAGCCAGCCCUGUGUCACUGACAGGUGGGCCCUACUGGUCAGAUUUGACCUGGAGGCGCCCAGUUGACCUGCUGAUGUCAGGGUGAUGUCAUGCUGACGCAACAAGUAUUUUCUGGAUUUAAUUAAAUUCAGGAAAUUCCAGAAAAUGCCCAAAACUUCUAAAAUUCAUAGAAAUUCAACCAUAACUCCAAAUGAAACAAAUUAUAUAUGAAAAAUGACCAGAAAAAUCCAAUCUAUCCAUCUGUACCAUUUUCAUGCAUGUUAGAACAACUUAAAGCUGCUGUAUACAACAAUUUGAAUUAAUGGCAUUUGAAAUGUCAUAUAUGGAGUUUGAAUUUGAAUCUUGGAUUCAAACCAACUCCAUUUAAUCUGUUGCUAGUUGCAUUAUCUCAAAUCACAGCAUAUUGACAUUUCAUGAUCAUGCAUCAUAUUAUGCAUUGCAUUGAUUGUGUUCUUCCUUGUUUGCCAGUAAUUGUCCCCUCUCAGUAUACGAUGUUCCGACGAUGAGUUCGAUGACACCGAUGAAGAACUAUACUAUCUUCAGAAGUGCUAGGCUAGCAAAACUCCCUUGUUCAUUCCGAUAAAAACCCACUCUCUCGCUCUGCUCUCUUUUACUGCAUUAGGACAACAACGACUCAUGUAUUCCUUGCUGCGGUAGUUGAACCCCUUUUCCUCUGCAUGACCUGUCAUUGCCACAGUAAAUAGAUGAAACCUACUAGCAUGAGUAGGAGUUUUUUGAGCCCUGAUGUGCCUACUCAUUCAUGUUUGUUUGUCAUGCCUGCUACUGCUUAGAGUUGAGUCAGGUCUGAUUCAUCAGGAAUGAAUUGGAAUGGUGAUGAACAUGUCCUACUGUGUGUGAGCUAAGUGUGUGAACAUGAUUUGGUAAAUGUAGUGGUGAGAGGCCAUGUAGGAGUACAUGGUGGGUUGUCUCAUUGAAGCCGUCCUCAGGAACUGAGUUCUGUGUUUGUGAUCCAUGAAACAACUACUACCAUGCAUUGGGCCCUGAAAUAUGACCCCGCUCAACUUCUUAACCACCCUAGUCCUCUGUCCAGGAGUUGCAAGUAGUUUCUGGUCUUUGUAGUUGCUGGAGGCCGUGUGCAGCACCGACCGGAGGUGUGGGCUGUGAUGCGGUAGGCACAUGGCCGGCUAUGCCGGGCGCCCGUUUGGUCUCGCGGAACCCUGUACACAUCGUUCGGGGCCGUAUGUGGAAACCUCGGCCGGACUCCCUGCGGAUGGAACCUGAAUAGGCGAUAAACCUGGACUAGAGACUUGAGUGUUUAGGUAGGUCGUGGUUGAUGUCUACUACACAACCUUCUUCUUGUAGACGUUGUUGGUCCUGCAAGUGCACAUGUUUGUAGGACAGUAGCAAAUUUCCCUCAAGUGGAUGACCUAAGGUUUAUUAAUCCGUGGGAGGCGUAGGAUGAAGAUGGUCUCUCUCAAACAACCAUGUAACCAAAUAACAAAGAGUCUCUUGUGUCCCCAACACACCCAAUACAAUGGUAAAUUGUAUAGGUGCACUAGUUCGGCCAAGAGAUGGUGAUACAGGUGCAAUAUGGAUGGUAGAUAAAUGUAUUUGUAAUCUGAAAAUAUAAAAACAGCAAGGUAACUAAUGAUAAAAGUGAGCGUAAACGGUAUUGCAAUGGUAGGAAACAAGGCCUAAGGUUCAUACUUUCACUAGUGCAAGUUCUCUCAACAAUAAUAACAUAGAUAGAUCAUAUAACAAUCCCUCAACAUGCAAGAAAGAGUCACUCCAAAGCCACUAAUAGCGGAGAACAAACAAAGAGAUUAUGGUAGGGUAUGAAACCACCUCAAAGUUAUCAUUUCUGUUCUAUCUAUUCAAGAGUUCGUAGUAAAAUAACAUGAAGCUAUUCUUUCCGCUCAAUCUAUCAUAGAUUUCAUACUAGAAUAACAACUUAAGACACAAAUCAACAAAACCCUAAUGUCACCUAGAUAGUCCAUUGUCACCUCAAGUAUCCGUGGGCAUGAUUAUAUGAUAAGCAUCACACAAUCUCAGAUUCAUCUAUUCAACCAACACAAAGUACUUCAAAGAGUGCCCCAAAGUUUCUACCGGAGAGUCAAGACGAAAACGUGUGCCAACCCCUAUGCAUAGGUUCAUGGGCGGAACCCGCAAGUUGAUCACCAAAACAUGCAUCAAGUGGCAUGUGAUAUCCCAUUGUCACCACAGAUAAGCACGGCAAGACAUACAUCAACUGUUCUCAAAUCAUUAAAGACUCAAUCGGAUAAGAUAACUUCAAAGGCGAAACUCAAUCCAUUACAAGAGAGUAGAUGGGGAGAAACAUCAUAAGAUCCAACUAUAAUAGCAAAGCUCGCGAUACAUCAAGAUCGUGCCAUAGAGAGAACACGAGAGAGAGAGAUCAAACACAUAGCUACUGGUACAUACCCUCAGCCUCAAGAGUGAACUACUCCCUCCUCGUCAUGGAGAGCGCCGGGAUGAUGAAGAUGGCCACCGGCGAGGGAUCCCCCCUCCAGCAGGGUGCCGGAACGGGCUCCCAAGAGGUUUUUGGUGGCUAUAGAGGCUUGCGGCGGCGGAACUCCCGAUCUAUCUUCUCCGUGGAUGUUUUUAGGGUACGUGGGACUAUAUAGGCGAAAGAAGUCGUCGGGAGGUGGUGGAGGGGCCCACGAGACAGGGGGGCGCACCCAGGGGGUGGGCGCGCCCUCCUAUCUCCUGGCCUCCUCGAGGCUCUUCUGACGUGAACUCCAAGUCUCCCAGAUGAUAUUCUUCCAAAAAAUCACGCUGCCGAAGGUUUCAUUCCGUUUGGACUCCGUUUGAUAUUCCUUCUCUUUGAAAUACUGAAAUAGGCAAGAAAACAACAAUAUGGGCUGGGCCUCCGGUUAGUAGGUUAGUCCCAAAAAUGAUAUAAAAGUGUAAAGUAAAGCCCAUAAACAUCCAAAAUAGGUAAUAUAAUAGCAUGGAACAAUAAAAAAUUAUAGAUACGUUGGAGAGGUAUCAAGCAUCCCCAAGCUUAAUUCCUGCUCGUCCUCGAGUAUGUAAAUGAUAAAAAUAGAAUUUUUGAUGUGGAAUUCUACCUAGCAUAAUUCUCAAUGUAAUUUUCUUUAUUGUGGCAUGAUUGUUCAGAUCCAAAUGAUUCAAGAUAAAAGCUUAUAAAACAUAAAAAUAAUAAUACUUCGAAGCAUACUAACAAAUAAUCAUGUCCUAUCAAAAUUGCAUAGCCAAAGAAAGCUUAUCCCUACAAAAUCAUAUAGUUAGGCCAUGCUUCAUUUCCAUUACACAAGAUACUCCCAUCAUGUACAACCCCGAUGACGAGCCGAGCAAUUGGUUCAUACUUUUUAACACGCUUCAGCUUUUUCAGCUCUUACGCAAUACAUGAGCGCAAGCCAUGGACAUAGUACUAUGGUGGUAUAUGGUGGUGGUUGUGAGGACAAAAAAAGGAGAAGAUAGUCUCACAUCAACUAGGCGUAUCAACGGGCUAUGGAGAUGCCCAUUAAUAGAUAUCAAUGUGAGUGAGUAGGGAUUGCCAUACAACGGAUGCACUAGAGCUAUAAAUGUAUGGAAGCUCAACAAAAGAAACUAAGUGGGUGUGCAUCCAACUUGCUUGCUCACGAAGACCUAGGGCAUUUUGAGGAAGCCCAUCAUUGGAAUAUACAAGCCAAGUUCUAUAAUGAAAAAUUCCCACUAGUAUAUGAAAGUGACAACAUAGGAGACUCUCUAUCAUGAACAUCAUGGUGCUAUUUUGAAGCACAAGUGUGGAAAAGAGAUAGUAGCAAUUGUCCCUUCUCUCUUUUUCUCUCGUUUUCUUUUUUUCCUUUUUCUCUUUUUUUCCUUUUUUCUUUUUUCAUUUGGUGGGCUUCUUUGGCCUCUUUUUUAUGGGCUUCUUUGGCCUCUUUUAUUUUUAUAAAGUCCGAAGUCUCAUCCCGACUUGUGGGGGAAUCAUAGUCUUCAUCAUCCUUUCCUCACUGGGACAAUGCUCUAAUAAUGAAGAUCAUCACACUUUUAUUGAUUUAAAACUCAAGAAUUACAACUCAAAGCUAGAACAAGAUAUGACUCAAUAUGAAUGCCUCCGGUGGUGUACCGGGAUAUGCAAUGAAUCAAGAGCGACAUGUAUGAAAAUUAUGAAGGUGGCCUUGCCACAAAUACGAUGUCAACUACAUGAUCAUGCAAAGAGCAAUAUGACAAUGAUGAUGCGUGUCAUAAUAACGGAAAGGUGGAAAGUUGCAUGGCAAUAUAUCUCGGAAUGGCUAUGGAAAUGCCAUAAUAGGUAGGUAUGGUGGCUGUUUUGAGGAAGAUAAAUAAUGGGUGCAUGAUACCGGCGAAAGUUGCACGGUAUAAUAGAAGCUAGCUAAGUGGAAGGGUGAGUGUGCGUAUAUCCAUGGACUCACAUUAGUCAUAAAGAACUCAUAUACUUAUUGCAAAAGGUUACUUAGCCCUCGAAGCAAAGUACUACUAUGCAUGCCCCUAGAGGGAUAGAUUGGUAGGAAAAGACCAUCGCUCGUCCCCGACUGCCACUCAUAAGGAAGACAAUCAAAAGAUCACCUCAUGCAACAAAUUUGUCACACAACUUUUACCAUACGUGCAUGCUACGGGACUUGCCAAGUUCAACACAAGUAUUUCUCAAUUUCAUAAUUACCCACUAGCAUGACUCUAACAUUACCACCUUUAUAUCUCAAAACAAUUGUCAAGCAUCAAAUUGAUCCUAGUGUUUAAUGCACUUUCAAUGAUAAUUUUUAUUAUACCCAAAUUGGAUGCUCAUCAUUCUAGGACCAAUUUUAUAACCAUAGAAAAUACCAUGCUGUUCUAAGAGACUCUCAAAAUGAUAUAAGUGAAUCAUGAGAGACUAUAAAUUUCUUCAAAAUUAAUCCAUCGUCGUGCUCUAAAAUAUAUAAGUGAGGCACUAGAGCAAACGACAAACUACUCCGAAAGAUAUAAGUAAAGAUCAAUGAGUAGUCAAAUAAUUGUGCAACUAUGUGAAGACUCUCUAACAUUUAAGAAUUUCUUAUCUUGGUAUUGUAUUCAAACAGAAAGCAAAACAAAAUAAAAUGACAUUGCAAGGAUAGCACAACUCAUGUGAAGAAGCAAAAACUUAGGCUCAACCGAUACUAACCGAUAGUUGUUGAACAAGAAAGGUGGGAUGCCUAACUGGGCAUCCCCAAGCUUAGAUGCUUGAGACUUCUUGAAAUAUUAUCUUGGGGUGCCUUGGGCAUCCCCAAGCUUGAACUUUUGUGUCUCCUUAAUUCCUCUCAUAUCAUGGUUUCUCUUUUUAUCAAAAGCUUCAUCCACACCAAACACAACAAGAACUCGUGAGAUAGGUUAGUAUAAACCAAUGCAAAACCUUAUCAUUUUCUACUGUAACAAAUCACUAAAAUUAUUAUUCAACAUUUAAUACUAAAUGUCUCUGCAUAUUUAAUACUCCUAUCCUCAAAUAGAAUCAUUAAACAAGCAAACAUAUGCAAACAAUGCAAACAUAACAGCAAUCUGCCAAAACAGUAUAGUCUGUAAAGAAUGCAAGAUUCAUAAUACUUCCAUAACUCCAAAAAUUAUGAUAAAAAUACUACGCUGUAGAAGAUUUAUCAUAGCUCAUUAUGAAAAAAGAUUCAACAUUAUAUCACUCUCUGACUUUUCUAGGGAAUUUUUGCAACAGCGGUAAACUUUCUGUUUUCAAGCAGCAACAUGUAUACUAGCAAAAUAAGCAUGGUAAAGGCUAUCUUGAAAUUUUUAUUGAAAAUAAAGAUGCAAAACAUUAUUAUAAAUAAAAUCAAGCAAAUACUAAUAAAAGAAGAUGACGCUCCAAGCAAAACACAUAUCAUGUGUUGAAUAAAAAUAUAGAUCCAAGUAAAGUUACCGAUGAACGAAGACAAAAGAGGGGAUGCCAUCCGGGGCAUCCCCAAGCUUAGGCUCUUGGUUGUCCUUGAAUAUUACCUUGGUGUGCCUUUUGCAUCCCCAAGAUUAGGCACUUGACACUCCUUAUUCCAUAGUCCAUCGAAUCCUUACCCAAAACUUGAAAACUUCAACCACACAAAACUCAAGACAAAACUCGUAAGCUCCGUUAGUAUAAGAAAAUAAUUAAAUCACCAUGUAGGUACUUUAAUGAAAUAAUUAUUUAUUCAUAUUGGUGUUAAACCUACUGUAUUCCAACUUAUCUAUGGUUCAUACACUUACAUACUAGCCAUAGAUUCAUCAAAAUAAGCAAACAACACAAUGAAAACAGAAUCUGUCAAAAACAGAACAGUCUGUAGUAAUAUGUAUCAAACGUAUAAUUCUGGAACUCCACAAAUUAUGAAAUAAAUUGUUGGACCUGAGUAAUUUGUCUAUUAAUCAUCUGAAAAAAGAAUCAACCUAAAAUCACUAUCCAGUAAAACAUGGCAGCUAUUCUCGUGAGCGCUAAAGUUUGUGUUUUUCACAGCAAGAUCAUAAAGACAUCACCCAAGUCUUCCCAAAGGUCCUACUUGGCAUUUUAUUGAAAUAAAAGCUAUAAAACAUGAUUAAUACAGUAUCAUAAUCAUUUGAACACACAAAAACAGUAAGGGUAAAUAUUGGGUUGUCUCCCAACAAGCGAUUUUCUUUAAUGCCUUUCUAGCUAGGCAUGAUGAUUUCAAUGAUGCUCACAUAAAAGAUAAGAAUUGAAACAUAACGGGAGCAUCAUGAAGCAUAUGACUAGCAUAUUUAAGUCUAACCCACUUCCUAUGCAUAGGGAUUUUUUGAGCAAACAACUUAUGGGAACAAUAAUUAACUAGUAUAGGAAGGUAAAACAAGCAAAUCUUCAAGCUUUUCAACACAUAGAGAGGAAACUUGAUAUUAUUGAAAUUCCUACAAGCAUAUGUUCCUCCCGAAUAAUAAUUUUCAGUAGCAUCUUGAAUGAAUUCAAGAAUAUAACCAGCACCUAAAGCAUUCUUUUCAUGAUCUACAAGCAUAGAAUUUUUAUUACUCUCCACAUGAGCAAAUUUCUUCUCAUGAAUAAUAGUGGGAGCAAACUCAACAAAAUAACUAUCAUGUGAGGCAUAAUACAAUUGAAAACUAAAAUCAUGAUGACAAGUUUCAUGGUUAUCAUUAUUCUUAAUAGCAUACAAGUCAUCACAAUAAUCAUCAUAGAUAGCAACUUUGUUCUCAUAAUCAAUUGGAACCUCUUCCGAAAUAGUGGAAUCAUCACUAAAUAAAGUUGACACUCUUCGAAAUCCACUUUCAUCAAUAUAAUCAUCAUAAAUAGGAGGCAUGCUUUCAUCAUAUUGAAUUUUCUCAUCAAAACUUGGGGGACAAGAAAUAUCAUAUUCAUCAAACAUAGUUUCCCCAAGCUUGUGGCUUUGCAUAUCAUUAUCACCAUGGAUAUUCAAGGAAUUCAUACUAACAACAUUGCAAUCAUGCUCAUCAUUCAAAGAUUUAGUUGCAAAAAAUUUAAUGCAUUCUUCUUCUAGCACUUGAGCACAAUUUUCCUUACCAUCAUUCUCACGAAAGAUAUUAAAAAGAUGAAGCAUAUGAGACAAACUCAAUUCCAUUUUUUUGUAGUUUUCUUUUAUAACCUAAACUAGUGAUAAAACAAGAAACAAAAAGAUCCGAUUGCAGGAUCUAAAGAUAUACCUUCAAGCACUCACCUCCCCGGCAACGGUGCCAGAAAAGAGUGGUCUACACCCAUGUCGGCUUUCGCUUGAAGUCUGCCGAGCACAUGUCGUGUGCAGACGCUAAGUGGUGGAAACAUGUAUGAGGAAGUACACCCCUGCAUGGUUAUAAAUGAUCUAUUCGAAUAGCCGAGUCCGCAGUAAAGGACCUCUGGGUUGCCUAUGCAGUUCAUAGACAAGUGAAAGUGGAUACUCUAAAAUGCGCAAGAUAAGCGUGAGUUCUAUGGAUGUCGUUCGCGUAGGGAGACGGGAGCGGAUCCAUAGUGGUGUAUUGAUAUGGUGAAUAUGUGGACUCGUGUGCGCCACCUCAAAAGAGUUACUUGUAGACGUAGCUCAGGAUAGCCACUGAGUCAAAGCUGGCUUGCUGCAGUUAAACCCCACCAUCCCUUUGUUGAUAAUGAUGCAUAUGUAGUUAGUUCUGAUGUAAGUCUUGAUGGGUACAUUUGUACUCACGUUUGCCUAUUUUAUGUUUUGCAGAGAGACUUCAGUCUCACUAGUAGUUCCGCGUGGACUUCGACGUUUAGCUUUUUACCUCAGCUACGACCUUGUGCUCUCGGCAGGAUCUGACAGAUAGUUAGGCUUCUCAGCCUUUUUCAUUUGUAGAUGUCUAUACUCAGACAUGUUAAGCUUCCGCAUGUGCUUGACUUGUAUGCUCUGAAUGUUGGGUCAUGAGACCCAUGUUUGUAAUAUCUCACUCCUCGGAGCCUAUUGAAUAAAUACUUUGAGUCAUAGAGUUAUGUUGUGAUGCCAUGUUGUAUUUGCACAUAUUGGGCAUAUUGUGUGUAUGAUUUGAGAUGCUUGGUAUGUGUGGGAUCUGACUAUCUAGUGGAUUAUCCUUGGUAGCCUCUCUUACCGGGAAAAGUCUCCUAGUGCUUCCACUGAGCCCUGGUAGCUUGCUACUGCUUCGGAACACAUAGGCUGGCCGGCAUGUGUCAUUCUUCGUUCCUGUGUCUGUCCCUUCGGGGAAAUGUCACACGAUGUCUACUGGAAUCCUGUUAGCCUGCUACAGCCCAGAUUCUCCGGAGUCCUGCUAGCCCAGCUGUUACAGCCCGGAUUCACUCGCUCAUGACCGACACGUUCGUUGCUGGGUCAUGUAUGCCUGUUCCUGUAAGUUAGUGCCACUUUGGGUUUAUGACUAGCCAUGUAAGCCCGGGUUCUUUGGCAUAUGUAUGCUAGCGACACUAUCAUAUACGUGAGCCAAAAGGCGCAAACGGUCCCGGGCCUGGUAAGGCGACACCUGUGGGAAUACCGUGCGUGAGGCCGCAAAGUGAUAUGAGGUGUUACAUGCUAGAUCGAUGUGGCAUGGUAUCAGAGCCUGACUUCGUGUAGGAUUACCAAGCCAAACUGGUCGAAGUUGAGUCUAGAGAUUCUUUAGUUAUAUAAGGGAGUUGAUUGUGGGAUGGAACGUAAGGCUCUUUUUACUCCUUAUACCCUAUGCCCUUCUGAUCCGAGUCAUCUUAUCUUUCCUACGGGGUUAAGGAACUAGGCUAUCUUUUCUUUCUAUCAGGAUCACAUGUUACUAAUCCAUAGACUUAUAGGAUUGAUGGAUUCAAAUCUCAGUGUAGUCUCUACUACUUCCGUGUGUUCAUAGUUGGUCUCAGAACCUUGAUAUGGUGAUGUCGAGUGGCUAUGCCACCAUUCUGUAGGAUGUCUCAAAUCCUUUUCGAGCAUUUACAACCGUUAUGCUGUCCGAGUCAUCCCAGGUUUCUAAAUAGUCUAAUGCAUUUGCAAAUCCCUUUUUACCAUUUCAAAUUUUCUUUGUGCCAGAUUAACCACACUAAUUGGAGAGUUGACGUACUCUGCUGUCUUGAUAUAUAUGUUGGAGCUAUUAUUAUGACCCUAGGUGUCUUAGAGUAUCACCUAGUAAUCUAGCCAUGUUUUGUGUCCCGGUGUGUUGAUUUUGGCCGUCAUUCUUGAAAGCAUCUCGUGAUGCCACUUAGUAGUAGGUAUUCUAUUCCUGGGUUCUUGAACCCGAGAUUCACUCCACUUACUUCAUGUUGAUAGUGUUUGCUAGUUUCCUUAGGUUAUUAGUAACCUUUGUGAUAGUCCUCGAGGUUCGUGGUAUGUCCUUCUUGCAAAUACCAUUAACUGCUUAUGGCAGAAGUUCCUCGCCGAUCCGAAAGAUCACAACCAGAGUCCUCUUGACGAGUUCUCGAUUCUAAGAUGUGACUCUGCCAGUCCUACCUUCUCCGCAUGGGUUAUCCGGAAGAAAUAUGUUGAGCUUUGCUUGACAUACUAAUCUGUGCAUCCACAGCUUAGAAAAUCGUAUGUUCCUUUGAGUUGUCCCUCUUUAGUUGACUUUUGACCUUCAUCUAUCAAUUGAUAGUCAAGGGUAUGCGUGCAUUCGUACAUCAAUGACUAAUACUCCUGUGGUCUGUCAAGCCAUUCUAUUCCGGAAUGACUAGGAGAAACAAAACUCCAGUACCUCUUCCAUAUCCAGGAUUGGGUCAAAACAGUUGUACUCCGCAAAUCAAAAUGCCAAUCCAGCUUUUGUUCUGUUCUACCCUGAAGUAUUACCCACUUUAUGUCAGGAAUGUUAUGAGAACUGCACCACGUGCUCCAGUCAUGCUUGUUUGUCAUGCCUGCUACUGCUUAGAGUUGAGUCAGGUCUGAUACAUCGGGGAUGAAUUGGAAUGGUGAUGAACAUGUCCUACUAUGUGUGAGCUAAGUGUGUGAACACGAUUUGGUAAAGGUAGCGGUGAGAGGCCAUGUAGGAGUACAUGGUGGGUUGUCUCAUUGAAGUCGUCCUCAGGAACUGAGUUCUGUGUUUGUGAUCCAUGAACAGUUACUACCACACAUUGGGUUCCGGUAACUCGAACCCUCUCGACUUAUUAAUCAGCCUGAUCUCAGUCCAGGAGUUGCAACUAGUUUCUGGUGUUUGUAGGUUGUGUUAGUAGUCUACCAAGUGGCACUCGGUACAGGUGGGAAUGGGUCAGACUAGGCACCGUGGCCGGGCAUGCCUAGCGCCGCCCGAUUGGUGGGCUUGGAACCCUGUACACAUGGUUUGCGACCGUGAGCAACAUCCCGGCCGGAUCUCCUUGCGGAUGGAACCCGAAUAGGCGAUAAACCUAGACUAGAGACUUGCGUGGUUAGUUAGGUCGUGGCUGACACCCUCGCCAGGAUUCCGCUUGAAGGUUGUCGAGAUACAUGACGUGUACAUGGCGGUAAGUGUCGAGAGCGUGUGUGAAGAAGUACAACCCUGCCGGGUUAAUAUGAUCUAUUUGAAUAGCCAUGUCCACGGUAUAGGGCCUCUAGGUUGCCUAUACAGUUCAUAGAAAAGUGAAAGUGGAUACUCUAAAAUGCACAAGAUAAGUGUGAGUGCUAUGGAUGGCGUUCUCAUAGGAAGACGGGAGCGGAUCCAUAGUGCUGUAUUGGUUGGUGAUUAUGUGGACUCCUGUGCGCCACCUCAAAAGAGUUAGUUGCAGUCAUAGUUCAGGAUAGCCACCGAGUCAAAGCUGGCUUGCUGCAGUUAAACCCCACCAUCCCCUUUGUUGAUAAUGAUGCAUAUGUAGUUAGUUCUGAUAUAAGUCUUGUUGGGUACAUUUGUACUCAUGUUUGCCUAUUUUACGUUUUUGUAGAGACUUCCGUCUCACUAGUAGUUCCGCGUGGACUUAGAUGUUUAGCUUGUUACCUCAGCUACGAUCUUGUGCCCUCGGCAGGAUCUGGUAGAUAGUUAGGCUUCUCAGCCUUCUUCAUUUAUAGAUGUCUGUACUCAGACAUGUUGAGCUUCCGCAUGUGCUUUGACUUGUUUGCUCUUUAUGUUGGGUCAUGAGACCCAUGUUUGUAAUAUCUCGCUCCUCGGAGCCUGUUGAAUAAAAUACUUGAGUUGUAGAGUCAUGUUGUGAUGCCAUGUUGUAUUUGCACAUAUCGAGCAUAUUGUGUGUAUGUUAUUGAAAUGCUUGGUAUGUGUGGGAUCUGACUAUCUAGUUGUUUAUCCUUGGUAGCCUCUCUUACCGGGAAAUGUCUCCUAGUGCUUCCAUUGAGCCCUGGUAGCUUGCUACUGCUCCGGAACACUUAGGCUGGCCGACAUGUGUCCUUCUUCGUUCCUGUGUUUGUCCCUUCUGGGAAAUGUCAUGCGGUGUCUACCGGAGUCCUGUUAGCCCGCUACAGCCCGGUUUACCGGAGUCCUGCUAGCCCAGUUGCUACAGCCCGGAUUCACUCGCUGAUGAAGGACACGUUCGUUGUUGGGUCAUGUAUGCCGGUCCCUGUAACUUAGUGCCACUUUGGUUUCACGACUAGUCAUGUCAGCCCGGGCUCCUUGUCAUAUGGAUUCUAGCGACACUAUCAUAUACGUGUGCCAAAAGGCGCAAACGGUCCCGGGCCUGGUAAGGCGACACCCAUGGGAAUACCGUUCGUGAGGCCGCAAAGUGAUAUGAGGUGUUAUGUGCUAGAUCGGUGUGGCAUUGAGUCGGGGUCCUGACAACGCCCUGGAGCGCCAUUGUCGACGCAAAUUUCGUCCUCUGCACCGACGGCCGUCGUCAACCAAUUCGUCGUCAUCAGGCCGUCCCCGAGCCCGCUGAGAUCACCGAAGACCCAACCGUGAGCUCCACUACCGAACCCCUCUCUCCCCGCGGUUGUUCUCCUUCUCUAGCCCCGCCGUCCACCGGAGCCGAAAGCUCACCGCCGCCAUGGCCAGGGCCACCGUAGCCCACGCCUGAGCAUGUCACCGUGCUCGGUGACCCCCCAGGAGCGCAUAGGACCUGUCAGUUUAUCCCCUAGCGCCCCAUAGCAUCGACCCCGUCCACACCCGAACUCCGGUCGCCGUGGAAGUGCUUGCCGCUGCCAACUCCGGCCAUCCCAGCUGAUACCGCCACCACCACUAGAUGCGCAAGAGCUCUAGCAAGCCGUAGCAGCAAACCGCGCUCAAAACAGAGCCCCAUAGCGAAAUCCCGACUGCCUCCGCCGCGGAUUUGGUCGCCGACGGUUAAACGCCGGCAGCUGACGCGGCACCAUUUGCUUAGGUGCUAAUCAUGCUUAGUUAGUGCCAUGUGUAAAUGACAUGUCGGUCCCCGAGCUUAAUUAGGUUAGUCUAAAUAUCCUGUUUAGAUUAGUGCUAAUCUUGCGGACCCCACGUGUCAGCUUUGACUCUGGCCCAGUCAGCAUUGACCGGUCCCACCUGUUAUCCACCCAAGCCAGCCCUGUAUCACCGACUAGUGGGCCCUACUGGUCAGGUUUGACCUGGAGGCGCCCAGUUGACCUGCUGACGCCAGGGUGAUGUCAUGCUGAUGCAAUAAGUAUUUUCUGGAAUUAAUUAAAUUCAGGAAAUUCCAGAAAAUGCCCAAAACUUCUAAAAUUCAUAGAAAUUCAACCAUAACUCCAAAUGAAACAAAUUAUAUAUGAGAAAUGAUUAGAAAAAUCCAAUCUAUCCAUCUGUACCAUUUUAAUGCAUGUUAGAACAACUUAAAGAUGCUGUAUACAACAAUUUGAAUUAAUGGCAUUUGAAAUGUCAUAUAUGGAGUUUGAAUUUGAAUCUUGGAUUCAAACCAACUCCAUUUAAUCUGCUGCUAGUUGCAUUAGCUCAAAUCACAACAUAUUGACAUGUCAUGAUCAUGCAUCAUAUUGUGCAUUGCAUUGAUUGUGUUCUUCCUUGUUUGCCGGUAAUUGUCCCCUCUCAGUAGACAAUGUUCCGACGAUGAGUUCGAUGACACGGAUGAAGAACUAUACUAUCUUCAGAAGUGCCAGGCAAGCAAAACUCCCUUGUUCAUUCCGAUACAAACCCACUCUCUCGCUCUGCUCUCUUUUAUUGCAUUAGGAAAACAACGACUCAUGGGUUACUUGUUGUGGUAGUUGAACCCCUUUUCCUCUGCAUGACCUGUCAUUGCCACAGUAAAUAGAUGAAACCCACUAGCAUGAGUUGGAGUUGUUUGAGCCAUGAUGUGCCUAAUCAUUCAUGUUUGUUUGUCAUGCCUUCUACUGCUUAGAGUUGAGUCAGGUCUGAUUCAUUGGGAAUGAAUUGGAAUGGUGAUGAACAUGUCCUAUUGUGUGUGAGCUAAGUGUGUGAACACGAUUUGGUAAAGGUAGCGGUGAGAGGCCAUGUAGGAGUACAUGGUGGGUUGUCUCAUUGAAGCCGUCCUCAGGAACUGAGUUCUGUGUUUGUGAUCCAUGAAACAGCUACUACCAUGCAUUGGGCCAUGAAAUAUGACCCCGCUCGACUUCUUAACCACCCUAGUCCUCUGUCCAGGAGUUGCAAGUAGUUUCUGGUGUUUGUAGGUGCUAGAGGCCGUGCGCAGCACUGAUCGGAGGGGUGGGCUGUGACGCGGUAGGCACGUGGCCGGGUAUGCCAGGCGCCCGUUUGGUGUCGGGGAACCCUGUACACAGCUUUCGGGGCCGUAUGUGGAAACCUUGGCCGGACUCCCUGCGGAUGGAACCUGAAUAGGUGAUAAACCUGGACUAGAGACUUGAGUGUUUAGGUAUGUCGUGGUCUACAUCCACGCCCACUUUCGCUUGAAGUCUGCCGAGCACAUGUCGUGUGCAGACGCUAAGUGCUGGACACAUGUACGAAGAAGUACACCCAUGCAGGGUUAUAAAUAAUCUAUUCGAAUAGCCGCGUCCGUGGUAAAGGACCUCUGGGUUGCCUAUGCAGUUCAUAGACAAGUGAAAGUGGAUACUCUAAAAUGCGCAAGAUAAGCGUGAGUGCUAUGGAUGGCGUUCUCGUAGGGAGACGGGAGUGGAUCCAUAGUGGUGUAUUGAUAUGGUGAAUAUGUGGACUCGUGUGCGCCACCUCAAAAGAGUUACUUGCAGAUGUAGCUUAGGAUAGCCACUGAGUCAAAGCUGGCUUGCUGCAGUUAAACCCCACCAUCCCUUUGUUGAUAAUGAUGCAUAUGUACUUAGUUCUGAUGUAAGUCUUGCUGGGUACAUUUGUACUCAUGUUUGCCUAUUUCAUGUUUUGUAGAGAGACUUCAAUCUCACUAGUAGUUCCGCAUGGACUUCGAGGUUUAGCUUGUUACCUCAUCUACGAUCUUGUGCCCUCGGCAUGAUCUGGUAGAUAGUCAGGUUUCUCAGCCUUUUUCAUUUGUAGAUGUCUGUACUCAGACAUGUUAAGCUUCCACAUGUGCUUGACUUGUAUGCUCUGAAUGUUGGGUCAUGAGACCCAUGUUUGUAAUAUCUCGCUCCUCGGAGCCUAUUGAAUAAAUACUUUGAGUCAUACAGUUAUGUUGUGAUGCCAUGUUGUAUUUGCACAUAUCGGGCACAUUGUGUGUAUGAUUUGAAAUGCUUGGUAUGUGUGGGAUCUGACUAUCUAGUGGUUUAUCCUUGGUAGCCUCUCUUACCGGGAUAAGUCUCCUACUGCUUCCAUUGAGCCCUGGUAGCUUGCUACUGCUCCGGAACACAUAGGCUGGCCGACAUGUGUCCUUCUUCAUUCAUGUGUCUGUCCCUUCGGGGAAAUGUCACGCGGUGUCUACCGGAGUCCUGUUAGCCUGCUACAGCCCGGAUUCUCUGGAGUCCUGCUAGCCCAGCUGUUACAGCCUAGAUUCACUCGCUGAUGACUGACACGUUCGUUGCUGGGUCAUGUAUGCCUGUCCCUGUAAGUUAGUGCCGCUUUGGGUUUACGACUAGCCAUGUCAGCCCGGGUUCUUUGGCAUAUGGAUGCUAGCGACACUAUCAUAUAUGUGAGCCAAAAGGCGCAAACGGUCCCGGGCCUGGUAAGGCGACACCCAUGGGAAUACCGUGCGUGAGGCCGCAAAGUGAUAUGAGGUAUUACAUGCUAGAUCGAUGUGGCUUAGGAUCGGGGUCCUGACAAUAUUUGCAUGUUUAUUUAAAAUCAAAGACAAAAAACUUAUGGAUCCUCAUCCACUUGCUAACCUUUUUAAAAUAUCCAACUAUGAUGAACCAAUUGCUAGUGAGUUGAGUGCACUAGCGUAUCUUUAUGAGAUUUUACUUGAAAUUCAUGAAUUUGAAUAUUGUGAUGAAGUGCUAAAAGAGGAAAUUUAUGAAGCAUGAUAGCUCCUUGAAUGAAAAGCAUUAUUGCAAUGGUGUUACUAUAAAUUCUAUUAAUGUUAAUUGUGCUAAUAAUAUGCAAAACCCCAAGCUUUGGAUGCUAAUUUUGAUAUCUCAACUACUUAUUGUAAUGAUCAUGAUUGGGGUGAUUCUUCUUAUGAUCUUGAAAAUUUAUUUAAGCCUCAUGAUUAGGUUUGCGAUAAUAUUGAAAGGGGGUUCGGAAGAGUGUCAACUUUAGGUAAUAAUGAUCCCACUACUUUGGAGAAUGAUCAAUCUUAUGAAAUUUUUGAUAAAAGUGGGUUUGAAGAGGUCAUGACUUUAGUAUAUGUUAAUCCCACUAUCUUGGAAGAUUAUAAAACUUUAUGCAUGUGGAUCAUGAAGAGAAAAUUUUGUAUGCUAGCUAUACUGUUGAAUUUGUAUGUUAGACUUAAACUUGUUUUUCACAUGCUACAUGAUGCUCUCUUUGUGCUUCAAUUUUUGUCUUUCAUGUGAGCAUCAUUAAAAUUAUCAAUGCCUAGCUAAAAGGCUUUAAAAAAGUGCCUGUUGGGAGACAACCCAAUAUUUUUAGUUUUAGUUUUUUUGAAAAUAUGCAAUUAUACUUCUAUUAUGAUUGCCUUUUAGUGUUUUAAUUAGUAUUUGUGCCAAGUAAGACCUUUGGGAUGAUUUGGGUGGUAGUUAAUUUGAUUCUAUAAAAAAAUAGACACUUUUGCGCUCAGUUCUGGAAUUUUGUAAAAUCACAGAAACAUGUUAUUGAUCUGAAUUUAUUACACAAGAUAGAUAUACAAAUUACCUACAUUGUCCUAAUAUUUUGGAAUUUUUGGAGUUAGAGAAGUUUGGCUAAAGUCCAGAUUACUACAUACAGUUCUGUUUUUGAUAGAUUCUAUUUUCAUUGUAUCGUUUGCUUAUUUUGAUAAAUCUAUGGGUAGUAUUGGGGGGUAUGAGCCAUGGAUAAGGUAGAAUACAGUAGAUAUAACACCAAUAUAAAAUUGGAAUGAGUUUACAAUAGCACCUAAAAGUGGUUAUUUGCUUAGUUUGACUAACGGAUCUCACGAGGUUUCUGUUGAGUUUUGUGUUGUGAAGUUUUCAUGUCUUGGGUGAAGUUUCGAUGGACUGUGGAAUUAGGAGUGGCAAGAGCCAAAGCUUGGGGAUGCCCAAGGCACCACAAGGUAAUAUUCAGGGACAACCAAGCAUCUAAGCUUGGGGAUGCCCCGGAUGACAUCCCCUCUUUUGUCUACGAUCUAUCGGUAAAUUACUUGAGGCUAUAUUUUUAUUCACCACAUGAUAUGUGUUUUUCUUGGAGUGUCUUGUAUUAUAUGAGUCUUUGAUUUUUAGCUUUCCACAAUCAUCCUUGUUGUACAAAGUUUUUGAUAGGGACGCAAAUUAAUCAUGAAUUUAUUAUAAUACUCUAUGCGCUUCACUUAUAUCUUUUGAGGUAGGUAGUUGCUCUAGUGCUUCGCUUAUAUCUUUUUAGGGCAUGGUGGUGAUUUUAUAUUGAAGAAAUUGAUGAACUCCUCAUGCUUCACUUAUAUUAUUUGAGAGUCUUAUAAAUAGUAUGGCGUUUUUCUCGGGGUAUGAAUUUACUCCUAAUAUGAUAAGGUAUUCAAGAGGGAUAUAAUAAAAACUUUCAGGAAGAUCAUUUAAUAUAUGAGAAGUUUGAUUCCUUGCAUUUUUUUGAGAUAUAAAGAUGGUGAUAUUAGAGUCAUGCUAGUGAUUAAUUGCGGAUUAGUAAGAAUAUUUGUGUUAAGGUUUGUGAUUCCCAAAGCAUGCACGUAUGGUCUAUAGUUAUGCGAUGAAGUUGGAGCAUGAUUUAUGUUUUAUUGUCUUUCUUAUGAGUGGUGGUCGGGGACGAGCGGUGAUCUUUUCCUACCAAUCUAUCCCCGAGGAUCAUGCGUAUUAUUACUUUGUUUCGAGGGCUAAUAAACUUUUGCAAUAAGUAUGUGAGUUCUUUAUGACUAAUGUUGAGUCCAUGGAUUAUACGCAUUCUCACCCAUCCACCUUUGCUAGACACUCUAGUACCGCGCAAAUUUCGCCAGUGCAUUAAACCCUCUUAUACCUUUCCUCAAAACAGCCACCAUACCUACCUAUUAUGGCAUUUCCAUAGCCAUUCUGAGAUAUAUUGUCAUGCAACUUCCAUCGUUCCGUUUUAUUAUGACACACACCAUCAUUGUCAUAUUACUUUGCAUAAUCAUAUGUAUGAGGCACUCAUAUAGAUUCAUAUCUUUGUUCUAGUAUUGAGUUGUAAUUUUUGAGUUUCAUGUAAAUAGAAGCGUGAUGAUCAUCAUUAUUAGAGCAUUGUCCCAUGUGAGGAAAGGAUGACAGAACUAUGAUUCCCCCACAAGUCGGGAUGAGGCUCCAGACUUAAAUAGAUAAAAGAGGCCAAAGAGCACAAAAUAAAAUAAAAGAGAGGCCAAAGAGCACAAAAGAAAAAAAGAAAAAAAUGAGAGAAAAAGAGAGAAGGGACAAUGUUACUAUCCUUUUCCACACUUGUGCUUCGAAGUAGCACCGUGUUCUUCAUUAUAGAGAGUCUCCUAUUUGUCACUUUCACAUAUUACUAGUGGGAAUUUUUCAUUAUAGAACUUGGCUUGUAUAUUCCAAUGAUUGGCUUCCUCAUAUGCCCUAGGUCUUCGUGGGAAAGCAAGUUGGAUGCACACCCACUUAGUUUUCUUUUUGAGCUUUCAUACACUUAUAGAUCUAGUGCAUCUGUUGCAUGGCAAUCCCCACUCCUUGCAUUGGCAUCAAUUGAUGGGCAUCUCCAUAGCCCAUUGAUUAGCCUCAUUGAUGUGAGACAUUCUCCUUUUUUGUCUUCUCCACACACCCUCCGACAUCAUAUUAUAUUCCACCUAUAGUGUUAUAUCCAUGGCUCAUGCUUAUGUAUUGAGUGAGAGUUGAAAAAGCUUAAGAACAUCAAAAGUAUCAAAUAAUUGCUUGGCUUGUCGUCGAGGUUGUGCAUGAUAAAUACUUUGUGUGAUGAAGAUAGAGCAUGGCAAGAUUAUAUGAUUUUGUAGGGAUAACUUUCCAUAACCAUGAUAUUUUGAGAAGACAUGAUUUAUUUUUAGUAUGCUUGAAGUAUCAAUGUUUUUAUGUUAAUAAUAAACUUUUGUUUUGAAUCUUAUGGAUCUGAAUAUUCAUACCACAUAAAGAAAGAUUACAUUGGUAAACAUGUUAGGUAGCAUUCCAGAUCAAAAAUUCUGUUUUUAUCAUUUACCUAUUCGAUGACUACCAGGAAUUAAGCUUGGGGAUGCUUGAUACGUCUCCAAUGUAUCUAUAUUUUUUGAUUGUUCCAUGCUAUUAUAUUAUCCAUCUUGGAUGUUUUAUAUGCACUAUUAUGCUAUUUUAUAUCAUUUUUGGGAGUAACAUAUUAACCUAGUGCCCAAUGCCAGUUGCUAUUUUUUCCCUUGUUUUAGUCUUUUACAGAAAAUCAAUACCAAACAAAACGAAACUUUUUGAUGAUUUUUCUUGGGGAACAAGACACCCACAAAGCUUCAGGAGAUGGCCAGAAGAGCCAUGGGUGAGCCACAAGCUCACCAGGCGCGCCCUUGGAGGGGUCACGCCCUAUGAGCUUGUGGGCCCCCGCGACUCCUCCAACCCUAAUCUCAGCUCUAUAAAUACCAAAAUAUUCCAUGGAUACCAAAGGGCACACCCAAAAAAUUCCACCACCGCAAGUUUCUGUCCUCGUGAGAUCCCAUCUAGAGACCUGUUCNNNNNNNNNNNNNNNNNNNNNNNNNNNNNNNNNNNNNNNNNNNNNNNNNNNNNNNNNNNNNNNNNNNNNNNNNNNNNNNNNNNNNNNNNNNNNNNNNNNNNNNNNNNNNNNNNNNNNNNNNNNNNNNNNNNNNNNNNNNNNNNNNNNNNNNNNNNNNNNNNNNNNNNNNNNNNNNNNNNNNNNNNNNNNNNNNNNNNNNNNNNNNNNNNNNNNNNNNNNNNNNNNNNNNNNNNNNNNNNNNNNNNNNNNNNNNNNNNNNNNNNNNNNNNNNNNNNNNNNNNNNNNNNNNNNNNNNNNNNNNNNNNNNNNNNNNNNNNNNNNNNNNNNNNNNNNNNNNNNNNNNNNNNNNNNNNNNNNNNNNNNNNNNNNNNNNNNNNNNNNNNNNNNGGGCUCUAUAUGAACGUUGUUGCCCUUUCGAUGAUGUGUGAGUAGUUUACCGCAGACCUAUGGGUCCAUAGCUAGUAGAUAGAUGGCUUCUUCUCUCUCUUUGAUCUUCCAUACAAUGUUCUCCUCGAAGUUCUUGGAGAUCUAUUCGAUGUAAUUUUCUUUUGCGGUUGAUACGACGCCGUCGUAUCUAUAAUUUUUGAUUGUUCCAUGCCAAUAUUAUUCAACUUUCAUAUACUUUUGGAAACUUUUUAUACUAUUUUUGGGACUAACAUAUUGAUCCAGUGCCAGUUCCUGUUUGUUGCAUGUUAUAUGUUGCAUGUUUUUGGGACUAUUUUUGGAAUAUUUGUGAUUUUUGGGAGGAAAAAUCAACGCGAGACGGUGCCCGAGGGGGCCACAAGGCAGGGGGCGCGCCCCUGACCCUCGUGGGCACCCCGUAAAGCGGUUGAUGCUCUUCUUUUGCCGCAAGAAAUCUAAUUUUCGGAGAAAAAUCUGGGCGAAGGUUUCAACCCAAUCGGAGUUAGGGAUCGCCGGAUAUAAAAGAAACGGUGAAAGGGCAGAAUCUGAGAACGCAGAAACAAAGAGAGACAGAGAGACAGAUCCAAUCUCGGAGGGGCUCUCGCCCCUCCCACGCCAUGGAGACCAUGGACCAUAGGGGAAACCCUUCUCCCAUCUAGGGAGAAGGUCCAGGAAGAAGAAGAAGAAGGGGGGCUCUCUCCCCCUUGCUUUCGGGGCGCCGGAACGCCUCCGAGGGCCAUCAUCAUCACCGCGAUCUACACCAACACGGCCAUCAUCUCCACCAACAUCUCCAUCACCUGCCCCCAUCUAUAUUCAGCGGUACACUCUCCCGCAACCCGCUGUACCUUCUAGUUGAACAUGGUGGUUUAUGCUUCAUAUUAUUAUCCAAUGAUGUGUUGCCAUCCUAUGAUUUCUGAGUAGAUUUUCGUUGUCCUACCGGUGAUUGAUGAAUUGCUAUGAUUGGUCUAAUUGGCUUGUGGUUAUGUUGCUGUCCUAUUGUGCCCUCCGUGUCGCGCAAGCGUGAGGGAUUCCCGCUGUAGGGUGUUGUAAUAUGUUCAUGAUUCGCUUAUAGUGGGUUGCUUGAGUGACAGAAGCAUAAACCCGAGUAAGGGGGUUGUGGCAUAUGGGAUAAAGGGGACUUGAUGCUUUAAUGCUAUGGUUGGGUUGUACCUUAAUGAUCUUUAGUAGUUGCGGAUGCUUGCUAGAGUUCCAAUCAUAAGUGCAUAUGAUCCAAGAAGAGAAAGUAUGUUAGCUUAUGCAUCUCCCACAUGAAACUUGCUAUCAGUCUAGUAAAGUAGUCAAUUGCUUAGGAACAAUUCCACAACUCCUACCACCACUUUUCCACGCUCGCUAUAUUUACUUUAUUGCUUCUUUAUCUAAACAGCCCCUAGUUUAUAUUUAUGUGCUCUUUAUUAUCUUGCAAACCUAUCCAACAACACCUAUAAAGUACUUCUAGUUUCAUACUUGUUCUAGGUAAAGCGAACGUCAAGCGUGCGUAGAGUUGUAUUGGUGGUCGAUAGAACUUGAGGGAAUAUUUGUUCUACCUUUAGCUCCUCAUUGUGUUCGACACUCUUACUUAUUGAAAGAGGAUACAAUUGAUCCCCUAUACUUGUGGGUUAUCAAGACCUUUUUCUGGCGCCGUUGCCGGGGAGUCAUAGCAUGGGGUGAAUAUUCUCGUAUGUGCUUGUUUGCUUUAUCACUAAGUAAUUUUUAUUUGCUGUGCUAAUAUGUUCUCUAUCUUUAGUUAUGGAUAUGGAACACGAAAUACCAAAAAAAUUAGGUGUACUUGCUACUAAUGGAGAUGGGGAACCUCCUAAAACCCUCGAUGCUGGUUAUGUGAAAAAUAUUAUGUACUACUUUCAUAAUCCUGAGAAAACCGGCCCCAUUCAAUUAUGUUACGGGAUACACGUUGGAUCAACGUGAAUACUUUAGGGAUUAUCGCUUGACACAAAAAGGGAAACUAUUAUGGGAUCAAAUUCAUAUGUUGCAUUGGUAUGCUCGGGAACUAUGCUUGAGAUGUGAUUAUACUUGUUGCUCUAGGAUGAAGGCUCCACACCUUCCCUUUUCAUGCAAAUUCAAUGAUAAUGAAACCUUAGCUUCUUAUGCUAAUGGUAUAUAUGAUUACUAUGAUGUGGAAUAAAUAGAAGAAUUUGUUGCUUUUAUGGGUGCUUAUAAAAUUGAAUCUUUGUUUAAAAAGUGUGAAAAUCUUGAUGAUGUUGUUUACAGAACUGAAAAUUUUGCUAUACUUAAAUAUUGAAAUUAUGAAUUCAAUUCCGAUAUUGAUGCAUUUAUUGAGGAAGUCUCCGCUGUCCAAGAAGAGACUAAUAUUUUGUAGGAGUCUAUGGGGAAAUUGAUGAAACUGCGAGCUCAUUGGAUGAAAAAGAUGAGGAGGAGAGCGAAGAACAAAAGGAGGAAGAGCGGAUUAGCUACCCGUGCCCACCUUCUAAUGAGCAUAACUCUUCAACUCAUACUUUGUUUAAAUCCCCUUCUGCUUACCGAAGGAUGAUUGCUAUGAUGAUUGUUGUGGUCCCGUUGAUUCUCUUGAAAUACCCCUUUUUGAUGAUGCUUGCUAUGCUUGUGUCCAAGAUGCCAAUAUGAAUUAUGCUUAUGGAGAUGAACUUGCUAUAGUUCCUUAUGUUGCUAUUGCGCCCACACAUGAUAGUCCUAUUAUCUUUUUGAAUUCUCCUGACUACACUAUAUCGGAGAAGUUUGCACUUAUUAAGGAUUAUAUUGAUGGGUUGCAUUCUACUACUACACAUGAUGAUUUUGAUAGAUAUAAUAUGCAUGUGCUUGCUUCUCCUACUUGCAAUUAUUAUGAGAGAGGAACUAUAUCUCCACCUCUCUAUGUUUCCAACACGAUAGAAUUGCAAGAAACUGUUUAUACUAUGCAUUGGCCUUUACUUUGUGUGCAUGAAUUGUUCUUUUAUGACAUGUCGAUGCAUAGAAAGAGAGUUAGACUUCGUAAUUGCUUGAUAUAUGUUACUUUGUGCUCACUACUAAAUUACAAAUCAUUGUUAAUUAAAAUAGGCUUUGAUAUACCUUGGGUCCGGGUGGAUUCAUUCCUUGAGCACUGUAUGCCUAGAUUAAUGGCUUUAAAGAAAGCGCUGCCAGGGAGACAACCCGGAAGUUUUGGAGAGUCAUUUAUUUCUGUUGAGUUCUUUUAUAUAGUCUAAAAACAAGAACAAAAAUAAAGAGGGGAACCCAAAACUUUUCAAAAAGGAAAGUGAAAGUGAGAGAGACAAGCAUUGUUGAACUGGGAGAGCUCCUUGAACUUGUUCAUGCUCAUGGAAACUUUGUGAAUCUUAAUUACAGAAACUUUUCAUCAAAAAUAAUUAUCCCCUUGUACAAUUCCAUUGUAUUAUAAAAAUAAUGUGCCAAGGUUUGCCUUUAGGAUGUUUACAAUGCUGGUUGGUUUGUGCGGUAUAGGACAGAAACUUUGGCUGUAGUGCGCGAUUUUACAUUUUUUACUGGAAAGUCAAACGGUUCCGAUUCUUUAUGAAAUGUCUUUCUGUACAAAAGGUUUAUUUUUUCUAAGUUCGGUAGAAUUUUUGGGGUACCAGAAGUAUGGUGAAUGUUCAUAUUGCUACAGACUGUUCUGUUUUUGACAGAUUUUGUUUUUGAUGCAUAGUUUACUUGUUUUGAUGAAACUAUCAAUUUCUAUCAGUGGACUAAGCCAUGUAAAAGCUAUAUUACAGUAGACACAAUGCAAAAAUAAAAUAUGAAUUGGUUUGCAACAUUACUUAGAGUAGUGAUUUUCUUUAUUAUACUAAUGGACCUUACCGAGUUUUCUGUUGAAGUUUUGUGUGGAUGAAGUGUUUGAUCGAGGAUGUCUCAAUAUGAGGAAAAGGAAGAGAGGCAAGAGCUCAAGCUUGGGGAUGCCCAAGGCACCCCAAGUAAAUAUUCAAGGAUACUCAAGCAUCUAAGCUUGGGGAUGCCCCGGAAGGCAUCCCCUCUUUCUUCAACAAGUAUCGGUAUGUUUUCGGAUUUGUUUCGUUCAUGCGAUAUGUGCAAAUCUUGGAGCAUCUUUUGCAUUUAGUUUUCACUUCUCUUUUAUGCACCAUGCUGGUAUGAGAUAGUACUUGGUUGAUUUAUAGAAUGCUCAUUGCACUUCACUUAUAUCUUUUGGGUAUGGCUUUAUAGAAUGCUUCAUGUGCUUCACUUAUAUCUUUUGAAGUUUGGAUUGCCUGUUUCUCUUCACAUAGAAAACCGUCAUUUGUAGAAUGCUCUUUUGCUUCACUUAUAUUUGUUAGAGCAUGGGCAUAUCUUUUGCAGAAAGAAUUAAACUCUCUUGCUUCACUUAUAUCAAUUUAGAGAGAUGACAAGAAUUGGUCAUUCACAUGGUUAGUCAUAAAAUCCUACGUAAAACUUGUAGAUCACUGAAUAUGAUAUGUUUGAUUCCUUGCAAUAGUUUUGCGAUAUAGAGAUGAUAAUAUGUGAGAGGUUCUAGUAGAUGGUAUUGUUUAGUAAGGAUAUUGGUGUUAAGGUUUGUGAUUCCCGAAGCAUGCAUGUAUGGUCUCUUAACUAUGUAACCAAAUUGGUGCGCAUUGUAUUUUGAUUGUUUAUCUUAGCGUGAAGGUUGGGGGUGCACGAUGGUUAACUCCUACCAACCUCCCCCCUAGGGGCAUGCAUAGUAGUACUUUGCUUCAAGGGCUAAUAAACUUUUGCAAUAAGUAUAUGAGUUCUUUAUGACUAAUGUGAGUCCAUGGAUUAUACGCACUCUCACCUUUCGAUCAUUGCAAGCCUCUUUGGUACCGUGCAUUGCCCUUUCUCACCUCGAGAGUUGGUGCAAACUUUGCCGGUGCAUCCAAACCCCGUGAUACGACACGCUCUAUCACACAUAAGCCUCCUUAUAUCUUCCUCAAAACAGCCACCAUACCUACCUAUCAUGGCAUUUCCAUAGCCAUUCCGAGAUAUAUUGCCAUGCAACUUCCAUCAUCAUCAUAUACAUGACUUGAGCAUUCAUUGUCAUAUUGCUUUGCAUGAUCGUAAGAUAGCUGGCAUGAUGUUUUCAUGGCUUGUCCGUUUUUUGAUGUCGUUGCUACGCUAGAUCAUUGCACAUCCCGGUACACCGCCAGAGGCAUUCAUAUAGAGUCAUAUCUUUGUUCUAGAUAUCGAGUUGUAAUAUUGACUUGUAAGUAAAUAAAAGUGUGAUGAUCAUCAUUAUUAGAGCAUUUCCCCAGUGAGGAAAGGAUGAUGGAGACUAUGAUUCCCCCACAAGUCGGGAUGAGACUCCGGACUUUAUGAAAAAUAAAAGAGACCAAAGAAGCCCAAAUAAUAAUAAUAAUAAUAAUAAUAAUAAUAAUAAGAGGCCAAUGAAGCCCACCAAAAAAAGAGAAAAUAAAAAAAUGAGAGAAAAAGAGAGAAGGGGCAAUGUUACUAUCCUUUUACCACACUUGUGCUUCAAAUAGCACCAUGUUCUUCAUAUAGAGAGUCUCUUGAGUUAUCACUUUCAUAUACUAGUGGGAAUUUUCAUUAUAGAACUUGGCUUGUAUAUUCCGAUGAUGGGCUUCCUCAAAUGCCCGAGGUCUUCAUGAGCAAGCAAGUUGGAUGCACACCCACUUAGUUUUCGGUUUGAGCUUUCAUACACUUAUAGCUCUUAGUGCAUCCGUUGCAUGGCAAUCCCUACUCCUCGCAUUGACAUCAAUUGAUGGGCAUCUCCAUAGCCCGUUGAUUAGCCACGUCGAUGUGAGACUUUCUCCCUUUUUUCUUCUCCACACAACCUCCACCAUCAUACUCUAUUCCACCCAUAGUUCUAUAUCCAUGGCUUGCGCUCAUGUAUUGCGUGAAGGUGGAAAAGGCUGAAGUGCGUUAAAAAUUAUAAACCAAUUGCAUGGCUGACAUCGGGAUGAGCAUGAGGGGUACCUUGUGUUAAGAAAAGGGAGCAUACAAGACUAUAUGAUUUUGCAGGGAUAGCAUUCUUUAGCAUUGGUAUUUUGAAAGACAUGAUUGUUUGUUGGGAUGCCCGAAGUAUUAUUGUUUUUAUGUCCAAUGAUAGACUAUUGUUUUGAAUCACUCGUGUCUUAAUAUUCAUGCCAUGAUUAGAUUACAUGAUCAAAAUUAUGCUAGGUAGCAUUCCACAUCAAAAAUUAUCUUUUUGUCAUUUACCUACUCGAGGAUGAGCAGGAAUUAAGCUUGGGGAUGCUGAUACGUCUUCGUCGUAUCUAUAAUUUUUGAUUGUUCCAUGCCAAUAUUAUUCAACUUUCAUAUGCUUUUGGCAACUUUUUAUACUAUUUUUGGGAUUAACAUAUUGAUCCAGUGCCAGUUCCUGUUUGUUGCAUGUUUUAUGUUUCGUAGAAACCCCAUAUCAAACGGAGUCCAAACAGGAUAAAAACGGACGGAGAAUAUUUUUGGAAUAUUUGUGAUUUUUGGGAGGAAAAAUCAACACGAGACGGUGCCCGAGGGGGCCACGAGGCAGGGGGGCGCGCCCCUAACCCUCGUGGGCACCCCGUAAGGCGGUUGAUGCUCUUCUUUUGCCGAAUUCGGAGUUACGGAUCUCCCUAUAUAAAAGAAACGGUGAAAGGGCAGAAUCUGAGAACGCAGAAACAAAGAGAGACAGAGAGACAGAUCCAAUCUCGGAGGGGCCCUCGCCCCUCCCACGCCUUGGAGACCAUGGACCAGAGAGGAAACCCUUCUCCCAUCUAGGGAGACGGUCAAGGCAGAAGAAGAAGAAGGGGGGGCUCUCUCCCCCUUGCUUCCGGUGGCGCCGGAACACCUCCGGGGGCCAUCAUCAUCACCACGAUCUACACCAACACCGCCAUCAUCUCCACCAACAUCUCCAUCACCUUCCCCCAUCUAUAUUCAGCGGUCCACUCUCCUGCAACCCGUUGUACCUUCUAGUUGAACAUGGUGGUUUAUGCUUCAUAUUAUUAUCCAAUGAUGUGUUGCCAUCCUAUGAUGUUUGAGUAUAUUUUCGUUGUCCUACCGGUGAUUGAUGAAUUGCUAUGAUUGGUUUCAUUUGAUUGUGGUUAUGUUGAUGUCCUAUUGUGCCCUCCGUGUCGUGCAAGCGUGAGGGAUUCCCGCUCUAGGGUGUUGUAGUAUGUUCAUGAUUCGCUUAUAGUGGGUUGCUUGAGUGACAGAAGCAUAAACUCGAGUAAGGGGGUUGUGGCGUAUGGGAUAAAGGGGACUUGAUGCUUUAAUUCUAUGGUUGGGUUUUACCUUAAUGAUCUUUAGUAGUUGCGGAUCCUUGCUAGUGUUCCAAUCAUAAGUGCAUAUGAUCCAAGAAGAGAAAGUAUGUUAGCUUAUGCCUCUCCCACAUAAAACUUGCUACCGGUCUAGUAAAGUAGUCAGUUGCUUAGGGACAAUUCCACAACUCCUACCACCACUUUUCCACGAUCGCUAUAUUUACUUUAUUGCUUCUUUAUCUAAACAGCCCCUAGUUUAUAUUUACGUGCUCUUUAUUAUCUCUUAAACCUAUCCAACAACACCUACAAAGUACUUCUAGUUUCAUACUUGUUCUAGGUAAAGCAAACGCCAAGCAUGAGUAGAGUUGUAUCAGUGGUCGAUAGAACUUGAGGGAAUAUUUGUUCUACCCUUAGCUCCUCGUUGGGUUCGACACUCUUACUUAUCGAAAGAGGCUACAAUUGAUCCCCUAUACUUGUGGGUUAUCAGCGGUACGUUUGUUGAGAUCCAAUGAAUUGUGAGUUUAUGAUGAGAUUAUCUAUGAAUAUUAUCUGAGUCUUCUCUGAACUCUUUUAUGCAUGAAUAAGAUAGCUUUAUAUUUCUCUCCAUUCUAUUGAUUUUGUUUGGCCAACUAGAUUGCUUUUCGUUGCAAUGGGAGAGGUGCUUUAUUUUGGGUUCAAUCUUGCGGCGUCCUCACCCAGUGACAGAAGGGGUAGCAAGGCACGUAUUUUUAUAGUUGCCAUUAAGGAUAAAAGGAUGGGGUUUAUUCAUAUUGAUUGGAUCUAUCCCUCUACAUCAUGUCAUCUUGCUUAAGGCCUUACUCCGUUAUUGUCAACUUAAUACACUAGAUGCAUGCUGGAUAGCGGUCAAUGUGGGGAGUAAUAGUAGUAGAUGCAAGCAGGAGUCGGUCUACUUGUCACAGACAUGAUGCCUAUAUUCAUGAUCAUGGCCAUUGAUAUCGUCAUAAUUAUUUGCUUUUCUAUAAAUUGCUCAACAGUAAUUUGUUCACCCACCGUAUGCGUUCUUUCAAGAGAGAAGCCUCUUGUGAAAACUAUGGCCCCCGGGUGUAUCUUUUAUCUUAUUAUUUUCAGAUCUAUAAGACUAAAAUCCCCCAAAUACCUUGCUGCAAUUUAUUUACCUCUAUUUUAUUUUGCACUUUUAUUUAUCUUUUAUACCUAUCUCUAUCAGAUCUCACCCUUGCAAGUGACAGUGAAGGGAUUGGCAACCCCUUUAUCGCGUUGGGUGCAAGUAUUUGUUUGAUUGUGUAGGUACUAUCAUUGGAGACUUUUGUUUCCUCCUACUGAAUGGAUACCUUGGUUCUUAACUCAGGGAAAUACUUAUCUCUACUUUGUUGCAUCACCAUUUCCUCUUCACGGGAAAAACCAAUGCAAGCUCAAGAAAUAGCAGGAAGAAUUUUUGGCGCCGUUGUCGGGGAGGUUCUACAUCAAGCCUACCAAGUACCUAUCAUAAACUCUCAUCUCUUGCAUUUACAUUAUUUGCCAUUUGCCUCCCGUUUUCCUCUCCCCCACUUCUAAAACAUUUUAAAAAAACACAAAAAUAUUUUCCUUUUUGUUUUCCUUUAUGUUUUACUUUGUUGCUUUGCUUGUUUGUUUGGUAUAAUUGCUUUUUUAUUGAAAUCAAAGACAAAAAAACUUAUGGAUCCGCAUCCACUUGCUAAUCUUUUUAAAAGAUCAAACUAUGAUGAACCAAUAGCUUGUUGGGGAACGUAGCAAUAAUUCAAAAUGUUCUUACGUGUCACCAAGAUCAAUCUACGAGAUGCUAGCAAUGAGAGAGAGAAUGGAGUGCAUCUUCAUAGCAGUGAAGAUCGCUAAGCGGAAGCGUUACAAGAACGCAGUUGAUGGAGUCGUACUCGCGGCGAUUCAAAUCACAGAAGAUCCGAUCUAGCGCAGAACGGACGGCGCCUCCAUGUUCAACACACGUACAGCCCGUGGACGUCUCAUCCUUCUUGAUCCAGCAAGGGGAGAGGAGAAGUUGAGGGAGAGCUCUGGCAGCACGACGGCGUGGUGGUGGAGCUUGUGGUUCUCCUACAGGGCUUCGCCAAGCACUAUGGAAGAGGAGGAGGUGUUGGAGAAGGAAGGGGCUGCGCUAGGGGAACGGUUGCGGCUACCCUCUCUCUCCCUCACUAUAUAUAGGGGGAAGGGGGGAGGAGGAGGCUGUCGGUGUCAAAACCGGCAGAUCUCGGGUAGGGGGUCCCGAACUGUGUGUCUAAGGCUAAUGGUAACAGUAGGCGGGGGAUACGAUGCUUUCCCAGGUUUGGUCCCUCUCAAUGGAGGUAAUACCCUACUUCCUGCUUGAUUGAUCUUGAUGAUAUGAGUAUUCCAAGAGUUGAUCUACCACGAGAUCGUAGAGGCUAAACCCUAGAAGCUAGCCUAUGAUUAUGAUUGUUGUUGUCGUCCUACAGACUAAACCAUCUAGUUUAUAUAGAUACCGGAGGGGGCUAGGGUUACACGGAGUCGGUUAUAGAGAAGGAGAUCUACAUAUCCGAAUUUCCAAUCUUUCCUUCCACGCAAAGGAGAGUCCCACCCGGACACGGGACAAAGUCUUCAAUCUUGUAUAUUCAUAGUCCAACAGUUCGGACAAAUUAUAUAGUACGGAUGUCCGAGGACCCCAUAAUCCAGGACUCCCUCAAUAGCCCCUGAACCAGGCUUCAAUGAUGAUGAGUCCAGCGUGCAGAUUGUCUUGGGCAUUGCAAGGCGGGUUCCUUCUCCGAAUACUCCAUAGAAGAUUUUGAACAUGAAGAUCGUGUCCGGCUCUGCAAAACAAAUUCCACAUACCACCGUAGAGAGCACUAUAUUCCACAAAUCUAAUCUGCUGAAAACUUUUCAUAGUUUGGCAUCAUGCCUCAGCCCGGUCAUUAUUCGAACCGUUUUUCUCAACCAGCUACUGCACGUAUUGCGAGGCAGUUUCCUUGGCACGUCUUGUCAAAGCAGAGAUCGUGUCCCCUUAUCACGGGAUUCUCGUCAAUACGGGUGUGGGUAACCCAACCGCGCCAUCAAUCGCGGCGCUUGGGGAAUAAGCGAUUUUACGGGGCAAGUGGGGAGGCGCAUAGUUUCUACCGCCUUUAUAAAGGGAUAAGGAUUUCUCUUUUUCACCCACGCCUUCUUCUUCCCCUGCCCAUCCAUUUUCGCACGCUCGAGCUCUAGCGCCCAAGUUCUCACCUUCUCCGCAAAGCCAUUCCAAAUAUGUCCGGAGCGGGAGGCAAGUGGAUGGCCUCCUCCUUUACGGAGGAGAACAUUAUGAAGCUCCGGGAAGCCAGAUAUCUGGCCGCAAACAUUGCGCACCGACUCCCAGAUGUAGGGCAGAUCCUCCCUACUCCAGGACCCCAUGAGAGGGUCGUAUUCCUUGCCCACUUUGUCUGCGGGCUCUUGUUCUACUACAGGCUAGACUUCCACAAUCUGGCCCCCAAUUUCAUCCUCAACAUCUUGGCAUUUAUCAUCGUGUGCGAGGCCUUCCUCCGCAUCAAGCCCCACUUCGAUCUAUGGCUGAAGACCUUCAACGUGAAGCUGAAGAUAGUGGUCGGCCAGCAAGCGGAGUGCGGAGGCGCCAUGGUGGGCAAGAUGCCCAACGUCAUUUGGCUCGAGGGCUCCUAUGUGGAGACCGUGAAGGGGAGGCAACCAGGGUGGUUUUAUAUCACCGAGUCACGUGACGCCAACUGGAUGGUGGCCCCCGAAUUUCGAUCUGGCAUCCCCAUGCGGCUCACCUCUUGGAAAGAGAAGGGAUUAGUACGGGGUGCACCGGCAGAGCUGACCGGACUCCAGAACUGUGUCAAAAAUAUGAUAAGCAAGAAAAUCAAGCUCGUCAACGUGGUCCAGGUCAUGCUCUUCCGCCAGAUCCUUCCGUGUCAAAGACGAGCAUUCAAUAUGUGGGAGGUCAACCCGGCCGAACACCAGACGCCGCGAGAGCUCUUUGACACGACGCACAAGGACAUCUGGAAGGUGCUGUUCAAGGCCGCCGAGGUUCCUCCUCCCAUUACCGGGGAUCGCGGACUCAGCGCGAAGCGCCCGGCCAAUCCGGUAAGCUCUUUAUAUUUCACAAGAUGUUCCUUUCCCCAGUAUACUUGUGGGAGGGAUCUAAGCAUCCACGCCAAUUCAAAAGGACUAGGUAGCGACAGCGGAGCGGAUCGAUUGUCCAGCUCCACUGCCUGAAGAUCCAGCAAUAGCUCUCUUAACAGAGAUGCUAUUUUAGGCACCCUAUGAGGUGCCGGAGAAGAAGGCCAAGAAGAAGGCCACGGGGACCAGGAAAGGUCUCUGGCGCAAGGUUGUAUCGGACUCAUCGUCCAAAGACACCGAGGCACGCUCCUCCAAUAAAAACGAGGAGGAGGAAGAGGAAAGUCCUCCCCCCAACCGGCGGGGAGCAAGAAAAGGAAGGCCUCCCCAUCUGGGGAGGCCGAAGGGUCCAAGAAGGGAAAGACCCUCCGUCCAGACCACUCCACAACAGCCGCCUACAGCGACGAGGAGUGGCUGCCCAGGGACAAGCCCCUGGUGAAGUUGUAAGUAUCCGGAUACUAUAAUACUUCCGGCAUGUUUUGCUUUAUUGCUUUUUAUCAUGUUAAAUAUGAUUGUGCAGUCCGUCCAAAGCCCGAAUGGACGUAUCCUCCUCGGAUGGGUCUUUGAGUGCAUCGGCGACGAACAACGAUUCGCUCCCGAUGGCCACCACCCCCCGGCCCGCGGAAGACAUCGAGGUGUUGUCUCAGAGGAUACCAGAUUAGGGGGAGACAGUUUUGGAAACGCCCCAAGGCGAAAUCCCCAAUGCGGGGCACAUGGGGGGGGGGAAGACCCCCAUGGAUUCUGAUGACGGGGGCCGCAGCAAGUUUGGCCCUUGGCCGGAUACUGCGCCGGAACCUACAGUGGUUCCGGAUUCAGGCAGGUAGCCCCUCGCUAAGGGGGGCGAGCCGCCUGUGCUGAUGACCUCUGUUUAUCCAGAGGCAUCGGACAACUUGCUGGGAGCACUUCAGGGCGCUUCCAUCGAUGAAGAACAUCGUACUCUUAUGAGUAUGGUGAUUGAGAAGGUUCGGUCCGCCAAAAGCGGAUUGACCGAAGCCUUCGCCAGCCUCCUAACAGGCUUUGAGGUAAGUAAUUAGAUUAUGAGAAAAUAUCAUAGCAUAGACAGUAGCCCCCGAUGCUCUGUUUGGUGUUCGGAAAGAAAAGCUGAACAGAGGAUCAAAUAACAUCCACAAGAGUCUAAUAAGAAUAUGUCUAUUUGAAUAAGCAGGCGUCGCUGCUGGCCGCUGCCGCUCGUACUGCAGAGGUCUCCAGACUGAAGCGGGACCUGGAGCGGAAGGAGGAAGAGCUCGGCCUCGUGAAGAGGCAACUCAAGGAAAACAAAGGUACACAAUGCCCUGUCUGUAUGCCAUAUAAAGGAAAAGUUUGUUAAUGCUAAUAGAAGUGUCAUGAAUGUCAAUAGGGGCCACGACUGAAGUGGCGGACCUUAAGAAGGCAUUGUCCGAGGCUGAGGACAAAGCGGCCAAGGAGUGCACGGAGCGCGAGAAACAAGAGGCUCGGGUUAACGAGGUCCAGCAAGAGCUCCAGGACUUCAUCAAAAAAUACGAGUCCUUGGAGCAUGACUCUAAGACGCAAGAGUCCGAGCUUGCAAAGGCCCGCCAGAGUGCACAGGAUGCCAAAUCUGAAGCCCAAACGGCCCUCCAAGAGGUUCAAGCGGCCAAGAAAAUUGCAGCGGGUAAGGCAUUCAAUAUGCGGAGCAAGCAUGUGAAGGAGACUUUCUUUUUACUUACCUGAAUUUGGAGCUCUCCAGGAGCAUUCGUAGAUCUGCCGCGCAGCAUCUCUGAUGCUGCCGAGUUCUACCGAGCUGAGGAAGGGAGCUCGAGGGAGAAGUUGUUUUGGUCCCAGUAUAUUGCAGCCGAACACCCGAUGCCCUUGAGAGACCAGCUGAAGCAACAGGUCGAACUUCACAGGGCGGCCGAACUGGCCAUGAAGGAUCUCAUAGUCCAGAUGUGGCCUGGCGAGCCCCUGCCUAGCAGCUACUUCGGCCUGGUAAUGCAGCUUGUGAAUGCCUGCCCGCGGCUUGAAGUCAUAAAGCGGUCAGUCCGUAUUGAAGGUGCGCGCAGGGCCUUGGCCCGUGCGAAAGUGCACUAGGAGAAGAUGGAUGCCGAGAAGCUGGUGAUGGAGGGGCCACCGAAGGGCAAGGAGCAUCACCACCCCGAACAGUAUUAUGACAAUGUCCUGAAGGGUGCCCACCUUGUGGCGGAGGAAUGUGCUAAGGAUGUAAUAUUUGAAUGAAUGUUCUCAUGUCAUCCUGUAAUGAAAACGAGUUCAUGUGCGCUAUAAAGCGCUUGUUGAUUUAAAAUAUUACCUUUUGUGCGGCCGUCUAUAGAGUUUGAGAGUUGUCUAGUCGUCGGCUUCUGCCCCCAUGUAACUAGUACUGGUGUGUUCGGGAUAAAUCUAAACACUCUUUAUCCAAAUUCUUUGGUCCUUUAAGGAGGUGUUUAGCGCAGCGAACAAGGCAAUCAGACUAUAUAGCUUUAUCACUCUCACUUAGCCAUAGAAGUCUACAAUUUUAAAUUUAGGCGAAGCCCUAGUAUUCAGAAGGCCGAACUUGGGGCGCUAUGCACGCCUAAAUCGGACAAGGCCGAUUCCUCUCCUGAAGCAAAAAAUAUCUUUAAGGAUUUGAGACCUCUCGAACAGCGACCAGCUCUCGCCUUAUCAUGACAGUCAGUUUUCGGCUUUCUCUACCGAGGUGCUCGUCCGGAAGAGCCGGGACACAAUCGCAGUAGUUCUCCCUGUGCUACCUUAGCCGAUAUAGCGGAACGUAAGGUACCAAAACAUGGGAGCCGGGCAAACCCAACUAUUGACCCAAGACAUGAUUCGGAGCUGAUGCAUAUAAUGCUAUAAGUUCGGGGUGCCGCACUGUCGAAAGUGUUCAGACUUUUCUUGCCAUAUUACGGGGUACACUAAAGCCCCUCGCGAGCCGGACGUACCAAAAUAUCUGGGUGCAAUUUGGAAUCAAUAAACAGUAAAGGAAGAUGAUAAAGAAAUGUAAUAGUAAGCUUACGCUGUACAUUAUUUUCCAUUGUUAUUUGAAUAAUAUGUCAAGGUGUAUGUGUACAAGUAGUGCGAUAGGCGGAACAGGACUGUUUGACAUGUCCUGACCAAGAGCGAGCUGCGUGCGGGUAUGUAAAACAGGUAUAGCGAUCGUUAUCAGAGACCACCUGGGGAUUCCCUUGUACGCCAAAGCUUCUUGUCUCCUUGGUGUGUCUGUCCCGCUAUGGGUCCAAUAGUCGGGCUAUCAGAAGAGCCUUCCGAAGAUAGGGACCUGAAAAGGAAAAGGUGUAAAGAUACACGGAUCCUUGGGCGGUUGAGCCGCAUAGUGGACCGUGUCAUAGCCAUGCCUCCGCCUAUGCCAAUGGUAUUUUGAGUGCGUAAUUAUGCACACGUGGCACGAAUUUUGCCGCUUGACUGGGACUAGGGCGGAGGCUGAAUUGCUAGGCGAACUCUGGACGUGCCAGACGAUCCUAUUGCAGGGUACUCCGGACUCGCUUGACGGUGUCCGGGGGCUUCAUCGCCGAAUUGGCGGUCUACCUAAGAAGGUUGCUUUGUACUUCUGCUGCGACGGCCGUAGUGUGCUCCUCCGUACGGAGCGAGCGCUCUGUGUUUCCAUUAACUGUUAUAACCCCGCGAGGUCCUGGCAUUUUGAGCUUGAGGUAUGCAUAAUGCGGUACCGCAUUGAAUCUGGCAAAUGCGGUGCGGUUCCUAGCAGUGCGUGAUAGCCACUGCGGAAGGGGACGAUAUCGAAGAUUAACUCCUCGCUUCGAAAAUUGUCUGGAGAUCCGAAGAUCACUUCCAGUGUGAUUGAGCCCGUGCAGCAGACCUCUACACCUGGUAUGACACCUUUAAAGGUGGUUAUUUGUGGGUUUGAUCCUUGAGGGGUCGUUGCCCAUUUUGUGCAUUGUAUCCUAAUAGAGCAGGUUCAGGCUGCUGCCACCAUCCAUAAGGACUCGUGUGAGGCGGAAUCCUUCGAUGAUGGAGUCAAGGACCAAUGCGGCAGAACCGCCAUGACAGAUACUGGUAGGAUGGUGAAAAUGAUCGGACAAGAUGACCAUGGGUUGAACUUUGGGGUGACUGGCUCCAUCGCAUAGACGUCCCUUAGUGCAUGCUUCCAUUCCCGCUUGGCAACAUGGGUUGCAUAUAUCAUGUUCGCCGUUUUUACUUGGGAAGGAAAUUUCUUCUGUCCUCCUGUGUUCGGCGGCCGGGGCUCCUCGUCGUCGUUGCUAUGCAGCCCCUUUUCCUUGUUUUUGGCAUUCAACUUGCCGACCUGUUUGAACACCCAGCAUUCUCUGUUGGUGUGGUUGGCUGGUAUAUCGGGGGUGCCGUGAAUUUGACACGAGCGAUCGAGUAUGCGGUCCAAACUGGACGGUCCCAGGUUGUUUCUUUUGAAUGGCUUUUUCCGCUGACCGGAUAUAGAGCCACUGAAUCCGGCAUUGACUGUCGUGUCUUCGGCGUUGUCACCAUUGUUGUGACGGUUGUGUCUGUUGCGUCGUGGCUUGCCGUUGCUAUCUCUGGCAUCUGAAUUGCCAGGAUUUCUUGAUGUAUUGUUGCUACGAGCCAGCCAGCUGUCCUCGCCUGCACAAAAGCGGGUCAUGAGUGUCGUGAGGGCUGCCAUGGACUUCGGCUUCUCUAGGCCGAGGUGUCGGGCGAGCCAUUCAUCGCGGAUGUUGUGUUUAAAGGCCGCUAAGGCUUCGGCAUCCGGACAGUCGACUAUUUGGUUCUUUUUAGUUAAGAACCAAGUCCAGAAUUUCCUGGCUGACUCUCUGGGCUGUUGAGUUAUGUGACUUAAGUCAUCAGCAUCCGGUGGUCGCACAUAAGUGCCCUGGAAGUUGUCAAGGAAUGUGUCUGCCAGGUCCUCCCAAAUUCUGAUGGAGUUUGCCUGCAAGCUAUUCAGCCAAUGCCCGGCCGGUCCCUUGAGUUUUAGUGGGAGGUACUUGAUGGUGUGUAGAUCAUCCCCGCAGGCCAUGUGAAUGUGGUGGAAGAAAUCUUCUAUCCAUACCACGGGGUCUGUAGUACCAUCAUAUGAUUCAAUGUUCAUGGGUUUAAACCCUUCUGGGAAUUCAUGAUCCAUUACUUCAUCGGUGAAGCAUAGGGGGUGUGCGGCGCCUCUAUGCCGGGCUACAUCAUGACGUAGUUCAAAUGGGUCUGGUCUGCUGUAUUCGGCCCGGCCGGAUUUGUUUUUAGUAUAUCUGGCGAGACGAUCGUUGUCGCGCGUUGGGGAGCGCCCUUGUGAUCCAUAGAUCGAUCUUGAUUGACCUGCUUUAUUUUCCAAUUUAUCUGGUAGGUCAUGCGUGUAGCCCUGGGCCUUCGUGUUUUUGCUUGCUUGGCACCGGGGUGCGGGUUCGACUUCGGGCUGAUACACCGCUUUGUCUCGGCCACGAGGUGGCCGGUCAGCCACAUCAUGCGCUGGAAGUGUAGGCUUUGAUGCCUCCUCCUCUAUUUGAGGUAGCAACCUGCGCUUUGGGUAACUUUUGGUAGGGUUCUCGAGUCCAUAUUCCUCGGCUGCUAGGACUUCAGUCCAUCUAUCAGUUAGCAAAUCUUGAUCAGCUUGAAGCUGCUGCUGCUUUUUCUUCAGGCUUUUUGCAGUGGCUAUAAGUCGGCUCUUGAAGCGCUCCUGCUCGACGGGAUCCUCGGGCACGAUAAAUUCUUCGUUGCCGAGGUUCACCUCAUCUUCUGAGAGGGGCAUGUAAUCGUUAUCCUCUGAUUCUCCGUCCAUUGUCUGUUCCUUAGGGCUAGCUUGCUCAUCCUCCCGUUUGGCCUACUCGAAGCCUGGCUGGGCGGGAUCGUUUUCGUCUUCGGCACCAUCCGGAUUGCUAUCAUCUCUUGUGCCGGUAUCACUAUUUUUGCUCUGGCGGGGCUUAGAGCGGCGCCUAUGACGCCAGUGCUUAGAUUGCUUCUCAGGGGGACUAUCCUCCAUUGCCUCAUCGCCAUCGCCUUCUUUGGGCGUGUCCACCAUAUAUAUAUAUCAUAUGCUGAGGUGGUUGUCCAGCGCCCUUUGGGUGGUGGUUCCUGUUCUUCUCCUGCAUCGUCGUCCAUACCGUCGAUGUCUUCGGAGUUGAAUUCAAGCAUGUCGGUUAAGUCAUCGAUAGUGGCUAUUAAGUGGGUGGUGGGUGGGGAACGAAUUUCUUCGUCUUCCGCUUCCCACUCCAGCCGAACAUAGUUCGGCCAAGGGUCUCCUGACAAGGAGAGAGACCUCAAUGAAUUUAGCACAUCUCCCAAGGGCGAGUGCUGAAAGAUAUCCGCGGAGGUAAACUCCAUGAUCGGUGCCCAAUCAAAUUCGAUAGGCACGGACGUACGCGGCUCGGAGCCUGUAGCCGGAGACGAGUCCGAGGGUCUGAUGACACCGGCCUCAUAGGAGGUGAAGUCAGUGUUCGGCUCUAUCGCCAUUGAGUGUGCGGCCUCCGUGGCGGGGUCCAUCCGCCCGUCCUCGGAUGGCGUGAUCUACUCCAGAUUGAAGGCUGUGGCAGCCGCAGGUGUGAUCUCCUGAACACUGUCCGAUGGCAGAUCUAAGUCAUGACAUGGGCUUGAAUCCGUUGAAGAUCAAGUCUCUGCGGAUGUCGGCAGUAUAGUUCAAGAUUCCAAACUUGACCUGAUGGCCAGGGGUGUAACUAUCGAUCUGCUCCAGAUGGCCAAGCAUGUUGGCCCGCAGUACGAAGCCGCCGAAUAUGAAGAUAUGUCCGGGGAGGAAAACCUCCCCCUGGACCGCAUCAUUGAAGAUGAUUGAAGGAGCCAUCAAGCCUUAUCGUGACGACACAGUGGAACUCUCAAUGAAAUCACCAAUGUCGGUGUCAAAAUCGGCGGAUCUCGGGUAGGGGGUCCCGAACUGUGCGUCUAAGGCUAAUGGUAACAGGAGGCGGGGGACACGAUGUUUACCCAGGUUCAGGCCCUCUCGAUGGAGAUAAUACCCUAUUUCCUGCUUGAUUGAUCUUGAUGAUAUGAGUAUUACAAGAGUUGAUCUACCAUGAAAUCGUAGAGGCUAAACCCUAGAAGCUAGACUAUGAUUAUGAUUUUUGUUGUCGUCCUACAAACUAAACCCUCCUGUUUAUAUAGAUAAUGGAGGGGGCUAGGGUUACACAGAGUCGGUUACAGAGAAGGAGAUCUACAUAUCUAGAUUGCCAAGCUUGCCUUCCACGCAAAGGAGAGUCCCACCCGGACUCCCUCAGAGUCUUCAAUCUUGUAUCUUCAUAGUCCAACAGUCCGGACAAAGUAUAUAGUCCGGCUGCCUCAGGAACCCCUAAUCCAGGACUCCCUCAGAGGCUCCCUAGGGUUUCCCUAGGGGAGGGGCGGUGACCAUAGGGGAGACCCUAGAUGGGUUUGGGCGCCCCCACCCCUAGGAAAUUCGCCCCCAAGCCAAGAGGGGCGGCUGCCCUAGGGGAGGCGCCCCCACCUCUCCAGGUUAUGUGAGAUGGGGUGGGAGGGGCGCACAGCCCCUUAGUGGGCUGAUGUGCCCCCUCCCCUUGGCACAUAAGGCCCCCCAACGCUUGUCGGGGCCUCCAAAACUCAUUUCAGCACGCUGGUCGUCACCCGGUACGCCCGGAACAAUUUCGAACUCCAAUACCCUUCGUCCAAUAUAUCAAUCUUCACCUUCGGACCAUUCCGGAGUUCCUCGUCACGUCCGGGAUCUCAUCCGGGACUCCGAACAACCUUUGGUAACCACAUACUAUUUCUCAUAAUAACUCUACCGUCACCGAACCUUAAGUGUGUAGACCCUACGGGUUCGGGAACCAUGCAAACAUGAUCGAGAUGUUCUCCGGCCAAUAACCAACAGCGGGAUCUGGAUACCCAUGUUGGCUCCCACAUGUCCACGAUGAUCUCAUCGGAUGAACCACGAUGUCGGGGAUUCAAUCAAUCUCGUAUACAAUUCCCUUUGUCCACCGGUAUGUUACUUGCCUGAGAUUCGAUCAUCGGUAUCCCAAUACCUCGUUCAAUCUCGUUACUAGCAAGUCUCUUUACUCGUCCCGUAACGCAUGAUCCCUGUGACUAAGGAGUUAGUCACAUUGAGCUCAUUAUGAUGAUGCAUUACCGAGUGGGACUAGAGAUGCCUCUCCGUCAUACGGAGUGGCAAAUCCCAGUCUCGAUUCGAGCCAACCCAACAGACACUUUUGGAGAUACCUAUAGUGCACCUUUAUAGCCACCCAGUUACGUUGUGAGGUUUGGUACACCCAAAGCAUUCCUACGGUAUCCGGGAGUUGCACAAUCUCAUGGUCUAAGGAAAUGAUACUUGACAUUAAAAAAACUCUUAGGGAAUGAACUACACGAUCUUGUGCUAUGCUUAGGAUUGGGUCUUGUCCAUCACAUCAUUCUCCUAAUGAUGUGAUCCCGUUAUCAAUGACAUCCAAUGUCCAUGCUCAGGAAACCAUAACCACUAUUGAUCAACGAGCUAGUCAACUAGAGGCUUACUAGGGACAUGUUGUGGUCUAUGUAUUCACACAUGUAUUAUGGUUUCCAGUUAAUACAAUUAUAGCAUGAACAAUAGACAAUUAUCAUGAACAAGGAAAUAUAAUAAUAACCAUUUUAUUAUUGCCUCUAGGGCAUAUUUCCAAUAGUCUCCCACUUGCACUAGAGUCAAUAAUCUAGUUCACAUCACUAUGUGAUUGUAAUGAUUCCAACACCCAUGGGGUUUGAUCAUAUCUUGCUUGUGAGACAGGUUAUUAGUCAACGGGUCUGAACCUUUCAGAUCCAUGUGGGCUCUACAAAUCUCUAUGUCAUAUUGUAGAUGCAGCUACCACACGCUAUUUGGAAAUAUUCCAAAUAACUGUUGGAAAUAUGCCCUAGAGGCAAUAAUAAAUUAGUUAUUAUUAUAUUUCCUUGUUCAUGAUAAUCGUUUAAUACCUAUGCUAUAAUUGUAUUGAUAGGAAACUCAGAUACAUGUGUGGAUACAUGGACAACACCAUGUCCCUAGUAAGCCUCUAAUUGACUAGCUCGUUGAUCAAUAGAUGGUUAUGGUUUCCUGACCAUGGACAUAUUGGAUGUCGUUGAUAACGGGAUCACAUCAUUAGCAGAAUGAUGUGAUGGACAAGACCCAAUCCUAAGCCUAGCACAAAGAUCGUAGUUCGUAUGCUAAAGCUUUUCUAAUGUCAAGUAUCCUUUCCUUAGACCAUGAGAUUGUGCAACUCCCGGAUACCGUAGGAAUGCUUUGGGUGUACCAAACGUCACAACGUAACUGGGUGGCUAUAAAGGUGCACUACAGGUAUCUCCAAAAGUGUCUGUUGGGUUGGCACGAAUCGAGACUGGGAUUUGUCACUCCGUGUAAAUGGAGAGGUAUCUCUGGGCCCACUCGGUAGGGCAUCAUCAUAAUGUGCACAAUGUGACCAAGGGGUUGAUCACGGGAUGAUGUGUUACGGAACGAGUAAAGAGACUUGCCGGUAAUGAGAUUGAACAAGGUAUCGGUAUACCGACGAUCGAAUCUCGGGCAAGUACUAUACCGCUAGACAAAGGGAAUUGUAUACGGGAUCGAUUGAGUCCUUGACAUCGUGGUUCAUCCGAUGAGAUCAUUGUGGAACAUGUGGGAGCCAACAUGGGUAUCCAGAUCCCGCUGUUGGUUAUUGACCGAAGAACGUCUCGGUCAUGUCUGCAUGGUUCCCGAACCCGUAGGGUCUACACACUUAAGGUUCGAUGACGCUAGGGUUAUAAAGGAAGUUUGUAUGUGGUUACCGAAUGUUGUUCGGAGUCCCGUAUGAGAUCCCGGACGUCACGAGGAGUUCUGGAAUGGUCCGGAGCUAAAGAUUUAUAUAUAGGAAGUCCUGUUUUGGUCACCGGAAAAGUUUCGGGUUUUUCCGGUAACGUACCGGGACCACCGGAGGGUCCCGGGGGUCCACCAAGUGGGGCCACCAACCCCGGAGGGCUGCAUGGGCCAAGUGUGGGUGGGAACCAGCCCCAGGUGAGCUGGUGCGCCCCCCACAAGGGGCCCAAGGCGCAGGGGAGAGUGGGAGGGGGCAAACCCUUGGGCAGAUGGGCCCUAAGGCCCACCCAGGCGCGCCUCCCCUCUCUCCCCCUCUGGCCGCCACCCAGAUGGGAUCUGGGGGCUGCCGCCACCCCUGGGGAGGGAACCCAAGAGGGGGCGCAGCCCCCUCCCCUCCCCCUAUAUAUAUUUGAGGGUUUUGGGGCUGCCAACACACGAGUUUAUUCUCCUGUUGGCGCAGCCCUACCUCUCUUUCUCCUCAUAUCUCGUGGUGCUUGGCAAAGCCCUGCUGGACUACCACGCUCCUCCAUCACCACCACGCCUUUGUGCUACUGCUGGAUGGAGUCUUCCUCAACCUCUCCCUCUCUCCUUGCUGGAUCAAGGCGUGGGAGACGUCACCGGGCUGUACGUGUGUUGAACGCGGAGGUGCCGUCCGUUCAGCACUAGGAUCUCCGAUGAUUUGGAUCACGACGAGUACGACUCCUUCAACCCCGUUCUCUUGAAUGCUUCGGCUUAGCGAUCUACAAGGGUAUGUAGAUGCACUCUCCUUCCCCUUGUUGCUGGUUUCUCCAUAGAUAGAUCUUGGUGACACGUAGGAAAAUUUUGAAUUUCUGCUACGUUCCCCAACAGUGGCAUCAUGAGCUAGGUCUAUUGCGUAGAUUCUUUGCACGAGUAGAACACAAAGUAGUUGUGGGCGUUGAUUUUGUUCAAUAUGCUUACCGUUACUAGUCCAAUCUUGUUUCGAUGGUAUUGUGGGAUGAAGCGGCCCGGAUCGACCUUACACGUACACUUACGUGAGACAUGUUCCAUCGACUGACAUGCACUUGGUGCAUAAGGUGGCUAGCGGGUGCCAGUCUCUCCCACUUUACUCGGAACGGAUUCGAUGAAAAGGGUCCUUAUGAAGGGUAAAUAGCAAUUGGCAUAUCACGUUGUGGUUUUGCGUAGGUAAGAAACGUUCUUGCUAGAAACCCAUUAGCAGCCACGUAAAACAUGCAAACAACAAUUAGAGGACGUCUAACUUGUUUUUGCAGGGUAUGCUAUGUGAUGUGAUAUGGCCAAGAAGAAUGUGAUGAAUGAUAUGUGAUGUAUGAGAUUGAUCAUGUUCUUGUAAUAGGAAUCAAGACUUGCAUGUCGAUGAGUAUGACAACCGGCAGGAGCCAUAGGAGUUGUCUUUAUUUAUUGUAUGACCUGCGUGUCAUUGAACAACGCCAUGUAAUUACUUUACUUUAUUGCUAACCGGUAGCCAUAGUAGUAGAAGUAAUGAGUUGGCGAGACAACUUCAUGGAGACACGAUGAUGGAGAUCAUGAUGAUGGAGAUCAUGGUGUCAUGCCGGUGACGAUGAUGAUCAUGGAGCCCCGAAGAUGGAGAUCAAAAGGAGCAAUAUGAUAUUGGCCAUAUCAUGUCACUAUUUGAUUGCAUGUGAUGUUUAUCAUGUUUAUGCAUCUUAUUUGCUUAGAACGACGGUAGUAAAUAAGAUGAUCCCUCAUUAAAAUUUCAAGAAAGUGUUCCCCCUAACUGUGCACCGUUGCGAAAGUUCGUCGUUUCUAAGCACCACGUGAUGAUCGGGUGUGAUGGAUUCUUACGCUCACAUACAACGGGUGUAAGACAGAUUUACACACGCGAAACACUUAGGUUGACUUGACGAGCCUAGCAUGUACAGACAUGGCCUCGGAACACAAGAGACCGAAAGGUCGAGCAUGAGUCGUAUAGUAGAUACGAUCAACAUGAAGAUGUUCACCGAUGAUGACUAGUCCGUCUCACGUGAUGAUCGGACACGUCCUAGUUGACUCGGAUCAUGUAAUCACUUAGAUGACUAGAGGGAUGUCUAUCUGAGUGGGAGUUCAUAAGAUGAACUUAAUUAUCCUGAACAUAGUCAAAAGAUCUUUGCAAAUUAUGUCGUAAGCUCGCGUUUUUAGUUCCACUGUUUAGAUAUGUUCCUAGAGAAAAUAUAGUUGAAAGUUGACAGUAUCGUUUAUGCGGAUAGUAGAAAGCUUAUGUCCUUAAUGCACCGCUUAGUGUGCGGAACCCCAAACGUCGUUUGUGAAUGUUAUGAACAUCGGACAUACACGUUUUGAUAACUAGUGAUAGUUCAGUUAAACGGUUUAGAGUUGAGGCACCAAAGACGUUUUUCGAAACGUUGCGGAACAUAUGAGAUGUUUCGAGGGCUGAAAUUGGGAUUUCAGGCUCGUGCCCACGUCAAGAGGUAUAAGGCCUCCAACGAUUUUCUUAGCCUGCAAACUAAAGGGAGAAAAGCUCAAUCGUUGAGCUUGUGCUCAGAUUGUCUGAGUGCAACAAUCACUUGAAUCGAGUGGGAGUUGAUCUUCCAGAUGAGAUAGUGAUGUUUCUCCAAAGUCAUUGCCACCAAGCUGCUAGAGCUUCGUGAUGAACUAUAACAUAUCAAGGAUAGAGAUGAUGAUCCUUGAGGUAUUCGUGUUGUUUGACAUCGCGAAAGUAGAAAUCAAGAAGGAGCAUCAAUUGUUGAUGGUUGGUGAAACCACUAGUUUCAAGAAGGGCGAGGGCAAGAAGGGAUACUUCAUGAAACGACAAAUCAGAUGCUGCUCUAGUGAAGAAACCCAAGGUUUAACCCAAACCUGAUACUAAGUGCUUCUGUAAUAAGGGGAACAACCACUGGAGCAGAAUUACCCUAGAUACUUGGUAGAUGAGAAGGCUGGCAAGGUCGAUAGAAGUAUAUUGGAUAUACAUUAUGUAAAUGUGUACUUUACUAGUACUCCUAGUAGCACCAGGGUAUUAAGAUACCGGUUCGGUUGCUAAAGUGUUAGUAACUCGAAACAAAAGAGCUACGGAAUAAACGGAGACUAGCUAAAGGUGAGCUGACGAUAUGUGUUGGAAGUGUUUCCAAGUUUGAUGUGAUCAAACAUCGCGCACUCCCUGUACCAUCAAGAUUAGUAUUAAACCUGAAUGGUUUAUUGAAUCUCGAUCGUAGUGAUACACAUUUUCAUGCCAAAAGAUAUAAGAUAGUAAUGAUAGUACCACUUACUUGUGGCACUGCCAUGUAAGUCAUAUUGGUGUAAAACGCAUGAUGAAGCUCCAUGUUGAUGGAUCUUUGGACUCACUCAUUUUUGAAAGGUUUGAGACAUGCAAACCAUGUCUAUUGGUGUAUACGCAUGAAGAAACUCCAUGCAGAUGGAUCGUUUGGACUCACUUGAUUUUGAAUCACUUGAGAUAUGCAAAUCAUACCACAUAGGCAAGAUGACUGAAAAGCCUCGGUUUCAGUAAGAUGGAACAAGAUAGCAACUUGUUGGAAGUAACACACUUUGAUGUAUGCAGUCCAAUGAGUGCUGAGGCAUGCAGUGAAUAUCGUUAUGUUUUACUUCACAGAUGAUUUAAGUAGAUACUGUAUAUUUACUUGAUGAAACACAAGUCUGAAUUGUUGAAGGGUUCAAGUAAUUUCAGAGUGAAGUUGAAGGUCAUUGUGACAAGAGGAUAAAAUGUCUAUGAUAUGAUCAUAGAGAUGAGUAUCUGAGUUACGAGCUUUGGCACACAAUUAAGACAUUGUGGAAAUUGUUUCACAAUUAAUACUGCCUGGAACACCUAGUAUGAUGGUGUGCCCGAACAUCAUAGUUGCACCCUAUUGGAUAUGGUGCGUACCAUGAUGUCUCUUAUCGAAUUACCACUAUUGUUCAUGGGUUAGGCAUUAGAGACAAGCGCACUCACUUUAAUAGGGCACCACGUAAUUCCGUUGAGACGACACCGAACUAUGGUUUGGAGAAAUCUGAGUUGUUGUUUCUUAAAAGUUUGGGGCUGCGACGCUUAUGUGAAAAAGUUUCAGGUUGAUAAGCUCGAACCCAAAGUGGAUAAAAUGCAUCUUCAUAGCACACCCAAAAUAGUUGGGUAUACCUCCUAAUUCAGAUCCGAAAGCAAUAGGGAUUGUUUCUUGAAUUGGGUCCUUUCUCGAGGAAAGGUUUCUCUCGAAAAGUUGAGUGGGAGGAUGGUGGAGACUUGAUAUGGUUAUUGAACCAUUACUACAACUAGUGUGUAGCAGAGCACAGGAAGUUGCUCCUGUGGCCCCUACACCAAUUGAAGUCGAAGCUUAUGAUAGUGAUCAUGAAGUUUUGGAUCAAGUCACUACCUUACCUCGUAGGGUGACAAGGAUGCGUACUGCUUCAGAGUGGUACGGUAAUCCUGUCUUGAAGGUCAUGUUGCUAGACAACAAUGAACCUACGAGCUAUGGAGAAGCGAUGGUGGGCCCAAAUUCUGACAAAUGGUUAGAAGCCAUGAAAUCCGAGAUAGGAUCCAUGUAUCAUAACAAAGCAUGGACUUUGGUGGACUUGAUCGAUGAUUGGCAAGCCAUUGAGAUAAAUGGAUCUUUAAGAAGAAGACGGACGUGGAUGGUAAUGUCACCAUCUAUGAAGCUCGACUUGUGGGGAAGAGUUUUUCACAAGUUCAAGGAGUUGACUACGAUGAGAUUUUCUCAUCCGUAGCGAUGCUUAAAGUCCGUCGGAAUCAUGUUAGCACAAGCUGCAUUUAUGAAAUCUGGCAGAUGGAUGUCAAAACGAGUUUCCUUACCAGUUUUCAUAAGGAAAGGUUGUAUGCGAUACAAUCAUAAAUGUUUUGUCGAUCCUAAGGAUGCUAAAAGGUAUGCUGGCUCCAGCGAUCCUUCUAAGGACUGGACUAAGCAUCUCGGAGUUGGAAUAUGCACUUUGAUAGGAUGAUCAAAGAUUUUGGGUUUAUACAAAGUUUAUGAGAAACUUGUAUUUCCAAAGAAGUGAGUGGGAGCACUAUAGAAUUUCUGAUAAGUAUAUGUUGUUGACAUAUUGUUGAUCAGAAAUGAUGUAGAAUUUCUGGAAAGCAUAUAGGGUUAUUUGAAAAGUGUUUUUCAAUAGAAAACCUGGAUUAAGCUACUUGAACAUUGAGCAUCGAGAUCUAUAAGGAUAGAUCAAAAUGCUUAAUAAUACUUUCAAAUGAGCACGUACCUUGACAUGAUCUUGAAAGUGUUCAAGAUGGAUCAGUCAAAGAAGGAGUUCUUGCCUGAGUUGUAAGGUAUGAAGUUAAGACUUAAAGCUCGACCACGGCAGAAAAGAGAGAAAGGACGAAGGCCGUCCCCUAUGCUUUAGACGUAGGCUCUACAGUAUGCUAUGCGAAGUACCGCACCUGAUGUGUGCCUUGCCACAUGUCUGGCAAGAGGGUACAAAGGUGACCAAGGAGUGGAUCAUCAGAUAGCGGUCAAAAUUAUCCUUAGAGGAAUAAGGAUUUGUUUCUCGAUUAUGGAGGUGAUAAAGAGUUCGGCGUAAAGGGUUACGACGAUACAAGCUUUAACACUUAUCCGAAUGACUCUGAGUAGCAAACCGGAUACGUAUACUGGAACAACCAUUUCGAAUAGCUCCAAGUGGAGCGUGGAAGCAGCAUUCACACUAUGACAUAGAGAUUUGCGAAGUACAUAUGGAUCUGAAUGUUGCAGACCCGUUGACUAAAACUUCUCUCUCAAGCAAAACAUGAUCAAACCCCAGAACUCAUUGAGUCUUAAUCACAUGAUGAUGUGAACGGGUUUAAUGACACUAGUAAACUCUUUGGAUGUUGGUCACAUGGCGAUGUGACCUAUCAGUGUUAAUCACAUGGCAAUGUGAACUAGAUUAUUGACUCUAGUGCAAGUGGGAGACUGUUGGAAAUAUGCCCUAGAGGCAAUAAUAAAUUAGUUAUUAUUAUAUUUCCUUGUUCAUGAUAAUCGUUUAAUAUCCAUGCUAUAAUUGUAUUGAUAGGAAAUUCAGAUACAUGUGUGGAUACAUAGACAACACCAUGUCCCUAGUAAGCCUCUAAUUAACUAGCUCGUUGAUCAAUAGAUGGUUACGGUUUCCUGACCAUGGACAUAUUGGAUGUCGUUGAUAACGGGAUCACAUCAUUAGCAGAAUGAUGUGAUGGACAAGACCCAAUCCUAAGCCUAGCACAAAGAUCGUAGUUCGUAUGCUAAAGCUUUUCUAAUGUCAAGUAUCCUUUCCUUAGACCAUGAGAUUGUGCAACUCCCGGAUACCAUAGGAAUGCUUUGGGUGUACCAAACGUCACAAUGUAACUGGGUGGCUAUAAAGGUGCACUACAGGUAUCUCCGAAAGUGUCUGUUGGGUUGGCACGAAUCGAGACUGGGAUUUGUCACUCCGUGUAAACGGAGAGGUAUCUCUGGGCCCACUUGGUUGGACAUCAUCAUAAUGUGCACAAUGUGACCAAGGGGUUGAUCACGGGAUGAUGUUUUACGGAACGAGUAAAGAGACUUGCCGGUAACGAGAUUGAACAAGGUAUCGGUGUACCGACGAUCGAAUCUCGGGCAAGUACUAUACCGCUAGACAAAGGGAAUUGUAUACGGGAUCGAUUGAGUCCUUGACAUCAUGGUUCAUCCGAUGAGAUCAUCAUGGAACAUGUGGGAGCCAACAUGGGUAUCCAGAUCCCGCUGUUGGUUAUUGACCGGAGAACGUCUUGGUCAUGUCUGCAUGGUUCCCGAACCCGUAGGGUCUACACACUUAAGGUUCGAUGACGCUAGGGUUAUAAAGGAAGUUUGUAUGUGGUUACCGAAUGUUGUUCGGAGUCCCGGAUGAGAUCCUGGACGUCACGAGGAGUUCCAAAAUGGUCCGAAGGUAAAUAUUUAUAUAUAGGAAGUCCUGUUUUGGUCACCGGAAAAGUUUCGGGUUUUUCCGGUAACGUACCGGGACCACUGGGAGGGUCCUGGGGGUCCACCAAGUGGGGCCACCAACCCCGGAGGGCUGCAUGGGCCAAGUGUGGGAGAGAACCAGCCCCAGGUGGGCUGGUGCGCCCCCACAAGGGGCCCAAGGCGCAGGGGAGAGUGGGAGGGGGCAAACCCUGGGGCAGAUGGGCCCUAAGGCCCACCCCAGGCGCACCUCCCCUCUCUCCCCCUCUGGCCGCCACCCAGAUGGGAUAUGGGGGCUGCCGCCACCCCUGGGGAGGGAACCCAAGAGGGGGCGCAGCCCCCUCCCCUCCCCCUAUAUAUAUUUGAGGGUUUUGGGGCUGCCAAUACACGAGUUUAUUCUCCUGUUGGCGCAGCCCUACCUCUCUUUCUCCUCAUAUCUCGCAGUGCUUGGCGAAGCCCUGCUGGACUACCACGCUCCUCCAUCACCACCAUGCCGUUGUGCUGCUGCUGGAUGGAGUCUUCCUCAACCUCUCCCUCUCUCCUUGCUGGAUCAAGGCGUGGGAGACGUCACCGGGCUGUACGUGUGUUGAACGCGAAGGUGCCGUCCGUUCGGCACUAGGAUCUCCGGUGAUUUGGAUCACGACAAGUACGUCUCCUUCAACCCCGUUCUCUUGAACGCUUCCGCUUAGCGAUCUACAAGGGUAUGUAGAUGCACUCUCCUUCCCCUCGUUGCUGGUUUCUCCAUAGAUAGAUCUUGGUGACACGUAGGAAAAUUUUGAAUUUCUGCUACGUUCCCCAACAAUAACUGCUCCACUAUACGAAUCCGGUUUACUACUCAGAGUCAUCCGGAUUAGUGUUAAAGUUUGCAUCGACGUAACCCUUUACGAUGAACUCUUUUACCACCUCUGUAAUCAAGAAAAAUUCCUUAGUACACUAGUUACUAAGGAUAACUAUGACCGUUGUCCUGUGAUUCAUUCCUGGAUCACUCUUGUACCCCUUGACUAACUCAUGGAAAGGCACACUUCAGGUGCAGUACACAACACAUCAUACUGUAGAUCCUACGCCUAAAGCAUACGGGACGACCUUCAUCCUUUCUCUCUCUUUUGUCGUGGUCAGGUCUUGAGUCUUACUCAAUACUCUCACCUUAUAACACAAACAAGAACUCCUUUGCCGAUCUAUUUUGAACUCCUUCAAAAUCUUGUCACGGUAUGUAUUCAUUUGAAAGUACUAUUAAGCAUUUUUUAUCUAUCCUUAUAGAUCUUGAUGCUCAAUGUUCAAGUAGCUUAAUCUAGGUUUUCCAUUUAAAAACACUUCUCAGACAACCUAUAUGCUUUCCAGAAAUUCUACAUCAUUUCUGAUCAACAAUAUAUCAACAACAUAUACUCAUCAGAAAUUCUAUAGUGCUCCCACUCACUUCUUUGGAAAUACAAGUUUAUCAUAAACUUUGUAUAAACCCAAAAUCUUUGAUCAUCUCAUCAAAGCGUAUAUUCCAAACCCGAGAUUCUUACUCCAGUCCUUAGAAGGAUUGCUGGAGCUUUGCAUACUUAUUAGCAUCUUUUAGGAUUGACAAAACCUUCUGGUUGUAUCAUAUACAACCUUUCCUCAAGAAAAUCAUCGAGGAAACAAUGUUUUUUGACAUCCUAUCUUCAAAAUUACAAAAAUAAUGCAGUAACUGCUAAUAUAAUUCCAACAGACUCUUAGCAUCGCUAUGAGUGAGAAAGUCUCACCGUAGUCAACUCCUUGAACUUGUCGAAAAACUUCUUAGCGACAAGUCGAGCUUCCUUAAUGGUGACACUUACCACCAUUGUCCUUCUUCCUUUUAAAAUCCAUCUUUACCCAACAGCCUUACGAUCAUCAAGUAGUUCUUCCAAAGUCUACACUUUGUUUUCAUACAUGGAUCCUCUCACGGAUUUUAUGGCCUCGAGCCAUUCGUGGAAUCCAGGCCCACUGAGGGAGUCCUGGAUUAGGGGAUCCUCGGACAGCCGGACUAUGUACUUGUGCCGGACUGUUGGACUAUGAAGAUACAAGAUUAAAGACUUCGUCCCGUGUCUGGGUGGGACUCUCCUUUGCGUGGAAGGCAAGCUUGGCAAUUCGGAUAUGUAGAUCUCCUUCUCUGUAACCGACUCUGUGUAACCCUAGCCCCCUCCGAUGUCUAUAUAAACCGGAGGGUUUGGUCCGUAGGACAACAACAAUCAUAAUCAUAGGCUAGCUUCUAGGUUUAGCCUCUAUGAUCUCGUGGUAGAUCAACUCUUGUAAUACUCAUAUAAUCAAGAUCAAUCAAGCAGGAAGUAGGGUAUUACCUCCAUCGAGAGGGCCCGAACCUGGGUAAACAUUGUGUUCCCCGCCUCUUGUUACCAUUAGCCUUAGACGCAUAGUUCGAGACCCCCUACCCAAGUUCCGUCGGUUUUGACACCGACACCCACCAUCGCUUCUCCAUAGCUCGUAGGUUCAUUGUUGUCUAGCAACAUGACCUCCAAGACAGGAUUACAUAUCACUCUAAAGUAGUACGCAUCCUUGUCGACUUACGAGAUUUGGUAGUGACUUGAUCCGAAGUUUCAUGAUCACUAUCAUAAGCUUCCACUUGAAUUGGUGUAGGCGCCACAAGAACAACUUCAUGUGCCCUGCUACACAAUAAUUGAAGUGAUGGUUCAGUAACCUCAUCAAGUCUCCACCAUCCUCCCGCUCAAUUCUUUCGAGAGAAACUUUUCCUCGAGAAAGGUCCCAUUUCUAGAAACAAUCACUUUUGCUUCCGGAUCUGAAAUAGGAGGUAUACCCAACUGUUUUGGGUGUCCUAUGAAGAUGCAUUUAUCCUCUUUAGGUUCGGGCUUAUCAGGCUAAAACUUUUCACAUAAGCGCCGCUACCCCAAACUUUUAAGAAACGACAGCUUAGGUUUCUCUAAACCAUAGUUCAUACGGUGUCAUCUCAACGGAAUUAGGUGGUGCCCUAUUGAAAGUGAAUGCGGUUGUCUCUAAUGUCUAACCCAUAAACGAUAGUGGUACUUCGAUAAGAGACAUCAUGGUAUGCACCAUAUCCAAUAGGGUGCAGCUAUGAUGUUCACACACACCAUCACACUAUGGUGUUCAAGGCGAUAUUAGUUGUGAAACAAUUUCCACAAUGUCUUAAUUGUGUACCAAACUCGCGACUCAGAUAUUCAUCUCUAUCAUCAUAUCAUAAACAUUUUAUACUCUUGUCACGACGAUCUUCAACUUCACUCUGAAAUUACUUGAACCUUUCAAUAAUUCAGACUUGUGUUUCAUCAAGUAAAUAUACUUAGCAUCUACUCAAAUCAUCUGUGAAGUAAGAACUUAACGAUAUCCACUGCGUGCCUCAGCACUCAUUGGACUGCACACAUCAAAAUGUAUUACUUCCAACAAGUUGCUUUCUUGUUCCAUCUUACUGAAAACGAGGCCUUUCAGUCAUCUUGCCCAUGUGGUAUGUGAGGGAGUCCUGGAUUAGGGGGUCCUCGGACAGCCGGACUAUGUACUUGUGCCGGAAUGUUGGACUGUGAAGAUACAAGAUUGAAGACUUCGUCCCGUGUCCGGGUGGGACUCUCCUUUGCAUGGAAGACAAGCUUGGCAAUUUGGAUAUGUAGAUCUCCUUCUCUGUAACCGACUCUGUGUAACCCUAGCCCCCUCCGGUGUCUAUAUAAACCGGAGGGUUUGGUCUGUAGGACAACAACAAUCAUAAUAAUAGGCUAGUUUCUAGGGUUUAGACUCUAUGAUCUCGUGGUAGAUCAACUCUUGUAAUACUCAUAUCAUCAAGAUCAAUCAAGCAGGAAGUAGGGUAUUACCUCCAUCGAGAGGGCCCGAACCUGGGUAAAAAUUGUGUCCCCCGCCUCCUGUUACCAUUAGCCUUAGAUGCAUAGUUCGGGACCCCCUACCCGAGAUCCGCCGGAUUUGACACCGACACCCAUCAUCACUUCUCCAUAGCUCGUAGGUUCAUUGUUGUCUAGCAACAUGACCUCCAAGACGGGAUUACAUACCACUCUGAAGUAGUACGCAUCCUUGUCGACUUACGAGGUUUGGUAGUGUAACGCCCGAAUAAUUAUGCUGCAGUAAGUCCAUGCUAACGAUGCCAUGUCAUCACAUUUCUGUUGCUAAUCUUCAUUUGGUCCAAAUCACGAUUCAAAUUCAAAACCGAGUUUAAAGCCAAAAUUCAAAUUUGUCAAACGAGAAAACCAAAAUGUUCAUAGUUUGUCAAAUUUUCCAUAACCAAUUAUGGUGGUGAGCCAACAUUUUUGCAAAGUAGUUUAAGGCCCUAAUCUAUUUAAAACAGUUAUUUAAAAGGUUAAAUUUUAAAAAAAGAGAAGGNNNNNNNNNNNNNNNNNNNNNNNNNNNNNNNNNNNNNNNNNNNNNNNNNNNNNNNNNNNNNNNNNNNNNNNNNNNNNNNNNNNNNNNNNNNNNNNNNNNNNNNNNNNNNNNNNNNNNNNNNNNNNNNNNNNNNNNNNNNNNNNNNNNNNNNNNNNNNNNNNNNNNNNNNNNNNNNNNNNNNNNNNNNNNNNNNNNNNNNNNNNNNNNNNNNNNNNNNNNNNNNNNNNNNNNNNNNNNNNNNNNNNNNNNNNNNNNNNNNNNNNNNNNNNNNNNNNNNNNNNNNNNNNNNNNNNNNNNNNNNNNNNNNNNNNNNNNNNNNNNNNNNNNNNNNNNNNNNNNNNNNNNNNNNNNNNNNNNNNNNNNNNNNNNNNNNNNNNNNNNNNNNNNNNNNNNNNNNNNNNNNNNNNNNNNNNNNNNNNNNNNNNNNNNNNNNNNNNNNNNNNNNNNNNNNNNNNNNNNNNNNNNNNNNNNNNNNUAGCCCGAAAAUAUCUCCCCACUCCCCUCGCACGAUCCCCUCUCCCUCGAACCCGCCUCUCUCUCCCGCCCUCUCGAUCGGAUCGGGGCAACCCCGACCGGCCCCGUCAAUCGCUGCCGCCGCUCGGAGACCCGCCCCCUCGUCGGACGCGUCGCCUUCCUCCUCGGCGCACCCCCACUCGACUGGUUCUAGAUCGGGGAGGGGUCCGACCCCGUGCCACCCCGCGGCGCUCCCGUCGCUCGUUCCCGGUGCCGCCCCGCCGCCGCUGCGGCUCACACCCUCGACGCGUCGGCCUCGUCCACGUCGCCUCCCCGCCUCUCCUCCGACACCCGCAGCGCCCCGAGGCCGACGUCGCCACCCAUCGCCGCUCGCCGUCGCCUCGCCUCCUCAUCUCUCCCCCAUCGGCUCCGUCGAGCCUCGCCGACCCCUACUUGGCAACGGCCGUGAGCGCCCCCCUCUCUCUCCAUCUCCCCUCUCUCUCCGUCGUCCCGAGCGCCACUGCACUGGCGCACACGCCUGCCGCGGCUGUGUUCGCCGGCGCCUCGUCCGCUCGCGCGCUCCCUGUUGCCCCGUUCGGGUGCACGGGCGCCCACACCCGCAGCUCCCGUAACCCCUGCGCCCGUUAACCCUCGUGGCCUCUUGGGCCACUUACAAGCGGGGCUCGCCCCUGUUAGAAAAAAAAAGAGAACCAAAAAGAAUAUGUAUAAAUAAAAAUAAAAAUAAUUUAAUUAAUUAAUUAAUCCUGUUAAUUAACACAAAUUAAUUAUGUUUAAUUGACGUAAUUGCAUAUUAGUCUAAUUAAAUUUGUUUAGUUAAAUGUGCCAAUGACAAACGGGCCCCACUGCCGUGUUUGACCCGUCAACGGUCAGUGUUGACCGCUGACGUCAUGAUGAUAUCGUGCUGAUGCAAUAACCCCAUUUUAGAUUUAGUAAUAAUUUUAGAAAAGGUUUAAACCUUUGAAAAAUCAUAUAAACUAAACCGUAGCUUGGAUGAAAAACUUUUCUUCAUGAAAGUUUCUUAGAACGGCGAGACGAAUCCGAAUACGCGGUCUGUUUGCCCGUCACACAUCCCUAAUAUAGCAAACAUGCAACUUUUCCCCUCCGGUUCAUCUGUCUGAGAGACGUCCGGAACCGGGAAAACUUUCCUAGAUGUUCCCCCUUCGCCAGUACCGCCUAGCGCUGCGUUAGAACACUUCUAGCCUCGCUUAUUGUCUUGUUAUGCACUUGUCUGCUAUGUAUUUACCGUUUCAUCCCGCUCUUCUCUCCGGUAGACCCCGAUACCGAUGCUGAUGUCCCUGUGAUCGACUACGUCAACGACGACCCUCCUUCUUGCCUGAGCAACCAGGCAAGCCCCCCCCUUUGAUCAUCUUGAUAUCGCCCAUUUUAUACUCUCAUGCUUGCAUUAGAUUUUGCUACUGUAUUUGAUUGCUCCUAUUCUAAUGCAUAGCCUGCUUUUGUACCUGCUUAUUGUUACCAACAUGCUUAUCCUAAACUGCUUAGUAUAGGUUGGCUAGUGAUCCAUCAGUGACCCCCACUUGUCCUUGUUGCCCCUGCUUCAUCAUCGACGCCUCGAUCGACAUGAUCGACGACCAGAGCCCGACACCUCAUAUCACAUCACGCCCCUUUAGUUGCUCGACUCUGCAGAGCUACUAUCGAGUGCCGAGGGUGAUCCCUCAUAACGUACUCCUGAUGAUAAUUCUGUAGUGUAGCUAUUCGGUCGUGGUCAUCGAGGGUGAUUCCCUCUUUCACCAUUCCCGAUACGGCUCUGUCGUUCAACACCUCAAGUGUGAACCUCGAGGGUGGUCCCUCUUACGUUCACCUUCAUGAUUACAUUGAGUGGAAUCCACCGGGGGUGAUUCCUCGGGUUUUCCCCUUGAUGUCUGGACACACAGUUACCUUGACUUCACUUGAGACUGCUGUGAAAGCCGGGCGGGCCCGGAGAGCACCCGUGCGAUGUGACAGUGGCAGCUGGCUGUUUAGCGGUAUCACCCAGGAGGGGGUGAUAGCUCCAGACUUGUCCCGACAGCCGUCACUCCUUUUAAUAAUGCACUAUCAGGUUUGGGUAUUUGUUCUGAGUUGGCCUUUGGCCUUUACGCACUAACCACCACGCGAGAAUAGUUAUGGGCCUCGAUGUCGCAGUUGUUGGGAACGUAGUAAUUUCAAAAAUUUUCUACGCACACGCAAGAUCAUGGUGAUGCAUAGCAACGAGAGGGGAGAGUGUAAUCUACAUACCCUUGUAGAUCGAAAGCGGAAGCGUUAGAACAACGCAGUUGAUGAAGUCGUACGUCUUCACGGCCCGACCGAUCAAGCACCGAAACUACGACACCUCCGAGUUCUAGCACACGUUCAGCUCGAUGACGUCCCUCGAACUCCGAUCCAGCCGAGUGUCGAGGGAGAGUUCCGUCAGCACGACGGCGUGGUGACGAUCUUGAUGUUCUACCGUCGCAGGGCUUCGCCUAAGCACCGCUACAAUAUUAUCGAGGAGGACUAUGGUGGAGGGGGGCCCCGCACACGGCUAAUAGAUCUCAAGGAUCAAUUGAUGUUGUUUGGGGUGCCCCCCUGCCCCCAUAUAUAUAGGAGCAAGGGGGGAGGUGGCUGGCCUAUGGAGGAGGCGCACCAAGGGGGGAGUCCUACUCCCAGAGUAGGACUCCUCCUUUCCUUGUUGGAGAAGGAAAGAGGAGGAGUAGGACUCCUCCUUUCCUUGUUGGAGAAGGAAAGAGGAGGAGAGGGAGAAGGAAAAGUGGGCUGCCCCCCUUGUCCAAUUCGGACCAGAGGGGGGGGGGGGCGCAGGCCUCCUUCCUUUUGGCCUCUCUCCUCUAUUCCCGUAUGGCCCAAUAAGGCCCAUAUACUCCCCGGCGAAUUCCCGUAACUCUCCGGUACUCCGAAAAAUACCCGAAUCACUCGGAACCUUUCCGAACUCCGAAUAUAGUCGUCCAAUAUAUUGAUCUUUACGUCUCGACCAUUUCGAGACUCCUCGUCAUGUCCCCGAUCUCAUCCGGGACUCCGAACUCCUUCGGUACAUCAAAACUCAUAAACUCAUAAUAUAACUGUCAUCGAAACCUUAAGCGUGCGGACCCUACGGGUUCGAGAACAAUGCAGACAUGACCUAGAACUAUUCUCGGUCAAUAACCAAUAGCGGAACCUGGAUGCUCAUAUUGGCUCCCACAUAUUCUACGAAGAUCUUUAUCGGUCAAACCGCAUAACAACAUACCUUGUUCCUUUUGUCAUCGGUAUGUUACUUGUCCGAGAUUCGAUCGUCAGUAUCCAAUACCUAGUUCAAUCUCAUUACUGGCAAGUCUCUUUACUCGUUACGUAAAGCAUCAUUCCGUAACUAACUCAUUAGCUACAUUGCUUGCAAGGCUUAUAGUGAUGUGCAUUACCGAGAGGGCCCAGAGAUACCUCUCUGACAAUCGGAGUGACAAAACCUAAUCUCGAAAUACGCCAACCCAACAUGUACCUUUGGAGACACCUGUAGUACUCCUUUAUAAUCACCCAGUUACGUUGUAACGUUUGGUAGCACCCAAAGUGUUCCUCCGGUAAACGGGAGUUGCAUAAUCUCAUAGUUACAGGAACAUGUAUAAGUCAUGAAGAAAGCAAUAGCAACAUAUUAAAUGAUCAAGUGCUAGGCUAACGGAUUGGGUCAUGUCAAUUACAUCAUUCUCCUAAUGAUGUGAUCCCAUUAAUCAAAUAACAACACAUGUCUAUGGUUAGGAAACAUAACCAUCUUUGAUCAAUGAGCUAGUCAAGUAGAGGUAUACUAGUGACGUUAUGUUGGUCUAUGUAUUCACACAUGUAUUAUGUUUCCGGUUAAUACAAUUCUAGCAUGAAUAAUAAACAUUUAUCAUGAUAUAAGGAAAUAAAUAAUAACUUUAUUAUUGCCUCUAAGGCAUAUUUCCUUCAGUCUCCCACUUGCACUAGAGUCAAUAAUCUAGGUCACAUCAUCAUGUGAUUCAACACCAAUAUUCACAUCCGUAUGUGAUUAACACCCAUAGUUCACAUCGUCAUGUGAUCAACACCCAAAGGGUUUACUAGAGUAUGAUCAUGUUUUGCUCGUGAGAGAAGUUUAGUCUACGGGUCUGUCACAUUCAGACCCGUAUGUAUUUUGCAAAUAUUCUAUGUCUAUAAUGCUCUGCAUGGAGCUACUCUAGCUAAUUGCUCCCACUUUCAAUAUGUAUCCAGAUUGAGACUUAGAGUUAUCUGGAUCGGUGUAAAAGCUUGCACCGAUGUAACUUUUUACGAUGGGCUCUUUUAUCACCUCCAUAAUCGAGAUGUAUUACCUUUCCUCACUAAGGAUAUUCUUGACCGCUGUCCAGUGAUCUACUAUUAGAUCAAAAUUGUAUACCUUUGCCAAACACAGAGCGAGGUAUACAAUAGGUCUGGUUCACAGCAUAACAUACAUUAUAGAACCUAUGACUGAGGCAUAGGGAAUGACUUUUCAUUCUCUUUCUAUUUUCUGCCAUAGUCGGGUUUUGAGUCUUACUCAACUUCACACCUUGCAGCAUAGGCAAGAACUCUUUCUUUGACUGUUCCAUUUUGAACUAUUUCAAAAUCUUGUCAAGGUAUGUACUCAUUGAAAAUCUUAUCAAGCGUCUUGAUCUAUCUCAAUAGAUCUUGAUGCUUAAUAUGUAAGCAGCUUCACUGAGGUCUUUCUUUGAAGAACUCCUUUCAAACACUCCUUUAUGCUUUGCAGACUAAUUCUACAUUAUUUCCGAUCAACAAUAUGUCAUUCACAUAUACUUAUCGGAAAUGUUGUAGUGCUCCCACUCACUUUCUUGAAAAUACAGGUCUUUCCAAAAGUCCGUAUAAAAACAUAUGCUUUGAUCAACUCAUCAAAGCGUAUAUUCCAACUCCAAGAUGCUUGCACCAGUCCAUUGAUGGAUUGCUGGAGCUUGCACACUUUGUUAGCAUCUUUAGGAUUGACAAAAACUAUCUGGCUGCAUCAUAUACAACUCUUCUUUAAUAAAUCCAUUAAGGAAUGCAGUUUUGACAUCCAUUUGCCAGAUUUCAUAAAAUGUGGCAAUUGCUAACAUGAUUCAGACAGACUUAAGCUUCGAUACGAGUGAGAAAAUCUCAUCGUAUUCAAUACCUUGAACAUGUUGAAAACCUUUUGCAACAAGUCGAGCUUAGUAGAUAGUAACACUACUAUCAGUGUCCGUCUUCCUCUUGAAGAUCCAUUUAUUUAACAUGGCUUGCUGAUCAUCGAGCAAGUCAAUCAAAGUCCAUACUUUGUUCUCAUACAUGGAUCCUAUCUCAGAUUUCAUGGCCUCAAGCCAUUUCGCGGAAUCUGGGCUCAUCAUCGCUUCCUCAUAGUUCGUAGGUUCAUCAUGGUCUAGAACGGGAUUAUCGUACCACUUUGGUGCGGAUCUUAUUCUGGAAGACCUACGAGGUUCGGUAGUAACUUGAUCUGAAGCUUCAUGAUCAUCAUCAUUAACUUCCUCACUAAUCGGUGUAGGCAUCACAGGAACUGAUUUCUAUGAUGAACUACUUUCCAAUUUGGGAGAAGGUACAAUUACCUUAUCAAGUUCUACUUUCCUCCCACUCACUUCUUUUGAGAUAAACUCCUUCUCUAGAAAGGAUCCAUCUUAGCAACGAAUCUUGCUUUCGGAUCUGUGAUAGAAGGUGUACCCAAUAGUUACCUUUGGGUAUUCUAUGAAGACGCACUUCUCCGAUUUGGGUUCAAGCUUAUCAGGUGAAAACUUUUUCACAUAAGCAUCGCAGCCCCAAACUUUAAGAAACGACAACUUUGGUUUCUCGCCAAACCACAGUUCAUAAGGCGUCGUCUCAACGGAUUUUGAUGGUGCCCUUUUUUUAAAGUGAAUGCAACUGUCUCUAAUGCAUCACCCCAAAACGAUAGUGGUAAAUCGGUAAGAUACAUCAUAGAUCGCACCAUAUCCAAUAAAGUGCGGUUACGACGUUCGGACACACCGUUACGCUGUGGUGUUCCAGGUGGCAUGAGUUUGUGAAACUAUUCCACAUUGUUCUAAUUGAAGACCAAACUCGUAACUCAAAUAUUUGUCACCGCGAUCAAAUUGCAGAAACUUUAUUUUCUUGUUAUGAUGAUUCUCCACUUCACUCUAAAAUUAUUUGAACCUUUCAAAUGUUUCAGACUUGUGCUUCAUUAAGUAGAUAUACUCAUAUCUGCUCAAAUCAUCUUGUGAAGGUCAGAAAAUAACGAUACCCGCCACGAGCAUCAACACUCAUUGGACCAUAUACAUCGGUAUGUAUUAUUUCCAUCAAGUCAGUAGCUCGUUCCAUUGUUCCGGAGAACGGAGUUUUAGUCAUCUUGCCCAAAAGGCACGGUUCGCAAGCAUCAAAUGAUUCAUAACCAAGAGAUUCCAAAAAUCCAUCUUUAUGGAGUUUCUUCAUGCGCUUUACACUGAUAUGACCCAAACGGCAGUGCCACAAAUAAGUUGCACUACCAUUAUCAACUUUGCAUCUUUUGGCAUCAAUAUUAUGAAUAUGUGUAUUACUACGAUCGAGAUCCAACAAACUAUUUUCAUUGGAUGUAUGGCCAUCGAAGGUUUUAUUCAUGUAAAUAGAACAACAAUUAUUCUUUGACUUUAAAUGAAUAGCCGUAUCGCAAUAAAUAUGAUCAAAUCAUAUUCAUGCUCAACACAAACGUCAAAUAACAUUUAUUUAGGUUUAACACUAAUCCCGAAAGUAUAGGGAGUGUGCGAUGAUGAUCAUAUCAAUCUUGGAACCACUUCCAACACACAUCGUCACUUCACCCUCAACUAGUCUCUGUUUAUUCUGUAACUCCUGUUUCAAGUUACUAAUAUUUAGCAACCGAACAAGUAUCAAAUACUCAGGGGCUACUAUAAACACUAGUAAGGUACACAUCAAUAACCUGUAUAUCAAAUAUACCCUUGUUCACUUUGCCAUCCUUCUUAUCCACCAAAUAUUCAGGGCAUUUCCACUUCCAGUGACCAUUUCCUUUGCAGUAGAAGCACUCAGUUUCAGGCUUUGGUUCAGCUUUGGGCUUCUUCGCGGGAGUGACAACUUGCUUGUCAUUCUACUUGGAGUUUCCCUUUCUUUCCCUUUGCCCUUUUCUCGAAACUAGUGAUCUUGUCAACCAUCAAUACUUGAUGCUCUUUCUUGAUUUCUACCUUCGUCGAUUUCAACAUCACGAAAAGCUCGGGAAUCAUUUUCGUCGUCCCUUGCAUACUGUAGUUCAUCACAAAGUUCUACUAACUUGGUGAUGGUGACUAGAGAACUCUGUCAAUCACUAUCUUAUCUGGAAGAUUAACUCCCACUUGAUUCAAGUGAUUGUAGUACCCAGUCAAUCUGAGCACAUGCUCACUAGUUGAGCGAUUCUCCUCCAUCUUUUAGCCAUAGAACUUGUUGGAGACUUCAUAUCUCUCAACUCGGGUAUUUGCUUGAAAUAUUAACUUCAACUCCUGGAACAUCUCAUAUGGUCCAUGACGUUCAAAACGUCUUUGAAGUCCCGAUUCUAAGCCGUUAAGCAUGGUGCACUAAACUAUCAAGUAGUUAUCAUAUUGAGCUAGCCAAACGUUCAUAACAUCUGCAUCUGCUCAUGCAAUAGGUCUGUCACCUAGUGGUGCAUUAAGGACAUAAUUCUUCUGUGCAGCAAUGAGGAUAAACCUCAGAUCACGGAUCCAAUCCGCAUCAUUGCUACCAACAUUUUUCAACACAAUUUUCUCUAGGAACAUAUCAAAAUAAACAUAAGAAAACAACAAUGCAAGCUAUUGAUCUACAACAUAAUUUGCAAAAUACUACCAGGACUAAGUUCAUGAUAAAUUUAAGUUCAAUUAAUCAUAUUACUUAAGAACUCCCACUUAGAUAGACAUCCCUCUAAUCCUCUAAGUGAUUACGUGAUCCAUAUCAACUACACCAUGUCUGAUCGUCACGUGAGAUGGAGAAGUUUCAACAGUGAACAUCAAUAUGUUGAUCAUAUCUACUAUAUGAUUCACGCUCGACCUUUCGGUCUCCGUGUUCGGCCAUAUCUGUUAUAUGCUAGGCUCGUCAAGUUUAACCUGAGUAUUCCGCGUGUGCAACUGUUUUGCACCCGUUGUAUUUGAACGUAGAGCCUAUCACACCUGAUCAUCACGUGGUGUGUCAGCACGAAGAACUUUCGCAACGGUGCAUACUCAGGGAGAACACUUCUUGAUAAUUUAGUGAGAGAUCAUCUUAAAAUGCUACCGUCAAACUAAGCAAAAUAAGAUGUAUAAAAGAUAAACAUCACAUGCAAUCAAUAUAAGUGAUAUGAUAUGACCAUCAUCAUCUUGUGCUUGUGAUCUCCAUCUCCAAAGUACUGUCAUGAUCUCUAUCGUUACCGGCACGACACCAUGAUCUUCAUCAUCUUGAUCUAUAUCAAUGUGUCGUCACAUGGUCGUCUCUCCAACUAUUGCUCUUGCAACUAUUGCUAUCGUAUAGCAAUAAAGUAAAGCAAUUAUUUGGCACUUGCAUCUUAUGCAACAAAGAGACAACCAUAGGGCUUCUGCCAGUUGCUGAUAACUUCAACACAACAUGAUCAUCUCAUACAACAACUUAUAUCUCAUCACGUCUUGACCAUAUCACAUCACAACAUGCCCUGCAAAAACAAGUUAGACGUCCUCUACUUUGUUGUUGCAAAUUUUACGUGGCUGCUACGGGCUGAGCAAGAACCGUUCUUACCUACGCAUCAAAACCACAACGAUAGUUCGUCAAGUUAGUGAUGUUUUAACCUUCUCAAGGACCGGGCGUAGCCACACUCGGUUCAACUAAAGUUGGAGAAACAGACACCCGCUAGUCACCUGUGUGCGAAGCACGGCGGUAAAACCCAGUCUCGCGUAUGUGUACGCGUAAUGUCGGUCUGGGCCGCUUCAUCCAACAAUACCGCUGAACCAAAGUAUGACAUGCUGGUAAGCAGUAUGACUUAUAUCGCCCACAACUCACUUGUGUUCUACUCGUGCAAAUAACAUCGACGCAUAAAACCUGGCUCUGAUACCAUUGUUGGGGAACGUAGUAAUUUCAAAAAUUUCCUACGCACACGCAAGAUCAUGGUGAUGCAUAGCAACGAGAGGGGAGAGUGUAAUCUACAUACCCUUGUAGACCGAAAGCGAAAGUGUUAGAACAACGCGGUUGAUGUAGUCGUACGUCUUCACGGCCCGACCGAUCAAGCACCGAAACUACGGCACCUCCGAGUUCUAGCACACGUUCAGCUCGAUGACGUCCCUCGAACUCCGAUCCAGCCAAGUGUCGAGGGAGAGUUCCGUCAGCACGACGGCGUGGUGACGAUCUUGAUGUUCUACCGUCGCAGGGCUUCGCCUAAGCACCGCUACAAUAUUAUCGAGGAGGACUAUGGUGGAGGGGGGCACCACACACGGCUAAUAGAUCUCAAGGAUCAAUUGUUGUUGUUUGGGGUGCCCCCCUGCCCCCAUAUAUAUAGGAGCAAGGGGGGAGGUGGCCGGCCUAUGGAGGAGGCGCACCAAGGGGGGAGUCCUACUCCCACCGGGAGUAGGACUCCUCCUUUCCUUGUUGGAGAAGGAAAGAGGAGGAGUAGGACUCCUCCUUUCCUUGUUGGAGAAGGAAAGAGGAGGAGAGGGAGAAGGAAAAGUGGGCUGCCCCCUUGUCCAAUUCGGACCAGAGGGGGGGCGCAGGCCUCCUUCCUUUUGGCCUCUCUCCUCUAUUCCCGUAUGGCCCAAUAAGGCCCAUAUACUCCCCGGCGAAUUCCCGUAACUCUCCGGUACUCCGAAAAAUACCCGAAUCACUCGGAACCUUUCCGAACUCCGAAUAUAGUCGUCCAAUAUAUCGAUCUUUACGUCUCGACCAUUUCGAGACUCCUUGUCAUGUCCCCGAUCUCAUCCGGGACUCCGAACUCCUUCGGUACAUCAAAACUCAUAAACUCAUAAUAUAACUGUCAUCGAAACCUUAAGCGUGCGGACCCUACGGGUUCGAGAACAAUGUAGACAUGACCUAGAACUAUUCUCGGUCAAUAACCAAUAGUGGAACCUGGAUGCUCAUAUUGGCUCCCACAUAUUCUACGAAGAUCUUUAUCGGUCAAACCGCAUAACAACAUACGUUGUUCCCUUUGUCAUCGGUAUGUUACUUGUCCGAGAUUCGAUCGUCAGUAUCCAAUACCUAGUUCAAUCUCGUUACUGGCAAGUCUCUUUACUCGUUACGUAAUGCAUCAUUCCGUAACUAACUCAUUAGCUACAUUGCUUGCAAGGCUUAUAGUGAUGUGCAUUACCGAGAGGGCCCAGAGAUACCUCUCCGACAAUCGGAGUGACAAAAACUAAUCUCGAAAUACGCCAACCCAACAUGUACCUUUGGAGACACCUGUAGUACUCCUUUAUAAUCACCCAGUUACGUUGUGACGUUUGGUAGCACCCAAAGUGUUCCUUCGGUAAAUAGGAGUUGCAUAAUCUCAUAGUUAUAGGAACAUGUAUAAGUCAUGAAGAAAGCAAUAGCAACAUAGUAAACGAACAAGUGCUAGGCUAACGGAAUGGGUCAUGUCAAUCACAUCAUUCUCCUAAUGAUGUGAUCCCAUUAAUCAAAUAACAACACAUGUCUAUGGUUAGGAAACACAACCAUCUUUGAUCAAUGAGCUAGUCAAGUAGAGGUAUACUAGUGACGUUAUGUUGGUCUAUGUAUUCACACAUGUAUUAUGUUUCCGGUUAAUACAAUUCUAGCAUGAAUAAUAAACAUUUAUCAUGAUAUAAGGAAAUAAAUAAUAACUUUAUUAUUGCCUCUAGGGCAUAUUUCCUUCAGCAGUAUCAGCCAAAGCUUUGUCAGACGUCCAGUUCAGCAUUCUGGCACGAUCGGAUCGUGCUGGCCAUUCGAGGCGGUGCUGGUAUCCACCCUGCACACAGCAACCCGGAGUGCUGCGGGCGAUGGGCCCAAGACCCCAGAGUGCUUAGGAUGUAGACCGACGGGGACUUCUCUGCUGAGCCUAGGUAGGGCUGCGACGUGUUGAUCUUCCGAGGGCGGGCAUUGACCCCAAAAAGGUGUGUCCGACCAGAGUGAUCGAGCGUGUUGGGUAACGUGGUGCACCCCUGCAGGGAAGAUCUUUAUUCGAAUACCGUGUCCUCGGUAAUGGACGUUCAGACUUGUAUCCUGAUCUUAUACAACUAGAAAUGGAUACUUGAUAUGCGAUGGAUAUGUGGCUCCGGGAUUGCUUUCUCGCAGGGAGUCGAGGAAGGAUCUCUGGGCAUUAAUGUUACAACAUGCUUGUUAAUUAUAAACUGCUAUUCUUUACUCUUCUACAUGCUAUAAGAUGCUCGGAGCUGCGUGAAGAUGCUAGUCUUUGAUAGGCUAGGUCCUCCCCCUCUAUUCUGGCAUUCUGCAGUUCAGUCCAUAGAUACAAACCUUCCAUUUGAUACCAGUGCAUACUUAGUAUAGAUCUGAUGCUUGCGAGUACUUUGGAUGGGUACUCAUGGUUGCUUUGCUCCCCCUUUUCCCCCUUCCUUCUUCUUUCUGGUUGAUGCAACCAGAUGGUGGAUCCUUGGAGCCAGAUGCCACCGCCGACGGAUACUACUACAUGGAGGCCGCCGAAGACCAGGAGUAGUUAGGAGAUCCCAGGCAGGAGGCCUUGCCUCUUCGAUCAUGUUGCUUUUGUGCUAGCCUUCUUAAGGCAUCCCUGUUUAACUUAUGUCUGUACUCAGAUAUUGUUGCUUCCACUGACUCUUGUCUAUCGAGCUUUUUGUAUUCGAGCCCUUGAGGCCCCUGGCUUGUAAUAUAAAGCUUGUAUUAUUUUCUUUGUGUCUAGAGUUGUGUUGUGAUAUCUUCCCGUGAGCCCCUGAUCUUGAUCGUACACAUUUGCGUGUAUGAUUAGUGUACGAUUGAAUCGGGGGCGUCACAGGUAGUGACUUGAUCCGAAGUUUCAUGAUCACUAUCAUAAGUUUCCACUUGAAUUGGUGUAGGCGCCACAAGAACAAUUUCCUGUUCCCUGCUACACACUAAUUGAAGUGAUGGUUCAGUAACCUCAUCAAGUCUCCACCAUCCUCCCACUCAAUUCUUUCGAGAGAAACUUUUCCUCGAGAAAGGACCCGUUUCUAGAAACAAUCACUUUUGCUUCCGGAUCUGAAAUAGGAGGUAUACCCAACUGUUUUGGGUGUCCUAUGAAGAUGCAUUUAUCCUCUUUAGGUUCGGGCUUCUCAGGCUAAAACUUUUCACAUAAGCGUCGCAGCCCCAAACUUUUAAGAAAUGACAACUUAGGUUUCUCCAAACCAUAGUUCAUACGGUGUCAUCUCAAUGGAAUUACGUGGUGCCCUAUUUAAAGUGAAUGUGGUUGUCUCUAAUGUCUAACCCGUAAACGAUAGUGGUACUUCGAUAAGAGACAUCAUGGUAUGCACCAUAUCCAAUAGGGUGCAGCCAUGAUGUUCGGACACACCUUCACACUAUGGUGUUCCAAGCGAUAUUAGUUGUGAAACAAUUUCCAUGAUGUCUUAAUUGUGUACAAAACUCGCAACUCAGAUAUUCAUCUCUAUGAUCAUAUCAUAGACAUUUUAACCUCUUGUCACGACGAUCUUCAACUUCACUCUGAAAUUACUUCAACCUUUCAAUAAUUCAGACUUGUGUUUCAUCUAGUAAAUAUAGUUAGCAUCUACUCAACGAUAUCCACUGCGUGCCUCAGCACUCAUUGGACUGCAUACACCAAAAUGUAUUACUUCCAACAAGUUUCUUACUUGUUCCAUCUUACUGAAAAUGAGGCCUUUCAGUCAUCUUUCCCAUGUGGUAUGUGAGGGAGUCCUGGAUUAGGGGGUCCUCAGACAGCCGGACUAUGUACUUGUGCCGGACUGUUGGACUAUGAAGAUACAAGAUUGAAGACUUCGUCCUGUGUCUGGGUGGGACUCUCCUUUGCAUGGAAGGCAAGCUUGGCAAUUCGGAUAUGUAGAUCCCCUUCUCUGUAACCGACUCUGUGGAACCCUAGCCCCCUCCGGUGUCUAUAUAAACCGGAGGGUUUGGUCCGUAGGACAACAACAAUCAUAAUCAUAGGCUAGCUUCUAGGGUUUAGCCUCUAUGAUCUCGUGGUAGAUCAACUCUUCUAAUACUUAUCAUCAAUAUCAUUCAAGCAGGAAGUAGGGUAUUACCUACAUUGAGAGGGCCCGAACCUGGGUAAACAUUGUGUCCCCCGCCUCCUGAUACCAUUAGCCUUAGACGCAUAGUUCGGGACCCCCUACCCAAGAUCCGCCGGUUUUGACACCGACAGUAUGAUUUGCAUGUCUCAAGUGAUUCAAAAUCAAAUGUGUCCAAACGAUCCAUCUGCAUGGAGUUUCUUCAUGCAUAUAUACCAAUAGACAUGGUUCCAUGUCUCAAACUUUUCAAAAACGAGUGAGUCCAAAGAUCCAUCAACAUGGAGCUUCUUCAUGCGUUUUAUACCAAUAUGACUCAAAUGGCAGUGACACAAGUAUGUGGUAAUAUCAUUACUAUCUUAUAUCUUUUGGCAUGAACAUGUGUAUCACUAUGAUCGAGAAUCAAUAAACCAUUCAUUUUAGGUGCAAGACCAUUGAAGAUAUUAUUCAAAUGAACAUAGUAACCAUUAUUCUCCUUAAAUGAAUAACCAUAUUGCAAUAAACAUAAUCCAAUCAUGUCUAUGCUCAACACAAACACCAAAUAACAAUUAUAUUUAGGUUUAACACCAAUCCCAGUGGUAGAGGGAGCGUGUGAUGUUUGAUCACAUCAACCAUGGAAACACUUCCAACACAUAUCGUCAUCUCACCUUUAGCUACUCUCCUUUUAUUCCGUAGCUUUUUAUUUUGAGUUACUAACACUUAGCAACCGGACCAGUAUCUAAUACCCUGGUGUUACUAGGAGUACUAGUAAAGUACACAUUAAUAUAAUGUAUAUCCGAUAUACUUCUGUCGACCUUGCCAGCCUUCUCAUCUACCAAGUAUCUAGGGUAGUUCUGCUUCAGUGACCGUUCCCCUCAUUACAGAAGAACUUUUUCUCGGGUUUGGGUUCAACCUUGGGUUUCUUCACUAGAGUAGCAACUGAUUUGCCGUUUCAUGAAGUAUCCCAUCUUGUCCUUGCCCUUCUUGAAACUCGUGGUUUUACUAACCAUCAACAAUUGAUGCUCCUAUUUGAUUUCUACUUUCGUAGUGUCAUACAUCACGAAUAGUUCAAGGAUCAUCAUAUUUAUCCCUGAUAUGUUAGAGUUCAUUGAUGACCCACAAGUGUAGGGGAUCAAUUGUAGUCUUUUCGAUAAGUAAGAGUGUCGAACCCAACGAGGAGCAGAAGUUUUCAUUAAGGUUUUCUCUGCAAGCACUGAAAUUGUAGGUGAUAGAUAGUUUCGUGAUAUGAUAAAUAGUAAUGGGUAACAAGUAUAUAAAGUAAAUAAAGUGCAGCAAGGUGGCCCAAUCCUUUAUGCAGCAAAGGAUAAGCCUGGACAAUUUCUAAUAAUGAGAAAGGAGCUCCCGAGGACACAUGGGAGUUAUCGUCAAGCUAGUUUUCAUCACGUUCAUAUGAUUCGCGUUCGGUACUUUGAUAAUUUGAUAUGUGGGUGGACCGGUACUUGGGUACUGCCUUUACUUGGACAAGCAUCCCACUUAUGAUUAACCCCUAUUGCAAGCAUCCGCAACUACAAAAGAAGUAUUAAGGUAAACCUAACCACAACAUUAAACAUAUGGAUCUAUAUCAGCCCCUAACGAAGCAAAAAUAAACUAGGGUUUAAGCUUCUAUCACUCUAGCAACCCAUCAUCUACUUAUUACUUCCCCAUGCCUUGCUCUAGGCCCAAAUAAUGGUGAAGUGUCAUGUAGUCGACGUUCACAUAACACCACUAGAGGAAAAGACAACAUACAUCUCAUCAAAAUAUCGAACGAAUACCAAAUUCACAUGACUACUAAUAGCAGGACUUCACCCAUGUCCUCAGGAACAAACGUAACUACUCGCAAAGCAUAUUCAUGUUCAUAAUCAGAGGAGUAAUAAUAUGCAUAAAGGAUCUGAACAUAUGAUCUUCCACCAAGUAAACCAAUUAGCAUCAACUACAAGGAGUAAUCAACACUACUAGCAGCCCACAUGUACCAAUUUGUGGUAUUGAUACAAGAUUGGAUACAAGAGAUGAACUAGGGUUUUGAGAGGAGAUGGUGCUGGUGAAGAUGUUGAUGGAGAUUGACCCUCUCCCGCUAAGAGGGUCGUUGGUGAUGACGUUGGUGAUAAUUUCCCCCUCCCGGAGGGAAGUGUCCCCGGCAGAACAGGUCCGCCAGAGCCCUAGAUUGAUUCCACCAAGGUUCCGCCUCGUGGUGGCGGAGUUUCGUCCCGUAAGCUUGCCCCCGAUUUUUUCCAGGGUAAAAGCUCUAAUAUAGAAGAAGAUAGACACCGGAGGCCCACCAGGGGGCCCAGGAGAUAGGGGGCGCGCCCUAUAGGGGGGGCGCCCUCCUCUCUCCUGGACAGAGUGUGGGCCCCCUGGUGUAUUUCUUUCGCUCAGAAAUUCUUAUUAAAUCCAAAAAUAUGUUUCGUGGAGUUUCAGGACUUUUGGGGUUGUGCAGAAUAGGUUUCCAACGUUUGCUCCUUUUCCAGCUAGAAUUCCAGCUGUCGGCAUUCCCCCUCUUCAUGGUAAACCUUGUAGAACAAGAGAGAAUAGCCAUAAGUAUUGAGAUAUAACGUGUAAUAACAACCCAUAAAGCAAUAAAUAUUGAUAUAAAAGCAUGAUGCAAAAUGGACGUAUCAACUCCCCCAAGCUUAGACCUCGCUUGUCCUCAAGCGGAAGCCGAAAUAAAAAAAUAUGUCCACAUGUUUAGAGAUAGAGGCGUCGAUAAAAAUAAAAUACGGACAUGAGGGCAUCAUGAUCAUUCUUAUAAUAGCAUAUAAAUAGAUUUUUGUUAUAUGAUUUCUCAUGCUCAAGUAACAAUCAAUUGACAAUGUCAAGUAUGGUUCAGAAACUUCAUUGGGAACUAAUAAACUAUAAUCUCAGUCACUGAAGCAAUUGCAAUUUAUCAUAACAUCAAAAAGAGUCAACAAUAGAGCUUUUCAGCAAGCUCACAUACUCUACUAUCUCGUAGUCUUCUACAAUUGCUAACACUCACGCAGUACUUGUGGUUAUGGAGUUUCAGCCGGACACUGAGAAAGAUAGGGGCUUAUUGUGUUGCCUCCCAACGUAUUCACCUUUAGGUGAUGUCAACAAUAAUAGCCCAUGCUAACUUACAUCCAAUUGAAUAUAUAUAUCAUGAUCUUUCAAACACGAGGAGCUUGCCAAAGGAUAAAAUGAAAAAGGUAAAGGUGAAGAUCACCUUGACUCAAGAAAUAAAGUAAAAACAUAAAGUAAACGAUAGGCCCUUCGCGGAGGGAAGCAGAGGUUGUCAUGUGCUUUUAGGGUUGGAUGCACAAAAUCUUAAUGCAAAAGAACGUCACUUUAUAUUGCCACUUGUAUAUGGACCUUUAUUAUGCAGUCUGUCGCUUUUAUUGCUUCCAUAACAAGAUCGUAUAAAGCUGAUUUUCUCUGCACUAAUAAGUAAUACAUAUUUAGAUAGCAAUUUUUAUUGCCUGCAACAUGACAACUUACUUGAAGGAUCUUACUCAAUCCAUAGGUAGGUAUGGUGGACUCUCAUGGCAAAACUGGGUUUAAGGAUAUUUGGAAGCACAAGUAAUAUCUCUACUUGGUGCAAGGAAUUUGGCUAGCAUGAGGGGGAAAGGCAAGCUCAACAUGUUUGGAGGGUCAAUAACAAUAUACUUUAACUGAGAUGUGAGAAAACAUAAACCAUUACGUUGUCUUCCUUUUCCAACGUCAACUCUUUUAGCAUGUCAUACUUAAUGAGUGCUCCCAAUUAUAAAAAGGUGUCCAAGAUAAUAUAUUUGUAUGUGAACCCCUCUUUCCUUAUCACUUCCUAUUAAUUGCAACAUGACCAAAACUACGUUCAUCAACUCUCAACAAUUUUUAUGCCUCAUACUUUCUAUAUGUGAAGUUAUCACUAUCCAUAAGAUCAAUAUGAACUCUUUUAUUCUUUCUACUUUCUCAAGAUCAUAGCAACAAAGCAAAGCCCUUGACUCAACACUAAAAUUUAUUAUAGAUAGCUCACGGACUCGAUUACAAAAAGAGAUCAUAAAUCAAUACUCAAACUACUUGAUAUCAAACCUUCAAUCUACUAGAUCAAGAAACUACUAAAAGGAUCGAACUAAAUAAAGCGGUAAAGAUAGGAGUGUGAUGGUGAUACGGUACCAGGGCACCUCCCCCAAGCUUGGCAGUUGCCAAGGGGAGUGCCCAUACCCAUGUGAUUAUGUCUCCUUCUUCACGGUUGGCGUUAUGAUUUUCUUGGCGAUGAUGCCCUUUAGGAUACAGUUCUCCUCCUCGAGCUUAUUGACUUGUUGUUUGAGGUCCAUAAUUUAUUUACGGAGCUUGCCCGUAACGGCCAAAGCUCCUUUUACCUAAGGAUGUUGCAUACCUUCUGGAGAACAAGUGAAACUCUUUUUCAUAUUUUCAUAAGAAAGAAAUCUAGAGUUGGAGGGAGUGACCGAAAUAGGGACAGCCAGGCUAGGUAGUUCCACCAUAGUGAAUUCUGCUUGGAGACGAGAGGUAACUUCUUGAUCCUCCUCCAUGGCAUCUAUCUUGUUCAAAUCAGCCUCCAUCUCAUCCUCCGUUGAUGGUCCAAAGUGAUAGGCAUCGCUAUUUGCUCCGGGACCUGGCGUUGGGUGGGACACCCGACUCUCCCCAAUUGACUCCUGAGAAGACAUCUUACUUUAUUCUGCAACGGGAACAACUCGAAACGAAAACAGAGGAUAUUUGCGUGAUAUGGUGGUCAAAACCUUCGGGAGUAUAUAUAAUGAAUUUUUACCGACCAAAAUACAUAACAUGCAAGAAAAUGGAGUCCGGGAGGCACACGAGGUGCCCACGAGACAGGGGGCACGGCCAGUAGGGGGGCGCGCCCUCCACUCUCGUGGGAGCCUCGUGUCCCUUUCGGACUACUUCUUCCUUCCUAAAAUUCUUAAAUAUUCCAAAACUGAUAAAAAUUGCCAUUGGAGUUGUUUUGGAGUCGGUUUACUUACCGUACCACAUACCUAUACCUUUUCGGAGUCUGAAAUGCUCUGGAAAGUGUCCCUUAUGUAUUCCUCAGGGGUUACAGUUUCAAUAAUAUUAGUUUCAACAUUGAUAGGAUUACCUGAAAUAUAAUGUUUAAUUCUUUGACCGUUUACCACCCUUGGACUCGUGCCUUCGAAGUUGUUGAUUUUUAUGGCACCAGAACGAUAGACCUCCUCGAUAAUGUAAGGACCUUCCCAUUUUGAGAGAAGUUUUCCUGCAAAAAAUCUUAAGCGAGAGUUGAAUAAUAAUACAUAGUAUCCUAUGUUAAACUCACGCUGUUGUAUCCUCUUAUCAUGCCAGCGUUUGACUUCUUAUUUGAAUAGCUUGGCAUUCUCAUAGGCUUGAGUUCUCCAUUCAUCAAGAGAGCUAAUAUCAAACAACCUCUUCUCACCGGCAAGUUUGAAGUCAUAGUUGAGCUCUUUAAUAGCCCAAUAUGCCUUAUGUUCAAGUUCAAGAGGCAAAUGACACGCUUUUCCAUAAACCAUCUCAUAUGGAGACAUACCCAUAGGAUUUUUGUAUGCAGUUCUAUAGGCCCAUAAUGCAUCAUCAAGUUUUUUGGACCAAUUCUUUCUAGAUCUAUUCACAAUCUUUUGCAAAAUUAAUUUGAGCUCUCUAUUGCUCAACUCUACUUGACCACUAGAUUGCGGAUCAUAAGGAGAUGCGAUUCUAUGAUUGACACCAUACUUAGCAAGCAUCUUACGGAAAGCACCAUGAAUAAAAUGUGAACCGCCAUCAGUCAUAAGAUAUCUAGGGACUCCAAACCUCGGAAAAAUAACUUCUUUAAGCAUUUUAAUAGAAGUGUUAUGAUCAGCACUACUAGUUGGAAUAGCUUCUACACACUUAGUAACGUAAUCAACAGCAACUAAAAUAUGUGUAUAACCAUUAGAGGCAGGAAAAGGUCCCAUAUAAUCAAAGCCCCAAACAUCAAACGGUUCAAUAACAAGAGAGUAAUUCAUAUGCAUUUCUUGACGUCUAAUAAUGUUACCUACUCUUUGGCAUUCAUCACAAUAUAAGACAAACUUACGAGCAUCUUUGAAGAGAGUAGGCCAAUAAAAACUAGAUUGUAGUACCUUGUGUGCAGUUCUAUCUCCAACGUGGUGUCCUCCAUAGGAUUCAGAGUGACACUUAUGUAGGAUCUGUUCCUGUUCAUGCUCAGGCACACAACGUCUAAUGACACCAUCUACUCCUUCUUUAUAAAGGUGUGGGUCAUCCCAGAAGUAAUGUCUUAAAUCAUAAAAGAACUUUUUCUAUUGCUGAUAUGUGAAACUAGGUGGUAUAAAUUUAGCAACAAUGUAAUUAGCAUAAUCAGCAUACCAAGGAGCAGUACGAGAAGCAUUGACGACCUCUAAUUGUUCAUCAGGAAAGCUAUCAUUAAUAGGCAGUGGGUCAUCAAGAACAUUCUCUAACCUAGACAAGUUAUCUGCAACGGGGUUCUCAGCUCCCUUUCUAUCAAUAAUAUGCAAAUCAAAUUCUUGGAGCAAGAGAACCCAUCUAAUGAGUCUAGGCUUAGCAUCUUUCUUUUCCAUAAGAUAUUUAAUAGCAGCAUGAUCAGUGUGAAUAUUAACUUUGGAAUCAACAAUAUAAGGUCUAAACUUAUCACAUGCAAACACAAUUGCUAAGAAUUCUUUUUCAGUAGUAGCAUAAUUUCUCUGGGCAAUAUCAAUAGUCUUACUAGCAUACUGGAUAACAUUCAAUUUCUUGUCGACUCUUUGCCCUACAACAGCACCUACAACAUAAUCACUAGCAUCGCACAUAAUUUCAAAAGGUAAAUUCCAAUCAGGUGGAUGGACAAUAGAUGCAGUGAUCAAAGCUUUCUUAAGUAUUUCAAAUGCUUCUACGCAAUCAUCAUCAAAGACAUAAGGAAUAUCUUUUUGCAAUAAAUUAGUCAGAGGCCUAGAGAUUUUAGAAAAGUCCUUAAUGAACCUCCUAUAAAAACCGGCAUGACCAAGAAAACUUCUUAUACCUUUCAUGUCCUUAGGACAUGGCAUCUUUUCAAUAGCAUCAACUUUGGCUUUAUCAACUUCAAUACCUCUCUCGGAGAUCUUAUGCCCCAAGACAAUGCCUUCAUUAUCCAUAAAGUGACACUUUUCCCAAUUCAGGACGAGACUAGUGUCUUCGCAUCUCUGCAAAACUCGAUCAAGGUUGCUCAAACAAUCAUCAAAAGAGGAUCCAUAAACUGAGAAAUCAUCCAUGAAUACCUCACAAAUCUUUUCACAAAAAUCAGAUAAUAUAGCCAUCAUGCAUCUUUGAAAGGUAGCAGGUGCAUUACAUAAACCAAAAGGCAUACGUCUAUAAGCAAAAGUACCAAAAAGGGCAAGUAAAAGUAGUUUUAGAUUGAUCCUUCGCUGACACAGGUAUUUGAGAGAAACCAGAAUAACCAUCUAGAAAGCAGAAAUGUCUGUGUUUGGAUAGUCUUUCUAGCAUUUGAUCAAUAAAAGGUAAAGGGUAAUGAUCUUUCUUAGUAGCUUUAUUUAACUUACGGAAAUCAAUUACCAUCCUAUAACCUGUAAUAAUUCUUUGCGGGAUCAAUUCAUCUUUAUCAUUAAGAACAACGGUAAUACCUCCCUUUUUAGGAACGCAAUGGACAGGGCUUACCCAUUCACUAUCAACAACGGGAUAAAUAAUACCUGCCUCAAGGAGCUUUAGUAUCUCCUUUCUUACCACUUCUUUCAUCUUGGGAUUUAGUCGUCGUUGAGGAUCUCUAACUGGUUUGGCAUUGUCCUCCAUAUUAAUUUUGUGUUGGCAUAACGUGGGACUAACGCCCUUAAGAUCAUCCAGAGUAUAUCCAAUAGCAGCUCGGUGCUUCUUUAGAGUUUUCAAUAAUCUUUCUUCUUCUUUCUCUGAAAGGUUAGCACUAAUAAUAACAUGAUAUAUUUCUUUUUCAUCAAGGUAAGAAUACUUAAGAUUAUCAGGUAAUGGUUUGAGUUCAAACACGGGAUCACCCUUGGGUGGAGGGGGAUCCCCAAGAAUUUUAACGGGAAGGUUAUGUUUCAGCAUAGGUUCCUAUUUAAGGAACACUUCAUCUAUUUCCCUUCUUUCCUUCAUAAACAUAUCGUUUUCAUGGUCUAGCAAGUAUUGUUCUAACGGAUCAGUUGGAGGAACAACAAUGGAAGCAAGACCAAUAAUCUCAUCCUUACUAGGUGGUUCCCUAUCACGAGGUUGUCUACUAAACUUUGCAAAAUUAAACUCAUGAGACAUACCAUCUAUGCCAACAGUGACAAUAUUCUUUUCACAAUUAAUCUUAGCACUAGCUGUAUUCAAGAAGGGUCUACCAAAAAUAAUUGGACAAAAGGCAUCUUGUGGGGAAGCAAGAACAAGAAAAUCAGCAGGGUAUUUAACCUUCCCACACAAAACUUCAACAUCUCUAACAAUCCCAAUAGGUUUAAUGGUAUCCCCAUUAGCAAGCUUAAUAGUAACAUCAAUGUCUUCUAAUUCGACGGUUGCAAUGUCGUGCAUAAUUUCUUUAUAUAAAUCAUAAGGUAUAGCGCUAGCACUAGCACCCAUAUCACAUAAGCCAUGAUAACAAUGAUCUCCUAUUUUAACAGAAAUAACAGGCAUGCCUACGAUAGGUCUACGUGUCUUAGUAUCUGGCCUAGCAAUAUUAGCAGUCUCACCACAGAAAUAAAUAACACGCCCAUCUAAAUCAUCAUCCAAGAGAUCUUUAACUAUAGCAAUACUAGGUUCAACAUUAAUUUGCUCAGGAGGUGUAUAAGUCCUAUUAUUACUCUUACAAACAACAGUCGAAGCUUUAGCAUGAUCCUUUAUCCUAACAGGAAAAUGAUGUUUUUCAACAUAAGCAGUAGGAACAAUAGGAUCACUAUAGGUAAUAGUCCUUUCUUCGACUAUAAUAGGUGCAACUAUUUUCACUUCAACAGGAGGAUUAUAUUUAAACCACUUCUCUUUAGGGAGAUCAACGUGAGUAGCAAAAGAUUCACAGAAAGAAGCUACUAUCUCAGAGUCAAGUCCAUACUUAGCGCUAAAUCCACGAAAAGCAUCGGUAUCCAUAAAACAUUUAACACAAUCGAACUUAGGUGUCAUACAUGACUCCUUACCAUCGUCGGAACCCCAAUCUUCAGAGUUGCAUUUAAUUCUUUCCAAUAAAUCCCAUUUGAAAUCAAUAGUCUUCAGCAUAUAAGAACCAGCACAGGAAGUAUCGAGCAGGUUGCGAUCAUCAAGAGAAAGCCGAGCAUAAAAGUUCUAAAUAAUCAUUUCCCAAGAGAGAUCAUGAUUGGGGCAUGAAUAUAACAUUGACUUAAGACUCCCCCAAGCUUGAGCGAUGUUUUCUCCUUCGCGAGGCCAGAAAUUAUAUAUGUAAUUACGAUCACGAUGAACAAGAUGCAUAGGAUAGAACUUCUGGUGAAAUUCCAACUUCAAUCGCUUAUAAUUCCAAGAUCUCGUAUCAUCACAUAGCCUAUACCAUGUCAAUGCAUCUCCCUUCAAAGAUAAAGGGAAGACCUUCCUUUUGACAACAUCGACGGGAAUACCUGCAAGCUUAAAUAAUCCACAAACUUCAUCCACAAUGAUAAGGUGUAAAUCGGGAUGCAAUGUUCCAUCUCCUGCAAAUGGAUUAGCUAGAAGUUUCUCUAUCAUACCCGAAGGGAUCUCAAAAUAAAUAUUUUCAUAAAGUUCAGUAGGUUGAGGAGAAACUCUUUGCUCUUCUGGUUGGGGUGAAGAUACCGCAAACAAGCCCCUCAAAGGAUUAGUUUCCAUAGUGACCAGUAAUAGAAAAUUUCAGCACACUAUAUAAAUGUUUCCUUACCAAGUUCCACUCACCAAAAGCGCUACACUCCCCGGCAACGGCGCCAGAAAAGAGUCUUGAUGAGCCACAAGUGUAGGAGAUCAAUCGUAGUCUUUUCGAUAAGUAAGAGUGUCGAACCCAAUGAGGAGCAGAAGGAAAUGAUAAGCAGUUUUCAGUAAGGUUUUCUCUGCAAGCACUGAAAUUGUAGGUGAUAGAUAGUUUUGUGAUAAGAUAAAUAGUAAUGAGUAACAAGUAAAUAAAGUAAAUAAAGUGCAGCAAGGUGUCCCAAUCCUUUAUGCAGCAAAGGAUAAGCCUGUACAAUUUCUAAUAAUGAGAAAGGAGCUCGCGAGGACACAUGGGAAUUAUCAUCAAACUAGUUUUCAUCACGUUCAUAUGAUUCACGUUCGGUACUUUGAUAAUUUGAUAUGUGGGUGGACCGGUACUUGGGUACUGCCCUUACUUGGACAAGCAUCCCACUUAUGAUUAACACCUAUUGCAAGCAUCCGCAACUACAAAAGAAGUAUUAAGGUAAACCUAACCACAACAUUAAACAUAUGGAUCCAUAUCAUCCCCUAACGAAGCAACAAAUAAACUAGGGUUUAAGCUUCUUUCACUCUAGCAACCCAUCAUCUACUUAUUACUUCCCCAUGCCUUUCUCUAGGCCCAAAUAAUGGUGAAGUGUCAUGUAGUCGACAUUCACAUAACACCACUAGAGGAAAAGACAACAUACAUCUUAUCAAAAUAUCGAACGAAUACCAUAUUCACAUGACUACUAAUAGCAAGACUUCACCCAUGUCCUCAGCAACAAACGUAACUACUCACAAAGCAUAUUCAUGUUCAUAAUCAGAGGAGUAAUAAUAUGCAUAAAGGAUCUGAACAUAUGAUCUUCCACCAAGUAAACCAAUUAGCAUCAACUACAAGGAGUAAUCAACACCAGUAGCAACCCACAGGUACCAAUUUGUGGUUUUGAUACAAGAUUGGAUACAAGAGAUGAACUAGGGUUUUGAGAGGAGAUGGUGCUGGUGAAGAUGUUGAUGGAGAUUGACCCUCUCCCGCUAAGAGGAUCGUUGGUGAUGACGUUGGUGAUGAUUUCCCCCUCCCGGAGGGAAGUGUCCCAGACAGAACAGCUCUGCCAGAGCCCUAGAUUGAUUCCGCCAAGGUUUCGCCUCGUGGCGGCGGAGUUUCGUCCCGCACGCUUGCCCCCGAUUUUUUCCAGGGUAAAAGCUCUAAUAUAGCAGAAGAUAGACACCAGAGGCCCACCAGGGGGCCCAGGAGAUAGGGGCGCGCCCUAUAGGGGGCACGCGCCCUCCUCUCUCCUGGACAGGGUGUGGGCCCCCUGGUGUAUUUCUUUCGCUCAGAAAUUCUUAUUAAAUCCAAAAAGAUGAUUCAUGGAGUUUCAGGACUUUUGGGGUUGUGCAGAAUAGGUUUCCAACGUUUGCUCCUUUUCCAGCUAGAAUUCCAGCUGCCGGCAUUCCCCCUCUUCGUGGUAAACCUUGUAAAAUAAGAGAGAAUAGCCAUAAGUAUUGAGAUAUAACGUGUAAUAACAGCCCAUAAAGAAAUACAUAUUGAUAUAAAAGCAUGAUGCAAAAUGGAAGUAUCAUUCAUCACGAUGCUCUAGUAGCUUGGUGGGAGUGACUUUCGAGAACCAUCACUUUCUCAUCUGGAAGAUUAACUCCCACUCGAUUCAAGCAAUUAUAGUACUUAGACAAUCUGAGCACAUGCUCAACGAUUGAGCUUUUAUCCCUUAGUUUGCAGGCUAAGAAACUUGUCGGAGGUCUCUCACCUCUUGACGUGGGCACGAGACUGAAAUCCGAAUUUCAGCUCUUGGAACAUCUCAUAUGUUCCGCGACGUUUCAAAAUGUCUUUGGUGCCUCAAUUCUAAACAGUUUAACAUUACGCAUUGAACUAUCAUGUAGUCAUAAAAACGUGUAUGUAGGAUGUUCGCAACAUCCAUAGACAACGCUCGAGGUUCAGCACACCAAGCGGUGCAUUAAGGACAUAAUCCUUCUGCGCAGCAAUGUGGAGAAUCUUCAGUUUACGGACCCAAUCUGCAUAAUUGCUACUGUCAGCUUUCAACUAAUUUUUUCUCUAGGAGCAUAUCUAAAACAAUAGAACUAAAGCAUAAGCUACGACAUAAUUUGCAAAGACCUUUUGACUAUGUUCAUGAUAAUUAAGUUCAUCUAAUCAAAUUAUUUAAUGAACUCCCACUCAGAUAGUCAUCCGAAUCGACUAGGCCGUGUCCGAUCAUCACGUGAGACGGACUAGUCAUCAUGUGAACAUCUCCAUGUUGAUCGCAUCUAUCAUACGACUCAUGUUCGACCUUUCGGUCUCUCGUGUUCCGAGGCCAUGUCUAUACAUGCUAGGCUCGUCAAGUCAAACUAAGUGUUUUGCGUGUGUAAAUCUGGCUUACACCCGUUGUAUCCGAAUGUUAGAAUCUAUCACACCCGAUCAUCACGUGGUGCUUCGAAACAACGAACUUUCGCAACGGUGCACAGUUAGGGGGAACACUUUCUUGAAAUUUUAGUGAGGGAUCAUCUUAUUUAUGCUACCGUAGUUCUAAGCAAAUAAGAUGUAAACUUGACAAACAUCACACGCAAAUCAUAAAGUGACAUGAUAUGGACAAUAUCAUUUUGCGCCUUUGAUCUACAUCUUCGAGGCACGGCAUGAUCACCAUCGUCAUCCGCAUGACACCAUGAUCUCCAUCAUCGUGUCUUCAUGAAGUUGUCUCGCUAACUAUUACUUCUACUACUAUGGCUAACGGUUAGCAAUAAAGUAAAGUAAUUACAUGGUGUUUCCAUUGACACACAGGUCAUAGAAUAAAUUAAGACAACUCCUAUGGCUCCUGUCGGUUGUCAUACUCAUCGACAUGCAAGCCGUGAUUCCUAUUACAAGAACAUGAUCAAUCUCAUACAUCACAUAUAUCAUUCAUCACAUCCUUUUGGCAAUAUCACAUCACAUAGCAUACCCUGCAAAAAUAAGUUAGGCGUCCUCUAAUUGUUGUUGCAUGUUUUACGUCGCUGCUAUGGGUUUCUAGCAAGAACAUUUCUUACCUACGCAAAAGCCACAACGGUGAUAUGCCAAUUGCUAUUUACCCUUCAUAGUACUCUUUUCAUCGAAUCCGAUUCAACUAAAGUGGGAGAGACAGACACCCGCUAGCCACCUUAUGCAUCAAGUGCAUGUCAGUCGGUGGACCUUUCUCACGUAAGUGUACGUGUAAGGUCGGUCCGGGCUGCUUCAUCCCACAAUGUCGCCGAAUCAAGAUAAGACUAGUAACGGUAAGCAAAUUGAACAAAUCAUCGCCCACAACUACUUGUGUUCUACUCGUGCAUAGAAUCUACGCAUAGACCUAGCUCAUGAUGCCACUGUUGGGGAACGUAGCAAUAAUUCAAAAUUUUCCUACAUGUCGCCAAGAUAAAUCUAGGAGAUGCUAGCAACGAGAGAGAGAAGGUACUGCAUCUUCAUACCCUUGAAGAUCGCUAAGCAUAAGCGUUACAAGAACGCGGUUGAUGGAGUCGUACCCGCGACGACUCAAAUCACGGAAGAUCCGAUCUAGUGCCGAACAAACGACGCCUCCGUGUUCAACACACGUACAACCCGGGACCGUCUCCUCCUUCUUGAUCUAGCAAGGGGAGAGGAGAAGUUCAGGGAGAGCUCUGGCAGCACGACGACGUGGUGGUGGAGCUUGUGGUUCUCCUAUAGGGCUUCACCAAGCACUACAGAGGAGGAGGAGAUGUUGGAGGAGGGAGCACUACAAAAAAAGACACAUCCGUGACAUUUUGGGCCGAAUGAAUUUUUUUCUGUCAUACUUAUGACACUUCUGUGAUGAUAAUUGUGACAAAACAUGAUAUCAUCAUUGAUGUGGUGGGCUCCUACUUCUAUGCCAAAAAAUCAUGACAGAAAAUGGGCUUUUCAUCCUGGGUAGGCCGGAGACGUAGUUGCAUGACAUUCUUUGGGUCGUCCAUGACAGAAAAAACCGUGGUAGAAGCGAGGGCGAGGAAAAUUUCGGGGAGUUCCUGGUUAUGGGGGUGGUCGGGGGCCGAGUGAUGCGCGUUUGUCUCGUACACAUACGUGCGUGUGUGUGAGGCGUGGGUGUAACUGAACCCGAGCGAGGCGUUGGGCUCUAACUAAACCCGAGCGAUUGCACUACCUACAUUACCGAACCCGAGCGAUUGCACUGCAGGCUACGCGUUACUGAACCCGAGUGAUCGAUCGAUGGUUGUUAACUAAACCCGAUCGAGCGUUUCCUUCGCUACUACUGCUAACUGAAGCCGAUCGAUGCUGCCUCUGGAUGAANNNNNNNNNNNNNNNNNNNNNNNNNNNNNNNNNNNNNNNNNNNNNNNNNNNNNNNNNNNNNNNNNNNNNNNNNNNNNNNNNNNNNNNNNNNNNNNNNNNNNNNNNNNNNNNNNNNNNNNNNNNNNNNNNNNNNNNNNNNNNNNNNNNNNNNNNNNNNNNNNNNNNNNNNNNNNNNNNNNNNNNNNNNNNNNNNNNNNNNNNNNNNNNNNNNNNNNNNNNNNNNNNNNNNNNNNNNNNNNNNNNNNNNNNNNNNNNNNNNNNNNNNNNNNNNNNNNNNNNNNNNNNNNNNNNNNNNNNNNNNNNNNNNNNNNNNNNNNNNNNNNNNNNNNNNNNNNNNNNNNNNNNNNNNNNNNNNNUGGAUGAACAUGACCCGGUCGAUCGAGCCGGUUGGGGCUAGAUGAACAGGACCCCGUGGGGGUCUGGAUGAAUAGGACGACCCUGUGGAGGGCUAGAUGAAUAGUAGAUGGUGGAGGGGUGGAUGAACAGUAGCCCGUGGAGGGGUGGUUGAAUAGGAGCCCAUGGAGAGGGCUGGUUGAACAGUAGCCGGUGGAGUAGUGCACAGUGGAGGCUGGAUGAACAGGAGCCCGUGGAUGAACAGUCGCAGGUGGAGGCUGGAGGAGGUCGACGGUGGAUGAACAGUAGCCCGUGGAGGCUGGAGGAGGUCGACGGUGGAGAUGAACAAUAUCUCGUGGAGUCCCGUUUUGUGGUACGCCAUACCCCUCCCGAUGAACAGGACCCCCGUUUUGACCGUAGCGCUCGAACACAAGUCUGUUUCCUCCGUUUUGCAGUACGCCACACCCCUCCCAAUCAACAGGACCCCAUUUCGACCAUAGGAGGUCCAACACAAGUCCGUUUCCUCCGUUUUGCGGUACGCUAGACCCCUCCGGAUGAACAGGAUCCCGUUUCGAACGUGGCCGGUCGAACACAAGGCUGUUUCCUCCGUUUUGCGGUACGCCUGGCCUUGUUUCCAUCGGCUAUUCCGUCCAAGCCCUCCGAAUAAACACGAUGACGCAUUCCAUUCCGACCCAGCCGGUUGGCUCCCCAUGAACACGACAACGACGUAGUUUCUUCGUUCCGACCCAGCCAUGUACACGAGCCUGGCCGUACGUAUGCGCGAGUAGGCAGUCGAGACCCCGCCUAUAUGUACGUACGUGGCCGUAUUUUCUUUCUUGCACCCUGGCCGUUGUACGUACGUGUACAUGCUACGUGCACGCCUCUACUACGACACGUGCGCGCCUCUACUACGACACGUGCGCGCCUCUACAUCGACUAGUAUGUACGUACAUGUUCGCGACCAGAAUGACAAUGCUACAUACGCUCCGACCAGGUGGGUCUCGACUGUUAGUCACUUCCUUGCGUGCGAAGGUGUAGCUGGUGGGUCCCAGUAGUCAGGGGGCGAAUCGUUUUUUCUUUUUUGCUCGGAUGCACUUCCUUGCAUGCGAAGAUGUAGCUUGUGGGUCCCAGCAGUCAAGGGGGAAAUGUUUUUUUGCAAAAUACGGUGGCCCGUCCAGUGGGUCCCCACUGUCAGAUGGAGGAAUAAUUAUUUCGCGCUUAAUAAGGAGGCACUUCCUUGCGGCCGCCAUGGACCCAGCUGUCAGCCUCUCCACGUACAGUACUCUUCUGAUGGAAGUCGUUACUUGACCAUGUUGACCACGCCGCGCCGAGAGCACCAGGGCGGUGGACGACAGUGAGGCCUAGGAAGGGGACGACGCGGAGCCGGGGAAGACGCGGCAGUGGAUUCCACGCGGAGAGGAGUACAAGGGUUUACUAGUUCGGCUGUGAUGUGAGGCCGCCGUCGCCACAGGGCCUGGCCAGCGGUGGAAUAGUAGGGGCGGUGAGACCUCCGUGGCAGCACAGCCAGCCAUGAGAGGCAGGAGAAUGCGGCACAACCGGCGCUGCUUUGGGCGGCUGGAGCACGAAGACCGGAGGUUGAAUAAGCACUACGGUCGUUGCUUGGACAUCGUACGGUCACUGGAGCUAGAAUCGUUCAUAUUGACUAAGUUGACAAGGCCCUCCGUCCCCUUCAACUUAGUAGGCCCACAAGUCUGCCUCCCACUAAGGUGAGUCCCAGCUAGCAGGGGGGUAUUCAUUUUUUAUGCGUAAUAAGGAGGCACUUUCGGGGGGUCCGAUCUGACAGCGGAGGGAACUUUUUUUCCAUGAAAUACAGAGGGCCUUCCGGUGGGUCCCAGCUAUCAGGUGGAGGAAUCAUUAUUGCGCGUAAUAAGGAAGCAUUUCCCUAUGUGGGCCCCUACUAUCAGCCUCUUCCAAUGGCUGUUGUUUGUUGACCAUGUUGACCUCGCCGUGCCGAGCACAAACGCUGUGGACGAGGAUGAGGCCCAGGAAGAGAACCACCCGGAGCCGGCAAACCACUGCAGUGAAUGCCCACGCUGAGGGGAGUACGAACGCUGACUGGUCGGCACGGGGUGAGGCUGACGUCGACUGAAAAUAACAGGAUGUGUGGGUGGUUAGAGGGAUGGCCUGGCGGCAGCAUAGCCAGCCACGAGAGGAGGGAGCAGGCAGUCUCGUCGGCACUGGUUUGGGCGGCUGGAGCAGGAAGAUCAGAAUUGAGGAAGCACGGCAGCCGUUGGAUGGAUAUCCAACAGUCACGGUUGUGUGUUGACUAAAUUGACAAAGGCUUGCGUACGCGUCAAAAAAAAUUAGGACAGCGUCAUCGUCAACCUAGUAGGCCCAGUAGUCAGCCUCCAAAUCUAUGGAAAACAACAUACAUCCCAUUAGCCAUUAUUUUCAAUAAUUUAUAGCCCAUUUGCUAAUUCUUAAGGAUAUUUGAAGCCCAUAUUAUUUUUAUUUUCAUUACAAACCAUAUAUUCUGGGCACUGCUAAAAAAUUCAACGAAAUUUUGCAAAUUUCGGUGGGGUCCAAACUCUUUUAAUCACGAAAUUCCGAGUCACGUUAAAAAUAAUUUUCAAAAAAUUAUAUCAAAAUAAAAUUCAAAAAACAAUUAUCCGCAAAAAAAUUAAUGAAAUUUAGAAUCUUAACUAGCAAGAUGCUCGUUCGUUGCACGGAACAUGAAGAUGCAUUUGUAUGAGUAGUUUAUCUUGUGGGAGAAAAGAUGAUAUUUUAAUGUAAUUGCCAGUUGGCUUUGGUUUUUAUUAGAGUAGAGAGUAGAGAAAUCCUGAAAAAAUGAUAUUAUAAUGCAAUUGCCGGUUGGCUUUGGUUUAAAAAUUUACAGCCCAUUUCUUACAACUUAUAGCCCAUUUUCUGGGGAAGCCCAUUAAUUACUACUUACAUCCCUCCUGGUCUUGAAAGAUUUGCAGCCCAGCAGGGCUGAGAAAAGCAAGUAGGCCUCGGUUUUGGUAUUCUCCACAAAAAAAGAACUGGGCUAGCUAUUUUCAGAAAGAAAAAAUAUAUCAACUAGGCUCAUCAUGUGCUUAAUAAAAGCGUAAGCGUGGGCUAGACGGGCCACAGCCCCCGUACAACGUGCAAUUUAGCUCCAUCUCUGAAACUAAAAAACAACUGGGCGAGCUGCUGGGUCCCUGGUGUUAUCCCCUCGUUUUGUAAUUUUCUCUUUUAUUGACUACAUUGACAAUGGCGUGGGACCUAGUUUUCAAACAAUUAGGAGGAAGUAUUUUUUGGCUUGUAAUAACAAGGCACGUGCUUGCGAAAUGCUAUGACCCUGGUGGGUCCCUACUGUCAGCCUCUCCACGUACAGUCAUCUCCUGAUUCCUCUUGAUUGUUGACCAUGUUGACAACGCCAAAAGGCGGCGGGCACAACGAGCGAACCAAGGCGGAGAACGACGGCGAGGCCUCGGACGGGAACGAACAGCAACCGUGGAAGAUGCGGCAGUGUAGUGGCAGGUGGAGGGGAGUACGAGGGCAACAACAUGCAACUCAAGCAUACAAAUGGUACAAAAAUCCCAAGGAUUAAUUGUUCAUCAAAUUUUUAGACAAAACUCGGAUUGAACAUGACAGUAACAUCUAACCCAACCAUUCUUUUUUGCAGUCACAAACAAAUGGAUCGGUCUGAUCCAUAAAAUCAACAUCCUGUGCAAAAACAUUUAUUUCAGGAUGACUACAACUUGUUGUAAAUAGAAGUUGAGCACGUUUAGAAGCCCAUUUGUCCACCUGAAACUUCUUUUUUUGCUGUUCAACAUGUCCGUCAGUGAGAAAUCUCUUGCGGUAAAAAUUAAGCCUCAUGGACAAUAGUAACCUCGCAUUCAACAGGAAGAAUGUGACAAAGCUUCUAUUUGACUGGUUCGAUGCAUAUCGUUCGAUCGUUAUUGUCCUUAAACGAAUGUCAUGAGAACUAAGAAAAUCAUAGUGCUUAUUACGUCGCGGAUUGGUUAUAUGUUUUUCUCCAUGUGGUUUUGCCUAAGUAGACAUGAAGAUUGAAAACAGUUAAGGUCUAAAAAAGAGUAUGUCGAAAGAACGACAGCUGAACAGUUAAUUCUAGUACAAUAUAUACGGGCUUUCAAUGUGCAUGAAAUCAUCACCUCUAUAUAUAAAUUCUCCAGAGAUCAAAAGCAUCGCAGCAAGCCAAUAAUUAUGUCCAGAUCAAAACUAAACAUUCUGAUAUAUAUGAUCUUGACAGAAGCCAGCAGCAUUGAUAGGCUAUCAAUGGACGAACUCUUCAUUGAGCAUAUAACAUAAUAUUAGUACCCAAACUGUACUCCAAGAUGAUAUAAAACUUAUGCGCACAAAUGAAAAAUGCAGCUUAUGAUUACAAAUGUGUAGAAUAUAAUAUACGGUACCUGAAAAAGUGAGGAGCCAAACACCAACUCCUUGUGAUCAUUAAACGGGUCACGAAUGACACCCAAGGUCUCCAGUUUGGGCGCAGAGCCGACAAUUAUUUGUGAAGGUGUAUAACAAUUAUCAAGGAGCAACCUUUCAAGUGAAGGGGCACCUUCGAUGAUGAGCUGCUGUCCUUCAAAACAAAUUCCAAUGCUUUUAAGGUGAGGCGACUUUAUUUGGAGACAACUGAUAUAGGUUUCUAUUCCCAAAACAAUCAGCAAGCGCUCCAGGGCAGGGCAACUAGAGUGGAUGAUGCUGUAGAGUGAGGCCUCCGACAGAUAAACCACCACAAGUGAAUGUUUUUUUAGCAGUGGGAGUCGAAGCAUUUGUACCAGAUCAUCUGGUAGAUGGCGUCGGGCGAAGGUGGCAGUGUGGAGAGAGGAGGAAAACCGCGAGAUGGACAAAGGUGGUGUGGGCACGAAUUAUUGGUGUGUUUGUGGUAUGAAAAUUUUGUGGUAAUGGUACAACUCAAACUGCUGGAGUUUUCCGAAUUCAGAGGAUGUCAGCUAAGCGUCCACCAUGCCGGGUAUGGACAGCAGGUAGCGUGUCGGGAUACAGAGGCAUUGAACGGGGCCCUGCUGGUGAGAAGAGAUGAUGGCUCUAAGGAGAUCAAAUUCAGGAAGGACAGAUAUCUGACGACAAUCGAGAUAGAGGGGCGCGGUACGCCAUAGAGGGCGCCACCAAGUUGAGAGGACUUGUGUGCGGAAGCAAUCCUUUGUGGGGAGAAGCGGGAUGAUCUCCUCAAGGAUGACGUCCAGGAGAUCGCUGAUGCAGUCCACCAGAGAUUCUAUCGGUUCCUCACAUCCGGGUGGGGGGCUCACCGCUUCUCCCCACGUUACCGGGUGCGAGAUCUAUAACCGGCGUCGCCGCUGGCGGGAGCCUCAUCUUCUUGGCGCUGGCGCCAGCCGACUCCAUUUUCCUUGAGGGCGUCGCGCCGAGCUCACGGGUUUGAGAAGAGUAGCCAGAGAUGAGCCUAGUGGCAGUGCGAGUGGGGAAGAAGGAGGGCUGGGGAUUUCUGUAGGAGUGGAAGAAGAGGAGCAGGCGUUUUCUGUACGAGUGAGGAAGAAGGUUAGUGGGGGUUUUCUGGACGAGUGAGGAAGAUUGGGGAGUGGGGGAAUUUAGGGGGGGGGGAGCGGGAGAGCAAGUUGUUCGUGUUUAUAAUGCCCACUGCACUAACUACUCGCUUUUUCCCAAGAACCGCUCUCUUCUUUUGCGUUGUUGUAUUGGAGCUGGCGCAUGGACUUGGCUGACUGGCCAUGCAUGUGCCCGCCGGCCACUGCAUGCGCCUGAUUUGUUACUAGGCCUAUUUAAUAGGGUGGUUAUGGAGUAAAUUAAGGAGAUUUAUUUUCUCUGUGUGCAUCCACCAAAUUUGAGGAUGAGGUACUGGAUGCAGACACUCAUAUUAAACUAAGCUUCAGAAGAUAAGGUAUGCAUACUAACAUUCAGAAGAAAAAAAGUUCAGCAUGUUUAUGCAUCCCAAUGAUUCACCAUACUAUAACCAAUACAAAGUUGUGAGAAGGUGUGGAAAUGAAGAAAUCGGUCGAUGCUUCUCUGAGCAAAGGGCCUCCCUGUGCACGCAUUAAUUUCUUGGGCAUGCUUGUUUCUUCUCAAUGUUGCGAGCACUUUGAGCAUGUUGGCAACUCCACAGCUAGCUAGCUAGCUGCCUCAUCUUGCAAUUGAUGCUGACACAAUUGCGGCAAACACAUGGGGCAAUAGAGAUGACUCAACAUGAGUCCAUAUUGUGUAGUUCCCCUGAAAUCAUAUUCAUUGUCCUGAAUCUGACAAGAUAGGAAAACAGUAGCUAUACUUAAACGGUGUUGCAAAAUAGUAGCACAUUAUCAAUAGCUCGGCAUGAAAAAACAAGAUCAUUUGGACGAAGGGGAUACUGACCUGCCUGAGGAAGAUUAUAUAUAAUUUCAUAAGUCCUUGGUUGAUUUCCACCUUCGGCUGCACUCCUUGUUUGCUCUUCCACACAUGACAGGAUCAUUCCGCACUGCAUUCAGCAAGUCAACGUACGAGUAAGCUAAUUUCAUCUUGCGGUGGUCAUUCUACCUAGUUACGAAUGUAGGAAUACUUGGAGCACCAUGAGGUUAGCUGACAGCGGGUAGAUGCAGCCAUAUAAAUUUUAUAGGGUGCUACCAAAAUUGAGGUUUGUAUCCCUUCCCGUUAUGAGAAUUCUUCUUGAAGUUGGUAGAAUGUGACGGCUUGUUAUUUGCAUCAAACUUUCCUUUCCCUUGAGAUUUGUUCUUGUUGUUUUGGCGCUGGUUGGGCUAGAAGUUCUUCUCAUGUACCAUGUGGGCACUAGAAGCUCCCUCAACGACACGAGCACGUGUGUCUUUUGCUCUCGCCUUAUCCUCAAAAUCAAGAGUGCUAAUGAGAUCUAAAACAGAAAACAAAUGUCUCUUGUUUUCAGAGAAGUAGCAAAAUCGUUCCACGAAGGUGGAAGCUUGGCAAUGAUGGUCCCAGCAACAAAUUUGUCCGGCAACACACACUUAAAGUACUCAAGGUCCUUUGAGAGUGACUGUAUCUCAUGAGUCUACUGAAUAACAGAGCGCUCAUCAAUCAUCUUGUAGUCAUAGAAUUGCUCCAUGACGUACAACUCAUUGGCAGCGCCCGAGGGCCCAAACAUUGCCUCGAGCGCAACCCACAUGUCUUUGCUGCUGUCAAAUGACAUAUAUGAAUCCACAAUGGAAUCGUCAAGAACACUCCACAGGGCGGCUUUGAAGAGGGUAUCCAUGUUCUCAAAAGCUUCCAGCUGUCUAGGAUUAAGAUCGCCCUCAGGCUUACCAUUAGUGACGUCAUAGCAGUACAUGAUCUGAAACCAAUAUACUGCUCUUGUGCGCCACCUUUUAUAUUGCACCCCCUUAAAAGUAGGCGGCUUCAAAAGCGCAGCAAAACCACUCAGAGUAAAUUGCCUAUAAUCAGGUUUUUGGAUUGGAUUGUUGAAUAUAUGAGCAAUUUACUAUGAGAUUUAAUCCGAAUCAGCAGUAAAUAGAUCAUGAUGACAAUUGCAAACAUCAAAGUAAUGAUGCAGACUAAACCAGGAGAACAGAAUCACAUACUGUACAAGGAAGUAGAACCGUUGUGGUUGAUGUUGUCACUCAUGUCAUUGAUGAAGAGGUUACCGAGGUCGGGGAAGAAGGUUGUCGUUGAGGAAGUCGUCGCUGGCAGCAGUCACAGGAGAGUGCUCCCCAAAACCCUGAUCGCCCCUCUCAUCUACAGGAUCACGAAAGGCGGGGUUCGGAGGACUGUUGUCCCUUCUCGCGGUGCACGCCGGAAGGAGGGCUGGAGAAGAAUUGUGUGGUGGCACUAAGAUCUGGAAUGGUGCGAAACCAUAUGAUACAGCGGCGACUAGGGUAGAGCAUGUCAGGUCGGUCGUGCGAGUAAGACCAAGUAUAAUAGUAGGCCUUUGGCCCCCAAACCCCACGUCCAAGUCAAUAAUAUCCCCACUAAUGUUUGUCUAAAAAACAGAGUAAUUAAGGCGUCCAUUAGUCCCUUUAGUAUAAAUAUUAUAUCAUUAAUAAUGGCCCCACCUUUUGUCUCACAAAGUAUGUUGGGGCUCCUGCUACAACCGGCUACAAGUUUGCAAUCCGCUUCUCUUCUCUCUCCUUCAACUAAGCACAAAUACUAUAUUUAAAUCCUUAUAGCCUGCUUAUGUCAUCUAAUUGUAGUACUUGCCCUAAAGUUACUCUCCACUGUGUAGUCUGAAAUGUCGGGCGUGCAGCGGGCAGUGCCCUCGGUCGGCGCGCCGCUUCAACUGAGGAAGCAGUGAGAGGUCGCGUCCACUACUAGGGAAAAGCCUAUACACCGAAUCUUAGCAGCAGCGUGGCUCAAAAAGGAGCGCUGCUGCUAAUUAGUAGUAGCGUGUGUGCGGGAAACACGCUGCUGAUAAGUUUUUAGCAGUAGCGCGCUCGGUGUAAACCACGCUGCUACAAAUAUCGACCGGCGGUGUUCACCUAACUCCAUUUAGUAGUAGCGCGAUGGCGCGAACCGUGCUACUGCUACGGAUGUAGUAGUAGCGCUUUUUUUCUUAGAUCGCUGCUGCUAAAUUUCAAAUUGGCACACUUUUUUGUCCCUGUUAGCAGUAGCGCUGUCGCCCAAAGCGCGUUGCUGCUAAUUCCUUAGCAGCAGUGCGUUUUAGCUCCCGCGCUACUGCUAACCCGCACCAACCCACCACCUUUUCCCCACCCGUCCCUCCUCUCCCCUUCAUCUCUUCCCUUCCCCCUACCCCCCCCACAUGCUCCCACUCUCACUCUUCUUCUUCCUCAAUACUUCUCCCCCAUUACUCUCUCUUCUAUCCACCUUUCUCUCUCUUCAUUACUCCUACCUAACUACACCACCUCCAUUAAUGCAUCUCCUUUCUCUUUUUCCUUUCCCCUCCACUAGUUGAAGUUGUCUCCUCCCAAAUUAGGUAGCUAGGUAGAUGUAGGAUUUAGUUAAGUGACCUAUUUGCCCCCUAACUAGAUCUAUCUUUGUCAAGAAGAGCUUUGUGCACUUUUGAUCUCCCUACAACAUCAUCUCCACCGUGUGCUCGAUCUCGAUCGACAUAGAGGUGAUGAAAAUUUCAUGCUUUUGCAAAAUGGAAAUAUGUUUAUGUGUGUGUGAUAUGUUUGUGGAAAUUGUGUGUGUGGCAUGAGUUGACGCCAAAUUGUGCUUUUGAGUUGCCUAUGUUUUGCCGAAAUGUUGAUUUAUUUCCGUUUCGGCGAAUUCCGGGCAAACUCUAGAUCCAUAUAUGUCCUAUUUUUAGGGAAGGUCAUGCCAAAUUUUUGUAUGACUUUGAUACAUGCAUGCAUUUUUAUAAUCAAUUUGUUUAUUAUUACCGUGCAGAGUUAACGAUGGUCAGUGGAACGAUGGUGGACAGGUGGUUGCGGUCGGCGGUGCAGGACAUGAAAGAAAAUAACCAGACAGAGGUUUUAUGUCCGUGUCGAAAAUGCAAAGGAAUAGUUUGGCUCGACCCCCAUGAUGAUGGUCGUGUCGAAGCGCACCUGCUCAUGACUGGUUUCAUGGAUGGCUAUACUCGGUGGAUAAUUGAAGAUGAGGAUGACGAUGUUGAGGAUGCCGACGGGGCAGGCAAUGAUGACACGGGGCAAGACGAAGAGAUGAUCGAUAAUGGCGGCGGGGAAGAGGCCGGACAUGGUGGCGGAGAAGGGGCCGGACAUGGCGGAGGAGAAGGGGUCGGACAUGGCGGCGGAGAGAACGACAUGGACUCCACGUAGCAGAGUUCGUCGGUACUAAGUUCAAUCGUGCGGGACCCUCAUGUUCAAGCAUUGCUUCGCAAGGAGACGAGUACUGAGGGAGCUGCUUCUAGAGAGGAGGCUAAGCUGGAGCAACUGGUGGUAUACUUGAACACUCCAUUGUAUGAUGGCUGCAAUCCUGAGGUGACCCGCUUGAGUUUCACGCUCCAACUCCUGAAGACGAAGGCUAAAAACAAAUGGACCGACACUAGCCUCGAUGGGCAUCUCAAGUACCUAAAGGAUGUUAUUCCCGCGGGUAAUCUAUGUCCUACUAGUGUUGAUGAGGCCAAGAAGAUCGUGUGCCCUCUUGAUCUACCACACGUUAUAUACCAUGCAUGCAUCAACGAUUGCAUAAUUUAUCGUAAGGAGCACGCGGAAAAAACAAGCUGUCCAGUGUGUAAUGCUUCUCGAUACAAGAAGGCCGGGAAGAAAUGUCCCCAGAAAGUAGUAUGGUACUUACCGAUCACUCCCCGUCUCCAGAGGUAUUUUGUAGAUCCCAAGGAAGCAAAGCUAAUGCGCUGACACGCGGAGAGGAAGAAGCCCGACGAUGGAGAUGAUCCGAAGCUGAGACACGUGAAGGAUGGAAGCCAGUGGAGAGCGUUGAACAACUUCUAUCGGUAUUUUGAAUGUGAUGCAAGGAACAUUGUGCUCGGCGCGUGUACCGAUGGCAUGAAUUCGUUUGUCAACCAGAACACCAACUAUAGCACAUGGCCCGUGUUUGUAUGGAUGUACAACCUCCCCCCUGGUUGUGCAUGCAAUCGAAGUACAUUCACAUGAGCAUGCUUAUUCAAGGGCCGAAACAACCAGGAAAUAAUAUUAAUUUGUAUCUGGGGCUAGUUCAAGAGGAGUUAGACACGUUAUGGAAAACACCGGCCAAGACAUGGGACGCCAGCAAAGGUGAUUAUUUCAACAUGAGAGCCGCGCUGAUCACGACAGUGCAGGACUAUCUCGGUUACGGAUAUGUGGCAGGCCAGGUGUGCCAUGGAUAUUGCGGAUGCACGCGGUGCAUGAAUGAUACGACGUCUCAGCAGCUAACGUCAAGGAAAGAUGGCGGGUCUGGGAAAAUCGUGUACACGGGGCAUCGAAGAUGGCUUGAACAGGACGACCCGUGGAGAAACCGUGGAGAUCUAUUCAAUGGUCACGCUGAGCAUCGAGGUCCUCCACGUAAGCGGAGCGGUGCCGAAAUCGAUGAGCUGUUGAAAAACUGCAAGGAGUGCCCCACACCGGGAAAGACAAUAAGAAAGGUGCCGGAGCCACUGCUGAAGGUAUGGAAGACGAGGUCUGUGUUCUGGACUUGGAGUACUGGCACAAACUCGAUACACCUCAUUUCCUUGAUCAAAUGCAUAUCUGUAAGAAUGUCCUUGAGAGCUUGCUCGCAACACUGAUGAACAUGCCGGAUAAGACCAAGGAUGGGCCGAAGGCAAGAAAAGACUUGCAAGAUUUGAAAAUCAGGGAAGAUCUGCACAUGCCGCCCCGUAAAAUGUCAGACGAGACAGAGACGGAGACAGAGGCACGGGAGAAGAAGGGCAAGAAAAUAAAGAAAGAGGAUUAUUGCCCCCCUUCUUGCUUCACCUUAAGUCAAGCUGAGAUCAAUCAAUUCUUUAAGUGCCUUACCGGAGUCAAAGUUAUAUCUAGUUACUGUGGCAAGAUAAGCAGAUAUCUAGACACGGAUAAGAAAAGGUUCAGCGGGAUGAAGUCUCAUGACUGUCAUGUGAUGAUGACGCAGAUACUACCUGUUGCCCUUAGAGGGAUAAUGGACAAGCACGUCCGUGACACGCUUAUUGGUCUCUGCAACUUUUUCGACGUCAUCUCUCGAAAGUCGAUCAGUGUGAAGCAGCUCCAAAGGCUAUAGGAAGAGAUCGUUGUGAUAUUGAAUGAGCUUGAGAUGUACUUCCCGCCCGCGUUCUUUGACGUGAUGGUGCAUCUGUGUGUCCAUAUUGUGGAUGACAUAAUAGACCUGGGGCCGUCAUUCUUGCACAACAUGAUGCCGUUUGAGAGGAUGAAUGGGAUCAUCAAAGGAUUCGUUCAUAACAUGUCCCAUCCGGAUGGAAGCAUCGUCCAGGGCUAUUUGGCACAAGAGUGCAUCUCUUUCUGUGAGAAUUUUCUAUAUGGCGCAGGCGCAGACCAGCCGCCUAGUGUUAGUGUUGGUUUGCCCGUUAACAAGCACGAUGGGAGGCUCGAAGGAGAUGGUCACUGCAACGGUCGCAGGGAACUACACGUGGCAUACUCAGAUCGACGCAGCGACUUUGACAGAGCAAACUUGGUAGUGCUACAACACCUAGACGAGGUAGAUCCUUUCGUGGCACUGCACAAAGAAAUUAUCGCAAAGAAGUAUCGUGACUGGGGGGUAUGCAGGACGGACGCCGAAGUUACUAGAGAGCACAACUCCACUUUCCUGCAUUGGUUCAAAGAGCAUAUUAUUACUAAUCCCUCGGAGGAGGGCUCUAAGGACGGAUUGCUCAUAUACGCCUUAGCACAUGGCCCCUCGCCCAACCUCGUAACCUAUCAGGCAUAUGAUAUCAACGGAUACAUGUUCUACACGGAGGCCAAAGAUAUGGAUAGAGAUGAUCAGAACUCGGGGGUGACGAUGGAAUGCAUGACCGGCAGCGACAACGGCGCAACUGAACGAUUUUAUGGAAGGGUCGAGGAGAUCUGGGAGCUUGACUACUCUGGACUGCACAACACGACGAUGUUCCGUGUCAGAUGGGCUAAGAAUGUCGAAAGAGAAAGCCAGAUUUUCACAACCAUUACUAUACCCCACACCAAGAGCACUACCAUGAACGCUAUCGCAAAAAACGAGCCAUGGGUACACGCUAAGCACGUGACACAAUGCUUCUUCAUAACUGACCCGCGCAAUCCCAGCCAUGUUGUCGUGAGGAGAGGCAAAAGGAACAUCAUUGGAAUGGAUGGAGUCGCCAACGAGGAAGACUAUGAUCAGUACGGCAACCCAAUGAGGGAAGAUGACGAUGAUGAUGAAGUAUACGUCAAAAGAAGAAUCGAUACUACAUUACCUAAGAAAAAUCGUACUCCGUGGAAAAGGCAAAGUCACAAUGAGGGGCUCAAUUAUUCUUCGACGAACAAGAAGGGAAAGAAGCUGACUCAAAAAUGAAAACGUCAGCACCGAGGAAACGUAUGUUAUCGGUCAANNNNNNNNNNNNNNNNNNNNNNNNNNNNNNNNNNNNNNNNNNNNNNNNNNNNNNNNNNNNNNNNNNNNNNNNNNNNNNNNNNNNNNNNNNNNNNNNNNNNNNNNNNNNNNNNNNNNNNNNNNNNNNNNNNNNNNNNNNNNNNNNNNNNNNNNNNNNNNNNNNNNNNNNNNNNNNNNNNNNNNNNNNNNNNNNNNNNNNNNNNNNNNNNNNNNNNNNNNNNNNNNNNNNNNNNNNNNNNNNNNNNNNNNNNNNNNNNNNNNNNNNNNNNNNNNNNNNNNNNNNNNNNNNNNNNNNNNNNNNNNNNNNNNNNNNNNNNNNNNNNNNNNNNNNNNNNNNNNNNNNNNNNNNNNNNNNNNNNNNNNNNNNNNNNNNNNNNNNNNNNNNNNNNNNNNNNNNNNNNNNNNNNNNNNNNNNNNNNNNNNNNNNNNNNNNNNNNNNNNNNNNNNNNNNNNNNNNNNNNNNNNNNNNNNNNNNNNNNNNNNNNNNNNNNNNNNNNNNNNNNNNNNNNNNNNNNNNNNNNNNNNNNNNNNNNNNNNNNNNNNNNNNNNNNNNNNNNNCCCGACCCCGGCGCACUUGCCCCGACCCGUCGGCCCUCGCCUCCCUCCUCUCCCCUCCCGGCCGUCGUCGGGCCUGCAUCCUCGCCCCUGCACCCUCUGUAACCCCCCCUCUCUGCUAGGUUUCUUCGGUUAGUUUACUUAGGUUUUAGUUAGGGCAGUAUGUUAAUUAGGUUAUCUAUUUAGUUAUGAAUUUAGCUAGGUUUCAAAAUUAGUUGAGUUUAUAUGCAAAUUUGAACUGGACAUGUGAUAUGUGCAUAUGUCAUGUUUUGGACAUGUCAUGUUUGGAAAAUGAUCUGAGUGGCCUAUGUUACGCCGGAAUGUUGAUUCAUUUCCGUUCCGGUGAAUUUCAGGCGCUCGAUAUGGCCAUUUUUUAGCAAAGGUCAUGCCGAAAUUUCUCGUGAAUAAAGGCAUGAUUUGUGCUACAUAGUUGGCAUAUCGAGUGCUGGCACAUAGAUUUCUUUUUAUGUCAUUUCUCAUUCAUUCAUACGUUUAGAAAUAAAUGAGGACACUUAAUCAUAGGAAACAUGUCGAACAGCAAAGAAACUAGGCCUUCUGACCAAGAUGCAGACGAGAUGGAUUAUGAGGAUUGUCGGUGUCAAAACCGGCAGAUCUCAGGUAGGGGGUCCCGAACUAUGUGUCUAGGCGGAUGGUAAUAGGAGACAAUGGACACGAUGUUUUUACCUAGGUUCGGGCCCUCUCGAUGGAGGUAAAACCCUACUCCUGCUUGAUUAAUAUUGACGAUAUGGGUAGUACAAGAGUUGAUCUACCACGAGAUCAGAGAGGCUAAACCCUAGAAGCUAGCCUAUGGUAUGAUUGUUGUUCGUCCUACGGACUAAAACCCUCCGUUUAUAUAGACAUCGGAGAUGGUUAGGGUUACACAGAGUCGGUUACAAUGGUAGGAGAUCUACAUAUCCGUAUCGCCAAGCUUGCCUUCCACGCCAAGGAAAGUCCCAUCCAGACACGGGACGAAGUCUUCAAUCUUGUAUAUUCAUAGUCCAGGAGUACGGCCAACGGUGAUAGUUCGGCUAUCCGGACACCCCCUAAUCCAGGACUCCCUCAGUAGCCCCUGAAUCAGGCUUCAAUGACGACGAGUCCGGCGCGCAUAUUGUCUUCAACAUUGCAAGGCGGGUUCCUCCUUCGAAUACUUCAUAGAAGGUUAUUGGAAGGCGGCUUCAAUGACGACAAGUCCGGCGCGCAUAGUGUCCGGCUCUGCAAAAUAAGUUUCACAUACCACCAUAGAGAGAAUAACCUUUACACAAAUUCAAUCUGCUGACAUAUUCUGUGGCGUGACGUCACACCACGGCCAAGCCUUUAUUGGAAUCGUUUUUCUGUCCUGCCUCAGCGUGUUUAGCGAGGCAGUUUCCUUGGCACGUCUUGUCAAGGCAGAGAUCGUGUCCCCUUAUUCCGGGAUUCUCAUCAAUACGGGCGUGGGUAAUCCAACCGUGCCAUUGAUUACGGUGCUUGGGAGAUAAGCGAGUCUUAUCAGGCUGGUGGGGACGCAUAGUUUCGUCCGUCCAUAUAAGGGGAUAAGGAUCCGCCUUUUUACCUACGCCUUCUUCCUCCUUUGCUUAUCCAUUUCCACGAACUCGAACUCCAGCGCCCAAAUCCGCACAUCCCUUCUCAACCUUCUCCAGCCAUGUCCAGAGCGAGAGGGAAGUGGAUGGUCUCCUCCGUAACGGAGGAACAAGUCAAAAAGCUGCGGAAGGCUGGAUACUUGUCCAGUGACAUCGCGCAUCGGCUCCCCAACAAGGGGCAGCUUCUCCCCACCCCUAGGCCCCAUGAGAGGGUGGUGUUCCUCACCCUCUUCCUCCGCGGACUAGGUUUUCCAGUUCACCCAUUUGUCUGGGGGCUCAUGUUCUACUAUGGCCUAGAUUUCCACGAUCUGGCCCCGAACUUCAUCCUCAACAUCUCGGCAUUCAUCGUCGUAUGCGAGGCCUUCCUCUGCAUCCAGCCUCACUUCGGCUUAUGGCUGAAGACUUUUAAUGUCAAGCCAAAGGUAGUGGGCGGCCGCCAAGCGGAGUGCGGAGGUGCCAUGGUGGGCCGGAUGGCCAACGUCCUAUGGCUCGAGGGCUCCUUUGUGGAGACAAUAAAGGGGUGGCAAUCAGGGUGGUUCUACAUCACCGAGACACGCGACCCCAAAUGGGCGGCGGCCCCCGAAUUCCGAUCUGGUUUCCCCACACGGCUCACCUCCUGGAAAGAGACGGGCCUAACGUGGGGAGAUUCGGAAGAGCUGACAGGACUUCAAGCCUGCGUCCAAAAGCUGGUGAACAAGAAUCUCAAGCUUGUCAAGGUAGUCCAGGUCAUGCUCAUCCGCCGGAUCCUCCCAUGCCAAUAACAGGCCUUCAAAUUGUGGGAGUUUGAUCCGGCACAACACCAAACCUUGAGCAAGCUCUUCGACACUACGUACGAAGAUGCUUGGAAGGUGCUGUUUAAGGGCGCCUAGGCCCCCGCAUCCGCUACCAAAGAUCGCGGAUUCAACUCGCGGCGUCAGGCCAGCGAGGUAAGCUAUUCUACCCUUUACGGGACUCUUGUUUUUCAUAGUCUGACUCUAUGUGGGAUCUAAACUCCCUUACCUUUGACAGGACUGGCGGAAGAAGUCCGGGCAGGUUAACUGUCCGGCUCCCUUACCAGAAGACCCACCAAACGCACGCUUGACGAAGCUGCUGGUUCCGGCACCUCACGUGGUGCUGGAGAAGAAGGCCAAGAAGAAAUCCACGGGGACUCAAAAGAGUUCCCGGCGCCUGGUGGUGUCGGAUUCAUCGCCUGACAACCCCGAAGCACCCUCCGCCUCUGAGGACAAGGAGGAGGAAGAAGAAGAAGCCUCUCCCCCUCCAGCGGGGGUAGGAAAGAAAAGCAAGGCCGCCCCAACAGGGGAGGCCGGAGGGUCCAAAAAGGGGAGGACCCUUCUGCUGGACUACGCCUCCGAUGCCGAAGACGGCGAGGAGGAAUGGCCAUCCAGGGUCAAGCCCCCGGCAAAAUCGUAAGUAUCCGGAUACCAGAAUAACUCAUGGCACUCCUCUAAUGUAUGGUACCUUCUGACGCCGAAUUCAAUCAUGCAGUCCGCCCAAGGCUCAGCUCGGCGAUUCGUCGAGUGGCUCCCUGGAUUCGUCGGAUGUGAAUAGCGCUUCACUUCCGACGGCCUCCUCCCCUCUCCCUACGGACAACGCCAAGGUCGAGUCCCAAAAGGGACUAAACCAGGAGGAGGUGGUCCUCGAGGCACCGCAAGGCAACCUCCCGGACUCCAGGCCCAAAGGCAGUAAAGCCCCAGAGGGAUCUACGUCCGGCCCUGGGCCGGACACCGCUCCGGAACCAACAACGGUUCCAGAGUCCGGUUGACGGCGCCUUCGCAAUAAAGGCACGCCUACGACACCGACGGCCUCCGCCCAACCGGAGACGCCGGACAAUUUGCUGGAGGUGCUUAAUAGCGCCUCCAUCGACGAGGAGCACCGCACUGUUAUGAGUGCGGUGAUUCAGAAGGUUCAGUCCGCCAAGAGCGGGCUGACAGAAGCCUGUACCAGCCUGCUAACAGGCUUUGAGGUAUGUAUUCAAAACAUAUAAAAAUGUUACCGCAUAGACAGUAGCCCCUGAUGCUCAGUUCUGCGUUCAAAAGAAAAGCCGGACUGAGGAUCUAAAAAGAUAUACGUAGGAGUCUAACAUAAAUAUGUCGAUAUGGGAAUGCAGGCUGUGCUGCUGACAUCUGCUGCACUGACUGCGGAGGUCGACGCAUUGAAGCAGAACCUCGAGCGGUCCAAGAACGAGCUCGACCGUGCCAAGAAGCAGCUCGAGGACAAGGAGGGUAUGUAAUACCGUAUGUAAAUAUAUAUAGAAAUACCUGGUUGCAAAUAAUGACAGGACCAACGUGAAUGUUGCAGGGGCCAUGACCGAGGUGGCGACCCUGAAGGAAGCGGUGUCCAAGACCGAAAACAGUGCAGCCUUGGAGUGCACCGAGCGAGAGAAGUAGGAGGCACGGGUGGCGGAGGUGUGGCAAGAGCUCCAGGCUCUCGUGGAGAAACACGAGAGUUUGGAGCGUGACUCGAAGACUCGAGAGUCCGAGCUCGCCUUGGCUCUUGAGAGUGCAAAAACCGCUAAGGCCGAAGCCCAAAAGGCCCUCCAGGAGAUCGAGGCGAUAAAGAAGAUAGCGGCGGGUAAGGCAUUCUUUAUGCAAAGCAAGCAUAUAAAAGUGAAUUAUAUGUUACUUACCCGAAUCCGGAGCUCUCCAGAAGUGUUCGCCGAUCUGCCGCGUUCUACCGAGCCGAGGAGGGGAGCUCGACGGAAAAGGUGUUCUGGUCUCAAUAUGCUGAGGCCGGACAUCCGGUGCCCCUGAGCGACCAGCUAAAGCAGCUGGUCGAGCUCAACAAGGUGGCCGAACAGGCCAUGAAGGGACUCAUAGUUCGGUUGUGGCCUAGAGAAGCCAUGCCUGGGAGCUACUUUGGUCUGGUGUGGCAGCUGGUGGACGCUUGUCCAUGGAUUGAAGUCAUCAAGCGCUCUGUCUGUAUUGAAGGUGCCCAUCGGGCCCUUGCCCGUGCUAAAGUGCACUGGGGCAAGAUGGACGCCGAGAAGCUUGUGACGGACGCGCCACCGCCGGGCAAGGAGUAUCGCAAGCCUGACAUGUAUUAUGAGGGCGUCCUGAAGGGUGCCCGCCUUAUAGCGGGUGAAUGCUCCAAAAAUGUAAUUUUUGAGUAGACUCGCAUCUGUUAUCCUGUACGCUGAAAACUUUGUUCAUAUGCACUAAGCAACGCUUGUUAAUUUAAAAUAUUACCUUUUGUGCAGCCAUUUAUCAAAUCUGAGACAUGCAAGUCGUCGGCUUCUACUCCCAUGCCACGAGUGCUGGGGUGUUCGGGAUAAACCUGAGCGCUCUUGUUCCCAUUCUUGGGUCCAUCUAGGGAGGCACUCAGCACAAUGAACAAGGCCAUCGGACUUAUAAUGCUUUAUCACUCUCACUUAGCCAUAGAAUUCUAUAAUUUUAAAUUUCGGUGAAGCCCCUAGUAUUCGGAAGACCGAGUUCGGGGCGCUAUCCACGCCUAGGCCAGAUAAAUCCAGCUCAACCUCGCGUACAGUGACCUGUCUCUCGCACUAUCAUGACGGUCAGUUUUAGCUUUCUCUACUGAGGUGUUAACCCAGCUCAACUGGGGCACAAUCGCAGUAGUUCUCCCAGCGCUACCUUAGCCAACAUUGUGGAACAUAAGGUACCAAAACAUGGGAGCCGGCCAAACCCAACUAUUGACCCAAGACAUGAUUCGGAGCCGAUGCAUAUAGUGCUAUAAGUUCGGGGUGCCGCACUCAUGAGAGUGUUCGGUCUUCUCACACCGUGUUAUGGGGUGCUUAAGCCCCUGGUGUAUUGGCCGUACCAAAGUGUACGGUUGCAUAAUGUCAUGACUGAAUAUAUUUGUAUAAAAAUAGAUGAAUACAAUAAUAGAUAAGAGCUAUGUAUUGUUUAUUAAAAAGGGCUGCUAUGAAAGCAGAACGAUACAAAUAGUGUGAUAAGCAAGAGAUGGGAUUAUUUGACAUGUCCCCCUCCAGGGUCAAGCUGCGAGACUUUAAGUAAAACAGGUAUUUAGCUCGUUAUAGAGACCACCUGGACAUUUGACGUGGCUUGUUCUCUCCCUGGCUGUUGCAUCGUGUGUUCGGCGAGUGUAUUGCCGGACAGGUCUUCCGGAUAGUUGGGUCCUGAAAGUAUAUAUAAAAAAGGAAACGGUAGAAUAGGGAGCCCCUAGUGCGGUUGAGCCGCAUUCUGGGCGUGCCGUGGUUGUGCCCCUCCCCUUAUGCCCAUGGUAUUUCCAAAGCAUAAUUAUGUACGUGUGGUACCGCUAUCGCCAUCUGGCGAGGGCUGGGGUUGGGGCCGCACUGCUAUGCUUGCUUGGAACGUGCCAGCCGGUUUUUUUGUAGGUUACUUCGGGUGCGCUUGACGUUAUCCGGACGUUUAACACCCGGAUUGGAAAAUUGCCUUGAGAGGCUACUUUGUACUUCCGCCGCCAGGGCUGCCGUGUGCUCCUCCGUACGAAGAGAGCGUUCGGUGUUUCCAUUUACCAUAAUGACUCUGCGAGGGCCUGGCAUCUUGAGCUUGAGAUAUGCAUAGUGCGGCACCGCAUUCAAUUUUGCGAAUGCGGUUCGUCCGAGCAGGGCGUGAUAGCCACUACGGAAUGGGACUAUGUCGAAUAUUAACUCUUCGCUUCAGAAAUUAUCCGGGGAUCUGAAGACCACUUCGAGUGUAACCGAGCCUGUACAGCUGGUUGCCUUUGUGGGUUUAAUCCUUGAGGGUUCUAUAUACCCAUUUUUCGCACUGUAUCCUGAUAAAGCAGGUUCAGGCUUCUGCCGCCGUCCAUGAGGACUCUAGUGAGGUGAAAUCCGUCAAUGACUGGGUCUAGGACCAAUGCGGCGAAUCAGCCGUGACGGAUGCUAGUGGGGUGGUCCCUUCGAUCAAAAGUGAUCGGGCAGGAGGACCAUGGGUUGAACUUUGGGGCGACUGACUCCAACGCAUAGACGUCCUUGAGAGCAUGCUUCCACUCCCUUUUGGGGAUAUGGGUUGCGUAUAUCAUGUUCACCGUCCGCACUUGCGGGGGGAAGCCCUUCUGUCCUCUGUUGUUCGGCGGCCGGGGCUCCUCCUCGUCAUCGCUAUGCAGCCCCUUGUCUCUGGUUUUGGCACUUAACUUGCCUGCCUGCUUGAACACCCAACAAUCCCUGUUGGUGUGGUUGGCUGGUUGUUCGGGGGUGCCGUGUAUCUAGCACGAGUGAUCGAGUAUCCGGUCUAAACUCGAUGGGCCUGGAGGGUUUCUUUUGAAUGGCUUCUUCCGCUGACUGGCUUUAGAGCCUCUGAAUCCGGCAUUAACUGUCGUAUCCUUAGUAUUGUCGCCGUUAAUGCGGCGCUUGUGCUUGUUGCGACGUGACCUGCCAUUGUUGUCCUUGGUAUCCGAAUUGCCAGGGCUCUUGGUUAUGUUAUUGCUACGAGCUAGCCAGCUGUCUUCUCCCGCGCAAAAGCGGGUCAUGAGUGUCAUGAGGGCUGCAAGGGCCUAGGUGCCGGGCAAGCCAUUCGUCUCGGAUGUUGUGCCUAAAGGCUGCAAGGGCCUCGGCGUCCGGACAGUCGAAUAUUUGAUUCUUCUUGGUUAGGAACCAUGUCCAGAAUUGUCUGGCCGAUUCCUCUGGCUGCUGGAUUAUGUGGCUUAGGUCAUCGGCGUCUGGUGGUCGCACAUAAUUGCCCUGGAAGUUGUCAAGGAACACGGAUUCCAGGUCCUCCCAGUAACUAAUUGACUCUGCUGGCAGGCUGUUAAGCCAAUGCCGAGUUGGUCCUUUAAGCUUGAGCGGGAGGUAUUUGAUGGCGUGUAGAUCAUCACCACGGGCCAUGUGGAUAUGAAGGAGAUAAUCCUCGAUCCAUACCGCGGGAUCUGUUGUGCCAUCAUAUGAUUCGAUGUUUACGGGUUUAAAACCCUCAUGGAUUUGAUGAUCCAUUACUUCGUCUGUGAAUCAUAGCGGGUGUGCGGCACCCCUGUACUGGGCUAUAUCACGACGUAGCUCGGAUGAGCUUUGUCUGUUGUGUUCGGCCUGGCCGUAUUUAUCAUAUCCGGCGUGACGGUUAUCGUCACGUGACGUGGGGCACCCACGCGAUCCGUAGAUCGAUCUUGUUUGCCUUGCCUUAUCCUCCAAUAUGUCUUGCAGAUCUGUUGCGUUUCCCCGUGCUCUGGUAUUUUUGGAGCGGCGCCGGGGUGCGGCUUGAGUUGAGGGCCGAAAGGCCUCUCUGUCGUGGCCCUGGGGUGGCCGAUCGAGCGCAUCGUACACUGGUGAUGUAGGUUUAGUUGCUUCCUCCUCUAGUUGGGGUAGCAGCCUGCGCUUUGGGUAGCUCUUGGAGGGGCGUUCAAGUUUAUAAUCUUCGGCCGCCAGGACAUCAGUCCAUCUGUCGGCUAGCAAGUCUUGGUCAACUCUAAGCUGCUGCUAUUUUUUCUUGAGGCUGCUUGCCGUGGCCAUAAGCCUACGUUUGAAACGCUCUUGUUCGAUGGGAUCCUCUAGCACGACGAAUUCGUCGUCGUCGAGGCUUGCCUCGUCUUCGGAGGGAGGCAUAUAAUUGUCGUCCUCGACCUCCCUGUCUGCCGCUCUCUCAUGAGGGUUGGCUCCUCCGUCCUCCUGCGUUGAAUCCUGCUGGAGGGGGUUGUCUUCGGCACUAUCCGGGGUUUUGUUGUCUCUAGUGCCGGACUCGCCGUUUUUCCUUUGGCGGGAUUUAGAGCGGCGCCGCUGACGUCGGCGCUUGGGUUGCUUCUUGGAGGGGUCGUCCUUCGUUUUUUCAUCGCCAUCCCCUGCUUUGGGGGUGUCCACCAUGUAUAUGUCAUAUGACGAGGUGGCUUUCCAGUGCCCUAUAGGUGCUGGUUCUUGGUCAUCUCCUUCAUCGGCGUCCAUACCAUCGAUGUCUUCGGAGUUGAAGUCGAGCAUGUCGGUUAGGUCGUGGACAGUGGCUACAAAGUGGGUGGUGGGUGGGUUUCGAAUUUCUUCGUCGUCCGCAUCCCAACCUUGCUGACCAUAGUCCGGCCAGGGCUCUCCUGACAAAGAGAGAGACUUUAGUGAAUUCAGGAUAUCGCCAAGGGGCGAGUGCUGAAAGACGGCCGUGGCGGUGAACUCCAUGAUCGGAGCCCAAUCAGCUUCGAUCGGAAGGGGUGCGGAAGAUUCAGAGUCCAGAAAGGAGUCCGGCACCUUGGAGUCACAGGCCUCGCAAAGGACUAGGCUGGUAUUCGGCUCUAUCACCGUAGAGAUUGCGGCUCCUGGGGCGGCGUCCAACCGUCCGUCCCCGACUGGCGCAGUCGGCUCUGAGCUAAUGGUCGGAGCGGACACCUAAGCGGCGCUUUGGGCGCUGUCCGGCGGCAGAGCUAGAUCAUGCCCAUCGUGACAGUGUGGCGCGCUCGGCCGUGGCUCGAAUCCGUCGAAGAUCAAGUCCCCGCGGAUGUCGGCCGUGUAAUUUAAGCUUCCAAACCUGACCUGAUGGCUAGGGGCGUAGCUUUCGAUCUGCUCCAGAUGGCCAAGCGAAUUGGCCCGCAGUGCGAAGCCGCCGAAUACGAAGAUCUGUCCGGGGAGAAAAGUCUCACCCUGGACCGCGUCAUGGUUGAUGAUCGAAGAAGCCAUCGGGCCUAAAGGUGACGACACAGAGGAACUCUCAAUGAAAGCACCAAUGUCGGUGUCAAAACCGGCGGAUCUCGGGUAGGGGGUCCCGAACUAUGUGUCUAGGCGGAUGGUAACAGGAGACAAGGGACACGAUGUUUUUACCCAGGUUCGGGCCCUCUCAAUGGAGGUAAAACCCUACUCCUGCUUGAUUAGUAUUGACGAUAUGGGUAGUACAAGAGUUGAUCUACCACGAGAUCAGAGAGGCUAAACCCUAGAAGCUAUCCUAUGGUAUGAUUGUUGUUCGUCCUACGGACAAAAAGCCUCCGGUUUAUAUAGACACCGGAGAGGGUUAGGGUUACACAGAGUCGGUUACAAUGGUAGGAGAUCUACAUAUCCGUAUCGCCAAGCUUGCCUUCCACGCCAAGGAAAGUCCCAUCCGAACACGGGACGAAGUCUUCAAUCUUGUAUCUUCAUAGUCUAGGAGUCCGGCCAACGGUGAUAGUUCGGCUAUCCGGACACCCCCUAAUCCAGGACUCCCUCAAGGGUCAACAAGAGUACCUCGACUAUUUGACUGCUAAGCAAGUUUUGCAGGUCGGCCUCGAUGAUGGUACUGAGGCCGACAUCGACACCGACGGCGCCGGCACCGAUGGCGGCACCGAGACCGGUGGGGAAGGAACCGGCGGGGAAGGUACCGGUGGGGAAGGUACCGGCCCCGAUGCCGCUACCGAAAAGAGGAAACAUAAGAAGCAGAGGAUACGAAAACCUAACAAACUAGGGAUUGGACGACUUGUGAUCACAAAGAUGGCACCUGGCAAGUUUGAGCCCUUAGAGCCGGAAGAACCUCGCAAGUGCUAUGGGAACCAAGUAGGAUGCAUCCUACGGGAAUGUGCGAGCAUCAACGACGAUGACUUAAGGAGUAAAGAACAUUUGACGCAAUUGCUCCUAACGAAGUUGCACAAGAGAUUCAAGUUCCCCGACCGGGAUGAUAACAUAGAACAACCGUGGGAUGAUCCGAAGAUGAAAAAGAUUAACAAUCACGCCAUGGGCAUGUUCAGAAAUGAUUUGGCCUCCUGGAAAGGGAGGGUGAAACGAGCUAUUGAGGCUGAUGAACCCCUGUCCAAGAUUCUGGAGGAAAAUCCGACACUUACGGAAGAGGAGUUCGAAAAGUUCAAGGAUACUUGCGCUACCGAGGCAGCCAAGGCUAAGGCUGCGAAAUUCAAGAGCCUUCAGCAAAGGAACACGGGGAAGCAUCGCCUCGGAAGCCGUGGCUUCCUCGGUAAAAGGCACAUAUGGGAUAAGGAGGACGCGGAACGUGAAGCCGCGGGUCUCCCAGACCCCUUCACGAAGUUCACCAACCCCUUGGAGCAUGACUUCAUCAGGGCCCGCUACAAGUGGGACAAGGAGAAAAAGGAUUUUUACACGGACAAGAUCACGAGGAAAUUGAUUAGACUACUGGAGAAGCAACACCAGCUUGCAGCCGAAAGCCCUACUUCUCCGAUGAGGCCCAAGUGGGAGACCCCUUUCAACCGGGCCUUGAAUGAACUUAAGGGACUCCCUUUGGACCAGCGGCCGCAAUAUGGUCGUGUGCACGACACUGGAGACGGCGCCACGUGGAAGGUGUUUUACAACGAGGGCCCGGAGGCGAAGAAGCAGAAAAAGAAGUUUAGUCAGGCGGACAUCGACGUGAAGGUGAAGCUUGCGGUCGAGAAAAAAGCAGCUGAGGACGCGAAAAAAGCAGCCGAGGACAAAUAUGAGUUGCUAUAGCAGGCAGUCAAUGCAGCUGUAACUGCCUGCAGAAAUGAUUUGGCUACUAACUUGGUUCCAGUUAUCAUCAACUGGGCGAAGGAAAAUCCAGACAAGACGGUACAUGAUUUCCCGUUGCCCAGUUUCCUCGGGAGCAACUCCAUGAACAACAACACCAUCGCACCAUCACUUGCUCACGCAAUCGGGCCUCCUCUUGCAGCCGCUCCCGCUCAUAGCAGCCUGUCCUUAGUCUCAGGCGCGCUAGGUGGGCCUUCGUCUUUGGUUGAGCUCGACGCCGUCAGGGUAAUUACAUGUCGCACCAACAUAUAUAUAUAUAUAUAUAUAUAAUAUUCCAUUUUUAUUGCCUUUCGGUUGUUUUACGCCACAGACAUAUGUGUUUGCAGGCGAAAGAAACCCCGUGCACCAUACUCUACUUGAUCAAAGGCCAGAAGGUGGAUGUGGGAAAGGGGAUGAUAAUGGACCCCUCUCAACGCACGUUCCACAACCAGCCGAUCCCCGCUGGGCACUUCAGGGUUAGCUUGACCAGUGUGAAAUCGAGGCACGAGGAUUUGCCUCCUCCAGUACAUCAUGUGGGAGCGGACGACGAGACCCCGUCGUGGAUUGGAAGCUGCAAGAAUUGGGUGCUGCUAUGGCCGAAGAAUCUUAUUCGUCUGGAGCCGGCCGAGAGCACACCAAUAACUACCACACAUCAACAAGCAUGUGCGGAGACCACCACCCUGCCUACGCAAUUACCAUCUCCUGUAGUGCCGGGUGAGAGCGGCGGGCGACAUGAUGAAGGGGGUGCAAUAGUACUGGCUGAUGUAAUUUCUCCUGUAGAACAGAGAAUGGAUGAUGAGACGGAGGUCGACCCUAUGGAUUACCUCAAUACAAACGCAUAUGACUGUGACAUAGAUAUGAUGAGUCAACCAUAUGACGAAUCGGGCUAUCAGCUUGCUAAUGAGGAUAUGGAUGAUAUGCCCGGGCAGGGUCGUAGCAUGGAUUGCAAAAAGUCUCUCUUCAUGAAAUCCUCACAGGACACGCCUGAAGAUGCCGCCUCAACACAGGCUCAACUAGCCGGGCGCGAGGGUCGUAUAGUACUUAGCCCGGGAACACUGGGGCAGGGGUUAAGGAAAGGUCUGGAAGGUGUGCCCAAGAAAAAGGAGAGGAAGAGAUCGGGGAAGGUAACCGCCUCCAAACAAGCGAGAGCACAUAGCAGCCAGACGAUGCAUUCUGAAGAGCGUGUACCCGUGAAAGGUGCGGUCAUGUUCCAUCUCACGGGCGAGCCGAUGCUACCGCCGAAACCGCUGGAGGCACUAUCAGGGGAUCUUAGGAGACUGCACGACCAUGUGUUGUCGACUGAGAAAAGCCUACUAGCCUCAAAGGAUCCAGGAUAUCCAACAUACGCGGCUCGUGUGCCUGAGGGGAAGUGCUACGUCAACACACGGCCCGCGGAGGUGUUCUUCCUGCGGUUUGACCAUAUCUUUGAGAUGUUUCUAACAAGGCGGCUUGCUUUUACUAUCGUCCGCCUUUUUGCGCUACAUAUGAGCUCCGUCAUGAAGAGUGAAGAAGUCUCGCAAAUCUGUGCGGCGGAUCCGUACUACAUGCACAAGUCUUUCUUCAGUCUCGGUGACUUUGAGCAUGAAACUGCUAGGGAGUACCUCCAAAACUUCAUGGUACAAAAUAAGGACCGGGAAAUUGUCCUUGUGCCUUAUCAUCCAAAGUAAGUCAGUUCCGAACAACCCUUUAGUACAUUUCAAUCAUUCCUUCUCUCUCAUAUGGGGAAUGAUUUGAGGUGUCUUUUCCCCGCAGCAACGGGCGCACCGUCCUUAUCGUUCUUUACCCGCAAGUCUCCCACGCCGUGUAUUUUCACCCUUCCAGAGACUACGAGAAAAAAGACUACACCCACAUAAUGAAUAUUCUAGAUGAUGCUCUCCAAGGCUUCAGAUUUAGAGGUGGCCACGUGCAGAUCAAGAAACAAAGGAACAAGAAGAUGGGUUUCGCGCAUAAAACUAACUUCUCAUGCAUCCAUGUCCCAAAACCAAGCAAGAAGGAUGGAUUCUACAUCGUCCAUCUCAUGAUUCAGUUCAACACGGAUCACCAAAAGCUUCGCAUUAACAGCAGAAAUGAUGAUCAUAUCCACAAGUGGCUAGAAUCUCAUGGAGAAGCGGAUUAUAAACCUAGAGAUGACUUCUUUCGCAUCCAAAGCGACAUUGCGACGAUCAUCAUGAAAGAAGUCGUCGAUGAGAAGGGGAUGUUCCACCACGGCCCUAUAUCGCGAGCUGACGUCCGAACUCGCAUAGGCAUGCAACGUCUAGACCUCAUGCCGUUCAAGAAGCUAGGGUUCAUCCUCGAUGAUAUGGAAGGAUGGAACUUCUAGUGAUUUAUGAUGCCGAUGAUGAUAAUAUGUGUCGGUUGAACUUGUAUACUUUUUGUAGCGAUGAAACUUUGUGAUGUCCACGGUCCCUGCCAAACUUGCGUAACGCUACUUUGUUAGUUUGUGUAGGAUGACCUGCGUACCUCUAGUUAAUUAAUUUGCGUACUGUAUGUUGCAUCUAGUUGCUAACCCUUUCUUUUUUGGUGUUGCUCUAGUAUAUUUUGUUGCAUAUAUAUGAUUGUACAUCCUCUUCAUGAACAUGCAUCUCUAAUAGGUACCUAGUUUCUUGAUGGCGAGAUGGAAUUGCUAUGUCGUGUACAAAGGGAAGGUUCCGGGGGUGUACAACGAGUGGCAUGAGUGUCAGGCGCAAGUGAAUGGGUUCACGGGCGCCAGCCAUAAAGACUUCAAAACCAGACAAGAAGGAGAAGCUAGUUACUUGAGGUUCAUGCUAGCGCGAGAGAGGGCUCGUAACCGCCACCUCAUGUACUGCAUAGUUCCACUCUCACUCAUAGUGAUAGCACUUCUUGCGUAUACCUUUGUUUAGAUGGAUGACGUUGUUGUAGUUGCAAGUAUUCGAGACUUGCACGUAUCGCUAUUUUCAAGAUGAUGACAAGAUAUCACUUUGUGUUGGAUGAUGAUUAUGAUGAGACUAUUUGUAUGUACAUGCUAUGAUUACAUUUCUGGUCUCGCAGGCAUUUGUAUGUGUAUCAUGAUGACAUUUCUAUGUGCUAAAGAUUCUUCUAUAAAGCCUGUUCAAACACAAAACAAAUAUGCCAAAAAAACUACUUAAAUUAGCAGUAGCGGGUGUAUAAAAGUUAGCAGCAGCGCCGCGAUAGCAGUAGCGCGUCCAGGCAAAGCGCGCUAGAGAUACUAGCAGUAGCGAGCUUCCGCUAACAGCGCUGCUGCUACACUUGUGUAGCAGUAGCGCCGGUGAGCACGCGCUACUGCUAUGUGUUAGCUGUAGCGCCUUAUUAGUAGCGCCUAUCCCCGCGCUACUGAUACAUCUAAAACCCGCGCUGCUGCUAGCCUUUUCCCUAGUAGUGGUCGCCUGACUUGCCAUCAAUGUGGAGCGGCGGGCUCAGCUAGCGCUGGGCAGGAAGUGUGCGCGGGAGGGGGAAGGGGGUUUUGUUGGGCCAAGAAGGUGAGAAGCCAACUUGGGACUGGUCCAAACGGGGAAAUAUCAUGUGCUCCCAUACUCUGCAUAUGACACUAGUCUAUGUCACUACUCCCUCCUUUCCGGUUUAUAGAGAUGUUUAAAGUAACAUCGGAAUAUGUUACAGUAAAAGUUACUCCCCACUAUGACCAUCCUUGGCCUCUCCCAAUGCUCCACCAUGUAUAGCUGCUAAGCCUGCCACGUAGGCAUAAAAUAUGAUGUGGCAAGUUAAUUAAGAAGAGAGAGACUAGUUUGGUGACCGCAGGAAGAAACGGUGGAAAGACAGUUUUGAGUCUAUAGCUAAUUAAAUGAAGCAAGCUUAGAAACAAUAAACUAAGCACCUAUGCAUUGAAGACUUGAGUUACUAAGCCAUUUAAUGCACUUAGCACCUCAUCUAAGCACAUCUAAGCACUUAGCACUUAGCACCCCCUUGACCGUGGACCUUGACGGUGUACGUCACCUUGUGUCUCAUAAUUUUCCUCGCCAUCACUGAGUCCUAGAAGAUCUCACCCACAUCAUCAUUAGGCAUGCAGCCGCCUUGAUAGACAACGUGCGCAGAAGGAGUAGAGGCGACUGGGGACGCACCACAUCAUGGGCACUCCGUACGUACUCGUGUGCGUGUAGCGUGCAUGCUUUUCCAUCGGUGCUAGCUCUACGGUCGAGGUUGCGGUCGUCUUCGUCUCUGACUAGCCGUUGAGCAACGACGGCAAAGAGGUGUUGCAAGAGAUGCGUAGGCACCGUUGUGUGCGAGCUUCGCCGUAGCACGACGAACCGGACAUUGUCGCAGAUGGCGCAUGCCUCCAUGCAGCCGAGUGUGUGUGCAUGCAUGUGUUAUUCACGUGCAUUAUGCAGCCGAGUGUGUGUGCAUGCACAUGUUGUGUAUGUGCGUUGUGUGCUCCAUGCCUGUGCACGUAUGUGCAUGAGUUGGAUCGGAUGGAGUUAGUGUGUUGGCGUGUGUACAUGUGUGGCUGCAUGCGUCCUGUACAUGCGUGGCUUGUUGCGUGGUUAUCAAUAUAAACUAUAAAACAUCUUCAACUUAGCAUCCUGAUGUAUCAUUUCUAGUGGUUAGCGAAGAGUUCAUGUUCUUUUAUUUGUUUAUAGUUGGGCAGGCGGCAAAAAGCAGGGGAAAACGCGCAAGGUUCCUUGCAGAUGCUCCACCGGGAGGUUCCUUGCUCCUUCUCGGUCGUCGGGAAUCUAUGUUCUUCAACUCUUUUCUUUUACGUGAGCUUUGUUCAUCUUUUUCCCAACACGCGAGACAUCUAGCAUCAAGGUGCAUGUGUCAUGCAAGAAAAUGGAGAUAAUCAGAUAAGCAGUGCGUAAGUGAGUCAUGCACUUCAAUGGCACCUACUACGCAAUAUUUUUUUCUCCUCGAUGGCACGUGAAUAGUGCACGUACUCAACGACGGAGCACGGGAUGGUAGCCAUGACAUGGUCAGCCCUUUUUUGGAGAGAGUACGUAUCAAAUAACUUUGAUGUGUCCCAUCAACUCACAGAAUGAUGAGAAGCCUAAUUACGCCUUCUCCCUUGCCAACGCAUGCGCGGUGGCUCGCAGCACGAGGAGAAACUUUUGCUUAUAAGCGGUGGACGUGCAGUAGUUCAUUUGGUGUCAGAUUGCCAGAAGUACUACUGUAGAACCAUCGACUUCUGGAAGAGGCGAAGAGCCAAGCGCAAGGUCACCUACUAACUUUAGGAUAGGCGUAGUGGGAAUAACAUAAGUAGGGUACCUCCUUUUUUAUUCUAGAAAUAACCACACAUGAAUAUCGAGGUGUUGGUUACAUAGAACAAAUUUCCUGGAGUCCGUGCUCAGCCCUCCUCUAUCUCUCUUCUCAGCAAGCCAGUGGACGCGCGGAGGCCAUCGUCUGUUUGCUCAUAUGCGGUCCCACAUGUUAGUGAAAAUGCAAGAGGACCCACUGAAGCUGCACAUCUUUCACCUCGACGUGCUGGUGAUGAAAAACAAAUCCAAUAAAGAUCUUCAGUGGCCGCUUUUGGAGUUACUCAAGAGUAGUAAGAUUCUAUUUACAGUUUAACCCAAGAUGCACAUCACGUGGCUUCAACUACCACUCUAUUUUCUUGCAUGACAUGACCUGGAUGCUAGAUGUCCCACGUGUCUGCAAAAGGAGGAAGAACCCGACCAAAUCUUCGGAUUAGACUAGUUGUGCUAACUUAAAAUUUUAUUGUGUAGAAUGGAUGCAAGUUUUGGUAUUGGGAAGAAGAGUACAUCGAUAUAUUCAUAGAGCGCAAUUUAGUAGAUGUUGUAGCACUUUUAGCUAGCAUAGAGGCUAGAGAUGAGACUAGUGCACUUGUUGAUAGAAUAGAGGCUAGACAUGAGAGUAGAUGCGAGGAAGCAACGUCUACUUCUUUACACUCGAAGAAGAAAGAAGCAUGCAAGAUUGAGCCUCUGCAGAUCAACAAUGAAUGCAUCGAGAAGGCACUAAUCCAAAUUACAGGAGCAGUUAUGGAAGUUGGAUAUCUUCUGAAAUGUAUUCUUGUGGUUCUUGUUUUCUUUGGUCUUGCUUUUCUAGUCAAAAAUUUGCUGAUGUGUCUCCAUGUACCAAAAAAUCAAUGAUGAAAAAAAGAUAUGUGUUUGCAAAGAAAAAUGUACGCGGCUGGGAUGCGUCCGCGCGUUCGGCGCAUGGCCACCGCAUCCAAGAAAUGGCCCGGACAUGACCCAUUGCCCUACCCAAAUGGACAGAAUACGGGAAAAAUGGAGGUCCGUUUGGGGUCAUGCGUUGGAGUUGGCCUUACAAGUGGGACCGCAGUUGAGGAAACCGACUAUCGGCAAAUCCCCACCUCGCCCGCCGCAAGAUGGCUGAGUUAGAGAAAUGACAAGGUUGAAGAGAUUGCUCUAGCAUGGACUCCAAGAAAUAUGGUGUUAGAUGGAAGUUGUGCUGGUGGCAUGUGCCGUACUCCUGGACGUGAAUGCUUGUUCUGGCCCAUGCCACCCUACUACUCCUACUACUUAUAUAGUACUAGUAGUAUCGAGGAUUUGAGGUGCUGGUUAUGUACAGCGAACACAUUAACAUAUGGCCCACCUCACACUGUGGCCAAAUUUCCUGGAGUCUGUGCUAGGUUAAAAAGUGGUCUUUGUGAGGGUGGGUGGCUGGUCUCAAGUUUAAAACUUGUUGUAUUACGUAUACGUAGACGUAGAGAUAGUGCAGCAGUUCUGAAAGUUUGAACCCAAACAUCAGAAUGCAAUUUCAACUAGACUCAUCCGAGGACCUAGGAUGAUGGGAUUCGCAGCUACAGUAAAAACACUCGCCCGACGCGCGAAGCAUGUGAAGCUAGUACAAAUAGUGUACUACUAUUGUUGAUUGGCCUCAUCCGAUAACCUGUUGCAAUGCACGUACAAUUAUGUAUUCGGAAAAUAUAUUUUUGCCUCGUCGCAGCACUCACUAAGAUAAGCGACUCGAAAUCCAUUCAUAAAUUUAGUAAGUUUAUCACAAGCGUAUCAUUUUAUUACAUACAUCAGGUUAUCAACCCACAACGACAACGAGGGUACUUUAUAAAUAUUAAAGUUUUCAUCACACAACAAAUAACAAGCAAUGAAAUGAACUUCAACUCAACCAAUCCUCGGCGUUGGAAACACUUGCUUUGAACCACAAGUGAUUCUCUAGGACGGGCCACCUAUUGUUAACUCGAGACAAAAGUAGGACUGAUCAUCCAUGCUGGAGCGGCCUACUAUAUCAGUACCAAGGUAGGGAACCACCCAAAUGUCCAAGGUAUACAUACAAUUGCUUCUCAUAAAUGGUAGUAACAUUGUGUCAAUAGCAGUUGGAUCGCCUUUCACCAUCAUCGGAUAGUUUUGUCCAAGUAAGAGCGAGUUUUCUCCAAGACUAUCAAUUCUGUACGAGGGAGAAGGUGUUGGUGCUAGCACACUAGUAUCCAUCCCGAAUACCAUGCAACGAGUGUUGGAAUAGAUCCGGAGAGUGCGACCAUGGGAGACAACACGUGCUCCCUCAGUAGUAACAAACUCAGUGCGCUGUAUACAGACAAGAAGAGGUGAUCCAUCGGAAUUAGUUGCCAGGCGGCACUAAGUAUAUAAGUUCUGCUCGUCCUCAUGCUCGUGAUCAUCACCAUCGUCAUCUCCCCCCUUGGUUAUAAAAUUUUUCAAGUAUAGGUGGUGGAAUGUUCACAGGACCUUGCAAACACAAGAAGAAGGUUAAUUAGUAAAGGGAAACUUGCUAACCCGCAUGCAUGUGGAUGAAACAAUUAUAAUUACGGUGGAAGACAAACGUACCGAAACUACGAGGAUCCCAUGCAAAAGAAGUGCCAUGAGUGGUGGAAGCAAACAUAAGACCCUCGUAUUGAAUUGCAUCACAGUACACAUCCGUGUAUAGAAACUGAUUUUUGAGCAAUAUCCAUUGAGUCGAACCACAAAGGACGGCAACAAGCUUGUCGAAGAUAGCAAAGACUUCAUAGUUCUUGUAAUUCCAAGAGCGGUUGGGAACUCAACAAAUUGCUAUCUUCCAUAGAAGACAGUCACCAUGAUCGUAUUUGAACGUGCGUAGAAUACCGGUGUGCUCAACCUCCGGGCAGUCUGCUACGAAUUUUCAAAGUGAACCCGGUGAUGAGUGUACACAUUCACAAGUUCCCACUCGCAGUUGUACCCAAUAUAAACAACCCAAUCUCCCUUUGCGCCUGCCCAAUCCUUUCCCUCAAGUGAUGGCAUCUUAACAUCAUACGUAUCAUUAUCAAGCAGCAUCAACUUGCACAAGGCGAGGCCUCCUUCGUCCCCGCGCCAGUCACUAGGGUCACGGCGAAGAAGAUAGGGGAGAUCAAAACGCUCCUGGACCCUUGGGUUCCUUGUAAUGAUGUUAUUAGUUGAGUCGAGAAUGGUCUUGAACGAACCUGCCAUGCUAGCCGAGGUGAAUACGUCGCACCGAUCAAUGAGUUCCUCCACCACGUCAUCUUUCAGAUCGGGGCAAGAAUAACGGGGUCGUUUCCGGCCUGUUCCCUCCAUGGAGAAGAUGAUCGAACAAUGGCAGAAGGAAGGGUGAAGGCAAAUGGAGGAGGGAGGAAGAGCGUGCGACAGCUGUUCCAAAUCGAGAGGGAAAGGCGAAGAGUUGGUGGACGGUUGCCAAUUUGCCACGGUACAUGAAGAGGCGCCCCGGCCUACACGUCCGUUCGGAAAUACUAGUAGAAAAGGACUCGCCGUCGUCUCACUGACAUGUUGGAACCGAACACAUGUCAACGAAACAUGGUGUGUAAUUUCUCGCGCAAAAUGCGAUCUGGCCGUGUUGGCCCGAGGUGCCGCAUUAGUUAUUUUAUUUGAAAGUUUGCCGCAUUAGGUAUCGACCUUUAUUUUUUUAACAUACAAUCUGAAUGGAUAGCUCCUGUGGUCAUCACACAUGAGCGGAUAUAUAGGUGGGCUAGGUGGAUAGGCGUUGAGCAGGCGGCAACAAUCUGAGUGCUAAAAGAGUUGAUCCAAUGCUUGGUUUUGUUUGGAUUUUCCAACUAUGACCAUUGGAUAGAGUGAAUCAAUGGCUCACGUUCAAAGUUAUUCUCAUACUAUAGAUUUUUUGAUUCAGUUGCUAUGCUGCUACCGUCCAAUAUUCGCGUGUGGUUGUUUCUAGAGUAAAAAAGGAGGUACUGAUACUUACUGUGGGAAAGGUGAAGUGAUGGUUGAUUCGCCCAAGCAACUUAUUACUGUGGCAAUAUGGGAGUACCAGCGGAUUCAAGGAACAGAGAAAUGAUGGUUGCUUCGUCCGAGCAACUUACUAUGGCAAAGGUGGGGCUUUGUGAUUUGCCUGCUCACUAGUCAUUACUACUGCGGUGCAACGACCGGGGUGAAUCUUUCCCUGCAAUUGUGUUGUGCACUCAAUAUUGCUGCAUGGCAAGUGGAGCCGGAUGAAGGAUGUCCAACAUCUCGGCGAAACAAAGUUGAAUUGUUUCUGGCAUUGCUAUCAAUCCUUCAGGAUUUGUUUAUAUGUACACAUAAUUUUAAUGAAAUUGUACUGUGAUGCUAUGAAGGUUUCAACUUUGGUUCCCGCAGGAAAAAAAAGGUUUCAACUUAGGAUUCAUUUGUCUUCCAUCAAAUACAAAUGAAACUACCAUGGCUACCAUGGCUAAUGCAUCUCAAUGGUUCGCAGAUCAGCACCAAUAUUCACAUCACAACUGGAGACAAAGUUGUGAGAAGGUGUACAAAUAAAGAAAAAAAUAUAGCUGAUGUUGUUCGUAGGCAUGGCUCAAUUUCCUUGGCACAGUGUUCAUUGCUUGGCAGCUAGUUUCACCCAGCUCUGUAGCCAAAAAAGAGGUGUAUGGAGGACAGCACAAUCCGAUCAUUUUGUGCAGCUCCACUAAAAUCGAGCGGACCAUCCCUGUUUGCAAAGAUAUCCAGUCAGUGUGAUUACAAUAAUAGUGGAACUAAAUGAUGAAACAUAACACACAUAAAUAGAAGCCGAUCACCUCUACGAUCUCUCUUUAGGACUAACUUCUUGUUGGAGAAGAUUAGGCAUGGAGUUGGAUGAGGAGGAUAGCAAAACGAAUCUCCCUUUCUGCCGUCCCACAGAAAUGUAAAAAUGUUGCCCGUGUGACAUUUUGGCGGAACUGCACAAAACACUCUUAAGCAAGAAGUGAUUUGUGCAGUUCACCAAAAGGUCACAAUAGCAACAAGGUGAAAAUGGAUAGCCCUGUUUGCGAAAGGAGGUAGAAAGGAAACAAUUACUGCCCAAUAACAUGAGUUGAAGACACAUACCCCGACAAAAAAGAGGCAUAUUCCAUGUAAUAAGGGAAAGAUAGCACAUGUUGGUUUAUCAAAAAUGGUUUGAGGACAAGAUUGCAAGAUGGAAAGUACGUCGGCCGAUAUACAUUUAAGCAAACAACUAAAGAAGAUCCACAUGCAGCAACGUGGGAAGAUGGGCAGUGGAGCAAGGCCGGAGGAAGCUGUACCUGAGGGUCGUCGGGAUGUUACUAGGAGGGCACCGGCGGCCGGGAUCUACCCAUACUGUGGCAACAAGCAAGUGGCGAAGGCCCUACCACGCAGGAGCUUGGUCAGAGAGAACGACGGGUACCGCAGAUCGGGACGUGCUGCUUCAACACCAUCGAACGGAGAGACGAUGCCGUCCUCCCCUUCCGCCAGCGGACGGGAUGCAGAUGGAUCACUAACCAAUGCUGAGAGAGAGAGAGAGGCCACUUCCGCCUUGUGUGAGAUGGUGUGACGAGAGACAUACCCAUUUUUCCAUUUUCCCCACGGCAAUCGUUUUAUAUUCUGUACGUGCCAUUGAGGAAUAUAUAACUUUAUUUAAUACUAACACGUCAAGUCGAACAUCAUUCCGUCUAGGCAUGGUACCCGACCCUCCUUCGAGUAACCAACCGCUACACGUGUUAAAUUAUCACGUGGACUGCCUUUUCGUACAGAAACAAACUCCACCAUGUACCCGCGCGGGUGUGGCCGGGAACGAGGCGUGAGUAUGUACGUCCUGCGUGCACCUCUUCUUUAGGUGCAGGUACGUACGUGGGUGGGUGUGAGAGAGAUGGUUUGUGCGAAACAGAGGCAAUGUUUUGAUGAUAUCUCAAACAGAAAAACGUAACAUAUGCAAUGUGUGUGAAAUGGAGUCAGGGACGUGAUAUAUCGAUAGAAUUGAAAACAGGGUUGAAGUGUGUGGUUGCGCGAUCGAUAAAGAGUUCCAUCGAAUUUGUGUUUGCCCACGUCAAAGAUACAGGGCGGCUGGCAUACUAGAAUUUGAGAGGGUAGAGGUGAAGUUUUUCUACGUGGCAUGGAUACCUACCUGCAACGUUCGACUAUCAGUGUGUGUGGGGGUGGGGGGCAGAGACCGAUCGACUAGUAUAUGUGUGGGGAAGGAGAGAGACCUAGCUAUGUAUUGAGGGAGAUCGAUCGGCAUCCAUGGAUAUGUGUAGCAGAGGAAUAAAGUUGCGAGAAAGACAAGGGUAGAGCGUUGGAGGGUUGGUGGUGGAGUGGCAUCUCACAAAUGGUGGGAGAGGCCUGCUAGACAAACGUAGGGUACGAGUGCAAUAUCAAUAAGAGAGGGCGGGGGAUGUCUGUCUGUCUAUGCACAUGCAUGUGAGAGACGGGUUGGGAGGUACGCAAGGAUGAUGAGGGGAGACGAUAUGGUUGUGGUAAGCAUACGUAACUACAUAGGAAGAUCAACCGUCGUGUGUCCGAGAAAGGGAGAGACAUAACUAGCAAGGUAAGUGUAUCGGUGCAUGGGGAAAAUGAAUUAUAGUCGACCUGGCUAUAUGUAGGGAGAUCAGUACGUAUACACACCUGCAUGUGUUAGAAGAAAAUAAGGUCCGGAGAGACAGACAGGGGGAGAGUGGUGCGGCUAGGAGGUGGUGUGAGAGGCCUACCAUGUUGAGGGGGGGAGGAGUGUGCGAGUAUGAGAUCAAUGAAAAGAGGGGCGGGAGUGUGCACCUGCGUGGAACCGUAUUGGACAUAGGGGGGCAUGGACGAGGUGAGAAGAAAAGAGGGGAAGUAUAUAUGUGUUUGUUGUAGGCACACUUGGCUAGAGAUGUAUAUCGACCGGUGUGUGCCGGAAAGAAUGAGUCGGGGCCUACACACACCGCGGGUAGAAGACCUAAAGAGAAAUAACGAACGUGCGCGAUGGAGGGGAUGCUAAGGGUGGGUGAGAGGGGGGUGGGUGUGUGCAUGCACGAUAGAAAGUUAGCGCUAGCUAGCUACAAAUAGAAGAGGAUCGUGAGGGUGUAAAAUAUGAACAAAGAUCAUAAUUCAUUAUAAAAAAGUGGAUACGGAUACUUGAAGAAGAUAUCAUAAUGUAGAACAUUGAUUAUAAUUUGGGCUAAUGUGUGGCUUUUGCAGCUCGGGUCUAAAUACUUGUCACAAUGUAGGGGCGGGGCACUAUACUUUGUGUGAUAAACAUGGUGUACGUACGGAACAUGGUUUAGAUUAUGAAUAUAUAGUUAGUACAUCAAAUGCACUAUUAUUUGGAAUCAACAUCAAGUGUAUUCAAAAAAUAGAAUUCGAGUUCAUGUAGUACACAUAGUUCAUAUCUAUCUCUGUAGUAAUCAUGUGGUGUGUUAUUAAGGUAAUACACGAAUGAUGGUUGAAGUUGGCAACAAUCAUGAUUGUAGAUUCUUAUUGAAAUAGAUAAACAAAUUCAAAUUCAGUUCGAAUUGCAGCGGUAGUAUAGACAUUUGGAAUGCACUAAAAUGUUGGUAUGAGUAGGUUACAUGCAUUAUACAGCAAGCAAAAAAAUUUAAUUGGACAUAACAUGGAUUCAUACUCCCUCCUUCCAUCUAUAUAGGGUGUAAUGCAUUUUUUAAGACCGCCUUUGACUAUUGACAAGAUUAAUAGUACAUGACAUGCACAAUGUGAAAAUUAUAUCAUUGAAAGAUCCUUUCACACACGAAUUUAACAGUGUGCCUUGUGUAAGUUGCAUGUCAUAUAUUAUUGCUCUAAUAUUUAGUCAAAGUUAGCAUCAAAAAACGCAUUAGGCCCUAUUUAGAUGGAAGGAGGGAGUAGCUUUGAAUAGCAUUUGUAUAGUAAAAUGGGGCAAGACUCUCUCUUUGUGUGGUGUGAAUAGUUUUAAUUUUUUUUGUUUUCUUUUUGGUUGAGGGAAGUGCGAAUUUAUUUGGUACGUACAAGUACAAUAUUACACGUUAGGCUUGUCCCUCAAAUUCAACCCGCGCCUUGCUAUCCCGAAAUUACAACGCGCGUGAAAACUCCCUCCGGCUGUCAAGUCCCGACAUAAGAAAUCCCCCUUCUAACCCUGAGCCGAAAGGGCCGCUAGUUCAAAUCGGUGGGGGGUACUUUUGUAACACACCCUACAUUUUGGACAAGCGCUUCCCUAAGUCAUGGCUCACCCCCUCCCAUCGCCCCCUUUUCGCCAUUAGAAAUUCGAGGCCGCCAUAACCUCUCUGCUCCAGCCGCGAAACCCCACCCUCCUCCGUCUGCCACCUCACCGCUGCCCAGUCGGAGCCUCUUCCCCGACAACGUCAUCCACCGCAAUAGCUCGACGUCCCUCGUCCACCUCCUCGGAUGAGGAUCCGUAGUCCAUCUUGUCAUUCAGCCGCCCCAUCCUCCACCUCCAAGGAGCUGCUCCGACGAUCACCUCGUCUAUCACGGCUACUCUAUCCUCACAGCGUCGCCUUAACCUGCUCCUCCGGAACCGCAACAUCCUCACUGACUACUCGGACGAAGUCAAGGCCUACUCGCGCCAACAAAGAGGUUGUACACUCAUCGCAUUGCACCUUCUCCUUAACUCGACCUCCCGCCGGCGAUGGUGCUCCAUCCUGCACCCCCAUGGAGAGGCUACCUUGAAGCCUGUGCCAUGGGAGACAUCUCCAUGGCAGCUCUCCCACAGUACGAGGCCCCUUCGGCGGCGGCGGCCAUACCAGCCGGAUCUUCUGCUGCUGCUCCGGCUCUCGCUCGCUCGCUCGCGCUGCUGCUGCUCCGGCUCUCGCUCGCUCGCUCGUGCUGCUGUUGCUGCUCUCCCGCUCGCUAUUGCUGCUGCUCUGCUCUGAUUUAGCUACACUUCAGUCGAUUGAAUCGACUUUUGGGUCAGUCAAUUUUCAGGGGUGGGGGGCUCGCCGGAGUUAAGGAAGAACCACCCGCAACAGGAACGGGGGCUCGCCGAAGAGGUACCCCACUAUCUAUCUUAGGGUUCAGGGUGGGGGCGGGGGGCCUAGAGGGCUGGCCGGGGUGGCGGCGGACCGGUGGUGGGGAGUUGUUUCGGGGCGGCGAGGCGGCGCUGAGGCCGGUAGUUCGGCCGGUGGUGACUGGCGGCUCAGGGGGAUGCAGGUUGAAGAUGAACUGCAGGCCCUCCCUAAACUACCUGUCAAGUGCCUCUCUGCUACCAUUGCAUUCAAUUUCGACAAUAACAUUCAGAUUCCACAGUAAAUUUCAGUUUCGAGAGUUAAGUUUAGAGUCAACAAUUUUUACCUCAUCUGUUGUAGUCAGGUGGUUUUUUGUGAUGUAAAUUUUACAUCUAUUUUACAUCAUCUAUUGGAGAUGGUAUUAGAAUCCCACUUGAGAUUGACGAUGUUUGUCUUGUGCUACUUCAGCCUUGACAUCUUACAACUCACCGGAGCUGCUCCAACAAAUGAACGAUCCAUCAAAUAAGAGCAGUGCCCUGGACGCCGUCUACAGAUUCCUCAGAUCUUCCUCCACACCUCCGAUAGCCACCUCUACCUCAACUGCUUUAGCGACCAACCGAAUGAUGCUGAGGUCGACACGGCUACGGCAAAGAGGUUGUACACUUGUUGCAUCACUUAUUACUAUACAAUCAUGUCGAUCCAUUGGGGCUAUUUUGUUUGAACAGAAAAACAUAGCAAUAGGGAAUUUUCCAAUGGCACUCUACUAUUCAAUUAUUCAUGCAUUUUGUUAAAAGGAAUGAAGCAAAACAUCCACCUAGACCUACUUUUCAAAAUCCUAUGCAUGAAAACAAGACCAAGUGCAUUAGUGGCAGAAUAACAUUCUAACUGUACACGCUUUCAUAUGGUUUCACUUUAUUUUGGCCAUGAUCCUUUGCAUUCUCUGCUCUUCCAAUUCCUGUAAACCAAACACCCAAGUUGACAGAAAUCAUGUGUUUAUAAAUGCUUUGUUUACCAUGUGCAUUCCUAUCCUAUUCUGGUGUUUUUCCUAUCCCUGCGUUUUUAGAAUCAUGCAAGCCAAAUGAACCCUUACAGAAUUACUUCAGUUACAGGUAGGUGUCGAAGGGAACUUUGUGUGGUUUGUCCUGCUCCUGCCGUGACGUCGUCCACCUCACCUGAGCUGCUCCAUCAAUAGAAGCAUCCACCAAACCAGACAUCACGACUCCUGAUCGUCUUUCGCCGCCUCAGAUCUCCUUCCCUGCCGCCGACACCCACUGCAAUGGCAUCACCAUCAUUGACUCAGCAGAUGAACCUAAGGAGUACACGGGUCCACAAGAGAGGUUGCACUCUUUUGUUUCUGCUUAUGUUAUGCAUUGCUUAAAAUUACCUGCUACUUUAUCGUCCUAUUCACCUCUUGGACUCCAAGUCAGGUCCAAAUUAAUGUUCAAACUUGAGUUCUAAAUUAGUUGUGGGGCACAUAUCGAGGGAGCAAUGAAUAGUAUCUUUGUCUAAUAUCUGGUUCACCUAGGGUAUGCCUGUGUUGUUCAUCUUGGGUGGGAAACAAAUAGUAAAUCAAUCAUCAACUGUCUUUUUAUUAAAUUAAAGCAAUCAUCCGCCUUCUAUCAUUAUUUUUGGAUCCAUCCACUAGUUGUUACCAUCACUCUAAAUUUUUGCAUGCUCUCCUUACAUAAUCUCACCAUAUUUUUUUGUAUGCAUGUCAGAUAUUGUACACGGUCAUGCUGAACAUGUAGAGAAAAAGAGAAGAGUUUUGCGCGGCAAUACAAUGUCAUGCAGACAUCGCUCCAUGGUGGGUUCAAUGGCAAAUCCUCCCCACCCCUCUCCAGAUUAUAAUCCAGAGGAAGGUAUCUGUUCUGAGGCGAAUUCAGACGCCGCUGACCACUCCUAUUUACCCCCCAAGGUGUUUGCUCUACCUUGGCAUGAUGAAGUUAGUCAUAUCAUGCAUAUGUUGCCUUGCAGUGCCUACUUUUGACAUCAUAUAUGUCAUCUGCAUAUGUGGCCUUGCAGUGCCUACUUUUGACAUCAUAUAUGUCAUCUACAUAUGUUGCCUUGCAGUGCCUACUUUUGACAUCAUAUAUGUCAUCUGCUUAGUUUAGACAUGUUCUGUAAUGCCACCUAUUUAGUUUCUAUAUCAUAUAUGGGAAUUAUGCAGUCUCGUGUCUUUUAGCCAGCCAUAAUAUAUGUGAAAUGUGCAAUGCCAUCCUGUUUAACCGGGCAUCAUAUAUUUGAAUGAUAUCUUGCCCAUCCUUUUCUUCAUUACAUUUCAAUUUGUCGACAAUGUUUGUACAUGAAACUACUCUUCCUGUGAAUCAGCCAUUUGGGUGGGAGAUGGAAAAAUCUGGAGCGAAAACAAGGCCUUCAGAGCAGACAGUGCUACCUGUUGAAGCAGAUCUCUUCUUGGGUCCCAAUAGCUCCUGAGAGAUGGAUUCGACAGAUGACCAGUUCUAUUCCCCCACUAAGGUGUAUGCUCUAACUUGGCACGGUUAUACUGCUCAUAUCAUGCAUAUGGUGUCUUGCGUUGCAUAGUUUAGACAUCAUAUACACAAUAUUCAACACCAUGUUCUUAGUUCAGACGUCAUAUCAAAUUCCCUUUGUUUAGCAUAUAAAUCACAUAUGUGAAUUAAAUGAUGUGAUCCUGAUUACUUAGAUAACAUGUAGGUGAAUUAUGUCAUGCGAUCCUGUUUAGUUAUUCAUCAUAUCUUUGAAUUAUGUUAUGCUAUGCUAUCCAGUUUAGAUAGACAUCAUAUAUGUGAAAUUAUGUCAUGCUAUCCAUUUUAGUUAAACAAUAUACAUGUCAACUAUUUCAUGCCCUCUUUUUUCCACACAAUCUAUUGCAUCUGUCUCUCAUACAACGUCUGUACAUUCAACUAUGCUUCCUGUUUAUCAGCCAUUUGAAUUGUAGUGGGUGAUGUCAGUAUCUAGCGGACUAAAAACACGGUCUUCAAAUAAAACAGUGCUACCUCUUGGUGGAGAUAGUACCCCGGUUGUACAUGCACAAGAACCAGCCCUACCACACAUAACCCAAACUCUCGCAGAUUGUACCCCUACUGCGAUGGACAAAGAACCAGCUUCACCCAAUCUAACCCCAACCCCAGCAGAUAGUAACCCAGUUCCUGUUGACACCGCACGAUCUCCACCAGAGAGAUCCCAAACAAGAGUAGUUAGUAAGGCAGAUCCAGUACCCAAAGGGCCAGUACUACCACGGCGAACCCCAACUCCACCAGUUAGUACGCCUAUUCUUGUGGAGGAAGCACAACCAGCUAGUCGUAGUUUAGCAUCUAUCACAUUUGAUGUUGUUAAAUCGUAUGUGUGUAUCUUCCCAUCUUGGAAAUAUUAUACUGAAGAUGAAGGAAAAUGCCAGUUGCAGGUGUUUGUCCAGGAGUUAUGUGUAAGUAAUGUUAUUCAUGGCAAUUACUUUGCUUUGUCCCAUACAUCCUACCUCCAUGAUGGUUAUAAUACAACAAAUUUUCCCAUUUUUCUCUAUAGAGAAUGACCGAUUUGGAAACUCGGGAUGAGGUAACCUGUGUUAAUACCUCUGCUAUCUUCAAGAAUGCUUGGUGGCAGUAUCGGAAUUACCUGAAGAAAACGUACUUCACCGGCAAAGAAACUCAUCAAAUUCCCUUACGUUCUCCUGAGACACAUUUACUGGACGAUGACUGGGAACGCCUUGUUCUGUACUGGUCACGAACCAAGAAUGUGGUAAGGUCUAUGAGCUAAUUUUCUAUUUUUAAGUACUAUAUUCUUGCGUCUUACUGUACUCUGUUCAUGUAGAACAAGUGCCUAAACCUGAAGAACAAAUGUUCUAAUUUAAGAUUCCAUUGCUAUCAUAGUUCAAAAAAGAAAUAGGCAUUAAUUGUGCAUUUUGCCACCGCCUUGCGCUUUACUGACCAAAGCGCAUGCUUAUGCGCAGUUAUGGACAGAUUAAGCGUAUUAUGCGCAAUGCAUUUUGCCAAUGCUAGAGCCUAGGCGCGCUUAAGCGCUUGCUUAGGUGCGCCUUUUUUAACUAUGAUUACUAUCGUGCAUACUGCUUUGCUCUUGUAUCACUGUAUUUACUCAUACAAACUUAUUUUUAAAUUGAAGGAUCCAGUCGAAACUCUAAUUGCACAGCAGGUAUGUUCACGCAUGUUUCUUUAACAGGUUUGCUCUUAUCAAUAGCUCUGUUGAUUUCAAUUUCAAUUGUGUAUACAAUUGACUUCUCAUAUCAUGCACAUUACUAGUAUCACAACAGAGUCAAUAGUGUUGUUGUACAUGUAGACACGUGGUACCCAUCUGAAAUCUUGUUGUGCCAUGUAGUUUCCCACGCUUUGUAUUCUUUCACUGCUGCUUUGUCUUGAACUGACAUGAUUUGAACCGUGUCUCUAUUUUGAUUUGGCAAGACAAUGCAGUGACCAUAGGACAUAGAUAUAUGUUUGUUUGAUGCUUUUAUUAUGUACUAGUACUUGGCAAUAGAAGACUUGGUAGUUUAAUCCUGUCCACCUUACUAAUGAACUGGUUCACCGAAAUGAGUUUCAUAUACUAGUACAUGCUAAACCUGUUAUAUGUCUGCUUGUUUCUUCUUUUAGAAUGCUGACAGAAUAUUGGGGAAGAGUGCCUUAUUAAGAAAUGGUAAAGGAAGUAAUACAGAUAAGGUUCAGGAUAGUGACACAUCCUUGUUGGUCUCCAACAAAGCUGAUAAAACAACUAAGGAAAACUAUCUUGAAGACAGUGAGACAACCCCAAAGUCAUGUCUUGGUUUAGUGUUUGAGUUACUGGCCACUACCGGUUGCACAAGCUAUUCAAACUCACUGUCUAAAUUAGUUCAGUUUCUUGAGUCUCAACUACAAGCUAAAAGACAUCGAUCAGCUAUCCUGCGACAAGAAGCGGAAGGACUACGGAAGUCCCUGGAGCAUUCAGAUGCAUACUUUCUGGUCCAACAGCAAGCGUUGGAGGAUUUUUAGCGCCAAACAGGACAAAGCUAAUAAGCUUGCUAAGCUGAUUUCCAGCAUGGUGGAUACCCAGGAUAACGUUUCUUGAGCUUUUCUGAAGUUGUUUCAGUUAUGCUCUUGUUUUGUUGCCGCGUUUAUUUGCACUGGUGGCCAAUUUGGACGGCCAAUGUAUGUAAUAUGCUGCUUUGUUCCCUAUAUUUGCACUGGUGGCAAACUUUGAUGCCCAGAGGAUGUAAUAUGUGUAAUAGCAGUAAUAGGCUAGCGUUAAUUGCUUGCUUAUUUAUUUCCUUAUUGUCUUGUUUAGUUGUUUGCUUGUAGUCACUUCAGUUCUUUUUCUGUGUUUUUCUAGUGGGCACAAUAGCCUAUUUUUUGUAACUAGGCCAAAAUAAUCAUGGCAACACACGGACUAUUGUAACCAUGGGCCUCCUGCGGGCCAUAUGAUCCAUGGGCCUUCUAUGGGCCGUAGGAUCCAUCGGCCUUCUACACGGGCCGUAGGAUCCAUGGGCCUUCUACGGGUCGUAGGGUCCAUGGGCCUUCUACGGGCCGUACGAUCCAUGGGCCUUCUACCGGCCGUACGAUCCAUGGGCCUUAUAUGGGCCGUAGGAUCCAUGGGCCUUCUACGAGGCGUAUCAUCAUUUCGCCAAUCAAGCGUCGUACUAUUCAUCGACCAUAACGAGCUGUUAAUAGGCCGUAUUUGAUAACUCUAUGAAAACGGCCCAACGGUUUCUUUUACAUGAAAACGGACCAACGUAUUAACGGGCCACAAACGGGCCGACUGUCACGACGGGCUGAAUUUGGCCCACAAGCAGAAAAUGACAGUAAUGGGCCAUAAGUAACCGAAUGCUGGAAAUGAGCCCAAGAAUAAAUGGGCCCUGAGAAGGCCGAAAGAUAACUUGGGCUGGAAACGACCCAAUGGAAUAAUGGGUCCUUAAUGGGUAUAAAGUGAUACACUGUUCAUUACGGGCCAGUUUCACCACGGGCCAUUAAUGGGCCAAGAGUUACAAAGGGCCUCAUAUGGGCCGAAAGAAGUCAUGGGCCAUACAUGGAACGGAAGUUAAAACAUGAUGGAAUCAUAUUGGACGGCCCAGAUGACGCUACUGGGCCUAAUUCGGAGAGGUCGUAACGGGCCCUGGGUUAGCGGGUUGUAAAUGGGCUAUAUGCGCACAGGUCGUUAACACGCUUUCCGUGGGCUGGCACGCCACCUUUUGACCAAGUCAAACGGGCCGGCCUUUUCAUAGGAAUGGGCCUCUGUUGGUCCGUGCCACGUGUCGACGUAUCAUAGGCUCUUUGGGUCCAAUGAGUGGAUGACAUCUGUCCCAACGGUGAGCCGACACAUGUUUCCUCCAGCCAAUGAUGAUUUUACACGUGGAAAAUCCCCAUUGGUUGGGGCUGUUAACGGGUUAUCGAAUCCAAAACCGGACCCGAUAGCUUAACAGCAUUCCGUUACGGUGGAUGCCACGUGUCGGUCACCCUUGAUGAAAGCACUUCUAUGAUGCGCGAUUUGUCGUCAUGGAAGUGGACACUUCCGUGAUGAUAAUUUUGGUAAUGUCGUGGAACACUUCUAUGACAGCACGGGUAUGACUAUCUUGAUUCUGUCAUAAAAUCGCCAUGGAUGUACAUGCAAGACAAAAAAUGCGACCUACUCUGACAAACACGUAUCAUCACGGAAGUGUAUUUUUUGUAGUGGAGGGGCUACACCAGGGGAAGGGUUGCGACUGCCCUCUCUCUCCCUCACUAUAUAUAGGGGGAAGGGGGAGGAGGAGGCGCCCUAGGGUUUCCCUAGGGGAGGGGCGGUGGCCACAGGGGAAACCCUAGAUGGGUUUGGGCGCCCCCACCCCUAGGAAACUCGCCUCCCAAGCUGGGAGGGGCGGCUGCCCUAGGGGAGGCGCCCCCACCUCUCCAGGUUACGUGACAUGGGGUCGGUGAAGGAAAUAUGCCCUAGAGGCAAUAAUAAAGUUAUUAUUUAUUUCCUUAUUUCAUGAUAAAUGUUUAUUAUUCAUGCUAGAAUUGUAUUAACCGGAAACAUAAUACAUGUGUGAAUACAUAGACAAACAAAGUGUCACUAGUAUGCCUCUACUUGACUAGCUCGUUAAUCAAAGAUGGUUAUGUUUCCUAACCAUGAACAAUGAGUUGUUAUUUGAUUAAUGAGGUCACAUCAUUAGUAGAAUGAUCUGAUUGACAUGACCCAUUCCAUUAGCGUAGCACCCGAUCGUUUAGUAUGUUGCUAUUGCUUUCUUCAUGACUUAUACAUGUUCCUAUGACUAUGAGAUUAUGCAACUCCCGUUUACCGGAGGAACACUUUGGGUACUACCAAACGUCACAACGUAACUGGGUGAUUAUAAAGGAGUACUACAGGUGUCUCCAAUGGUCGAUGUUGGGUUGGCGUAUUUCGAGAUUAGGAUUUGUCACUCCGAUUGUCGGAGAGGUAUCUUUGGGCCCUCUCGGUAAUACACAUCACAUAAGCCUUGCAAGCAUUACAACUAAUAUGUUAGUUGUGAGAUGAUGUAUUACGGAACGAGUAAAGAGACUUGCCGGUAACGAGAUUGAACUAGGUAUUGGAUACCGACGAUCGAAUCUCGGGCAAGUAACAUACCGAUGACAAAGGGAACAACGUAUGUUGUUCUGCGGUCUGACCGAUAAAGAUCUUCGUAGAAUAUGUAGGAGCCAAUAUGGGCAUCCAGGUCCCGCUAUUGGUUAUUGACCGGAGACGUGUCUCGGUCAUGUCUACAUUGUUCUCGAACCCGUAGGGUCCGCACGCUUAAGGUUACGAUGACAGUUAUAUUAUGAGUUUAUGCAUUUUGAUGUACCGAAGGUUGUUCGGAGUCCCGGAUGUGAUCACGGACAUGAUGAGGAGUCUCGAAAUGGUCGAGACAUAAAGAUUGAUAUAUUGGAAGCCUAUGUUUGGACAUCGGAAGUGUUCCGGGUGAAAUCGGGAUUUUACCGGGUUACCGGGAGGUUACCGGAACCCCCCGGGAGCCAUAUGGGCCUUCAUGGGCCUUAGUGGAAAGGAGAAAGGGGCAGCCCAAGGGGGCUGCGCGCCUCCCCCCUUCCCCUAGUCCUAUUAGGACUAGGAGAGGUGGCCGGCCACCCCUCUCCCUCUUUCCCCCUUGGGAAUCCUAGUUGGAAUAGGAUUGGGGAGGGAAUCCUACUCCCGGUAGGAGUAGGACUCCUCCUGCGCCUCUCUCUCUUGGCCGGCGCCCCCUCCCCCCUUGGCUCCUUUAUAUACUGAGGUAGAGGCACCCCAAAGACACAUAAGUUGACACAAGUUGAUCCACGUGAUCUGUUCCUUAGCCGUGUGCGGUGCCCCCUGCCACCAUAUUCCUCGAUGAUACUGUAGCGGAGUUUAGGUGAAGCCCUGCUGCUGUAGUUCAUCAAGAUCGUCACCACGCCGUCGUGCUGACGGAACUCUUCCCCGACACUUUGCUGGAUCGGAGUCCGGGGAUCGUCAUCGAGCUGAACGUGUGCUCGAACUCGGAGGUGCCGUAGUUUCGGUGCUUGAUCGGUUGGAUCGUGAAGACGUACGACUACUUCCUCUACGUCGUGUUAUCGCUUCCGCAGUCGGUCUGCAUUGGGUACGUAGAAAAUACUCUCCCCCUCAUUGCUAUGCAUCACAUGAUCUUGCGUGUGCGUAGGAAAAUUUUUGAAAUUACUACGAAACCCAACAGUGGCAUCCGAGCCAGGUUAUUUAUGUUGAUGUUAUAUGCACGAGUAGAACACAAGUGAGUUGUGGACGAUACAAGUCAUACUGCCUACCAGCAUGUCAUACUUUGGUUCGGCGGUAUUGUUGGACGAGACGACCCGGACCAACCUUACGCGUACGCUUACGCGAGACCGGUUCCCUCGACGUGCUUUGCAUAGAGAUGGCUUGCGGGCGACUGCCUCUCCAACUUUAGUUGAACCAAGUAUGGCUACGCCCGGUCCUUGCGAAGGUUAAAACGGAGUCUAUUUGACAAACUAUCGUUGUGGUUUUGAUGCGUAGGUGAGAUUGGUUCUUACUUAAGCCCGUAGCAGCCACGUAAAACAUGCAACAACAAAGUAGAGGACGUCUAACUUGUUUUUGCAGGGCAUGUUGUGAUGUGAUAUGGUCAAGGCAUGAUACUGAAUUUUAUUGUAUGAGAUGAUCAUGUUUUGUAACCGAGUUAUCGGCAACUGGCAGGAGCCAUAUGGUUGUCGCUUUAUUGUAUGCAAUGCAAUCGCGAUGUAAUGCUUUACUUUAUUACUAAACGGUAGUGAUAGUCGUGGAAGCAUAAGAUUGGCGAGACGACAACGAUGCUACGAUGGAGAUCAAGGUGUCGCGCCGGUGACGAUGGUGAUCAUGACGGUGCUUCGAAGAUGGAGAUCACAGGCACAAGAUGAUGAUGGCCAUAUCAUAUCACUUAUAUUGAUUGCAUGUGAUGUUUAUCUUUUUAUGCAUCUUAUCUUGCUUUGAUUGACGGUAGCAUUAUAAGAUGAUCUCUCACUAAAUUAUCAAGAAGUGUUCUCCCUGAGUAUGCACCGUUGCCAAAGUUCGUCGUGCCCAGACACCACGUGAUGAUCGGGUGUGAUAAGCUCUACGUCCAUCUACAACGGGUGCAAGCCAGUUUUGCACACGCAGAAUACUCGGGUUAAACUUCACGAGCCUAGCAUAUGCAGAUAUGGCCUCGGAACACGGAGACCGAAAGGUCGAGCGUGAAUCAUAUAGUAGAUAUGAUCAACAUAACGAUGUUCACCAUUGAAAACUACUCCAUCUCACGUGAUGAUCGGUCAUGGUUUAGUUGAUUUGGAUCACGUGAUCACUUAGAGGAUUAGAGGGAUGUCUAUCUAAGUGGGAGUUCUUUAGUAAUAUGAUUAAUUGAACUUAAAAUUUAUCAUGAACUUAGUCCUGGUAGUAUUUUGCAAAUUAUGUUGUAAGAUCAAUAGCUUGCGUUGUUGCUUUCAUAUGUUUAUUUUGAUAUGUUCCUAGAGAAAAUUAUGUUGAAAAAUGUUAGUAGCAAUGAUGCGGAUUGGAUCCGCGAUCUGAGGUUUAUCCUCAUUGCUGCACAGAAGAAUUAUGUCCUUAAUGCACCGCUAGAUGACAGACCUAUUGCAGGAGCAGAUGCAGACGUUAUGAACGUUUGGCUAGCUCAAUAUGAUGACUACUUGAUAGUUUUGUGCACCAUGCUUUAUGGCAUAGAAUCGGGACUUCAAAGAUGUUUUGAACAUCAUGGACCAUAUGAGAUGUUCCAGGAAUUGAAGUUAAUAUUUCAAGCAAAUACCCGAGUUGAGAGAUAUGAAGUCUCCAACAAGUUCUAAAGCUAAAAGAUGGAGGAGAAUCGCUCAACUAGUGAGCAUGUGCUCAGAUUGUCUGGGUACUUCAAUCGCUUGAAUCAAGUGGGAGUUAAUCUUCCAGAGAAGAUAGUGAUUGACAGAAUUCUCUAGUCACCAUCGCUAAGUUACUAGAACUUUGUGAUGAACUAUAGUAUGCAAGGGAUGACGAAAACGAUUCCUGAGCUCUUCGCGAUGUUGAGAUCGGCGAAGGUAGAAAUCAAGAAAAGAGCAUCAAGUGUUGAUGGUUAACAAGAUCACUAGUUUCAAGAAAAAGGCAAAGGGAAAAGAAGGGGAACUUCAAGAAGAACGGCAAGCAAGUUGCUUCUCAAGUGAAGAAACCCAAGUCUGGUCCUAAGCCUAGACUAAGUGCUUCUACUGCAAAGAGACUGGUCACUAGAAGAGGUACUACCCUAAGUGAUUGGCGGAUAAGUAGGAUGGCAAAGUGAACAUAAGUAUAUUUGAUAUACAUGUUAUUGAUGUGUACUUUACUAGUGUUUAUAGCAACCCCUCAGUAUUUGAUACUAAUUCAGUUGCUAAGAUUAGUAACUCGAAACAGGAAUUGCAGAAUAAACAGAGACUAGUUAAAGGGUAAAGUGACGAUGUGUGUUGGAAAUAGUUCCAAGAUUGAUAUGAUCAUCAUCGCACACUCCCUAUACUUUCGGGAUUAGUGUUAAACCUAAAUAAGUGUUAUUUUGUGUUUGCGUUGAGCAUGAAUAUGAUUUGAUCAUGUUUAUUGCAAUACGGUUAUUCAUGUAAGUUAGAGAAUAAUUGUUGUUUUGUUUACAUGAAUAAAACCUUCUAUGGUCAUACACCCAAUGAAAAUGGUUUGUUGGAUCUCGAUCGUGUGAUACACAUAUUCGUAAUAUUGAAACCAAGAGAUGCAAAGUUAAUAAUGAUAGUGCAACUUAUUUGUGGCACUGCCGUUUAGGUCAUAUCGGUGUAAAGCGCAUGAAGAAACUCCAUAAAGAUGGAUUUUCGGAAUCACUUGGUUAUGAAUCAUUUGAUGCUUGCGAACCGUGCCUUUUGGGUAAGAUGACUAAAACUCCGUUCUCCGGAACAAUGGAACAAGCUACAGACUUAUUGGAAAUAAUACAUACCGAUGUAUGCGAUCCAAUGAGUGUUGAUGCUCGUGGCAAGUAUCAUUAUUUUCUGACCUUCACAAAGAUGAUUUGAGCAGAUAUGUGUAUAUCUACUUGAUGAAACAUAAGUCUGAAAUAGUUGAAAGGUUCAAAGAAUUUCAGAGUGAAGUGGAAAAAUCAUCGUAACAAGAAAAUAAAGUUUCUGCGAUCUAAUCGUGGAGACGUAUAUUUGAGUUACGAGUUUGGUCUUCAAUUAAAACAAUGUGGAAUAGUUUCACAGCUCACGCCACCUGGAACACCACAACAUUAUGGUGUGUCCAAACAUCGUAACCGCACUUUAUUGGAUAUAGUGCAAUCUAUGAUGUCUCUUACUGAUUUACCACUAUUGUUUUGGGGUUAUGCAUUAGAGACAGCUGCAUUCACGUUAAAAAGGGCACCAUCAAAAUCCGUUGAGACGACGCCUUAUGAACUAUCGUUUGGCAAGAAACCAAAGUUGUUGUUUCUUAAAGUUUGGGGCUGCGAUGCUUAUGUGAAAAGCUUCAACCUGAUAAGCUCGAACCCAAAUCGGAGAAAUGUGUCUUCAUAGGAUACCCAAAGGAAACUGUUGGGUAUACCUUCUAUCACAGAUCCGAAGGCAAAACAUUCGUUGCUAAGAAUGGAUCAUUUCUAGAGAAGGAGUUUCUCUCGAAAGAAGUGAGUGGGAGGAAAGUGGAACUUGACGAGGUAACUGUACUUGCUCACUUACUGGAAAGUAGUUCAUCACAGAAAACUGUUUCAGUGACACCUACACCGGUUAGUGAGGAUGCUAAUGAUAAUGAUCAUGAAACUUCAGAUCAAGUUACUACAGAACCUCGUAGGUCUUCCAGAGUAAGAUCCGCACCAGAGUGGUGUAUUAAUCAUGUUCUGGAAGUCAUGUUACUAGACCAUGAUGAACCUACGAACUAUGAGGAAGCAAUGAUGAGCCCAGAUUCCGCGAAAUGGCUCGAGGCCAUAAAAUCUGAGAUAUGAUCCAUGUAUGAGAACAAAGUAUGGACUUUGAUUGACUUGCUCAAUGAUCAGCAAGCCAUGUUAAAUGAAUGGAUCUUCAAGAGGAAGACGGACAUUGAUAGUAGUAUUACUAUCUACCAAGCUCGACUUGUUGCGAAAGUUUUUCAACAAGUUCAAGGUGUUGAAUACGAUGAGAUUUUCUCACUCGUAUCGAUGCUUAAGUCUGUCUGAAUCAUGUUAGCAAUUGCCACAUUUUAUGAAAUCUGGCAAAUGGAUGUCAAAAACUGCAUUCCUUAAUGGAUUUAUUAAAGAAGAGUUGUAUAUGAUGCAACCAGAAGGUUUUGUCAAUCCUAAAGGUGCUAACAAAAUGUGCAAGCUCCAGCGAUCCGUCUAUGGACUGGUGCAAGCAUCUCGGAGUUGGAAUAUACGCUUUGAUAAGUUGAUCAAAGCAUAUAGUUUUAUAUGGACUUACGAUGAAGCCUGUAUUUACAAUAAAGUGAGUGGGAGCACUACAGCCUUUCUGAUUAGUAUAUGUGAGUGACAUAUUGUUGAUCAGAAAUGAUGUAGAAUUUUUCUGCAAAGCAUAAAGGAGUGUUUUAAAGGAGUUCUUUAAAAAGAAAAGACCUCAGUAAAAGCUACUUACAUAUUGAGCAUCAAGAUCUAUUGAGAUAGAUCAGGACGCUUGAUGAAAUUUUCAAUGAGUACAUACCUUGGCAAGAUUUUGAAAUAGUUCAAAAUGGAACAGUCAAAGAAAGAGUUCUUGCCUGUGUUGCAAAGGUAUGAAAUUGAGUAAGACUCAAAUCCCGACCACAGCAGAAAAUAGAAAAGAGAAUGAAAAGUCAUUCCCUAUGCCUCAGUCAUAGGUUCUAUAAAGUAUGCUAUGUACCAGACCUAUUGUAUACUUUGCUCUGAAUUUGGCAAGGGAGUACAAUAGUGAUCUAGGAGUAGAUCACUAGACAUUGGUCAAGAAUAUCCUUAGUAAGGACUAAGGAGAUGUUUCUCGAUUAUGGAGGUGAUAAAAGAGUUUGUUGUAAAAGUUACAUCAGUGCAAGCUUUUACACCGAUCCAGAUGACUCUAAGUCUCAAUCUGGAUACAUAUUGAGAGUGGGAGCGAUUAGCUAGAGUAGCUCCAUGCAGAGCAUUGUAGACAUAGAAUAUUUGCAAAAUACAUACGGCUCUGAAUAUGACAGACCCGUUGACUAAGCUUCUCUCACGAGCAAAACAUGACCACACCUUAGUACUCUUUGGGUGUUAAUCACAUAACGAUGUGAACUAGAUUAUUUACUCUAGUAAACCCUUUGGGUAUUGGUCACAUGAUGAUGUGAACUAUGGGUGUUAAUCAUAUACAGAUAUGAACAUUGGUGUUAAAUCACAUGAUGAUGUGAACUAGAUUAUUGACUCUAGUGCAAGUGGGAGACUGAAGGAAAUAUGCCCUAGAGGCAAUAAUAAAGUUAUUAUUUAUUUCCUUAUUUCAUGAUAAAUGUUUAUUAUUCAUGCUAGAAUUGUAUUAACCGGAAACAUAAUACAUGUGUGAAUACAUAGACAAACAAAGUGUCACUAGUAUGCCUCUACUUGACUAGCUCGUUAAUCAAAGAUGGUUAUGUUUCCUAACCAUGAACAAUGAGUUGUUAUUUGAUUAACGAGGUCACAUCAUUAGUAGAAUGAUCUGAUUGACAUGACCCAUUCCAUUAGCGUAGCACCCGAUCGUUUAGUAUGUUGCUAUUGCUUUCUUCAUGACUUAUACAUGUUCCUAUGACUAUGAGAUUAUGCAACUCCUGUUUACCGGAGGAACACUUUGGGUACUACCAAACGUCACAACGUAACUGGGUGAUUAUAAAGGAGUACUACAGGUGUCUCCAAUGGUCGAUGUUGGGUUGGCGUAUUUCGAGAUUAGGAUUUGUCACUCCGAUUGUCGGAGAGGUAUCUUUGGGCCCUCUCGGUAAUACACAUCACAUAAGCCUUGCAAGCAUUACAACUAAUAUGUUAGUUGUGAGAUGAUGUAUUACAGAACGAGUAAAGAGACUUGCCGGUAACGAGAUUGAACUAGGUAUUGGAUACCGACGAUCGAAUCUCGGGCAAGUAACAUACCGAUGACAAAGGGAACAAUGUAUGUUGUUCUGCGGUCUGACCGAUAAAGAUCUUCGUAGAAUAUGUAGGAGCCAAUAUGGGCAUCCAGGUCCCGCUAUUGGUUAUUGACCGGAGACGUGUCUCGGUCAUGUCUACAUUGUUCUCGAACCCGUAGGGUCCGCACGCUUAAGGUUACGAUGACAGUUAUAUUAUGAGUUUAUGCAUUUUGAUGUACCGAAGGUUGUUCGGAGUCCCGGAUGUGAUCACGGACAUGACGAGGAGUCUCGAAAUGGUCGAGACAUAAAGAUUGAUAUAUUGGAAGCCUAUGUUUGGACAUCGGAAGUGUUCCGGGUGAAAUCGGGAUUUUACCGGGUUACCGGGAGGUUACCGGAACCCCCCGGGAGCCAUAUGGGCCUUCAUGGGCCUUAGUGGAAAGGAGAAAGGGGCAGCCCAAGGGGGCUGCGCGCCUCCCCCCUUCCCCUAGUCCUAUUAGGACUAGGAGAGGUGGCCGGCCACCCCUCUCCCUCUUUCCCCCUUGGGAAUCCUAGUUGGAAUAGGAUUGGGGAGGGAAUCCUACUCCCGGUAGGAGUAGGACUCCUCCUGCGCCUCUCUCUCUUGGCCGGCGCCCCCUCCCCCCUUGGCUCCUUUAUAUACUGAGGUAGAGGCACCCCAAAGACACAUAAGUUGACACAAGUUGAUCCACGUGAUCUGUUCCUUAGCCGUGUGCGGUGCCCCCUGCCACCAUAUUCCUCGAUAAUACUGUAGCGGAGUUUAGGUGAAGCCCUGCUGCUGUAGUUCAUCAAGAUCGUCACCACACCGUCGUGCUGACGGAACUCUUCCCCGACACUUUGCUGGAUCGGAGUCCGGGGAUCGUCAUCGAGCUGAACGUGUGCUCGAACUCGGAGGUGCCGUAGUUUCGGUGCUUGAUCGGUUGGAUCGUGAAGACGUACGACUACUUCCUCUACGUCGUGUUAUCGCUUCCGCAGUCGGUCUGCGUUGGGUACGUAGACAAUACUCUCCCCCUCGUUGCUAUGCAUCACAUGAUCUUGCGUGUGCGUAGGAAAAUUUUUUAAAUUACUACGAAACCCAACAGUCGGAGGGGCGCUAAGCCCCUUAGUGGGCUGAUGUGCCCCCUCCCCUUGGCCCAUAAGCCCCCCCAACGCUUGUCGGGGCCUCCGAAACCCCUUUUGGACACGCUGGUCGUCACCCGGUACCCCCGGAACAAUUCCAGACUACAAUACCCUUCAUCCAAUAUAUCGAUCUUCAUCUAUGGACCAUUCCGGAGUUCCUCGUCACGUUCGGAUCUCAUACGGGACUCCAAACAACCUUCGGUAACAACAUACUAUUUCCCAUAACAACUCUAGCGUCACCGAACCUUAAGUGUGUAGACCCUAUAGGUUCGGGAACCAUGCAGACAUGACCGAGACAUUCUCUGGCAAAUGACCAACAGUAGGAUAUGGAUACCCAUGUUGGCUCCCACAUGUUCCACGAUGAUCUCAUCGGAUGAACCACGAUGUCGAGGAUUCAAUCAAUCCUGUAUACAAUUCCCUUUGUCCACCAGUAUGUUACUUGCCCGAGAUUCGAUCGUCGGUAUCCCAAUACCUCGUUCAAUCUCAUUACCGGCAAGUCUCUUUACUCGUUCCGUAAUGCAUGAUCUCAUGACUAACUCCUUAGUCACAUUGAGCUCAUUAUGAUAAUGCAUUACAGAGUGGGCCCAGAGAUACCUCUCCGUCAUACGGAGUGACAAAUCCCAGUCUCGAUUCGAGCCAACCCAAUAGACACUUUCGGAGAUACCUGUUGUGCACCUUUAUAGCCACCCAAUUACGUUGUGACGUUUGGUACACCCAAAGCAUUCCUAUGGUAUCCAGGAGUUGCACAAUCUCAUGGUCUAAGGAAAUGAUACUUGACAUUAAAAAAGCUCUUAGCAAACAAACUACACGAUCUUGUGCUAUGCUUAGGAUUGGGUCUUGUCCAUCACAUCAUUCUCCUAAUGAUGUAAUCAUGUUAUCAAUGACAUCCAAUGUCCAUGGUCAGGAAACCAUAACCAUCUAUUGAUCAACGAGCUAGUCAACUAGAGGCUUACUAGGGACAUGUUGUGGUCUAUGUAUUUACACAUGUAUUACGGUUUCCAGUUAAUACAAUUAUAGCAUGAACAAUAGAAAAUUAUCAUGAACAAGGAAAUAUAAUAAUAACCAUUUUAUUAUUGCCUCUAGGACAUAUUUCCAGCAUAGCUAGUGAGUUGAGUGUACUAGAUUAUCUUUAUCAGAUUUUGCUUGAAAUUCGUGAAUCUGAAUAUUGUGAUGAAGUGCUAAAAGAGGAAGUUAUUCCCAAUAGCUCCUUAAAUGAAAAGCAUGUUUGCAAUCAUGUUAUUAUAAAUUUUAUUAAUGUCAAUUGUGCUAAUAAUAUGCAAAAUUCCAAUCUUGGGGAUGCUAAUUUUGAUAUGUCCACUACUUAUUGUAAUGAUCAUAAUUGGGGGGGGGGGAUUCUUCUUAUGAUCUUGAAAAUUUAUUUAAGCCUCAUGAUGAAUAUGUUUGUGAUAAUAUUGAAAGUGGUUUUGGAAGAGUGUUGACUUUAGGUAUAAUGAUCCCACUACUUUGGAGAAUGAUCAAUCUUAUGAAAUUUUUGAUAAAAUUGGGUUUGAAGACUCAUGCGUUUAGUAGAUGUUAAUCCCACUAUCUUGGAAGAUUAUAAAACUUUUAUGCAUGUGGAUCAUGAAGAGAUUAUUUUAUAUGAUAGCUAUAUUAUUGAAUUUGAUUAUAAUCCUACCUGUAAUUUUUAUGAGAUAUGAAAAUUUUGGUUGUAGAAAUUUUCAUGUUACUAAAUUACCUCUUGUUAUGUUGAGAUUGCUAUUGUUUCUUUCCUCUUCCUUGCAUAUGCUAGUUUUAGCUUGUCUUGGUAAUCUUUUCCCUAUAAAAUGCCUAUGCAUUGUAAGUAUGUUCUAGUCAAACUUGUUUUUCACAUGCUAUUUGAUUCUCUCUUUAUGCUUCAAUUUUUUGUCUUUCAUGUGAGCAUCAUUAGAAUUAUCAACGCCUAGCUAAAAGGCUUUAAAAAGCGCUUGUUGGGAGACAACCCAAUAUUUUUAUUUCCAGUUUUAUGAAGAUAUGCAAUUAUACUUCUGUUAUGAUUGUGUUUUAGUGUUUUCAUUAGUAUUUGUGCCAAGAAAGACAUUUGGGAUGAUUUGGGUCAUAAUUGAUUUGAUUCUGUGAAAAAACUGAAAGUUUUGCGCUUAGUUCUCGAAUUUUGUAAAUUCACAUAAAUGUGUUAUUGAUCUGAAUUUAUUACACAAGAUUGAUAUAUAAAUUGCCUAAGUUGUCCUAGUGUUUCAGAAUUUUUAGAGUUACAGAAGUUUUGCUAAAGUCCAGAUUGCUACAAAUUGUUCUGUUUUUGACAGAUUCUAUUUUCAUUGCGUUGUUUGCUUAUUUUGAUGAAUCUAUGGGUAGUAUCGGGGGGUAUGAGCCAUGGAGAAGUUAGAAUACAGUAGAUAUAACACCAAUAUAAAAUUGGAAUGAGUUUACAACAACACCUGAAAGUGUGUUUUUUUUGCUUUGUUUCACUAACGGAUCUCACGAGUUUUCUGUUGAGUUUUGUCUGGUGAAGUUUUCAUGUUUUGGAUGAAGUCUCGAUGGACUAUGUAAUAAGGAGUGGUGAGAGCGUAAGCUUGGGGAUGCCCAAGGCACCCCAAGGUGAUAUUCAAGGACAACCAAGCAUCUAAGCUUGGGGAUGCCCUGGAUGACAUCCCCUCUUUUGUCUACUAUCUAUCGGUAAAUUACUUGAGGCUAUAUUUUUAUUCACCACAUGAUAUGUGUUUUGCUUGGAGCGUCUUGUAUUAAAUGAGUCUUUGAUGUUUAGUUUGCCACAAUCAUCCUUGUUGUACGCACAUUUUGAGAGGGUCACACAUUAAUCAUGAAUUUAUUAGAAUACUCUAUGUGUUUCACUUAUAUCUUUUGAAAUUGGUAGUUGCUCUAGUGCUUCGCUUAUAUCUUUUUAGAGCACGGCGGUGGAUUUAUUUUGAAGAAAUUGAUGAACUCUCAUGCUUCACUUAUAUUAUUUUGAGAGUCUUAUAAAUAGUAUGGCAAUUUGCUUGGGUUAUGAAUUUAGUCCUAAUAUCAUAAGGUAGUCAAGAGCGGUAUAAUAAAAACAUUCAUGAAGAUCAUUUAAUAUAUGAGAAGUUUGAUUCCUUGCAUUUGUUUUGAGAUAUAAAUAUGGUGAUAUUAGGGUCAUGCUAGUGACUAAUUGCGGAUUAUUAAGAAUAUUUGUAUUAAGUUUUGUGAUUCCCGAAGCAUGCAUGUAUGGUCUCUAGUUAUGCGAUGAAGUUGGAGCAUGAUUUAUUUUUUAUUGUCUUCCUUAUUAGUGGCGGUCGGGGACAAGCGAUGGUCUUUCCCUACCAAUCUAUUCCCCUAAGAGCAUGCGUAUUAAUACUUUGUUUCGAGGGCUAAUAAACUUUUGCAAUAAGUAUGUGAGUUCUUUAUGACUAAUGUUGAGUCCAUGGAUUAUACGCACUCUCACCCUUCCACCUUUGGUAGCAACUCUAGUACCGCUAAACUUUCGCCUGCAUUAAACCAUCCUUAUACCUUUCCUCAAAACAGCCACCAUACCUGCCUAUUAUGGCAUUUCCAUAGCCAUUCCGAGAUAUAUUGUCAUGCAACUUCCAUUGUUCUGUUUUAUUAUGACACACACCAUAUUGUCAUAUUGCUUUGCAUAAGCAUAUGCAUGAGGCAUUCAUAUAGAGUCAUAUCUUUGUUCUAGUAUUCAUUUCUAAUUUUUCAGCUGUAAGUUAAUAAUAGCGUGAUGAUCAUAAUUAUUAGAGCAUUGUCCAAUGUUAGGAAAGGAUGAUGGAACUAAGAUUCCUCCACAAGUCGGGAUGAGACUUCAGACUUAAAUAAAUAAAAGAGGCCAAAGAGCCCAAAAUAAAAUAAAAUAAAUGAGAGAAAAAGAAAGAAGGGACAAUGUUACUAUCCUUUUCCACACUUGUGCUUCAAAGUAGCACCAUGUUCUUCAUUAUAGAGAGUCUCCUAUUUGUCACUUUCAUAUAUUAGUAGUGGGAAUUUUUCAUUAUAAAACUUGGCUUGUAUAUUCCAAUGAUUGGCUUCCUCAAAUGCCCUAGGUCUUCAUGAGAAAGCAAGUUGGAUGCACACCCACUUAGUUUUCUGUUUGAGCUUUCAUACACUUAUAGCUCUAGUGCAUCUAUUGCAUGGCAAUCCCCACUCCUUGAAUUGACAUCAAUUGAAGUGUGAUGAUCAUCAUUAUUAGAGCAUUGUCCCAUGUGAGGAAAGGAUGAUGGAAAUAUGAUUGCGCCACAAGUCGGGAUGAGACUCCGGACUUAAAUAGAUAAAAGAAGCCAAAGAUCCCAAAAUAAAAUAAAAGAGAGGCCAAAGAGCCCAACAGAAAAAUGAAAAAAUGAGAGAAAAAGAAAGAAGGGACAAUAUUACUAUCAUUUUCGCACUUGUGCUUCAAAGUAGCACCAUGUUCUUCAUUAUAGAGAGUCUCCUAUUUGUCACUUUCACAUAUUACUAAUGGGAAUUUUUCAUUAUAGAACUUGGCUUGUAUAUUCCAAUGAUGGGCUUCCUCAAAUGCCCUAGGUCUUCGUGAGCAAGCAAGUUGGAUGCACACCCACUUAGUUUUCUAUUUGAGCUUUCAUACACUUAUAGCUCUAGUGCAUCCGUUGCAUGGCCAUCCCUACUCCUUGCAUUGACAUCAAUUGAUGGGCAUCUCCAUAGCCCAUUGAUUAGCCUCGUCGAUGUGAGACUUUCUCCUUUUGUGUAUUCUCCACACAACCUCCACCUCCAUAUUAUAUUCCACCUAUAGUGCUAUAUCCAUGGUUCACGCUCAUGUAUUGCAUGAGAGUUGAAAAAGCUUAGAACGUCAAAAAGUAUGAAACAAUUGCUUGGCUUGUCAUCGGGGUUGUGGAUGCUUGAUAAACAUGUUAAGUAGCAUUCCACAUAAAGAAAGAUUGCACUGAUUACAUUGAUAAACAUGUUAGGUAGCAUUCCACAUCAAAAAUUCUGUUUUUAUCAUUUACCUACUCGAGGACUAGCAGGAAUUAAGCUUGGGGAUGCUUGAUACGUCUCCAACAUAUCUAUAAUUUUUGAUUGUUCCAUGCUAUUAUAUUAUCCAUCUUGGUUGUUUUAUAUGCAUUCUUAUGUUAGUUUAUAUCAUUUUUGGGACUAACCUACUAACCUAGUGCCUAGUGCUAGAUGUUGUUUUUUCCUUGUCUUUGUCUUUUACAUAAAAUCAAUACCAAACGUAAACUAUUUGACGACUUUCCUUGGACAACAAGACACCCACGAAGCUUCAAGAGAAGGCUAGAACACUACUAGGAAAAGGGCUAUAGAUAAUAUGGACAUUAAUGCCGCACCACACAUGUGGUGCCCCACUACUGAAUAGCAGUGGCGCACCAUGUGUUGGUACGCCAUUAGUGUCCAUCACACUAAUGGCGCACCACACCCACGGUGCGCCACUACUAACAAACUUUUUUUCCAAAACUAGUAAUGGCGCACCAGGGCACAGUGCGCCACUAGUAGUUUUAACUAGUAAUGGCGCACCACUUACCCCGUGGGCCACUACUAACAAUUUUUUUUACUUUUUUUUAAAACUAGUAAUGGCGCACCAGUGUAUAGUGUGCCAUUACUAGUUCAAACUAGUAAUGGCGCACCACACACACGGUGCGCCACUACUAACAUUUGUUUUAUUUAUUUUUUUGCAAAACUAGUAAUGGCGCGCCACCAAAUUGGUGCGCCAUUAGUAACCAAGGUUACUAAUGGCGCAUUGAUAGGUGGUGCGCCAUUAGUAACCUGAGACCAGCUAGAUAUUUUGGACAGCCACCUACCACACUCACUUUCCCCACUUCAUUCUCUCCACCUCCUCCUCCAAGCUUGUCUCGGCUGCCUCCUCCUCCUCACCUCAUUUGCACCAUAGAUUCAUCCAAAUUAAGUGGUUAAAUUACCUUUUUUGAUAGGUAAGUAAGGGGAAAGCUUUCUUUAUGUUGUAGAUCUACUUUUUUCUCCCUCCAACAAUGUGCACAUGCACUUUUUAUGGCCUAGAUAGAUCUAUGUAUGUUUCUGGUGUUUCAUAUGUUUGUGGUGUUGCAUAUAUGUUUGUGUUUGCAGCUACCGGUAUUUGAAAUGCAAUAGUUGCCAAUAUUUUGCCGAAAUGUUGAUUCAUUUCUGUUUCGGUGAGACUUUGGCACUAUGCAUUCUUUUUGGUCCUAUUUUUAGGCAAAGUCAUGCCAAAAAAUUUCUUGGUUCUAAAAUAUUGUUUUGCUCUACCCCACAGGCGACCAUGGUCUGCACGAUGACUGAAGGCAUCGUGAAUAGGUUUUUGAGCUCCGCGAAGGCUAAGAUGCUUCAAAAGAAUGAGAAGGAGAUAAGAUGUCCGUGUCGAAGAUGCAAGCUGAGGAGCCUUAUGGACCAGGAUUCCAUACAGGUGCGGGACCACCUGCUCUUGCAUGGUUUCAUGGAUGGCUAUUGGUGGCAAAGUGAUGAAGAUGAUUAUGAAGUCGUCCAUGGGGGGCGGGCAAGAAAUGAGGAAGGGCAGCAAGACAACUGUGGUGAGGGCAGGCGAGAAGACGAAGAAUCUCCAGGACAUGAUCACAAAGUAGAUGCAGUACACAGUCAUCAUGUAGAAGAUGUCGGACAUGAUGAUGAGGAAGAUGCCGGAGCAGACGAAGGGCAUGAUCAUGAAUAUGAAGAUGCCGGAGCAGACGACGAUGGACCAUCGAUGGGCUGGGUGCAGGACCCUCAUAUUCAAGAGCUACUUCUCAAGCAGACGGAUAACGCAACAGCUGCCGCCCGAGAGAAAGCCAAGCUGGAUCAACUGGAGAUAGACGCGGUUACUCCAUUAUAUGAAGGAUGCAGGCCCAAGGAUACCCGCCUGAAAGUAACGCUCAUGGCUCUGGAGAUGAAGGUAAAACACAAAAUGACCGACGCAUGCUUUGACGAGAACAUGUCAUUCUGGCACGAACGUCUUCCCAAGGGGAACAAGUGCCCGACCAGUUUCGAGGAGGCGAAGAAAAUCGUGUGUCCUCUGGAUUUACCGCACGUGAAAUACCAUGUGUGCAUGAACGAUUGCAUCAUUUAUCGGGACGAGCACGUGGAGUCUACCAUAUGUCCGGUGUGCGGCGUCACUCGAUACAAGAAGAGUAAAAAAGCUCCUCGAAAAGUGGUGUGGUACUUUCCGAUCACUCCUCAUCUCCAGCGGUAUUUCAUGGACCCUAAGCUAGCAAAGCUCCUGCGUUGGCACGCAGAUAGGGAGGAGAAGAAGCGAGAAGAUGACGCAAAUGAUCCGGAGAUAAAUAAAAAAGACAAGAUGUUGAGUCACCCUAAGGAUGUGAGCCAGUGGCAAGCGUUGAACUUCGAACAACCAAAAUUUGGGAACGAUCCAAGGAACAUCGUGCUGGGCGCGAGCACUGAAGGAGUCAAUCCGUUUGGCAGCCAGAGAAGCACACAUAGCACCUGGCCUGUGUUUGUGUGGAUGUACAACCUUCCCCCUAGUUGUGCAUGAAAAGGAAGUACAUUCACAUGAGUAUGCUAAUUGAAGGGCCGAAACAACCAUGGAACGACAUCAAUCUGUAUCUGGGGCUACUGAAAGAGGAGAUAGACACGCUGUGAAAAAUGCCAGCCAAUACGCGGGACGCCGUAGAGAAAGAAUAUUUCCCUAUGAGAGUUGCACUGCUCAAGACAGUGCACGACUAUCUCGGUUACGGAUAUGUCGCGGGGCAGGUGGUCCACGGAUUUUCUGGAUGCGUUAGGUGCAUGGAUGACACAAUGUAUCGCCAGCUAGAUAGAGAUCCCGGGUAUUUGAAAACCGUGUUCAUGGGACAUCGAAGGUGGCUUCGUGACAAUGACUCAUGGAGAAAACGCAAGGAUCUGUUCGAUGGUGAAACCGAACCCCACGCCCGCGUACGAGGAGCGGCGAGGAAAUAGCCGAGCUGUUGAAAAAUUGGAAAGAUUGCCCACUACCGGGAAAGAAGCAAAAGGCGCCAGAGCCGCUGCUGAAGGUAUGGAAAACGAGGUUUGUUUUCUAGGACUUUCCAUACUGGAAGAUCCACCGUGUGCCUCACAGCCUUGAUGUCAUGCAUAUCACGAAGAACAUGUGCGAGAGUCUUGUUGGUACCCUGCUCAACAUGCCAGAGAGGACCAAAGAUGGGCCGAAAGCAAGGGCAGACUUGAAAUCAAUGGGCAUCAGGGAGGAGUUUCACGGUAAUGAUGAUGAUGAUGAGGCGAAGCAGGACACGGAAAGUCAUCGGAAAGUCAAAAAGGCCAAGAAGACCGGAAAUGACUUCCCUCCCGCGUGCUUCACUCUAAGUCAGGAGGAGAUUGAGCAGUUUUUCACCUGCCUCGUAGGAGUAAAACUUCCUUAUGGUUACAUGGGGAAGAUAAGCAGAUACCUAGACUCAGCGAAGCAGAAGUUCAGCGGGGUGAAGUCUCACGACUGUCACGUGCUGAUGACGCAGAUACUUCUAGUUGCAAUCCAUGGGAUCAUGGACGCGCACGUCCGUGAAACGCUAUUUGGCCUAUGCAACUUUUUCGACGUCAUCUCUCGGAAGUCGGUUGGCGUGAGGCAACUCAGAAGGCUACACGAAGAGAUCGUGGUGAUACUAUGCGAGCUUGAGAUGUACUUCCCGCCCACAUUCUUCGAUGUUAUGGUGCAUCUGCUGGUCCAUAUCGUGGAGAAUAUCAUCCAACUCGGGCCGACGUUCCUGCACAGCAUGAUGCCAUUUGAAAGGAUGAAUGGUGUCAUCAAAGGAUAUGUUCGCAACAUGUCACGUCCAAAGGGAAGCAUAGCCAGGGGCUUUCUGACCGAAGAGUGCAUCUCCUACUGCACAAAUUAUCUAGGCAUCGAGAACCCCGUUGGUCUGCCCAUCAACAGGCACCUCGGCAGGCUCGCUGGAUGGGGUCACCGUGAGGGUCGCCGCGAAAUGCAUGUCAACUUUGAGGGUCGGCUCGUCGACUUUGAAAGAGCAAACCUAGUCGCGCUAACACAUAGACGUGGUCGAUCCUUGGGUGGUAGAGCACAAAACCUUUAUUGAGAAGACGUACAAUGACCGAGGCCAACAGAGGAAGGACGGAGAUAUAAUCAAAGAGCACAACUCAUGUUUCACGCGUUGGUUCAAGGAGAAGCUUCUGUCGUACCCUUUACAUGAGGAUUCUUCCGCGGAAGAACAACUCAUAUUUGCCUUGUCACAGGGCGCCGAGCACAACCUGAUGAAGUAUGAGGCGUACGAUAUCAACGGCUACACAUUCUACACCGAGGGAAAGGACAUGAAGAGCGAUGGUUAUCAGAACUACGGGGUAAUGAUGGAAUCCUACACCGGUAACGACAAGGACAGAUACUAUGGAAGGAUCGAGGAGAUCUGGGAGCUGAGCUACGCUAGAGAGAAGGUCCCGAUGUUCCGUGUCAGAUGGCCAAGAGCGUCCUAAAAGAAGACCGGUAUUUCACCACCAUGGUUAUACCCGAAACCAACUCCAAGACCGCGGGCGCAAACAUCACCGCGAAAAAUGAGCCAUGGGUACUGGCUUCCCAAGUGGACCAAUGCUUCUUCAUUACCGACCCGUCAAAGCCCAGUCGUGUUGUCAUGAGGAGAGGCAAAAGGAAGAUCAUCGGAAUGGAUGGACUCGCCAAUGAGCAAGACUUUGACAAGUACGGCGACCCGAAGAUGGAAUAUGACGACGAUGAUGAAGUACCAGCAUACACCACAAGAAGAAGCAGGACCACCCUACCUAAAGGACGUCUAUUCAAGAGGAGAACUCCAUUUGCGAAAAAUAAGGGCAAGAAGAUUGUGAACAGAUAGCUAGCUAAGAUCGAUUGUUUUUAAAUUGUAGCCUUCAUUUCUCGAUUGUAUUUCGACAGAUUGAAAUAAUAUUUCUUCUGUUCAAGUGUCCUCAUGAAUAUUUAUUUAUGUUUAUUAUGGUAUUGAAUUUCUAUCUCACAAAAAGUAUUGAAUUUGUUAAUAUUUUUUGAACUCAUGAAUAUUUUUAAAUUUCAUGGGAACUUUUUGAAUUCAUGAAUAUUUUUGCAAAUUUGAUGAUAUUUUUUCAUAUUCAUAAAUGUUUUACCAAUUCACAAAUGAAUGCAACUAAAAAUCCAAAAAAAAUAUUGAUGAUAUUUUUAAAUAACAAAUUUGAUGAUAUUUUCAAAUAAUAAAUUUGAUGAUAUUUUUUCAUAUUCAUAAAUAUUUUCAAAUAACAAAUUUGAUCAUAUUUUUUCACAUUCAUAAAUGUUUUCAAAUUUGAUCGUCAUUUUCUAAAAAAUUAUUAGACGCAACUAAAAAUAAUAAUAAUAAGUUACUUAUGGCACACCCCCGCGCCUGAUCCCCCUCCAUCUCGAUCGCUAUCCCCCCUCGCCAGAUCCCCCUCACNNNNNNNNNNNNNNNNNNNNNNNNNNNNNNNNNNNNNNNNNNNNNNNNNNNNNNNNNNNNNNNNNNNNNNNNNNNNNNNNNNNNNNNNNNNNNNNNNNNNNNNNNNNNNNNNNNNNNNNNNNNNNNNNNNNNNNNNNNNNNNNNNNNNNNNNNNNNNNNNNNNNNNNNNNNNNNNNNNNNNNNNNNNNNNNNNNNNNNNNNNNNNNNNNNNNNNNNNNNNNNNNNNNNNNNNNNNNNNNNNNNNNNNNNNNNNNNNNNNNNNNNNNNNNNNNNNNNNNNNNNNNNNNNNNNNNNNNNNNNNNNNNNNNNNNNNNNNNNNNNNNNNNNNNNNNNNNNNNNNNNNNNNNNNNNNNNNNNNNNNNNNNNNNNNNNNNNNNNNNNNNNNNNNNNNNNNNNNNNNNNNNNNNNNNNNNNNNNNNNNNNNNNNNNNNNNNNNNNNNNNNNNNNNNNNNNNNNNNNNNNNNNNNNNNNNNNNNNNNNNNNNNNNNNNNNNNNNNNNNNNNNNNNNNNNNNNNNNNNNNNNNNNNNNNNNNNNNNNNNNNNNNNNNNNNNNNNNNNNNNNNNNNNNNNNNNNNNNNNNNNNNNNNNNNNNNNNNNNNNNNNNNNNNNNNNNGCCGACGACCCCCCGCACCCGCUCCGACGACCCCCGCGCCCGCUCCGACGACUGCCGCACCCGCAUCCACGAACACGGCCACGGCAACUCGCGUGCUCUGCCCAAGCAAGCCGGUGAGUCCCUCCCUCCCUCCGUCUCACAAACGCAUCUCCGGCGUCUCCCAUCUCGGGCCUCGGCAUUCAGGGCGCUCAAGAUCCGUCCCUGACCUCCGUUUUCUGCGCUGUUUUCGCAGGCCUGCUGCGGUGCGGCAAGAGCUGCCGGCUCUUGUGGAUCAACUACCUGCGGCCGGACAUCAAGCGCGGCAACUUCACCGACGAGGAGGAGCCGUCAAUCAUCCAGCUGCACCAGCUGCUCGGCAACAGGUGCCCCCUUUACCCCUUGUCGCCUUCCUCCUCCUCCUUCUGCUGCCAUGUACGGGCACCGCGGGCUUCCUUCUGCUGCUGCCAUGCCAAGCUUUUGACAUAGUGAAACAUUAGCUGGUAGUUUACCCUGCUUAAAGAAGGGCUUCUAUAUGUGAGAACCUUGUUGUGGUAGUUUACCGCAAAGCUUGCAGUUGUGAUAACCUUAGUCCGACCCAUCUAGGUUGUAUAUCGAGUUAAUAUUGCAACAUUAGCAGCUGAUCAUUUGGUUGAAAUUAAAAACCUAUUUCCUGGGUGCAGUUGUUCAAAUCUGGUGCUAAUUUAGGCCUUUACAUCAUAAUGAACUAUGCUCAGGGUCUCCAUAUAUAGGUAUGCAUGAUAAUAAUGUAUGCAUGAAACUUAGCUGGUAGUAUGGAUAGCUCAGAUUUUACAACAAAGGGGAAGUAUGCUCUGUUAAUCUGCACACAAGAUAAAUUUUACCCACAGUGAAUUAUGUUUGGAAGCACCAGCUUUUAAGUUUAUGAAUAAUGUUAAUAAUUACUGAAACUUGAUCUGUUAUAUUUUUUGCCCACGUAUGAGGAAGAAAUCUAUUUGAGCGCUUUAACUAUUGUUAACAGGACAUUUUAAGGAAGAAUUUUUACAGCUCUGAAGUCUUCCCGAAUACUACUGCUCAAAAGUGAACCAAGCUUGCAGAUUCCAUCCGCCUGUGCUCACAGACCAAAGGUGGGAUACUAUGUGUAAUUUGCUGUCACUGAAAAGUGGGACACACAAUCACUCCCUACUCUGUUUUUCUUGUUCUUUUUUACCUGUAUAUACUCCUUUGUAGUUAAGAUCUUCCAUUCUGCAUCUAAAACCUGUGUUGUACUCCCUCUAUUCCUAAAUGUAGUAACUACCAAAACAUCAUGUAUUUAGGAAGGGAGGGAGUACUACUGUGUUGGGUUGGCUUCUGAUCUGCAAGAAAGCAGUGUUUAAUCAGCUUGUCCUUUCUCGAAACACUUCGUCUUGUUGUCACUUAUAGCAUUGCCGAUCGAUGCUGAUUAUGGCUUGCAAAUCUUAUAGUGCCAGCAUGGCAAUAAAUCCCCGUUGUCCUGCAUGCCUUGCACUCAAAGCGAGGAUGUAUAUGUAAAUGAUACUGAACGCCACUACACUGCACUACAUCUGGAUGUGUAGCUUGCACCCAAAGCAUGUGUGCAACAUAGUUUGGUGCAGUAACUGCACCAGUCACAUACACUAUGCCGAUCCUCCUGCCUCUUUUCAUCUACAAUUUUUUCGUUUAAAAAAACAGAGCUUGAUCUGCCCGGGAAAACUUGGUAUUGCUCAUGUUUUUAAUUAUUAUUUUUUUGCAAUCCUUGGACUUGGUCAUCAUGUUGUGCUUGUUCAUCUUUCCCUGUCUGAAGGAUACGUAGGUGAAAAGAGAGGCUAUAUCGGUUUAUGAAUAAUGUGUGGUUGUUGAGUCUUUUGGCUGGCUGUGUAGUGCACUGAACCAAGUGUUGUACUGCUGUUGUGCUACAUCAGAGAGUAGAGCUUGAGUCUAUUUAGGCAGCAGUGUGCGGCGCAACUCUUUGCAAGAUGUUUUUUGAGAAACACAGUACCAGCAUGUCGAUAAUGAUUUUGGCGGCUGUCGGUGUCAAAACCGACGGAUCUCGGGUAGGGGGUCCCGAACUGUGCGUCUAGGCGGAUGGUAACAGGAGACAAGGGACACGAUGUUUUUACCCAGGUUCGGGCCCUCUCAAUGGAGGUAAAACCCUACUCCUGCUUGAUUAAUAUUGAUGAUAUGGGUAGUACAAGAGUAGAUCUACCACGAGAUCAGAGAUGCUAAACCCUAGAAGCUAGUCUAUGGUAUGAUUGUUGUUCGUCCUACGGACUAAAACCCUCCGAUUUAUAUAGACACCGGAGAGGGCUAGGGUUACACAGAGUCGGUUACAAUGGGAGGAGAUCUACAUAUCCGUAUCGCCAAGCUUGCCUUCCACUCCAAGGAAAGUCCCAUCCGGACACGGGACGAAGUCUUUAAUCUUGUAUCUUCAUAGUCCAGGAGUCCGGCCAAAGGUUAUAGUCUGGCUAUCCGGACACCCCCUAAUCCGGGACUCCCUCAGUAGCCCCCGAACCAGGCUUCAAUGACGAUGAGUCCGGCACGCAGAUUUGUCUUCGACAUUGCAAGGCGGGUUCUUCUCCAAAUUCCAUAUACCUGUUGAAUAGUGUCCGGGUUCUGGUGAAUGUUGCGCUCCUUGGCUUCUGCGCCCAAUAAUGGUCAUCUUCCAUGUGUCAAACGAAUGCGAAAAGACAGGGUGUUUUUUCGUUUACCCCCUAGCUGCGCAAAUGAGCCGCUUAUAAAAGAGACGGGGAUUUAGAUCUGAAUCACACCAUCUUCCCUCCGCGAGCAUUCAUCGGAGCGCAUUCGACAGAGAUUCAUUCCAUCAUGGCCAGUCGACGCAGCUCCUCCUCUCGCCCCCCAGCCCUCAGCCUGGAGAUUGGGAGAGAUGCUCUGUCCCGCACAGCGAGCUAGUGGCGCUCCAAGCCAAGGGGUUUCUCCCCCCAGCCUACGUGGUCCCGGUUCGAGCUGGGCUUGCCACCUAUAAUGGCGGAGAGCAAGCGGAGAGCGUCCCAAAUCCCUCCAAAGGAGAGAGGGUAUGCCUUGUCCCUUAUUUGAUAAGAGGGCUCGGAUUUCCAAUUCAUCCGUUUCUCCGGGGGCUCCUGGAGUUCUACGGCCUCAAGUUGCACAACCUUACACCUGCCUCCAUAUUGCAUAUUGCGGGCUUCGUAGCCCUUUGCGAGUUGUUUUUGGGCAUCGAGGCUCAUUUCGCGCUGUGGAAGAAGCUGUUAUGCCUUGUGCCCCGUUCUCAGGAGGGGUCGAUAUAUCAAGUGGGCAGAGCCGAACUAUGGCGCAUCGCCGGGGCCAGAUAUCUAUCCGGAACCCCAAAGAAGGCGUCCGAAGACUGGCCUUCAGAAUGGUUUUAUAUAGAAGAUGUCCCCCUGUCGGACCCUGUUCGGAUCGGACUACCUGAGUUCGAUAAUGCUCCUUUGAAGAAGCGCCUAAGCUAGCGUCCACGGAGCCCUCGGAAGGAAAAUGACAAGGACGUCCUUUACUUGAUGAGCCGGAUAAGGCUAUUAGCUCAUUUCGGACUGACCAUGAUCGGGGUCAUGGCCACAUGCAUUAUGCGGGGGGUGUAGCCGCUUUAGUAUAGAGGCCACCCCAUGUGGUAUUUCAACAGGGAGGAUGACGCCACCCGGUGCGGCCGUAAGGGGCCGGAUUCGGUUGCCUCUCUAAUAAAGAUCUUGUCCACUUUGUACAAGGGAGAAGAGGAGGAAUUCCUCCGCGUCAACCCACGGGACCGACUUUCUAUAUACAAUCCUCCAAGCUGGGUAAGCGGACACUUUCACUCGCCCAUCCGCUUCAUAUUCCCAUAGUUAAGUAUUUAGUCUAGCAAUUUCAACGCAGGAACUACGCCAGGCUGUAAAGGAGAUAAACAGCCCCCCUCCACAACCCGAGGACCCGGAGCGGUCCUUCGACCCGGACUCCCAAGAGGACCCGAACUUAUCUGUGGAGCUGAUCGAUGGGGUGUUUCAUCAAUUGAGCAAGGACAACACCUUAGUGGCCAUUACGGCCGAUUAUCCUGGAAAACUUCCAGCCUCACAAGUAACCGAGACCGAAGUCCCAGCACUUUUAAGACGAUCCAUCCGUGCUUAUAUUUGAUCACUGUAUACCAACGGCGUUUUUGCAGGGGAAGUCCUUGAGGCGGAGGGCCGAGCCUGCGGUGGCUAGCCAACAAGGGACAUCAAGGCCCAGCAGGCUGAAAAGAAAUGCGGUCCGGAUUGAGACGCCGGCGCAACGGUAUGGCGUGCCAUUUUAUUCCCAGGUUUUAUUCCAUCAAGGCAUACUAACGCUCGUGCUCUCUUCAGGAAAAAGAGCGCUCGCCGGACUAUAUUCGGAAAGGUUGCCAAUCGCGCCUCCACCAGCCAGGCUCCAAGGCCGGGUCCGGAAGCGGAGGCCUAUACGAGGCGCGCACCGGACGCUCCUCCGACAGAGGAUGUGGACGGGCUGUCUGCCACCAAUUCCGAGGUGGAGAGUGCCAUGAACCACAGGCGUCGCCGGACAGUUCUUCGUGACGCUUGUUUCUCCCAAGAGGCAUUGGAUGCCUUCAAUACGGGAGAUGCGUACCUCCGUGCCGCUCAAAAUGGUCUAGCCAGAGUGACAGAGCAGUAUGUAAAAGACAUACGGGUGAGAAAAUUUGAUGGUUACAUAUGUCAGUAGCCCCCGAGACUUGAAACAGUUAUAAUAACUGAUUUAAGGAUCAUUUGUUAUGCAGGAUCUUACAGAAAAGAAUACCCAACUGUCCCAGGAGCUAGAAGAGCGCCAAGCCCAACUUGAGGCUGCACUAGCCGCGGUAGGGGAGGCCAAGGAGACCCCCUCUGAUAAUAUAUGCUUCGAAAGAUAAGUAUGUCGUGAAGUGCAGCAUGUGUGCAAAUCUGACAAUAACAUUGCAGAUGGCGCCGGAGUGGAUCCGGACAAGCAACAACUGUUGCGCCGGUUAAAGGCCGGCGAGAGCGUGCUUACGAGGGUGAGGCAAGAGAAGAAUAAUCUCCAAGAUGCCAACACCCAGCUGGGCGAGGAACUAAAGGAUGUUCGUGCUCAGCUGUCGGACUCCGUGAAGGAGAAUCGGCGGCUUCGACGCGGCAUUUUUAGUAAGUGCUUGAACGAACUUCGAAAAAGAGUUCAGCGAGGAAGUCGAUUGACAGAGUUAUGUCUGUAGGUAUGCUGACAGGUCGGCCUGCAGAGGAAAUGCCCGGUUCUACGGGUGACCUUCUUCCCGAGCUCUCACAACUGCACGAACGAGUUCGGCAGGUAAUGGAAGGCGUCGCCCAGGCCUUGUGGCCAUCCGUCCCCAUGCCCGAAGGCCUUGGAGAGCUUGCAGAGAAGCUGAAGGGAGUGCGGCGGCGCUUCCGAUUAUGGAAGAUAUCGGCCUACCGUCAAGGCGCCAGGGAGGCCUGGGCCAUGGUGAAGACGCGGUACACGAAGGCUGACCCAAACCACAUGGCCGAGGUCAGACCUGUGGGGCCCGAUGAGAAGGAGAUCCCUGUGAGUUUAGUGUACGGCCAGGUAGAGUUGGCCGCCAAAUAUUCCCAACAGGACUGUAAACUAGACAGCCUGUUGGAUGGUAUUGAAGAGGAAUAUACCUAGUCGAAUUGACUAUGUAAUUUAAGAUGACAUGUCAAAUGCCUUCUAGCCGGAUUGUAGAUCGUUUGUCAUGGCGGACCUUUUCGUUUCAACCUCGGGACUCGAUAGUCCGGAGUGUAUCCGAAUACCCUCUCGGUUAUGUAAGAACCGGGGAAUGCGUGGAGACCAGGCGUAGGGGUCAUUAGUGCUUGAACAGACAAGUGCCCAACUAGUUAUGUUAUAUUACAUGGUUAGUAAGAAACAUCUUCCAGGGAGAAUAGUUCUGUUACGGGUUCCUUUCCCUGGGAGGCAUGCCCUAAAGUGCAUGUCCGGACUGCGAAAAAAGCAGAAAAGCAUCUGGGGGCGGAUAAAUAAACGAGUGGGAAAUCAUCUUUAGUUCACCGACCGAAUAUUCCCUUAAGAAUGCUAGCUUUCGGCUUCACCCAGUCUGAGGUACACAUCCGGCUGACCCGGCAGUAACAAUCACAGAGGUGCUCCCUUUACCGCCUAGCCGAACAAUCGGGAACGUAGGGGUAAGCACAGGAGCCAGGCAACCCAGCUUGGCCAAAACUUAAGUCAUAUCGAUGCAUAUAAUGGUGAAUUAAAGGUACAUGCGGAAGUGUGACACAUGUGUUGGGCAUGAGUACUGUAUAAACAAGCUUCUGUUAAAGAAGCCCCCAGGUAUAAUGAGUGUGGAUAGCGCGUUAAUUGUGUGCGAACAAGGCGCGAACGAGCCCUUAAAGGCUGUAAGAGAAAAGGAGGGAGAAGGAGAGAAAUAUAAGACAGCUAAUGUGUAAAAAAUAGAUAGAGGAAGCAGACGAACACAUAGUCCGGCGCUAGGCAUAGAAUCUUCGGAGACGGGCUGCGUUCCAUGGGUUCGGCUCGAGUCGGUUAUCCGAUGCAUCUCGCAGAUGGUACGCUCCACCAGUCAGGACUUGGUCAAUGAUGAAGGGGCCUUCCCAUUUGGGCUUGAGUUUGUCCCUUUUCUUGUCCGGUAGGCGUAGAACUAACUCGCCAACAUUGUAAGUUUUGGCCCGUACUUCUCUGCUUUGAUAUCUUCGAGCCUGCUGUUGAUAGAAUGCGGAACGGGCUUUUGCCAUGUCACGCUCCUCCUCCAAGGCAUCCAAACUGUCCUGCUAAUCGAGUUUGGCUUCUCUUUCCUCGUACAUGCGCACGCGAGGUGAGUCAUGAAUUAUGUCGCAGGGCAGAACUGAUUCUGCGUCAUAUACCAUAAAGAAUGGUGUGAAUCCGGUGGUGCGAUUCGGCGUGGUCCACAGCCCCCAGAGUAUGGAGUCGAGCUCCUCUACCCAGUGCGUGUUAGAUUCCUUGAGGGACCGCACUAAUCUGGGUUUGAUGCCGCUCAUGAUUAGACCAUUUGCUCGCUCGACUUGACCGUUAGUUUGUGGGUGAUAGACUGAAGCAUAGUCGAGCUUGUUGCCCAUGUUUUUGCACCAGAGUUUGACCUCGUUGGCCAUAAAGUUCAUGCCGUUAUCAGUGAUGAUGCUGUGGGGGACGCCGUAACGGUGUAUGACCCCUGAUAUGAAGUCUAUCACCGGUCCGGAUUCGGCCGUCUUAACAGGCUUGGCCUCUAUCCAUUUGGUGAAUUUGUCCACCAUGACCAGUAGGUAUUUUUGCUUGUAGGUUCCUCCUUUAAGGGGUCCAACCAUGUCAAGCCCCCAGACCGUGAAGGGCCAGGUGAUGGGUAUAGUUUGGAGGGCGGUGGGUGGCAUAUGGCUUUGGUUAGCAAAGAGUUGGCAACCGACGCAUCGUUGGACUAAGUCCUGAGCAUCUGCCCGGGUCGUCGGCCAAUAAAAUCCUGUACGGAAGGCCUUGCUUACAAGGGCCCGGGCUGCGGCGUGGUGCCCGCCGAGUCCGGCAUGAAUUUCAGCCAGAAGAUUCCGCCCUUCCUCUUUGGAGAUACACCUUUGAAGGACUCCAGUGGUGCUUUUCUUAUAAAGCUCUCCUUCAUGGACUUUAUAGGCUUUAGAUCGCCACACUAUGCAGCGUGCCUUGUUUUGGUCCUCGGGAAGUUCCUGCCUAGUUAGGUAGGCUAGGAAUGGUUCUGUCCAUGGGGCAAUGACUGCCAUUAUUACGUGGGCUGAGGAUGUUACUUCGUUGGCAGAGCCUCCCGUUGUGUCAAAAUGUUCCAAAGUAAUGGUGUACAGUAAUGGUGUACAGUAAUGGAGGAAUCUGGCCCAGUAAUGGUGUACUGUUUCUGCGGGCUCUUGCCAAAUUUGGGAUAGAUCCCUUAUAUUUGGGUGGGUGGGUGGAAUUAAAUCCGGAACCUCGCCCAAUCUGAGGCUCAGGGGCCAAGGAGUUUUCGAACUCGGAAGCUUGGGUUCUCGGAUGUCGUCCGAUGAAUCUAGCCCGCUGCCUGACUUUAGGUUCAGGGCUUGAGUGACGUCCUCCCCUCACUCGGGUAUCCGGCUUGGAGGGAUCGGGAAUCCGGACAUAACUAGUCCUUAAGAUAGAUGAAGGCUUGCCGCAUUGUUCCUCCACCACUGCAACGUGGUGGGUGACCUGGGGAGAGUUAAUCUCUCUCGGAUCGGGUUUCAGCCCAAUCUGAUCGUAGUCUGUAGCGACUCCCAGGGCGGUGAUGCGAUCCAAGAGCUCGUUUAGGGAAGAGAGCUCCAUCGGAUCUAGCUGCUCAGCGAGCUCCGAGUUGACGUGGAGAUUUCUUUCGAUGACCCGAGAAGUCAUCGUCGGCGCGGCGGCCGAACAGGCGGUCAUAAGAAAACCGCCUAGCCGGAGAGUUUGGCCGAUAGCCAAAGCUCCUUUAGCAAUAGUGCCGUCUUUAAAGAUGGGAUGAGGCAUCCUUCCUGAUGGCGACGGCACAGCAGAACUCUCAAUGAAAGCACCAAUGUCAGUGUCAAAACCGGUGGAUCUCGGGUAGGGGGUCCCUAACUGUGCGUCUAGGUGGAUGGUAACAGGAGACAAGGGACACGAUGUUUUUACCCAGGUUCGGGCCCUCUCGAUGGAGGUAAAACCCUACUCCUGCUUGAUUAAUAUUGAUGAUAUGGGUAGUCCAAGAGUAGAUCUACCACGAGAUCAGAGAGGCUAAACCCUAGAAGCUAGCCUAUGGUAUGAUUGUUAUUCGUCCUACGGACUAAAACCCUCCGGUUUAUAUAGACACCGGAGAGGGCUAGGGUUACACGGAGUCGGCUACAAUGGGAGGAGAUCUACAUAUCUGUAUCGCCAAGCUUGCCUUCCACGCCAAGGAAAGUCCCAUCCGAACACGGGACGAAGUCUUCAAUCUUGUAUCUUCAUAGUCCAGGAGUCCGGCCAAAGGUUAUAGUCCGGCUAUCCGGACACCCCCUAACCCGGGACUCCCUCAGCAGCAGUGUGAGGCAGCAGUGUGCAGUGCAAUUUCUUCAUUGGAUAAUGAUUUUGCAGGUACCCCGAGAGGCCCUUGAAUUUGCCGGAAUGUCGAUUAACUUCCAUUCCGGCAAAUUCGGGUACUCCAUAUGUCCUAUUUUCAGCAAAGGUCAUGCUUAAAUUUUCCGUGAAUUUUAGCAUGAUUUUGCUAAAAAUAGGACAUACAGGGUACUUGCGACUAAUGCAUGGGCCGGGGUAUCUUAGUACUUAAUUAAGUAGGAUCAACUACCCCUUUAUUAGGGGUACUUACGACUAAUGCAUGAGUCAUUUAGAGCCAAGUGAUUAGGCCCAACUUAGAAUUCUCCUUCCCUUUUCUUGAGAGGGUAUAUUAUUAGAAGAUACCGAUAUAUAUCAGUCAACCUAGGGUGCCUCGGCAUCGAUAAACCCUAAAUGAUGAAAACUUAACUUAGCAUUUAGGGUGCCUCGGCAUCGACAAACCCUAGAUGAUAACUCUUUAUGACUGAAGAUUCUGAAAGGAGUUUCAGAAAUUUACCAACAAUUUUUUACUCUAGAUACUUAGUAUCUAUCUAUCUAUCUCUCUUGGAUGGAUAGAGGAAGAAGAAGGAUCCAACUUAAGUGGUAAGCAAUGGAUAGUGUGUUGGAUCCAAACCCUAAAUGAUAAAACCAUGGCUUUUAGGGUGCCUCGGUGUCGAUAAAAACCUAAAUGAUGAAAGCUUAGCCAUUAGCUUGUUCAUUCUGUAGAUUUCCAAAAUUCAGUUUUGUACCGCACACCGAAGCCCCAAGAAAGAAAACUGCAAUCUGAAACUGAUGAUCAAUUUUCAGCCCUUGGAUUAGUUUAGUAUUUUUUUUCACACACUCAGACACCCUUGCUUGCCAUGUGUGUGAGAUAGAUAGUGAGAGGAGACAAGAGGAAGGGCGUUAGGAAGCGACUUGGAGCUUGGCAACAACACACUAACAGCGAAUUCCUCGAGAAUUAGGUUAUUUGGUCGACUUAGAGAUCUUGUUCCUUGACUAUAACAAACUUUUUGACCAAACUUUUUUCCUAUUUAGAGCGAACUUGGCCCACAACGAUGAGGUCGGCGGUUCGGGCAAGCAAUUCUGGGAGAUGUCCCAGGAGAUGGAGGAAGAACCUCACGCUAUGAGGACACCGCGGAAGACACCGAUCCUGACUACACAACCGCUAGUGGCGUCGGGGAUGACACCACUGAUGGUGCUGCAGAGGAUGUCACCACUGAUGAUGGCAGCGCACACAUAGAUGGCAGCCAAUCGAAGAGGCAACGGAAGGACCGGCGCCCGAACAUGCUCGGCACUGUCAAGGAGGAUUUUACUGAAGUGUCCUCCGAGGGGCAUCCAACGGCGCCCAAAGAAUUUGUCAAGGGGUACGCGGUUCAUCUCAGGUGCAUUCUCCGGAGUACCGUCUCGAUCAAUACCGAGAACCUAAGGCAUCCUGGCCGAGGGAAUUUUCACAACUUCCUCUUCACGAAUCUGCACGAACGAUACAAAUUCCCCGGUGACGUCGCAAACACACGCCUCUUAGGGAAUAAAGUGAACAGUGCCGCCCUCACGAAGAUGAGCACGGCCCUAGCUACUUGGAGAGGCGCGGUGAAGAGAAUGAUUAACAAAGGUGAUAGUUAUGAGAAGAUCAAGGCGAAAAAUCCUUCGAUCAGCGAAGAUGACUACAGGGAGUUCAAGAUCAAGUGCGAGAGCAACGCAACGGUGGAAUCAAGUCAGUGGGGGAAAGAUAUGCGGGACUUGAACUUACGGGUCCACCAACUCGGUCCCGACGGUUACAGAGUGGCGGAACCUAUAUGGGACAAGGAGGAUGCGGAGCGUGCCGAGCAAGGCCUACCACCCCGCUUCAAGAAAUACCGUGACAAUCAGACUAGGAACUAUGUCAGGGCCCGGUACAAGGUGGACCCGGUUACAAAGGAGCUUACCACGGAUGUGAAGGUCAAGGCGCUUGAGUGUGUUCUGGUAAGGAAUACACCCCUGCGUAAUUAGCUCCAUAUGGUUGCAUUCAAAUUAAUGAAGCCAAAUUUCUAAAUGGUUCACAUUCCUUCCGCAGGACACUGAAAGCAGUAGCACGGGGUCGUCUCAGAGCUCCCCUUGGGACAUCACUUUAAAUAGGGCGUUGAACGUAAUGAAAAACAAGGAUAAGUUCAGUAAGCCAUCGUCAGCUGGUCGUGUGGCCGGCGAAGGCUUGUCCACCAAAUGGUCGUCAUACUAUAACGCUGGUGGGCGAAAGGAGAGAAAGACCAGCUCGGAAAGCCAGUCGCGUGAGGUUCAAGAACUCAAGGCACAAGUGGUGCGGAUUCCGGAGAUGGUCCAAGAGCAAGUGCAACACCAACUGGGAACAACGCUCACCGCCAUUGUGCCUACCUUGAUUGAGGGGCUGCAGGUGUGGAUUGCGGCCGGCCAACAGGGGCCACCCCCGGUUCCCAGCUUCACGGCCAGCAACUCACACAACGCGCAGGCGGUGCCAUUGGUGUCUUCGGCGGAGGCGGUAUUGGUGUCUAAGGCACCAGCGUAGGCAUUGGAGCUUAAUGCACCCGGGUGUGCGAAGAAUACACUGGCCGGCACCUCGGCAGCAAGCGGCCCCUCCGUCACUUGCACGCCCGCCAUUGGCGGUGCCUCGAUAUUAGCCGACCUCUACGCCAUCACGGUAACUAAGCCUCUCGGUCGAUGACUUCAUCUCCUUGCGUUUGACUGGGCAUCCCUGAUGUCCUACAUGUUUUCGCAGGGCUCCGGCGCCGACGUUCCAUGCACUCUCAUGCACUUCGUGGGCGGCGAGUUGAUCGAUGUCGCCAAGGGCAGAAUCGUUCAACCGGGCAACCUCGUGUUCCACAGUAAUCCGAUGCCACCCAUCAUGUAUAGGGUUGAACUGGUUCGGGUGCUGCCAGGCUGCGACGACUUGUUACCUCCGUUUCGACCCGCUGGGGCCGACGAAGAUGAUGUGAUGACCCUCAACGCCUGCGUAAACUAGCCCCUGAUUUGGCCGAAGAGCUAGAUUCGUUUGGGGACGGGGGACACCACCCCACAGACAACACCGCCAGUCGUGCCAGCGCCAAUCCAUGGCAAGACCGCCGCAACGCUACCGGACAUGCCGGACAUGCAUAUGGCACAGGAUCCGGACAUGCAUAUGGCACAGGAUCCGGAUGGCGACGACGACGAUGGUACAUUUACCAACGUCGAUAAGUACUUUGCCGAACAUGGGUACGGUGAUGAAUUCUUGGGGCCUCCUUCUCAAGAACCCAACCCUACAAAAGACGACGGCGAUCUAGCUGGUACCGCGGAGAAACCCAAUUGCAACAGGCAUCCUGGCAUUCAGUUCUCAGGAGACGACUCCAGCUGCCGCCUUCACCGACCCUCAGAUAGCCGAGGUGCAAAAUAUUAUCAUCCCCAACACACUCAAGAAGGUGGUCUCUAAGCAGAACUCGAUCCCAUUACAGCAGAAGAAGAAGGGACGGAAAAGAAAGAAUAACAAGGGCGGUGCGAGCUAGCCGGCACCGAGUACGACCCAUGCUCAGGACGGGCCACCUUCACCGAAGGAUUUCUUGAGGAGGGUGCAUGUGGCGGGUAGGCCGAUGCUACCGACUAAUCUGCUCAAUGCUGCAACCGGUGCUAUGCGGAGUCUAUAUGACAGUGUUCUUUCUUUGGAGAAGCGGCGUCUCUCCGAGAAUGAUGUGGCAUACCCGGUUUUCAUGGCCAAGGUGCCAGAGGGCAAGGGCUUUGUGGAUAGCGCUAUCAGGGGUAUGAUCGUCCUGCGGUUUGAUGACAUCUUCGCUAUGUUUAACCUUCAUCCGCUGCACUACACCUUCGUUCGGCUAUUUUCGCUAAGUAUGGACAUGCGGAUCAUUAGAUACAAGAACCCGGGCAUCAUGAUAGUCGACCCCUUCUACAUGCGUGCCAAGAUCUUGGGCAGCGCUGGGGACCGGCAAGUCGCGAGUUCACACCUCGAAGGCGUCAUUCUGGCAAACCCUGAUAAGGAUAACUUCCUCGUGCCUUACUUUCCCGAGUAAGUCAUCCCCUCACCGCCCCGUAACAUAUGAUUUCUUAUAUUUCGAUCGUUCUUUUUUUUCUAACAUUCCGUGUUUUGUGCAGUGACACACAUUGCACACUCAUCCUCUUAAGCCCGAAAUAUUCCAUGGCCACGUAUUUUGACUCGGACCGUCAGUCGAAGAAAGACUACACAAAUAUCAAGAAAGUUCUUGAUGAUGUUCUCCCCGGCUAUGCCAGAUCUGGAGGCACCUUCAGCAGGACAAUUUGUAGGUAUGGCAAGCACGUGUUCGCCCACAAUACGACGUUCCCCUGCGUCAAGCAGCCGCCUGGCAGUCAGAAGGAUGCCUACUAUGCCCUCCAUCACAUGCGGGCGAUCGUACGGGACCAUAAUCACCUUCUGCUACCAAAUAAUCUCAAAGAUUGGGCCACACGCUUGUCGGCAAUCCAGGACGCGGACCUCAGACAAGAAUCCUAUCGCAUCCAGUCGGAGUUUGCAGAAAUCAUCCAUCAAGAUGUCCUUCGUACCUCGGGGCAGUUCUACCUCAGAUAUCAACCAUUAAACAGUGAGAUAGAAACAACGCUACAAAUGCAGGCUGACAACACCUGCGAUUUCGUGACCAUCACGAAAGACGACAACUUCAUCCACGCUACGGUCCCUGAGUCGAGUCAAAAGUAGUGAUGCUAUGUAGUUCUGAAAUGUCGAUUGGCUCAAGUUGUAAUAUUAAACUUUAAUGAACUUGUAUGUCUCUUUGGUUUGGACAGUCAUUCAACUUAUAUGUAAUCGAUGCUAUUUAUUAGUAGGACCAUGCAUCGUGCUAUUAAUGUGUUGCUUUUCUCUUCCGAUCCUUUUGUUGCAUAUUUAUAUAUUGCUUAUGUAUUGUCUGUGAAUUUCUACUAACAUUUUGUUUGGCUAGUGCAUACAGAUGUCGUCGUAUGUCGUGGACAAGGGUAAGCCGGAGCAACAGGGGACCCACAAGCCUACAUGCCCCCCCCUGAAGGUGCGCCACCCGAUCUUGUGGCCCCCUCAAGCGUCCUCGGGUGCCUCCCGAAGCUCUAGGGUCUCUAAUAGUCUAGAAAAAAUCACUGUAAAGUUUCAUUCUAUUCGGACUUUGUUUGGCAUGGUUUUUCUGCGAAACAAAGAAGUAGGCAAAAGACAGAAAGUGACAUUGCACACUAAGUUAAUAUGUUAAUCUUAAAAAAUGACAUAAAAAGGCAUAUAAAGCAUACAACAUUGAUAAUAUAAUACCAUAAAGCAAUAAAACAAUUAUAGAUACAUUGAAUACAUAUCACCGGACCACCUAUGCAAGCCUGGAGGAGGGCUGAGGCGGGGUCUCGUCAAAGAGUAUGCUUCGGGAGUUUAUGCGGACCUGCGCAAAGGUGGGGGCAUCGGAGGGCGUAUAAGCCCAUGGAGUGGCAAGGUAGUGGCUGCGGCAAGGGUGGUCUGACGCCCCCGAUUCAAUCGUACACUAAUCAUACACGCAAAUGUGUACGAUCAAGAUCAGGGACUCAUGGGAAGAUAUCACAACACAACUCUAGACACAAAUAAAAGAAUACAAGCUUUAUAUUACAAGCCAGGGGCCUCGACGGCUCGAAUACAAAAGCUCGAUACACAAACGAGUCAGCAGAAGCAACAAUAUCUGAGUACAGACAUAAGUUAAACAAGUUUUGCCUUAAAAAGGCUAGCACAAACAUCAAUGAUCGAAGAGGCAAGGCGUCCUGCCUGGGACCUCCUAAUUACUCCUGGUCGCCGUCGGCCUCCACGUAGUAGCAUCCAUCGGCGGUGGCAUCUGGCUCCAGGGAUCCACCAUCUGGUUGCAACAACCGGAAAGAAGAAAGAAGGGGAAAAGGGGGUAGCAAAUCAACCGUGAGUACUCAUCCAAAGUACUCGCAAGCAUCCGAUCUAUACUAAGUAUGCAUUGGUAUCAAAUGGAAGGGUUGUAUCUGUGGACUGAACUGUGGAAUGCCAGAAUAGAGGGGAAGGCCUAGCCUAUCAAAGACUAGCAUCUUUAAACAGCUCCAAGCAUCUUGUAUCAUGUAGAAGAGUAAAGAAUAGCAAUUUAAUAUUUAGCAAACAUGUUGUAGAACCAACGCCCAGAGAUCCUUCCUCGACUCCCUGCGAGAAAGCAAUCCUGGAGCCACAUAUCCAUCACAUAUCUCAAGUAUCCAUUUCUAGUUAUAUAAGUUCAGGAUAUAAGUCUGAACGUCCAUUACCGUGGACACGGUAUUCGAAUAUAUAACUUCCUUGCAGGGGUGCACCACGUUACACAACACGCUCGAUCACUCUGGCCGGACACACUUUUCUUGGUCAAUGCCCGGCCUCGGAAGAUAAACACGUCGCAGCCCUACCUAGGCUCAGCAGAGAGGUCCCCGCUGGUCUACAUCCUAAGCACUGCAGGGUCUUGGGCCCAUCGCCCGCAGCACUCCAGGUCUUUGCGAGCAGGGUGAAUACCAGCACCGCCUUGGAUAGCCAGCAUGAUCCAACCGUGCCGCACUGCUGAACUGGACGUCUGACAAAGCUUUGGCUGAUACUGUGACGUCGAGGCCCAUAUCUAUUCUCGUGUGGUGGUUAGUGUGUAAAGGCCAGAGGCCAACUCAGGACAAAUACCCAAACCUAAUAGUGCAUUGGGGGCUCGCAGAGACGAGCAGAGACUCACGAUAAUGUGACCCCAUCGCCCCGUCUCAUGGACUUACGGCAAGGGCCCAAACUACCCGGGCGUGCCAUGUGCAAAGCUCGCGGGUGCUCUACGGGCCCGCCCGACUUUCACAUCAACUCACGGGUACCCCUUAGGGCCGACCCGACUUCAACAAUGGUCUCAAGUAAGUCAAGGUAACCAUGUGUCCAAACAUCAAGGGGAAAACCCGAAGAAUCACCCCCGGAGUAUUCCACUCAAUGUAAUCAUCAAGGUGAACGUAAGAGGGACCACCCUCAAGGUUCACACUUGAGGUGUUGAACGACAUAUUCGUAUCGGGAAUGGUGAAAGAGGAAAUCACCCUCGAUGAUCACGACCGAAUAGCUACACUAUAGAAUUAUCAUCAGGAGUGCGUUAUGAGGAAUCACCCUCGGCACUCGAUAGUAGCUCUGCAGAGUCGAGCAACUAAAGGGGCGUGAUGUGAUGUGAGGUGUCGGGUGAUGAAGCCAUGCACCUAGGGUAGGGUUACGGGCCUGUCCAAGGUACCCUCCCCAAGGACAUCUCUUAGAAGAAGCCGUCUUUCAGUCGACCAAGAGGAACCCCACUCGACGGACUAGAAGACACUCGACGAACCUGAAGACACUCGACCAUGAAGACUCACUUGACCACCAGGAGUUCAGGAUCUACUCUGUAUCCAAACGGUCUGUAAUUAAGUAGUCUUAAUGGUCAUGAUGACACUUUAUGUAGGGCAUUACCAGUAACGCCAGGCCUUAAUGUACUUUAACCCUCUGCUACGUGGGCUGGCUGGGGUCCUGGCAUCCUCUAUAUAAGCCACCCCCCUCCACUGGUAGAAGGGUUCGCACCCCUGUAACUCAUAUACACAUAAACCAGUCGACCGCCUCCGGCUCCGAGACGUAGGGCUAUUACUUCCUCCGAGAAGGGCCUGAACUCGUAAAACACUCGUGUGUACAACUACUCCAUAACUAGGAUCUUGCCUCUCCAUACCUACCCCCCCCAUUCUACUGUCAGACUUAGAACCACGACAUCGGGCUCUGGUCGUCGAUCACAUCGAUCGAGGCGUCGAUGAUGAAGCAGGGGCAACAAGGACAACUGGGGGUCACUAAUGGAUCACUAGCCAACCUAUACUAAGCAGUUUAGGAUAAGCAGGUAGGUAACAAAAGCAGGUACAAAAGCAGGCUAUGCAUCAGAAUAGGAGCAAACAAUAACAGUAGCAAAAUCUAAUGCAAGGAUGAGAGUAUAGAAUGGGUGAUAUCGGGAUGAUCAAAGGGGGGCUUGCCUAGUUGCUCAGGCGAGAAGGAGGGGUCGCCGUCGACGUAGUCGAUCACAGCGGCAUCGGCAGCCGUCACGGGGUCUAUCGAAGAGAAGAGGGGGGAGAAAACAGUAAAUACAUAGCAAGCAAGAGCAUAACAGGAUAACAUGCAGAGCUAGACGUGUUCUAACGUGGCGCUAGGCGAUAAUGGCGAAGGGGGAAACAUCCGGGAAAGUUUUCCCGGUUCCGGAUGUCUGUCAGAAAGAUGAAUCGGAGGGGAAAGGUUGCAUGUUCGCUAUGCUAGGGACGUGUGGCGGACGAGCGGACCUCGUAUUCGGAUUCGUCUUGUUGUUCUGGGAAACUGUCGUGUAGAAAACUUUUUCAUCCGAGUUACGGUUUAAUUUCUAUUAAUUUUCAAAGUUUUAUUACUAUUCUGAAAUUAAUUUUAAUUCGAAAAUAAACGCUAAAAUGCUAGGCGCACCCAGCACAGUGUACACGGAAGUGUACCCAGUGGCUGACAGGUGGGCCAGGGGGUCCCAGUUGACCAGUCAACGUUUGACUGGUCAACAGGGGUGGGGCCCCCCUGUCAUUCACUCACUAGCUAAUUAGAUGACUAAUUGGACUAACUAGUAAUUAGAUUAGUUAAACAUAAUUAAUUAAUCUAAUCAAUUAAUUAAUUAUAUUUUUAUUAUUUAAUUUUAAAAAAUAUUUUUUUAACCUUUUCUUUUUAGUUUUACUGGGGCGGGCCGCCUAUGCCAGUGGCCCAUAAUGCCUAACAGGCGCUGGGCGAGCGUGUGCGAGCGAAACGGGGCGGAGCCGGUGCGAGCGUCGGCACCCGUAGGUGCCCGUGGGGCAGGGCCUGCAGCUGCGGGGCGAGGGGCGAGGGGCGGUGACCAAGGCGGAGGCCAUGACGGACGGCUACGGCGUCGGAGGGCAUAGGGGGGUCAGCACGGCGCGGCGAGCGCAGGCCGGCAGCAAGGAAGGCGAAGCGAGGCUGUGUGCGGGGUGACGACGAGGCGAAGCGGGCGGCGCAGGUACCGGCAUCUCACAGGGCAGGGGGCGCGGCACCGGGCGGACAAAGAGGCGAUCAGGGUGCGAACGGGGCGGACGGGACUCGGUGCACGGGCACGGUGAGCUUGAGCUCUCCGGCGCGGCGGCCAUAGGCGGACGAGGCCAGUAGCGAGCUGGUGAGUGCGGCUCCGGUAGGGAGGGCGGCGACCUACGGUGAGUGAAUCGAGGGGGAAGACGCGGGCUCAGUGCUGCUCACCGAGAGGAGGCCAGUGGGGAGCUUGCGACGGUUGAAGUAGUGCGGUGGCGUGGUGAAGCAGUGGCAGUGGUCGUGGUGGUCGAGGGAGAAGGACAGCGUUGAUCCCGGCGAGGCGAUGGCUCCGAGCUCCAUCCCAGGCUUGAUACGGGACGCCUCGGAAACGAUCUUUCAUGGUGCCAAAGAACUCACAAGGAGCAGAAACAAACUCACUCGAAACUUGUUUCAACAAACUUUGUUACUCUCAAGUGACAAGAACAAGAGGAAACACUCUCAGAUAAAUUACAGCGGAUAACUAGCUUGGUUUACAAGGAUGCAACCCAAACCAUGAAGCUUGUGAACCUAUGAAGAAUCACAAGAGGGAACCACAAGGAUCCUAUAUGAAUUGAGGACAGGCCCUCCAAUCCACACACACGAGCUAACACUCAACGAUACUAGUGCUCACAGCACAACACAACCUCACCGGCUGUCUACAAACAUAAACUCAGAAAUCUCAUCCCCUCCUCACAUGGAACAGCUGGGGAGUAUUUAUAAUAGAAGCACCCACUAGUUAGGUGUGAAAACAACUCAAAAAGAAGGGUAAAUUCGUGAGUCCCAAGCUGUAGCAGGAGCAAACUUGUUGAGCCUCGCGCUGUAAUAAAUUCCUGGACAGCUUGCAUGGAAACUUGCACAACUUUUGACUCAAGACCUCAAAUGAUGCACCAUUUUUUUGAAUGAAAGCUGACUUCUAAGACCAUCUUUUCCACCUCUAUAAUGUGCUAGAGAAUUCCAGAAUUAAUUAGGUUUAGCUGGGAAGUUGUUGCUGGAAAUCUGAUGUGUCAUUUCUCCCAAAAUAGGCACCGGAAGCUUCCCAACUAAGAUAAUGGUUUUGCCCUUGUCUUCCUUUGGAUGCUCUAAUGGUUCAACAUUUGUGCUAGCAUUAACCUCACUCUUGGAUGCCUUGGUCAUGAUCUGGUCCACAUCAUCCUCCCUUCCUUCAAACAAAACCGUCCUCGGUUUUGAGGUAUUCUUUUUGGGCUUCUUCACUUGUGGGAAUUGCUCAACCUUGAGUACUUGAUCCACCAUAGGUUCCAAGACAUGGUUCACUCCUUGAUGCAUGAAAGAAUACUUGUUAGACCUCCCAUGGUGAGUAGCAUCAUGAUCAAACUGCCACGGUCUUCCCAAAAGAAGAUGACAAGCUUGCAUUGGCACCACAUCACAUACCACUUUGUCCACAUAACUUCCCACUGAAAAUCGCACCCUAGCACGAUGUGUAAUCUUCAGCUUACCAACACCAUUCAGCCACUUCACAUAAUAUGGCUGGGGCUGCCUCCAUGUUGAUAUCCCAAGAACAUGCACAAGAUCACUACUAAUGAUGUUGUUGUAGCUACCUCCAUCGAUGACCACCUUGCAGUUUUUGUCCUUGAUCUUGCAAAUGGAUUGGAACACAUUUUGUCGCUGGCCCUUCUCAACAAUAGGAGCAUCAUCAUGAGCCACUUUGCGAACCAUGAGAUUAACACCAUCUCAUCCAUCUGAACUCAGAGGUGCUCCGGUCUCAAAAGUACAAUAAUUUGCAUUUUUCUUCUCAGAUUCAGAUUUGUCACUUGAGUCAUCGGUGACAUAUCCAUCAUUUGUGAGUAAAACCUUCUUCAGAUUAGGACAAUCCUUCUUGAAGUGACCUCUACCCUUGCGUGUAUGGCACUGAAUAUUACUAAUGCAAGUGGCAGGAGUAUUGGAAGAUUCAACCUUUGAUGCAUUAGCUUCUUUCGUAGUCAUCUUGUUGUGUGAGCGAAAAUCUGCAACAACACUUCCGUCUACUUCUCGCUGAACUGAACCUCUCCAAGUGCUUGAUGUAUAGGUUUGGCUGCGAUUUUGGUGACGCUUCAGCUGCUGCUCUACACGAAUAGCUUGAUGCACAAGUUCUUGCAAAUCUUGAUAUGUAACCAUCUCUAUCCUUUCUUGCACAUCUUCAUUAAGUCCAUGAAAGAAUCUUGACAUUGUGGCCUCCUCUGGCUCAUUCACCGCUGUCCUAAUCAUCAAAAUCUCCAUCUCUUUAUAGUACUCAUCAACACUAGAAUUACCUUGGCACAACCAUUGGAGUCGAUUGUACAAGGUUCUUGUGAAAUGUUCAGGAACAAACCGUCUCCACAACAGAUUUUUCAUUUGCACCCAUGUCUCCGGACGACCUCCAACACGACACAAUUGGUUCCACCAAAUCAAAGAAUAUCCAGUAAACUCAAUGGAUGCAUAUCGUACCUUCUUCUCCUCCGUAUUGCGGUGGCUGUCAAAAAUCUGAUCCACACGCAUCUCCCACUCCAAAUAAUCAUCGGGCUCGGUUUUCCCAUUGAACGAUGGUAUGGUAAGUUUGAAUUUACCAAUCCCAUCAUCUUCAUGGUCAUGGUGAGCACGCCCAUGACCUCUUCCUCCCAUGGCAAAGCCUUCUUGGCCUUCUCCGCGACGAUCAUGAUGAACACGUCGUGGUCGAGGCUCGUAGUAGUUUUGAGCAUCAUCGGAGUGGUCGCUCCAAUGCUCUCCAUGGUGGUCCUGCUGUAUGGGGAGUUGUCGAUGUCGACCCCGUGCCGCAAGCCCAUCUCGUGGUGGUGAUGGUGGCGCCCAAGUAGCACCUCGCUGGUCGUAGCGAGCACGCUGAGGUGGUGCAGCAUAGUAGCUAUGAGCAUCACCCGAGUAGACGUGGUUGUGCUCUCCAUGCUCCUCCUCAAGGUGGCGUUGGCCCUGCUGUUCGGGGAUUUGUCGAUGUCGACCCCGUGCAGCAAGCCUAUCUCGACGGAGUUCCUCGGUGAGGGCGUCGAUUCUCCGGCCAAGGUUGGUCUCCACGGCCGAUAUGCGCCUGUUCAACACAUACUCUCGUGUAUCCUCCAAUGCCAACACAUAGGCGGGCUGCAAGCUUGGAUCAUACACGGGAAGUGGCAGCUCCUCCUCCACGAGGUGCCUACCUCCAUGCACACCAUCAAGACUGCUAGAUCUCCUCGAACCCGUGGAAGCUUCUCAAGAACAAAAUCAGCAAGAGAGAAAAUAGCACCGCGAACAACCUAAAGCUCUGAUGCCAAGAUGAUACGGGACGCCUCGGAAAUGAUCUUUCACGGUGCCAAAGAACUCACAAGGAGCAGCAACAAACUCACUCGAAACUUGUUUCAACAAACUUCGUUACUCUCAAGUGGCAAGAACAAGAGGAAACACUCUCAGAUAAAUUGCAGCGGAUAACUAGCUUGGUUUACAAGGAUGCAACCCAAACCAUGAAGCUUGUGACCCUAUGAAGAAUCACAAGAGGGAACCACAAGGAUCCUAUAUGAAUUGAGGAUAGGCCCUCCAAUCCACACACACGAGCUAACACUCAACGAUACUAGUGCUCACAGCACAACACAACCUCACCGGCUGUCUACAAACAUAAAAUCAGAAAUCUCAUCCCCCCCUCACAUGGAACAGCUGGGGAGUAUUUAUACUAGAAGCACCCACUAGUUAGGUGUGAAAACAACUCAAAAAGAAGGGUAAAUUCGUGAGCCCCAAGCUGUAGCAGGAGCAAACUUGUUGAGCCUCGCGCUGUAAUAAAUUCCUGGACAGCUUGCAUGGAAACUUGCACAACUUUUGACUCAAGACCUCAAAUGAUGCACUGUUUUUUUUGAAUGAAAGUUGACUUCUAAGACCAUCUUUUCCAGCCUCUAUAAUGUGCUAGAGACUUCCAGAAUUAAUUAGGUUUAGGUGGGAAGUUGCUGCUGGAAAUCUGAUGUGUCAUUUCUCCCAAAAUAGGCACCGGAAGCUUCCCAACUAAGAUAAUGGUUUUGCCCUUGUCUUCCUUUGGAUGCUCUAAUGGUUCAGCAUUUGUGCUAGCAUUAACCUCACUCUUGGAUGCCUUGGUCAUGAUCUGGUCCACAUCAAGGCUUGUAGCCGACGUGGAGGAGGUCGGUGGAGCCUCUAGAUGCGUCGGUGUGGUGAGGGACGGGUCGAGGCCGCGGCAACGGCGUCGACGGUACUCCGGCAGAGAGAACCGAGAGGGAGAGAGUCGAGCAAGGGGGGGUAUCUGGGGCUGACGAGGAUGAGGCCGAGGGGGAGACUUAUCCCUCGGCGGCGUGGGUGGCUCGAGUGGGCCGGCCUGGCCGACCAGCUGGAUGGCCAGCUGGGCCACGAGGCCCACUAAGGGGGGGUGGCCCUUUCUUUUCUUAUUUUUUUUAUUUGCCUCUGUUUUCUAUUUAAAAGAGCUACUGAAUUAUUUUGGCUAAAUGUGUCACUUUGUACAAAAAUAGAUAGGAACAAGGUGGAGUUGCAUAAAAAGUUUUGGGUCAGAAGGAGUUGGCUAACCAUUUUAGAAAUUGGGAAGGCCAAUUUAAUUAUUGUUGGACCACAAGAUAAAAUCCCAGGGGCAUUUUGGAAACUCAAAUGAGGUUGGUUCAACAUGAAAAAUGAUUAGGGCAAUUUAUAGGACAAUGUGAACAUUUAAGUUUUCAGGUUUGACGAAGUUGAAUUUUAGACAUUAAACUCGAUUUUGAAUUUGAGUUUGAACUACCAUUUGGACCAAACGAGGAUUACUAACCGUAAUCAUGGUGAUGUGGCAACAUUAGCUGAGGAUUACUUUAGCUUAAUUAUCCGGGUGUCACAGGUGGCAGGGCUAGGCUGGGCAAUGUUGGCGGUGGGCCUAUGGGUGCGAUGGAAGGCUGGGCAAGGGCAGGGUGAGGUGGGGAGGGGAAGCCAUCUGCUGGAUCGGUAGAUCGUGUACAAAUAAACUAAGAGUGAAUUACACUGGUGGUGCUAGAACCUGGCGCAAAUGGCCACUUCGGUGCUAGAAGUUGAGGUGUCACUGGUGGAAAAACAGGCUUCCGUCCAGCCCCAUAAGUCGCGAAGCUGUAGGAACCGCGACUAAUGGGACCUUUAGUCGCGGUUCUGGAGGUGAACCGCGACCAAAGGCCUGGGCCCAGGGCGCUCGGUGGCCAGCUGGCGCACGUGAGGGUCUUUAGUCGCGGUUGGCCAGGACAACCGCGACUAAAGGCCUUCGGGCACCUUUAGUCACGGUUUGCCAGGCCAACCGCAACUAAAGCCCCUCCCCUAUAUAUACCCAUCCAGCAGCCAACACUUAGCCAUUUGGAGCCAUUCUCUUCACAAGUGGGUGUAGGUUUGUUUUUGGUUCCUCUUAUGCACAUAAGGUGUUUGAUGAAAUGCCCCAAGAGCAUGAAACAAACAUGACAUGAAGUGUUGGAGCCACACUCCUCGAUCGCGGUUAGCAACUUGAUGAACCUUUGAUGUGUCAUUGAUAAAAUAUGCAUGUGUGCAGUUCAUUGUUUAAUUUAUAUUAUUUGUAGCUAGUUAGUUUAACAAAUGCAUGAUGGUUAAUUAUAUAUUUUAUAUUAUAAUAAUGCAGAUGAAUCGGCAAUGGAUGUACGGUAACCGACUCUCCAGCGAGUUCACUACGGGUUUGAAAGAUUUCCUCGUAGUGGCUAAUGCGAACAAGCAGGGGGGUUUUGUUAUCUGUCCAUGUGUUAUCUGUAAGAAUCAGAAGGGUUACUCUUCCUCAAGAGAUGUUCACAUGCAUCUGCUUCGGCACGGUUUCAUGCCAAGCUAUAAUUGUUGGACCAAGCAUGGAGAAAGAGGGGUUAUAAUGGAAGAAGAUGAAGAAGGGGAUGAUUUCAUCGAUGAAAGCUAUCUUGCUCAUUUCGGUGAUACUUUCAUGGAGGAUGCUGAAGGUGAAGGGGAAGGUGAAGAAGAGGCACGUGAUGAUCCCGUUGAUGAUCUUGGUCGGACCAUUGCUGAUGCACGGAGACGCUGCGAAACUGAAAAGGAGAGGGAGAAUUUGGAUCGCAUGUUAGAGGAUCACAGAAAGGCGCUGUACCCCGGAUGCGAUGAUGGUCUGAAAAAGCUGGGCUGCACACUAGAUUUGCUGAAAUGGAAGGCAGAGGCAGGUGUAGCUGACUCGGCAUUUGAAAACUUGCUGAAAAUGUUGAAGAAUAUGUUUCCAAAGGAUAACGAGUUGCCCGCCAGUACGUACGAAGCAAAGAAGGUUGUCUGCCCUCUAGGUUUAGAGGUUCUGAAGAUACAUGCAUGCAUCAACGACUGCAUCCUCUACCGCGGUGAAUACGAGAAUUUGAAUGAAUGCCCGGUAUGCACUGCAUUGCGUUAUAAGAUCAGAGACGAUGACCCUGGUGACGAUGUUGAGGGCCAGAAACCCAGGAAGAGGGUUCCCGCCAAGGUGAUGUGGUAUGCUCCUAUAAUACCACGGUUGAAACGUCUGUUCAGGAACAAAGAGCAUGCCAAGUUGUUGCGAUGGCACAAAGAGGACCGUAAGUCAGACGGGGAGUUGAGACACACCGCAGAUGGAACGCAAUGGAGAAAGAUCGACAGAUGGUUCAAAGAUUUUGCAGCUGACGCAAGGAACAUAAGAUUUGCUCUAAGUACGGAUGGCAUGAAUCCUUUUGGCGAGCAGAGCUCCAGCCAUAGCACCUGGCCCGUGACUCUAUGCAUCUACAACCUUCCUCCUUGGUUGUGCAUGAAGCGGAAGUUCAUUAUGAUGCCAGUGCUCAUCAAAGGUCCGAAGCAACCCGGCAACGACAUCGAUGUGUACCUAAGGCCAUUAGUUGAUGAACUUUUACAGCUGUGGGGUGGUGUUCGUGUGUGGGAUGAGCACAAACAAGAGGAAUUUGACCUACGAGCGUUGCUUUUCGUAACCAUCAACGAUUGGCCUACUCUUAGUAACCUUUCGGGACUGUCAAAUAAGGGAUACAAUGCAUGCACGCACUGCUUACAUGAGACUGAAAGUGUACAUUUGCCAAAUUGUAAGAAGAACAUGUACCUUGGGCAUCGUCGAUUUCUUCCGAAAAUUCAUCCAGUAAGAAAGAAAGGUAAGCAUUACAACGGCAAGGCAGAUCACCGGCCGAAGCCUGCGGAACGCACUGGUGCUGAGGUAUUUGAUAUGGUCAAGGAUUUGAAAGUCAUCUUUGGAAAGGGUCCUGGCGGACAAUCAGUUCCGAAGGGAGCUGACGGGCACGCAGCCAUGUGGAAGAAGAAAUCUAUAUUCUGGGAGCUAGAAUAUUGGAAAGUCCUAGAUGUCCGCUCUGCAAUCGACGUGAUGCACGUUACGAAGAAUAUUUGCGUGAACCUCCUAAGCUUCUUGGGCGUGUAUGGGAAGACAAAUGAUACAAAGGAAGCACGGCAGGACCAGCAACGUUUGAAAGACCCUGAUGACCGGCAUCCGGAAUGGUUUCAAGGUCGUGCCAGCUACGCUCUGACCAAAGAAGAGAAGGUCAUCUUUUUUGAAUGCCUGAGCAGUAUGAAGGUCCCGUCUGGAUUCUCGUCCAAUAUAAAGGGAAUAAUAAACAUGGCAGAGAAAAAGUUCCAAAACCUGAAGUCUCACGACUGCCACGUGAUUAUGACGCAAUUGCUUCCGAUUGCUUUGAGGGGGCUCCUGCCGGAAAAUGUUCGAGUAGCCAUUGUGAAGCUAUGUGCAUUCCUCAAUGCAAUCUCUCAAAAGGUAAUCAAUCCAGAAGUUCUACCACGGUUACAGAACGGUGUGAUCCAAUGUCUUGUCAGUUUCGAGUUGGUGUUCCCGCCAUCCUUCUUCAAUAUUAUGACGCACCUCCUGGUUCACCUAGUCGAAGAGAUUUUCGUUCUCGGUCCUGUAUUUCUACACAAUAUGUUCCCCUUCGAGAGGUUCAUGGGAGUAUUAAAGAAAUAUGUUCGUAACCAUGCUAGGCCAGAAGGAAGCAUCGCCAAGGGCUAUGGAAAUGAGGAGGUAAUUGAGUUUUGUGUUGACUUUGUUCCUGACCUUAAGCCGAUUGGUCUUCCUCGAUCGCGGCACGAGGGGAGACUAAGUGGAAAAGGCACGAUCGGAAGGAAAUCAACGAUAUGUAUGGACGGCCAUUCUCUGACUGAAGCACACCACACUGUACUGACCAAUUCCAGCUUGGUGGCUCCGUACUUUGAGAAACACAAGAAUAUUUUACGUUCUGACAACCCGGGGAAGCCUGAAUCCUGGAUUAGGAAGGCCCACAUGGAGACUUUCGGCAGUUGGUUGAGAAAACAUUUAAUGAAUGACAAUGAUGUUGUAGAUCAGCUGUACAUGUUGGCCAAGACACCAUCUUCGACUAUAACGACUUUCCAAGGGUACGAGAUAAAUGGGAAUACAUUUUACACGAUCGCCCAAGAUAAAAAGAGCACCAACCAAAACAGUGGUGUCCGCUUUGAUGCAGCAACCAAGAAUGGGCAAGAGGUCACAUAUUAUGGUUACAUAGAGGAGAUAUGGGAACUUGACUAUGGACCCUCCUUUAAGGUCCCUUUGUUCCGGUGCAAAUGGUUCAAGCUAACAGGAGGUGGGGUAAAGGUGGACCAGCAAUACGGAAUGACAAUGGUGGAUUUCAACAAUCUUGGUUACCUUGACGAACCAUUCGUCCUAGCGAAAGAUGUCGCUCAGGUUUUCUAUGUGAAGGACAUGAGUAGCAAACCGAGGAAACGGAAAGAUAAGAAAACGAUCAGUACAUCAUGCGAUGAUCCAAAGCGCCACAUUGUUCUUUCAGGGAAAAGAAACAUCGUGGGAGUGGAGGACAAGACAGACAUGUCAGAAGAUUAUAAUAUGUUUGCUGAAAUUCCGCCCUUCAAAGUGAACACCGACCCAAGCAUUAAGUUAAAUGAUGAGGAUGCUCCAUGGAUACGGCACAAUCGUAAGCAAGCAGGGACACAAGGGAAGAAAUGAUGUGUAAUAAUUUAUUGUACCAAACUUUGUUGAAUGGAUCAUGUGAAUUAUAUUACCCUUGAUGUGUUUGGUGUCCAUUUUCGAAUGAUUCGAGAUACCACUGAUGAUACAUGAAAUUUGGAGUGAUUUAGUCAUACUGUCGUUGUACUGGUAGUCGUCGCCUUCUAAGUUGCCGCCGUCGUCGUCGCUGCUGUCGUCGCUGCUGUCGUCGCUGUCAUCGGGCGGCGCUCGUGGCUCGAACUGAGGGUAGCGCAGGCGGGGGAUAUCGCCGGCCGUGAUGUAGUCCAUGACGCUCUGCAGAGUCCGGCCAUACCACCAUAGCCGACGGCCGGCCUCGUGGAAGUUCCCAGGAGGCAGACCGUCCUCCUCAUACCUGGCGAGCGCCCUCUCACGCCGAUUGAUGAAGAAGGCGUCCCAAGUAUGCUGGUUAUCGGGAUGCCAGCGGGGAUUCAUCCGCUGCUCCGGCGUGAGGUCGAGGUAGUAGUGGUUCGUGAUGGCCGCCCGGCGCGCAGUACCCUGAGGGACGGGAGGGACCGGCACGCCGCCGGCGCUUAGGAUCCAGCCGGUGGGGACGCGGUAGCCCGGUGGACAAGGGUAGUUCGAGGCGCAAAGUAUGUAGUACCGUAGAAUAUGUGAAACUCCUUCAAAAUUAAAAUAAAGCACAAAAGAAAUAAAACAAUACAAAUUAAACAGAAAACAAUACAAAUUAAAAAGAAAACAAUACAAAUUAAACAGAAAANNNNNNNNNNNNNNNNNNNNNNNNNNNNNNNNNNNNNNNNNNNNNNNNNNNNNNNNNNNNNNNNNNNNNNNNNNNNNNNNNNNNNNNNNNNNNNNNNNNNNNNNNNNNNNNNNNNNNNNNNNNNNNNNNNNNNNNNNNNNNNNNNNNNNNNNNNNNNNNNNNNNNNNNNNNNNNNNNNNNNNNNNNNNNNNNNNNNNNNNNNNNNNNNNNNNNNNNNNNNNNNNNNNNNNNNNNNNNNNNNNNNNNNNNNNNNNNNNNNNNNNNNNNNNNNNNNNNNNNNNNNNNNNNNNNNNNNNNNNNNNNNNNNNNNNNNNNNNNNNNNNNCGCGCGCGCGCCGCCGGCCGGCCUCGGUACUGCCGCCUCGCUCGCCCGCCCUCAACGCCGCCGACCGGCCUCCCUCGCCGCCCCCAACAUGUUCAUCAAUUUUUGGAAAAAGUUCACAAAUUUUGGAAAAGUUCACAGAAUGAAAAGGUUCACAAAUUUGAAGAAAUAUAACGAUUUUGGAAAAAGGUUCAUCAAUUUUGAAGAAAAGUUACCAAAUUAUAAAAAGUUCAUCAAUUUUUUAAAAAGUUCACAGAAUGAAAAACAAUUCUUCAAUUUUUAAAAAUGGUUCAGGAAUUACAAAAAAAGUUCUUCAAUUUUAAAAAUGUUCACAAAUUUGAAAAGUUGAUCAGCCAUGAAAAAAGAUCAUAAAUUUUGGAAAUAAAAGUUCAUCAAGUUUGACAUAAAUUUGAUUUUCUUUCGAAAUGUACAUCGAUUUUUUAAAAAAAGUUCAGGAUUUUGAAAAAAAGUUCACGUGUUUUGGAAAAAGAAGUGUCUCGAAUCGGAAAAAGUUCACAGCUUGAAAUAGUUUGUCAAUUUAAGGGAAGUUCAAAAAAUUUAGAAUUUUAUAAGAAAAUUUGACGAAAUUUGAAAGAGAAAUAAAAUCAAAAAAUACAUAUAAAGUGAAAAAACAAAAAACAACAGAAAACCGGCCAAAGAAAAACAAAAAAAUAAAAUGGAGGGGGCGGCGAGGGGGCGGCGAGGGGGGCGGUGAUGCGCGCGGUGUUUUUUUUGGGAUCGAGAGGGGGCGGCGAGGGUUAUACAUGUGUGUUGUCCUCGCCUCCCUCUCCGUGACGCCGUCGUCUGCCGCCCCGUCUCGCGCUCUACCGCGACACCCUCUCCCACCCCUUCCUCGCCCCAUCCUUUUGCCACCGCCCUUUCGCCACCGCCACCGCCACCGCCCCCCUUCUUCACUUAAUUAAUUUGUUUUUACUACAUGUUUUCAGGACUGACAUAAUGGCGGACGAUAGAGCUGACCCGAUUAUGGACAACUAUGAUCCGGACGGUGAAGCACAUAUGUUCGGCAUCAUAAACGGCGAUAUUCUAUAUGUGCCGACCGGAGAAGAAGAAGAUGAUAUCUCUUCUUAUCUGAACCUUGACGGUGAAGAUGAAGGGCGCCGUCAGCAAGAUGAUGCCGAACAAACGUCGAUAAACGACGAUCUUCAAAUGGAAGUAGCAACCACCUCCGGCGCCGAGGUAUAUAUAUACAUUGAGCCUCUGGUGAUACAAACUAACUGAUUUGAAUAAAUAUGUGUGUACUAACGCGCGCGACUCUUUCUUAUUUUAGCCCUCGGCCGGAUCAUCGAAACAAUCGAGUACGUCGUCAAAGCGUGGCGCAACCAAGACGAUGAAACAAGGAGAAACAUGCACCAUCGAGGUUGUCGACAGUGCAACCGGCAGGCCGCUGGAGCCCCGCAAGAACGCCACCAAGUUUGUCAGCCAAUGCGGAGCCAUUGUUAGAGACAACGUCUCGAUCACCGUCCAGGAGUGGAAUGAGCCAAAGAAGGCACGAAUUGAUGGUUUCACUUUUGUCGAUAAGAGAACAAAAAAAGAUUGCUUCAAGAAGCUUAUGGAACAUUUCGUUCUACCUCCGAAAUACAACAAAUUCGAUGAGGAGGGUAACAAGAUUGAGGAAAACAAGGAGAGGAGGAGGCUAGUCAAACAGUUCGCUCUUCAUAAGAUGGCCGACGCAUUCCGGAAAUUCAAGCAAAAUCUAGCCCAUGACUUUGUCAAGCAGAACAAGACUCCGGAUUUCAAAGGACAAUAUGAGAAACUGAAACAUGAUUGGCCAGAAUUUGUGAAGCAAAAGAAAUCGGAGCAGUUCAUUCAAAUAUCGAAAAAAAUAAGGAAAAUGCGGCUAAUAAGGAGUACAAUCAUGUUAUGGGGCCAGGAGGGUAUCGCAUUUGGGUGCCUAGGUUGGAGAAGAUGGAGAACGAGCUGAGGGCGCGAGGAAUCCGUCCAGGUACGGAGGGAUGGGACCCAAGGGCCAAAAGCUGGUGGUACGGGCAUGGGGGAACGCUGAACCCGGAGACAGGGGAGUGUGUUUACCGGGGCAAAUUAAUUAAACCCACCCAAGCCCUUAUUAACGCAAUGAGGGAUGCUCAACAGGGGAAGAUCAAGUUCAACAGAGAGAACGACGCGCUGACAAAAGCCCUCGGGAAUCCUGAACACGGAGGACGUGUACGAGGCAUGGGGCACAUUCCGUGGAAAAUAGGGUUCCCCCAGAAUGAUGACCCGUACGGUUACAGAAGCCGUAAGAGAAAGAUGGAUCGGGAAGCAGAUGUUGUGGCGCGGUUGGCAUCGGAAAUGGAUGUGAUGAAGAAAACCAUGAGUGUACUAGUAGCCGAAAGAGAUGCAGCUCGGGUGCAGCAUGAAGAUCAUCCAGCGGAUCUCGGAAGCCAGCAGCGGAGAAGCAGCGUGGCUUCCACGGAGGCCCCACCGGCUGGUGCAGAUGCACCGACGAUCGAAAUUACUGCACCGGAGCCUCUGGUGGUCGAAAUUACUGCACCGGAGCCUCUGGUGGUCGAAAUUACUUCACCGGAGCCUCCUCGCUACCCCGUGGACGAUAUAAAGGAGAUGGAAGAAUGUCAUCUGUAUUAUCCUAUCGGGAACAUGUCCAUGAAGGUAGCCAUCGGCAGUGCUUUACCAUGUUUACCUGGAGCACUCCACCACAACAACCCCAUUCAAGAUGGCUAUGCUCGUGUCACGGUGGAGGACAUAGUCCAAGGGUUUGAGGACCUGGAGAUUGACAUUGCUACACCUGAAGGGGAGAAAAGACUUGGAGAUGUCAAGCGCCAUUUCAUUCUAUGGCAAAAGAAGUUUAUCAAGUUUCCAGGCGAGGCGCCAAGGACAACAAGUCCACCCCCGUACGGUAGUGGUGGUGGCGGUGGCGGUGGUGGUGGUGGUGGUGGUGGUGGCGGUUCACCUACACCUCCGUCACGUCAGCCGACGCCGCCCCCCAGUCCACAACGUCCGGCGGGUGAUCAGCCGCCGCCCCCCAGUCCUCGUCCGGCGGGUGAUCAGACGCCGCCCCCCAAUCCACCUCCGGCAAAGAAGCAGAAGCAGUCCUGGAUUAUUAACCCGGACCCUUAUGUACCUAAGACCACAAAGGUACCGGAGCCAUCACUGAAGCCUCUCCCCACAAGGCCUUGGGAACGUAGUGCCGAGGAAGUCGACGCGGCCGCGGCUGCUGAUUUGGAGAAAUGGAAGGCGGACUGCAAGAAGAAAAGAGAGCCCGAGCCCAAGCCAGUAUUUUCUGAUGAGCAAAAGAAGUGGGCUAAGUCAUUUUUGAGCACACCGUCCCAAGCCGCGAAGAAUCUGCCUAACGACUAUGCACGUGAACUUCGCAGGCAGGCACUCAUGUUCAAGGAGAACAAAGAGCGGGAGAAGGCCGAAAGUAAAAAAAGCGGGAAACAAGUUGCCCAGCUCGGGGAACAAAGUAAACAAUCGAUUGCCCCGCUUAUAGUGGAAGCCUUCUGUCCGGAUGCCCCCGAGAUCAUACAAGCUGCGGCAGCACAGGGAUUGACUGUAACGAGUGCCAGAGAACAAGGGGCCAACUUAGGUAUUACUCUUCGUGAACUGUUAGGCCUUGAUGAGGCGCCAGUGAAGGAGGUAGUAAUUACAUAUGUCAAGAAUGGGCCUCUCAUCGAGCCUGCGCAGGAAAAGGAUCUACCUCCACAAAUGAAAGGUCUGCUGAAAUGGUACAAGGGUUACAUAAAAAAUAAAAACGCCAAAGAAUAUAUUUAUGCGGAAGUUAGACAUGAGCAUCACUUCAAACAUUACUAUGUACAAAUUGAACUGAGUGAAUUGUUCCAGCUUUUCAAUCUGCGCGAGCUCGAUAAAUCUAUCAUCAGUUGCUACGUUCUGUAAGUGAUUUAUUAAUUUCUACCCCAUCUCGUUCAUAUUGCCUGCACUAUAUAUAUGUCCUAACUAUAUUGUUGUGUCCGCUAUUAUACAUGCAGAAUGAAGAUUAAGGAAUGCAGAGUAAGGAACAUCCAUGAUGUUGGGUUCAUUGACCCACACAUCGUUAAUGGACAUGUGUUGGAGCGUCACCCCACCGACGUGGAGGCAGACCUGUGGCAGUUUCUUACAAAGCAGGAACUCAAAAGUGAUAUUCUAUUUCCUUACCAUUUUGGGUGAGUGUUUCUGUCUUGAGCACAUUCUCUUUUGUUUACUCCAUGCAUGGUAUGUGGCCGGCUAAUCGAUGAGUUAUGCAUGACGUAUUGUGCAUGUAUCGUGUCCGCAGGUUUCAUUGGAUUCUGCUAGUAAUUAAAGUUAACACCUCAGAAUGUCUCGUCCACGACUCUGUGAAUAUGGAUCCAAAGCUUUGGGGCGGCAUGAGAAGAAUGCUGCAGAAGUAAUUAUUUUCAUUCAUUUGCGCUCUAUAUCGAUCGGCCUAUUUCGUUCAUUUCCUAAUAUCAAGUAACUAAUAACUCUCUUGUUCAUUUAAUUUUCUUUGCCUCGUAGGGUUUGGAGACGGUUCGUAGAUACAAAGGUCGGUGAAUUCAAAAAAGAGCUAGAAUUCAAAAGGUCAAAGGCUAAGAAUGCUGGGGAUAUUCAGCCACCGGAGACCAAUCUAUGUGGAUACUAUGUCUGUGAGAUGAUCCGGAGAUACACCUCUGAGCGGGUUCCGAGUGAUACCAAUGCUCAGAGGAAUAACCUCCGGUGGAUGCUUAGUCCAGAAGCUCGCUUCCGACCACUUCAAGAGGAACUAGCUGGAUGGUUCAGCAGGGAAGUCCUCCAUCCUAAAGGAGAACACUAUUACGAGGANNNNNNNNNNNNNNNNNNNNNNNNNNNNNNNNNNNNNNNNNNNNNNNNNNNNNNNNNNNNNNNNNNNNNNNNNNNNNNNNNNNNNNNNNNNNNNNNNNNNNNNNNNNNNNNNNNNNNNNNNNNNNNNNNNNNNNNNNNNNNNNNNNNNNNNNNNNNNNNNNNNNNNNNNNNNNNNNNNNNNNNNNNNNNNNNNNNNNNNNNNNNNNNNNNNNNNNNNNNNNNNNNNNNNNNNNNNNNNNNNNNNNNNNNNNNNNNNNNNNNNNNNNNNNNNNNNNNNNNNNNNNNNNNNNNNNNNNNNNNNNNNNNNNNNNNNNNNNNNNNNNNNNNNNNNNNNNNNNNNNNNNNNNNNNNNNNNNNNNNNNNNNNNNNNNNNNNNNNNNNNNNNNNNNNNNNNNNNNNNNNNNNNNNNNNNNNNNNNNNNNNNNNNNNNNNNNNNNNNNNNNNNNNUCCUCCGCCCCGACGGCCGCCUGGCGCCCACGUGGACGGGCCGUUAGUCGCGGUUCUUAAGCAGCCGCGACUAAAGGUGGGGGGCUUUAGUCGCGCUUAUUUGGUCGCGGUUGCGCAACCGCGACUAAUGGCAGUUGCGAACCGCGACCAAAGGCCUUUUUUCCACCAGUGUGUACAUUAAAGUGGUGCAAAAACUAGGCUCGAGCGUGUAAAUACAGUGCUUAUCGCGUUGGUAGACGGAUUUUGCGCUGACUAGGAUUGUUGGUCCCGCUCUCAGCCACUAGAGCUGCGAAAGGGUGCAUGUGGUCGGAUUUGUUUCGGAAAACCCCUCAAUAUAUAUAUUUCUAUAGUAAAGUCCCUAUCGACGUGCCAUUCUUCAUCUUUAACUGGCGGGUCUCGCCCGUCAAAGUACGCUGAUCAAUUUACGACAUCUUCAAUCAAUAGCUAUCCUAUCUUUAUCUUUAUCGUUAUCUUUACUAAUAUUAAAGGGAGGAUUGUUUCUCCAUUUUUUUGAUCCAUGGACAUUUUUCGUGCGUCAUCUGUUUUUUCGUCCGUUAUACUUAAAAAAAUUGCUUCAAAUCUAAAAUAAUUUGCAUUACAAGGACUCAAACCCUGCCCGCUUGGUUAUAUCCCGCAAACACCAGCCAGUCCACCUAGCUAACCUCUUGUUGGAGAAAGGAAAGGAAGAUAUCAUUUUAUGUUGGUAUUUUUGACGUGUUUCUCUGUCCACUCUAAACUACCAGAAAACAUCCAACUGAGCUAGAUUAUUGGUCUGUGACAAUAUUGGAUUCGUUUAGUAGUUAAAUAGCCCACGCCGCUUCUAUAUAUUUAAUGGUACCCAUUAAUCCCACCUCACUUCUUUAGAUAAAAUCUUACCAAUUUAAAUACAUCCACGAGUAGUCUGAAGAAACAGCAAGAGAAAGAGCCAACAAAGAAGAUACAUGCACGCUUGUUGGCUGGAGGAUGGAGGAUUGAAAGGGAGAUGCAUGCAUGGUUGGCUAGAAGGAAUAAAGCUCACCAUGCCUAAACAAGGAAAUGAAUUAAUCAGCGUUUCCUUAAAAGAAUUAAACUCGCCUUGCUAUUAGAAGGAAACAAAUUAAUCGGGAAAGGAAGAGGAUUGAAAUUUGCAGCACCGGAACAAUACGACAUGUUGACAUGUCGUGAACAUGCAUGUAAGUAAAGCAAGCUCCUUUUUUUCUCGGUAUAUUCAAAAGAAAUUAUAUUAACAUGGCAUUCCCUAGAAUUAUUUAUACGCAAGCAUGCAGACAUUCGCUGAAUAUAUGCAUCAUACGAGCACCCAUAAUAUACAAGUGCUUCUAUAUGCAUCUUUUUUUCGGUGUUCAUGUCUCAUAACAAGUUUUCUGAUGUAUAAGUAUAUAUACCAUGCAUGCACAUGGGAUAACUCAUAAUGCAACAUAACAGUUAAUGUCUCAUAACAAGUUAGUUAUGCAAUUUGAUAGAUCUUUCCGAGAAGAUUUCACAUGAGAAAAAUGUCCCAGGUUUAGAAAAAAUAAUUAAUAUAACUAUUCAUGUUUUGGGUUUUCAAUUUUUGAUUGAUGAACCAGUCAUAACGGUUAACCCAAUAUCACAGGCCUUCCUGUCUCCCCACUACAUAUGUCUCGCAUUAAGCGCGGACAAUUAGUACACCAUUGUCAGUGGAAAGCAUAUGACAUAGUGGAGGUCAAAAUAAAAUAGAAAAGUUGCAAACAAAACAAUCCAUACAUUUGUUAGCAGUUUUGCAAAAAGAAAUUGGCUAAAAGUGCAAUUCUUUUUCAUGUUAGGAAGAAUUGAUACUUAUUCGUUUAGGGGAGUGCGAUAUUUUUUUUCUCCCCGUUGCAACGCACGGGCAUAUGUUCUAGUAUGUAUUACACAGGGACACAUAAGAAGUUUAAAUGGCCUGCAGAUAUUGCGGCUUGUUUUGCGUGUGAUUCUUUUUAAAGAUAUUUAUAAAAAGUAAGUAAUAAAAAUUAUAUUUAAAUAUUUGUGUGCUAUAAAUUUUACACAAACAAGCCAUGAUUAGUAAAUAAAAACAUUUAAAUAUACACCCAUGUAUUAUAUAAAAUAUUUAGUUAAUAUGGACAUUUAAAAUGUAUAUUAAAUAAACUUCUUCACAUAUUAUUUCAAAACACAUUCCUAUAUUUAAAAUAAUAUUUAUUAAUUGUAAAAAAUGUUUAUAUAAUUUAAAAUGAUACGAUUUAUCUUGUAAUUAAAUUUACACGUAUUAUUCUAAUUAUAAAAACAUUUCGAUGAUUAUAAGCACAUUUGUAUAGUUCAAUUUUUGUAUAAUUAAAAAUAUUCAAAAUUUUAAGUUUUAACUCUUCAUGAAUAUUUAACCAUGUAUAAUAUGCAAAAUAUAUAAUUUUUCGAAUAUAAGUCAUGAGUAAAAAAUAUGGAGAUGUGAAUAUUUAUAGAUAUUAAGUAAAUGUUUGUAUUCACCAUUUUAAAAUUUAAAAAUCUGCGUGUGUAUAGUUCUUUUGUAUUCAUUAAACUUUGUAUCUAAUAUACAUUUAAAUGUUUGUAUUAACUAAAUAUUUUAUAUAUAUGAUAUACGGGUAUAUGUGUCAAUGAUUUUAUUUACAUAAUAUUGAUAUAUAAAUAUUGGCACAUGAUCUUUAUUUAUGCAAUAUCUGCAGCCCAUUUAAGCUAGACAUGAGUCCUUGCUAAACAUUUAGGUUGUUUGUUUUGGUAGUCUGUGGUCGCGGUUCAAAACCUGCACGAAAUGUUUUUCUAUAAAUAUUGAUAGGCGGGACCCAGUGGGCAUAGAGAACAAAAAUGCCAUGUCCAUAGGAUCUUUUUUGUCAAAAAUAUAUAUUCUGAGGGGGUUUUCGAAGAAAAACCCUUCUUCCUGGUUCACUGGCUAACAGCGGACCCCACAAGUCUAGGCAGGAAAAAAUUUGUAUAGAAAAACAGGAUAAGCACUGUAUUUACACACGCAAGCUAAGUUUUUGCUACUUCGACAUACACCGCAACUUGUAACAACAAAGUGAUCAUUUACAUCAAAUUUUAGCAUCACCGAUGUAAUUGACUCAUAACUAAUGUUGUAUAAGAUUUCCUAGUCGGUGGCCCGCCAAAUUUUACUCGCAGCAGGAGAGAAGUGCUAGUCAAUUUCUGGUGGCCCUUCUUUCGCUCGACCGACGCACAUAGGAAGGGACGACUGGACGAGAGUGUGAGUUUCGGCGCCUACAAUCUGGUGGGGUAGUGGGCCCCAGAUGCGUUGACUGGAUGCGAGUCCUUUCUGCGCGCAACUUGCGGGAUCAGGUUGACGCGUAGGAUCAGGUUGUCUAGGCACAUGCAUGCAUAUAUCCCGUGUACGCGUCGCCAUUGAAUCCCGUGUGCUGACUGCUGAGGUCGCACUCCAACAUGCUCCGGAACCCACCAUAUAAAGAGACGCAGACGGUCCAUUGGUCCAUCUGUGCAAGCAAAGAUGGCACGAGUCCUCCUUCUCCUCGUCCUGGCCGCCUCGCUCGCUGCGCUGGUGUCUUCCGAAGGUCUUCCGGUGCUCGCUCCGGUCACCAAGGACACGGCCACCUCCCUCUACACAAUCCCCUUCCACGACGGAGCCAGCCUCGUCCUCGACGUCGCCG